rnacentral:lncRNA from 1 species
AAAGUUUACACCAAACUGCCCACACUGGUAGCAGACACCAUGGAACCUUGUCUUCUGGAAGCGUUUGGUCCACUUGAGAUGGACUUCCAAUGGAAUGACCUCUUCUGGGCAGUGCACCCUGGCAGCCGUGGGAUCUUGGACCAACUUGACAAGACACUCCAGUUGGAGCCCACGAAGCUAGCGGCGAGCAGAACUGUCGUACAGAAGUUUGGGAACAUGUUUAGCGCCACCGUGAUCUUCGUGCUUGAUGAGCUACAGCGUCGAAUGGAGGAGGAAGGAGAGCAAGCUGAGUGGGGGGCCAUGGUGGGAUUUGGACCAGGCUUCACUAUCGAGACCAUGGUGCUCCAUGCAACCGGCGCUCUCAAGAAAAAAUAGCGCUUCGUGGUUAAGCUAUGUACGCAGCAGCGGAGAAUAAGAUUAAAGUCUGUGUGCCCAACUAUUUUAAUUGUUCUCAUCCAAAAGUUAUUUUGAUUGGAUCUGUAACCUAUAUGGUUACCAAAUCAAAUAUCAACUACCUCCAAUAAUGUACGAUGUUAUGGUUUGUCCUGAUUUUGACAGCCAUUAAUGAAUCUAUAUUGCAAGACAGUGUAAAAGUAUUGCUCACAUGAUUUAUUUCUCCACUGCACUAUGCAUGCUAGUUCCUCCAUCUGGGUUUGUAAAGUGGGCACAGAUUUUUUGGUUUUUCAGUUUGACUAACAAAAUGUGUGUACAACAUCCGUUUAGUGUAUAGAUACACUCAUUUCUGCAAUAGUUAAUUCCGGAGGGAGAGAGCAUAUUAGAAGCAUCGUUUGACGUUGAAUCAAGUAAUGAUAUAUUUUGAUAUCACACAUUUUGCUAGUCAAAUAGGUGAAGUAAUAAACCGUGUCCACCUUCAAAACCCAGAUAGAGAUAGUAGUAUUUACCCACACAUUAAUAAGUAAGCAAACUAUAUGCUCCUAUGUUAAAUCAGGUAAAUGGAAUCACAGUGUCUGAACCGAACUUUCAUAAUUUCACGUGGUAAGAUAUACCCAAAUAACACAAUGGCAACACAAAUUGUGGAACAAUUCAAUCAUGGAAUUGUGAAAGUUCAGUUCAGACCAUGUAAUUCCAUGUUCCUGGUUUAACAUAUAUAGAUUUCCGUACAUUAUCGAGUAGACGUUUACAAUCCAGUUACCUAAUGUAACAGCUUUUUACUGACAGUAUUCCACACACGCCACUAAAAAAACUUGAACGUGCUACUUUGAUAAAAAAAAUGAUAUACUUGCUGGAGCUUCGCCCUCGGGAUCGAUCACAUCAAAUCACGACGGACACACACGCACCAAAACUUUUGGCAAAGACAAGUGUCGUGCCUCUUUCAUCGCUUUACUGUUUUUCUUGUUUUUCUCAUAACUGGCAAGCAAUGACCUGGCUAGCAAGCCCACUCCAAACCAGACCUAAACCAGUAAGUCAUGGAUACAGAUAACCUACUGGAUCGUGUCCUACACGCACAACUUCUAGCAACACAACUAGAUAGCCAGGCACAAGUCCCAGCUGGACCCAACUUAUUGAUUUUUCUAAUCUAAUUACACGCACCGUUGAUCACUAUGCUAAUGCUAAUCCUAACCAGACAUACCUUUGCCAUACAUCCAACGUACACGGUACAUCCACUAACUCAUCUAUGUUUGGAUUAUUCCAACAAUGAUCCCCUAAUCCAAACAUCCGACUCUUCACUCAACGAGACACCCAGACGGCCAUUUGUUCAUCUUGUACGUCGAUUGCCUCCGGUGGUGCAACUUACCAGACCGUAAGUUCUCCCUUCUUGCGACGAUGGCCACUACAUCAUCGUCGUCUUUUAUUUUUUCGCCGAAUGGCAAUCACCCGUCGACUUGCUUGCGACAGCACCCUCAUCGUCUUCUCAUCAUCGCUUUGCUGAAUGACUAUCGCCAGCUCGUCCAUGUCGCUGCACCACCUAGCGACUGUAUCGCCUGCCCCUCCUCAUCGGUACACCAACGACUCCAUCGCCCGCCCGGAGCUGCUAGUAGGGUCGCCAUCCCGGGACAAGCACGGCUUCAAUCCUCGAACCUUGCUAUGAUACCAAUUGUUGAAACUUCGCCCUCAGGAUCGAUCACAUCAAAUCAUACCUUAAACCAGACCUCAAACCAGACCUAAACCAGUACGUCACGAACACGGCUAACCUAGUUGACCGUGUCCUACAGGUAUAGCUUCUACCAACACAACUAGAUAGCCAGGCACAAGGCCCAGCCGGACUCAACUCAUUGUUUAACCAAAAAUUACCACAUUUCAUGGAAACGUGCCCAGAAACUACCACUUUACAAAUUUGUGCCAAAAACUACCACUUUUUCACUAACCUGCGGCAAAAAACUACCAUGUUGGAGAACCGCCCGCUUCGCCCACUCUAAGCACGAAUCUGACCGGUUGGGCCCACAAAUCAGAUGCCACCGUGGGCAACCGUGGACGGCCACGCGUUAAUGGUCGUUAACGGCGUGUUUGCGGUCAGGAUGCGGCUAUCGGUCAGGUCAGUCAAGAUCCGAGCCAUCCAUUCCCCUCUGACGGUACAUCUCUCCCUCCUCGCUUAGCUCUCCCUCUCUCUGACCUGGGUGGUGGCCGCCAUGGCGUCGAUGAUUCCGGAUGGGGGCAUAGGUGAUAUGGGCGACAGCGACGGUGACGGCGGCGGUGGUGGUACAAGUUUGGACGGUGUAGGCUCUUUCUCUCACGUCAAUAACUGGUUGGGGAGCACUAGUUGUGCGACGCAGGCAGCCUUGCAGCAGCCGGUGGCACCGCUCGUCCAGUAAUCACCGGCGCCUAGGUGUUCCGUGGGUUGCAGGUAUGGAAAUAUCAUAUGUUUAACUGAACAUGUUUUCUUUUGCCUGAAAGGCCUUUGGUUAGCUGCUUGAAUUUGGCAAAUUAGUAAGAUGUGUUUGUUUCUGUUUAUUGAACAUGUGUAGUAAAAUGUAUUGCACUUGUGGUUGUGUUAAUUUUUGUUCAAUUCAUGAGCACUUAUUUAUGCAGUUUGGCUGACCAGAAGUGGGACAUAUGGUUUCAUUUCAAUGGAAGAAACCCUGUGAAAAGGGGUAUAUAUGAGGGAAAUAUUUCUUUUCUUACUCUGCAAUCACUCAUUGCUAGUGAAGGGCAUGGGGAGAGUGAUUACAUGUACUAUGUGAAGGAGGAGGAAAUUGGAUAUGAGAGAGUAAAGUAUUUAGGUUAUGAAGCUAGUGUUCAGGAAAUGUUGGAGGUUUAUCAUCAUGUCACGUUUGUGAACAUAAAAGUUGUGAAAGAUGUUCAGCCUGCAAGUAGUACACAUGCUAAUGAGAAUUACAUGAACACUCAAGAGAGUUGCAAUGUGAAAAAGGUAGUGGAACAAUCUGAGCUUCAGAAUCAGAUAAAUGAUAGAAAGGCUCAGCUUGAGAGGAGCAGGAUUCAAAGAGAGGCAGAUUUGAACCACUUUGAAGGAGACACUGAAGUGUCUGAAUUAUGUUCUGAUGAUUUAGGUCAUUCAGAUGGGAGUGUUGAAGUUGUUCAAAUGGAAAUAGAGUGUUCCUCUGAAGAGGAUAGAUCAUUGGAAUUAACUGUUGUUGUGAAACAUGUGAAGAAUCCUGGUCCAGCUAGCAGAUGUCACAAUGAGGUAGAGCAUAAACAAAUUCAAGAUUGGUUUCCUGAAGCGGAUGAGUUUUGUUUUGCUGGUGAUUUAGGCAUUGGUGAUGAGGAAGAAGAAUAUGAAGUUGAACUACCAUACCUCCUGAAGAAGCCAAGUGUUCAUAGAGAGAGCAUGGAUGUGAAUUUUACAUGUGUGCCUCCAGGAUAGCUCAUGAAAGAACUUUUUGCAUUAAGAAGUGUAACAUGGAGCACACUUGUCCAGCAUCAGCAGAAAACACAAAGUUUACUACUAAGUGGCUUUCCAAAGCAAGUGAGCCUUCUCUUAGAGCAAGCUUCAUAUGCACCCAGAGGACUUUGUCCAUGAAUUUUUUUAAAGCCACUAUAUAUUGAAGCAUACAAAGACAUUGUGUACCCUAUCCCUGGUCCUGAAUUCUGGCCUGACACCCAUACCAAGGAUAUUGAGCCCCCAGUGUUCAAAGAAAAACCAGGCAAGAAACAGACAGCUAGGAGGAAGGGCCAAUUUGAGGUGCCUGCACCACAGGACACAAGGAAGAUGGGAACAAUUACAUGCAGCAAUUGUGGUCUAUAAGGCCAUAGAUAUAAAUACUUUGGGAAACCUCUGAAAACAAGUCUUGAGAUGAGAAAGAACUUACACUAGGUGAUUUCAAAGUUUGCAUUCUUUGUAUCAUUAUUUUUUGGUGUGGUCUAAUUACUAACUGUUUUAAUUUGGGCAUGUAGGAGAAUAGACAAAUUUUCAUGGGUUCCUCAAGUGCUACACAUCCACCUCCACGGAACUCACCCCCACUACCACCACAUCAACACCAAACUUCAAACAUCCCAGCCUCAUCUGCUCCACCACUUCCUCCUAAAGCAAAGAAGAACAGAAAAAUAGCAGUGGUAGCCAAGUCUUCACCUGCACCUCCAAGAGGUUCAACAUCAACAGUUUCAAGAGGACCAGCCAAGUCUUCACCAGCACCUCCAAAUGUAGCAAGGGGAUUCAAUGCACCUAGAACAUCCAAUGGAGCAGCUGAGAUAUUCAUAGGUAAGAGGAAGAGGAAACCUACUACCAAGUUUGAAGCCUAUUUCACUGCAAGUGAAACCCAUUGAAACUGUGUUAUGCUACUUGAAUGUUGAAUGUAUGCUACAAAGUUUGUGUUCUGCUACUUGAAUGGUUAAAUUGUGCUAGUGAACUUGAAUGUUGAAUGUAUGCUACUGAAUUUGUGUUGUGCUACUUGGACGUUUGAAUUUGUUUGUGCUACUUAGCAUUUCUACAGUGAAUAAAUGUUCAUAUGAAUGUAGUUACAUUCAACAUAACUUGUAAAAUCUUAAAAAGCAAAUAAAAAUGAUUUCAAAAACUAGAAAAAAAAUAAAAAACAAAAAUAGUUUGGCCUAGGGCUCGAACCCAGGACCAGUGGGUUGUAACCAUACGUGCAAUGCCAAUGGGAUAGUGGGUUACAAAAGCAUAAACCCGAGUAAGGGGGUUGUUGCGUAUGGGAUAAAGGGGACUUGAUAUGUUAAUGCUAUGGAUGGGUUUUACCUUAAUGAUCUUUAGUAGUUGCGGAUGCUUGCUAGAGUUCCAAUCAUAAGUGCAUAUGAUCCAAGAAGAGAAAGUAUGUUAGCUUAUGCCUCUCCCUCAUAUGAAAUUGCAAUAGUGAUUACCGGUCUUGUUAACAAUCGCCUAGGAUAAUUCCGCACACCGACCCAUCAUUAUUCCACACUCGCUAUUUAUAAUAUUUAGUAAUAUAUUCUAACUUUAUGACAAUAUCACCUACUUUUAUAUUUUAGCACUCCGAUGUUAUGCAAAGUUAUCCUCUUCAUACCCACAACGUAGUUUUAUUUCUCGUUUCUAGUUGGAAGCAAUCGUUCGGUGUAACUAGAGUCGUAUCAAUGGCAGAUAGGACUUGAUAGAAUAUUGAUCUUACCUUUUGCUCCUCUUGGGUUCGACACUCCAUAAUUAUCACUUCCACCUUUGGGAAUUUCUACGACGAUUCCUUGCACUUGGGGAUAAUCAAGCUCUUUUCUGGCGCCGUUGCCGGGGUUCCAUAGCGCGGGGUUGAUAUUCUCGUGUGUGCUUGUUUGCUUUCUUCACUAAGUAGUUUUUGUUAUCCCUUUUUGUUUUGCUUAGUUGUGGGUGAAACAUACAAAAAAAUUAAAAAAGGAAAAUACAAAAAAAUUACUUGCCUCUUAUGCCUAAAAAGUUUUUUCAAAAAGAGAAGUGAUUGGAAAGUUAUGCAUUGGAGAAGUGAGGGUCGACCUUGAACACUUGUGUUCAUGCUCAUGUAAACAAUGUAGAAUUUUUCAUGGAAGUUUCUCUGAACAUAAUUAUCCCCUUGUAUAUAUCCAUUGUAUUAUAAAAAUAAUGUGCCAAGCUUUGGUUAUAGGAUGAUUAGAUUGCUUGUUUACUAUGUGCAGUGCAAAAAUAGAAUCUUUGGCUGUAGCGCAUGAAUUUUCAUUUUUACUGGAAAGUCAGACGGGUCUGAAACUUUUUGCACAGUACUUAUAUACAAUUUGUUUAAAUUUUCAUUUUUUUUAAUUUUUGGAGUUACAGAAGUAUACGAAAUUUCCAGAUUACUACAGACUGUCCUGUUUUUGACAGAUUCUAUUUUCUAUGUGUUGUUCGCUUAUUUUGAUAAAUCUAUGGGUAGUAUUGGGGGGUAUGAACCAUGGUGAAGUUGGAAUACAUUAGAUAUAAUGCUAAUAUGAAAUCGUAAUGAUUUUAUAACUACCUAAAGGUAGUGAUUUUCUUUAUUAUACUAAUGGAUCUCACAAAGUUUUUGUUAAGUUUUGUGUGGAUGAAGUGUUCGAAGAACGAGGAGUUACCGAUGUGAGGAGAAUAAAGAGAGGCAAGAGUUCAAGGUUGGGGAUGCCCAAGGCACCCAAAGUAAAUAUUUCAAGGAUACUUAAGCAUCUAAUCUUGGGGAUGCCUCGGUUGGCAUCCCAUCUUUCUUCUUCAACAAUUAUCGGUAUACCUCGGUUUUUGUUUUGUUCACAUGAUUUGUGUCCUUUGUGUUUUUCUUUUUCUUUAAGAACCAUGCUAGUAUGAGAUAGCCCUUAAUUGAUUUAUAGAAUGCUUCAUGUGCUUCACUUAUAUCUUUUGAGCAUGACCUUAUAGAAUGCUCUUUGUGCUUCACUUAAAUCUUUUGAGUAUGGUUUUAUACAAUGCUUCAUGUGCUUCACUUAUAUAUUUUGAUCUUGGAUAUUGGUUAGUCUAUAUUAAUUCUAGAAUGCUCCAUGAACUUCACUUAUAUCUUUUGGAGUAUGAAUAAUACUAUCAUUGAAAGUGGGUUUGGAAGAUUGUCAAAUUUAGGAAGUAAUGAUCCCACUAUUUUGGAGGGUGUUUAAUCUUAGUGUUAUAUUUAUGAAAGUGGAUAUGGAGAGGUCUUGACUUUACUUAGUAACAAUUCCACUAUUUCUGAAGAGGUUCCAAUUGAUUAUGAAAACAAAGUUGCUAUCUAUGAUGAUUAUUGUGAUGACAUGUAUGCUAUAAAGAAUAAUGUUAACCCUGAAACUUGUCAUCAUGAUUUUAAUUUUCAAUUGGAGUAUGCCUCACAUGAUAGUUAUUUUGUUGAGUUUGCUCCCACUAUUCUGAAUGAGAAGAAUUUUGCUUAUGUGGAGAAUAGUAAAAUUUUUAUGCUUAUAGAUUGAUACGUCUUCAACGUAUCUAUAAUUUUUGAUUGCUCCAUGCUACUUUACCUACUGUUUUGGACUAUAUUGGGCUUUAUUUUCCACUUUUAUAUUAUUUUUGGGACUAACCUAUUAACCGGAGGCACAACACAGAAUUGCUGUUUUUUUGCCUAUUUCAGUGUUUCGAAGAAAUGGAAUAUCAAACGGAGUCCAAACGGAAUGAAACCUUCGGGAACGUGAUUUUCUCACCCAACGUGAUCCAGGAGACUUGGACCCUACUCCAAGAAGUAGAAGAGUCAGUCACAAGGGUGGGGGGGCGCCCCCCCUAGGGCGCGCCCCCCUGCCUCGUGGCCCCCCUGUUGCUCCACCGACAUACUCCUUCCUCCUAUAUAUACCUACGUAUCCCCAAACAAUCAGAACGGGAGCCAAAAACCUAAUUCCACCACCGCAACCUUCUGUAUCCACGAGAUCCCAUCUUGGGGCCUGUUCCGGAGCUUCGCCGGAGGGGGCAUCCACCACGGAGGGCUUCUACAUCAACACCAUAGCCCCUCCGAUGAAGUGUGCAUAGUUUACUUCAGACCUUCGGGUCCAUAGCUAGUAGCUAGAUGGCUUCUUCUCUCUUUUUGGAUCUCAAUACAAUGUUCUCCCCCUCUCUCGUGGAGAUCUAUUCGAUGUAAUCUUCUUUUUGCGGUGUGUUUGUUGAGAACGAUGAAUUGUGGGUCUAUGAUCCAGCUUAUCUAUGAACAAUAUUUGAAUCUUCUCUGAAUUCUUUUAUGUAUGAUUGAGUUAUCUUUGCAGGUCUCUUUGAAUUAUCCUUUUGGUUUGGCCAACUAGAUUGGUAGUUCUUGCAAUGGGAGAAGUGCUUAGCUUUGGGUUUAAUCUUGCGGUGUCCUUUUCCAGUGACAGAAGGGGCAGCAAGGCACGUAUUGUAUUGUUGCCAUCGAGGAUAACAAGAUGGGGUUUUUAUCAUAUUGCAUGAAUUUAUCCCUGUACAUCAUGUCAUAUUUCUUAAGGCGUUACUCUGUUUUUAACUUAAUACUCUAGAUGCAUGCUGGAUAGCGGUCGAUGAGUGGAGUAAUAGUAGUAUCUGCAUAAUCGUUUCGAUCUACUUGUCUCGGACGUGAUGCCUAUAUACAUGAUCAUACCUAGAUAUACUCAUAACUAUGCUCAAUUUUGUCAAUUGCUCAACAGUAAUUUGUUCACCCACCGUAGAAAAUCUAUGCUCUUGAGAGAAGCCACUAGUGAAACCUAUGGCCCCGGGUCUAUUCUCGUCAUAUCAAUCUCCAUUACUUUAUUACUUGCUUUGUUUUCACUUUGCCUUUUCCUUUUUACUUUGCAUCUCUAUACCAAAAAUACCAAAAAUAUUAUUUAUCAUCUCUAUCAGAUCUCACUCUCGUAAGUGACCGUGAAGGGAUUGACAACCCCUAAUCGCAUUGGUUGCCAGGAGCUAUUGUUUUGUGUAGGUACGAGGGACUUGUGCAUGGUCUCCUACUGGAUUGAUACCUUGGUUCUCAAAAACUGAGGGAAAUACUUACGCUACUUUGCUGCAUCAUCCUCUCCUCUUCGGGGAAAUCCAACGCAGUGCUCAAGAGGUAGCAAGAAGAAUUUCUGGCGCCGUUGCCGGGGAGGCUCACGAAAGCAAGUCAUCCAUACCAAGUACCCAUCACAAUCCCUAUCUCUUGCAUUACAUUAUUUGCCAUUUGCCUCUCGUUUUCCUCUCCCCCACUUCACCCUUGCCGUUUUAUUCGCCCUCUCUUUCCCAAUCUCCUCCUCUCUUUCCCGUUUGCCUUUUUCCGUUGCCUUUCUGUUUGCUCAUGUGUUAGUUUGCUUGCUUGUCGUUAUGUCUAAAAUUGGGGAAAUUAUUGCCGACAUGGGCAAUAAUAAUAUCAUGGAAAGUUCUGAAGCUCUUGCUGAAGAAUCCCCUACCUAUCAUACAAAAAGAUUUCGAAUCGGUAGUGGUAAUAUUUCUGGAAAAGGAGUUAUUCAAGAUUUCCUUACUUGUGCCGGUGCUUUGCCCUCUAUGGGCAGUUCUAUUCUUCAUAGAACUAGUAGUCUUGCGGACGCCAUUGCCAUGCUUAUCGUUGAACUUGAAAGGCAAUUUAUGCAUAUGCACCCUUCUAUACAAAGGAUUUUACUAGAAUUUUCUAAUAUCGAACACUCCUCUGUUAAGCGUGCCGCUACUUUCUUUUUGGCUCAUGAAUUCAGAUUUAUAAUAAAAGAGGCCAAAGAAAUCUUUGUGCAUUAUAGGGCCGGCCAUCCUCCCAUAGAAUCUAUCCUCUUUGAUCAAGAAGAAAUUAUUUGUUUUCAAUCUCUUGACUAUGUUGCGUUCAGUGAAAACCUUAGAAAAAUGGUGUCAACCAACAUUCUAAUUGAUAGAAUCACUUAACUUAAUGAUGAUUUGGCUAUUCGAAAUAAUGAGUUAGGAUACUCUCUUGAGUAUAGACUCACAAGGUUCUGUCAAAAGAACACUUAUAAUGAUGAAUUGGUUGUGCAUUAUUAAGGGCCAAAAGAGGAACCUAUGCCUCCUAAAAUUGAUCUUGGGGAUUUUUGCCCCAUUAAAUUUAGCCCUUUUGAUUAAUUUUGUUUGCCUCAAAGAAAACUUGCUGCCGAACGUAGAGAACAUGAAAUGAGUUUCACCGAUCUAUCUUAUUACUACGGCACUUCCUAGAUCUAUCCUUGCUUUUAUGCCUAGCUAGGGGCGUUAAACGAUAGCGCUUGUUGGGAGGCAACCCAAUUUUAUUUGUGUUUUUUGUUUUUGCUUCUGUUUAGGAAUAAAUAAUCCAUCUAGAUUCUGUUUGGAUGUUGUUUUAUCUUUUCAUUAGUGUUUGUGCAAAGUAGAACCUAUAGGAUAACCUACGAUGAUAGUUGAUUUGAUUCUGCUGAAAAACAGAAACUUUGCGCACACGAAUAUAAUUUUGUUAAAUCACAGGAACGUGAUUUUGCGUUGAUUCUUUUUGCUUCUGUUCAAUAAACAAAUUUUCCAGGACUUCCUAUUUUGGUAGGAUUUUUAGGGUUCCAGAAGUUUUCGUUAGUUACAGAUUGCUACAGACUAUUCUGUUUUUGACAGAUUCUGUUUUACGUGUGUUGUUUGCUUAUUUUGAUGAAUCUAUGGCUAGUAAAAUAGUUUAUAAUCCAUAGAGAAGUUGGAAUAAAGUAGGUUUAACAUCAAUUUAAAUAAAGAAUGAGUUAAUGAACAGUACCUUGAAGUAGUCUUUUGUUUUCUUUCUCUAACGGAGCUCACGAGAUUUCUAUUGAGUUUUGUGUUGUGAAGUUUUCAAGUUUUGGGUGAAUUCUUUUGAUGGAUUAUGGAACAAGGAGUGGCAAGAGCCUAAGCUUGGGGAUGCCCCAUGGCACCCCCAAUACAAUCCAAGGACACCAAAAAGUCAAAGCUUUGGGAUGCCCCGGAAGGCAUCCCCUCUUUCGUCCACUACCAUCGGUAAUUUACUUGGAGCUAUAUUUUUAUUCACCACAUGAUAUGUGUUUUGCUUGGAGCGUUUUGUAUUAUUUGAGUCUUUGCUUGUUAGUUUACCACAAUCAUCCUUGCUAUACACACCUUUUGAGAGAGCCAUACAUGAAUUGGAAUUUGUUAGAAUACUCUAUGUGCUUCACUUAUAUCUUUUGAGCUUGAUAGUUUUGCUCAUAGUGCUUCACUUAUAUCUUUUGAGCGUGAUAAUUUUUGCUCUAGUACUUCACUUAGAUCUUUUAGAGCACGGUGGUGGAUUUCUUUUAAAGAAACUAUUGAUCUCUCAUGCUUCACUUAGAUUAUUUUGAGAGUCGUUAAUAGCAUGGUAAUUUGCUUAAUGUUAAUAUACUUGGUAUUCAAGAUGUGUGAAACUUUCUUUUAGGUGAAUUGAAUACUAAGAUAAGUUUGAUGCUUGAUAAUUGUUUUGAGAUAUGGAGGUGAUAAUAUCAAAGUCGUGCUAGUUGGGUGAUUAUGAAUUCAAAGAAUGCAUGUGUUGAAGUUUGCAAGUCCCGUAGCAUGCACGUAUGGUUAAAGUUGUGUAACAAAUUUGAAACAUGAAGUGUACCUGGCUUGUGCAUCCUUAUAAGUGGCGGACGGGGACGAGCGAUGGUCUUUUCGUACCAAUCUAUCCCCCUAGGAGCAUGCACGUAGUACUUGAUUUUUUAUGACUUAUAAAAUUUCGCAAUAAGUAUAUGAGUUCUUUUGACUAAUAUUGAGUCCAUGGAUUAUAUGCACUCUCACCUUUCCGCCUUUGCUAGCCUCUUCGGUACCAUGCAUUGCCCUUUCUCACCUUGAGAGUUGGUGCAAACUUCGCCGGUGCAUCCAAACCCCGUGAUACGAUACGCUCCAUCACACAUAAACCUCCUUAUAUCUUCAUCAAAAUAGCCACCAUACCUACCUAUCAUGGCAUUUCCAUAGCCAUUCCGAUAUAUAUUGCCAUGCAAUUUCCAUCAUCAUCAUCAUGACAUACAUUACUUUUGUCAUAUUGCCAUUGCAUGAUCAUAUAGUUGACAUCGUAUUUGUGGCAAAGCCACCAUGCAUUAAUUUUCAUACAUGUCACUCUUGAUUCAUUGCACCAUCCCGGUACACCGCCGGAGGCAUUCAUAUAGAGUCAUAUCUUGUUCUAAGUUUCGAGUUGUAAUCCUUAUGUUGUAAUCAAUGGAAGUGUGAUGAUCAUCAUUAUUAGAGCAUUGCCCAAAAAGAAAAAAGAAAAAAAAGGAAGAAAGGCCAAAAGAAAAAAAGGCCCAAAAAAAGAAAAAAAGAGGGCAAUGCUACUAUCUCUUUUUCCACACUUGUGCUUCAAAGUAGCACCUUGUUCCUCAUGUAGUGAGUCUCAUAUAUUGUGCUUAAAAGUAGCACCUUGUUCUUCAUGUAGUGAGUCUCAUAAAGUUGUCUUUUUAUACUAGUGGUAAUUUUUCAUUAUAGAACUUGGCUUGUAUAUUCCUAGAAUGGGCUUCCUGAAAUGCCCUAGGUCUUCAUGAGCAAGCGAGUUGGAUGCACACCCACUAGUUUUCUUUUGUUGAGCAUUCAUAGCUCUAGUGCAUCCGUUGCAUGGCAAUCCCUACUCCUCAUGUUGACAUCAAUUAAUGGGCAUCUCCAUAGCCCGUUGAUUAUCCUCGUCAAUGUGAGACUUUCUCCUUUUUUGUCUUCUCCACACAAUCUCCAUCAUCAUAUUCUAUUCCACCCAUAGUGCUAUAUCCAUGGCUCACGCUCAGGUAUUGCGUGUAGGUUGAAAAAGUUUGAGAUUAUUUAAUUAUGAAAUAAUUGCUUGGCUUGUCAUCGGGGGUAUACAAGUUGGGAACAUCUUUGUGUGACGAAAAUGAAGCAUAGCCUAACUAUAUGAUUUUGUAGGGAUGAACUUUCUUUUGCCAUGUUAUUUUGAGAAGACAUGAUUACUUUGAUUAGUAUGCUUGAAGUAUUAUUAUUUCUUAUGUCAAUAUGCACUUUUGUCUUGAAUCUUUCGGAUCUGAAUGUUCAAGCCACAAUUAAGAAGAUUUACAUUGAAAUUAUGCCAAAGUAUCAUUCCGCAUCAAAAAUUCUCUUUUUAUCAUUUACCUACUCGAGGACGAGCAGGAAUUAAGGUUGGGGAUGCCUGAUACGUCUCCAACGUAUCUAUAAUUUUUGAUUGCUCCAUGCUACUUUAUCUACUGUUUUGGACUAUAUUGGGCUUUAUUUUCCACUUUUAUAUUAUUUUUGGGACUAACCUAUUAACCGGAGGCCCAGCCCAAAAUUGCUGUUUGUUUUGCCUAUUUCAGUGUUUCGAAGAAACAGAAUAUCAAACAGAGGCCAAAUGGAAUGAAACCUUCGGGAACGUGAUUUUCUCACCGAACGUGAUCUAGGAGACUUGGACCCUACUCCAAGAAGCAGAAGAGUCGGUCACGAGGGUGGGGGCGCACCCCACCCUAGAGUGCGCCCCCCUGCCUCGUGGCCCCCCUGUUGCUCCACCGACGUACUCCUUCCUCCUAUAUAUACCUACGUAUCCCCAAACGAUCAGAACGGGAGCCAAAAACCUAAUUCCACCGCUGCAACCUUCUGUAUCACGAGAUCCCAUCUUGGGGCCUGUUCGGGAGCUCCGCCGGGGGGGGGGGGCAUCCACCAUGGAGGGCUUCUACAUCAACACCCUAGCCCCUCCGAUGAAGUGUGAGUAGUUUACUUCAGACCUUCGGGUCCAUAGCUAGUGGCUAGAUGGCUUCUUCUCUCUUUUUGGAUCUCAAUACAAUGUUCUCCCCCUCUCUCGUGGAGAUCUAUUUGAUGUAAUCUUCUUUUUGCGGUGUGUUUGUUGAGAUCAAUGAAUUGUCGGUUUAUGAUCCAGCUUAUCUAUGAACAAUAUUUGAAUCUUCUCUGAAUUCUUUUAUGUAUGAUUGAGUUAUCUUUGCAAGUCUCUUCGAAUUAUCCUUUUGGUUUGGCCAACUAGAUUGGUAGUUCUUGCAAUGGGAGAAGUGCUUAGCUUUGGGAUCUAUCUUGCGGUGUCCUUUCCCAGUGACAGAAGGGGUUUCAAGGCACGUAUUGUAUUGUUGCCAUCGAGGAUAACAAGAUGGGGUUUUUAUCAUAUUGCAUGAAUUUAUCCCUCUACAUCAUGUCAUCUUUCUUAAGGCGUUACUCUAUUUUUAACUUAAUAAUCUCGAUGCAUGCUGGAUAGCGGUCGAUGAGUGGAGUAAUAGUAGUAGAUGCAGAAUCGUUUCGAUCUACUUGUCUCGGACGUGAUGCCUAUAUACAUGAUCAUACCUACAUAUACUCAUAACUAUGCUCAAUUUUGUCAAUUGCUCAACAGUAAUUUAUUCACCCACCGUAGAAAAUAUGUGCUCUUGAGAGAAGCCACUAGUGAAACCUAUGGCCCCCGGGUCUAUUCUCAUCAUAUCAAUCUCCAUUACUUUAUUACUUGCUUUGUUUUUACUUUGCCUUUUACUUUUUACUUUGCAUCUCUAUACCAAAAAUACAAAAAAUAUUAUUUAUCAUCUCUAUCAGAUCUCACUCUCGUAAGUGACCGUGAAGGGAUUGACAACCCUAAUCGCGUUGGUUGCGAGGAGCUAUCGUUUUGUGUAGGUACGAGGGACUUGUGCGUGGUCUCCUAUUGGAUUGAUACCUUGGUUCUCAAAAACUGAGGGAAAUACUUACGCUACUAGGCUGCAUCAUCCUCUCCUCUUCGGGGAAAUCCAACGCAGUGCUCAAAAGGUAGUAUAGAUCAUGAAAAGAAUGCUUUAUGUGGUGGUUAUAUUGUUAAAAUUAAUUCAUGAUGCUACAAUUAUUAUGAGGGAGGAAUAUAUGCUUGUUGGAAUUGCAAUAAUAUCAAGUUUUCCCUCUAUGUGCUUAAAGUUUUGAAUUUAUGCUUAUUUUUCCUUCCUAUGCUAGUUGAUUCUUUUUCCCAUAAAUUGUGUGCUCACAAAAUCCCUAGGCAUAGGAAGUGGGUUAGACUUAAAUGUGCUAGCCAUAUUCUUCAUGAUGCUCUCUUUAUGUUUCAAUUCUUAUCUUUUAUGUGAGCAUCAUUGAAAUCAUCAUACCUAGCUAAAAGGCAUUAAAGAAAAGUGAUUGUUGGGAGACAAAACAAUAUUUAUCCUUACUGUUUUUGUGUGUUAACAUGAUUAAGCUACUGUAGUAAUCAUUUUUUAUAGGUUUUGUUUCAAUAAAGUGCCAAGUAAGACCUUUGGGAUAGCUUAUGGUGAUAGUUGUGUUGAUCCUGCUGAAAAUCAGAAACUUUUGCACCCAGUAAAUUAGUUUUUAUAAUUCACAGAAACACGAUUUUGAUAUGAUUCCUUUUGCAAUGGAUUGGUACACCAAUUUCUUAGGUUUUCCUAAUUUGUAUUGAUUUUUGGAGUAGCAGAAGUAUGCUUCCUGUUCAGAUCAUUACAGACUGUUCUGUUUCUGGCAGAUUCGGUUUUCAAUGCAUAGUUUGCUUGUUUUCUAGUUUCUAUGGCUUAUAUUGAUCAAUAUAAAUUGUGGAAAUGAUAUGGUACAGUAGGAAUUGUGUGAGAACAAUUAUGAAUCUUGUCUUUGACAGUACCAAAGUGAAUGAUUUACUCUUUAUCAUACUAACCUAUCUCACGAAGUUCCGUUAAGUUUUGUGCGAUUGAAGUUUUCAAGUUUUGAGUGAGAUAUCGAUAUGGGGAGAAUGAGUGGAAAAGACCCUUAGAUUGGGGAUGCCCAAGGCACCCCAAGGUAAUAUUCAAGGAAGACUCAAGCGUCUAAGCUUGGGGAUGCCCCGGAAGGCAUCCCCUCUUUCGUCUUCAAAACCAUCGGUAUACCUUACUCGGAACUAUAUUUUUAUUUGUCACAUGAUAUGUGUUUUGCUUGGAGAGUAUUUUCAUUUUUACUUGCUGUUUGAAUAAAAUCAUGGGAUCUGAAAUCUUUAAUGAAAGAGAGAGUCCUCCCAUGGCUAAUUAAUUAUUUGACCACUUAGUGUUCUUCACUUAUAUCCUUUUAGAGUAGUUUGUCAUUUACUCACGUACUUCACGUGUAUCCUAUGAGUAAAUGGUUGAAUGAAUUGAAUAUCAUAAAUCUGAAUUUAUAUAUGUUUCAUAUGCUUAUAAUAGGGGGAGUAAUGACUUCACACAUAAUAAGUAUAGGUGAUAAAUUAUUGAAAGUUAGCAGACGCAGUAUUGGUCACUUGAACAAUUCAUGAAAGAAUAUUGAAGGAAGAGAGAUUUCACAUAUAAAUAUACUAUCUUGGACAUCUUUUGUAAUUGUGAGAACUCAUUAAAAUAUGACAUGCUAAAAAUUUGAUGUUGGACAAGGAAGACAACUUAAUGGGUUAUGUUUUCCUAUAUCCUAAUAGACGUUAUAUUGUCUUGGAUCAUCCAACAUGUUGAGCUUGUCUUUCCCUCUCAUGCUAACCAAAUUCUUUGCACCAAGUAGAAAUACUACUUGUGCUUCCAAACAUCCCUUAAACCUAGUUUUGCCAUGAGAGUCCACCAUACCUACCUAUGGAUUGACUAAGAUCCUUCAAGUAACUUGUCAUCGGUGCAAGCCAUAGAAAUUGGUCCUUAAAUACGUAUGAUCUAUUAGUGCAAAUAAAAUAAGCUUUAUACGAACUUGCGAUAUGGAAGAAAUAAAAGCAACGGAAUAAAGGUCCUUAUCACAAGCGGCAAUAUAAGGUGAUAUUCUUUUGCAUUAAGAUUUUGUGCAUCCAACCAUAAAAGCGCAUGACAACCUCUGCUUCCCUCUACGAAGGGCCUAUCUUUUACUUUUACCCUCUACCCUUAUACAAGAGUCAUGGUGAUUUCCACCUUUCCUUUUUACACUUUUUCCUUUGGCAAGCACUUUGUGUUGGAGCGACCCGGAUAUAUAUAUAUAUAUAUAUAUAUAUAUAUAUAUAUAUAUAUAUAUAUAUAUCCACUUGGAUGUAGGUUUCAUAAAGUAUUAUUGUUGACAUUACCCUUGAGGUAAAAGGUUCGGAGGCAAAACUAUAAGCCCCUAUCAUUCUCUGUAAUCCGAUUAAAACUUUGAACCCAUAAAUAUCACAUGAGGGUUAGCAAUUGUGAAAGAUUAAAUGAUAGUUGAGUAUGUGGAGUUUGCUGAAUCAAAGCUCUUACAUAGACCCUUCCUAAAAAUAAGAUGAAUUGCAAUUUUUUGAUGACUAAGAGCAUGGUUUGUUAGUUUUCAAGAUAGUUUAUGAUCUAUACUUUAACAUGUCAAUGGCUUGUCUUGAUCAUGAGAAGUUUUAUGAGUUCAGCUAUUGUUAUGAUAUAUAAUGAUGCUAGAAAAAGUGGUUGAAACUAUCAUUGAUCAAACAUAUGCACUUGCAAGCAUUCACACUUCAUAAAUUAUUUCUUUUUAUCAUUUACCUACUCGGGGACGAGCAGGAAUUAAGCUUGGGGAUGCUGAUACGUCUCCAACGUAUCUAUAAUUUAUGAAGUAUUCAUGCCAUGUUUAUAAUAUUUUUACAUGAUUUUGGUAUGAUUUGAUUAGAACUAACCCGGACUGACACUGUUUUCAGCAGAACUACCGUGGUGUUGUUUUUGUGCAGAAAUAGAAGUCCUCCGAAUGUGCUGGAAAUCAAUAGAGAAUAUUUUUGGAAAAUAUAAAAAUACUGGAACAAAAAUCUACCGGAAGGGAGUCCCGAGGGAACCACAAGGGUGGAGGGCGCCACCCCCCCAGGGCGCACCCCCCUGCCUCGUGGACUCCCUAUGGCCCCUCUUGACGUGAAACCAACGCCAACCCCUCCUAUAAAUCCAGAAAACCCUAGAACAGAAGGGAGAUUGGAAGUUCCGACGCCGGAAGCCUCUAUAGCCAUGAGAAAUCAAUCUAGGCCCUCUCUGGCACCCUGUCGGAGGGGGACAUCAUCACCGGAGGCCAUGGGGGAGGAUCUCGGAGGGGCCAUCAUCGCCAUGGAGGCCAAGGACCAGAGGGAGAACCUCUCCCCAUCUAGGGGGCAUGGAGGAGGAAGCACAAGGGGGAGAACCUCUCCUCCUCUCUCUCGGUGGCGCUAGAGUGCCAUCGGGAGGGGAAUCAUCGCCGCGGUGAUCAUCUUCAUCAUCAUCACCAUCCUCAUCUCUUUUACACGGUCCACUCUCCCGCACCCUGCUGUAAUCCCUGCUUGAACAUGGUGCUUUAUGCCACAUAUUAUGAUCCAAUGAUGUGUUGUCAUCCUAUGAUGUUUUUUGAGUAUAUAUCCUUUGUCUUUGGGUUGAUUGAUGAUCUAGAUUGGUAUGAGUUGUAUGUUUUAUUUUGGUGUUGUCCUAUUGUGCCCUCUGUGUCGUGGAAGCAUGAGGGAUUCGCUUAUAGUGGGUUGCUUGAGUGACAGAAGCAUAAACCCGAGUAAGGGGGUUGUUGCGUAUGGGAUAAAGGGGACUUGAUAUGUUAAUGUUGUGGUUGGGUUUUACCUUAAUGAUAUUUAGUAGUUGCGGAUGCUUGCUAGAGUUCCAAUCAUAAGUGCAUAUUGAAAGGAUCGAUAUGGUUGACUAGAGGGGGGGUGAAUAGGCAACUAACAAUUUUAACCUUUUCUUUACCAAUUUAAACUUUUCAACAAAAUAGGUUGUCUAGAUAUGCAACUAUGUGAGCAACCUAUAUGAUGCAAUAACAACUAGCACAUAAGCAAGCAAGGGAUAUAACACAAGUAGGCUUGCAAAAGUAAAGGCACGAAAUAACCAAGAGUGGAGCCGGUGGAGACGAGGAUGUGUUACCGAAGUUCCUUCCUUUUAAGGGGAAGUACGUCUCCGUUAGAGCGGUGUGGAGGCACAAUGCUCCCCAAGAAGCCACUAGGGCCACCGUAUUCUCCUCACGCCCUCACACAAUGCGAGAUGUCGUGAUUCCACUAUUGGUGCCCUUGGAGGCGGCGACCGAACCUUUACAAGCAAGGUUGGGGCAAUCUCCACAACAAUUGGAGGCUCCCAACAACACCACGAAGCUUCACCACAAUGAAGUAUGGCUUCGAGGUGACCUCAACCUUCUAGGGUGCUCAAACACCCAAGAGUAACAAGAUCCGCUAGGGAUAAGUGGGGGGAAUCGAAUAUCUCUUGGUGGAAGUGUAGAUCGGGACCUUGUCGCCCAAUCCCGAGCAAAUCAACAAGUUUGAUUGGCUAGGGAGAGAGAUCGGGUGAAAAUGGAGCUUGGAGCAUCAAUGGAGUUUCGGGUUAGAAGAGGUGAGUCUUCUUGGAGAAGAAGACCCCCCUUUUAUAGUGGGGAACAAUUCCAACCAUUGCCCACCACUCAGCUCGCGACCCACGGAACUACCGCUCCACAGGCGCGGUACUACCGCACUAGCGUGCGGUACUACCGUGGUGGACCGCGGUACUACCGUGAGCACGGCAGAGACCUGACCAUGCAAAAAGGAGCACGGACAGGGUGCGGUAGAUCCGCAGGAGCGGUACUACCGCGGCCCCAUGCGGUACUUCCGCAAGGCAGACACGGGCCAGGCCUGGUAGGCACAGAUGUAAAAAAAAUUACAUCCGUGACUACCUCCGCUGAGAAAAUGUCGUGCACAAAUCCGAGACAGAACUACCGCGACCGAGGUUGUGGUACUACCGUGGAGGGUGUGGAUGUAAAAAAUUACAUCCGCCCCUACCUCCGCUCCUGCUCCGGAACCUGGCCUGGUGCCAUGGUACUACCGCGCCAUAGCAUGGUGCUACCUCGUGGAGCGCAGAUGUAAAAAAUUACAUCCGCGCCUACCACCCUAGAGAGCGGUGCCAGACCAUAGCUCGCGGUACUACCGCUCGGACGAGCGGUACUACCGUGGGAGCCUACGGUACUACCGUGCCGGAGCCCGGUACUACCGCUGGCUCCUGCGGUAGUACCGCUCCAAAGAGCAGUACUACCGCUAGCCUGAGAAGAGCAAGACCGAGGCCUUCAUUUCACAGAGACACGGUGAGACGGAUGAACACUCCAGGGAGCUCAAGGAAAGGCGGUGCAAAAGGGAAUGUGUACGUGAGAUUCCACCCAAACCUUUCCAAAGCGGUCCCCCUCUUAAUACUACGGCUCUCCUACGACUCAACUCCACCGAACUGAACCGUAGACAAACGCCGUCUUCAUUAAUCUUCGAGGGGCAUCAAAUUGUCUUGUGUUUAGUCGUGAUGAAUCUGAAAAGCUCAAUACACACGAUUAGUCUGCAAAGGCAUUGUCAUCAAUCACCAAAACUACUUAGGGGCAAAAAGUGCCCUUACAAUCUCCCCCUUUUUGGUGGAUUGAUGACAAUACGGGAUUUGCACACAGGAGAUGAAUAUAGCACAAGAAAACCCCACAUCUCUAAAAUAUAGAGGAGCUCCCCCCUAGAUUCGUGAUAAAGAGUAAGGUGCUUUGGACUGCACGGCACGAAUACUAGGAUCACCACUCCCCCUAUAUUUUAGAAACAAGGCAUAUCUUGCAAUGGAAAGGCUGACACUAAGCAAGAUAGUAGACAUGAGCAUAACAUGAAUAGCAUGAUAAAGCAAGGUACGGUAGAGUGCAUAUGUCUUACACCAUAUGAUAAACAUAGUCUCACAAGCACAACCAACUCAAAGCAAGCAAGUUCAACGACGGAAAGCAAGGCAAACGAUGAAACACACGACACUCACGCAAAUCCUACACUCUCUCCCCCUUUGGCAUCGAGACACCAAAAAGGCAGAGAGGUCACCUACAACAACGGUGGUGGCUCCAGCAGAAAAGGAUUCCUCGUCUUCAUACUCUGCAGUAGGAACGGACUCCUCCUCUGAAUCGGUCCACUUGUAGCCCUGCUUCUGCAUCCAGGCAGUCUCUGGGGUGAUGUGCUUCUCAGAACCGCUGGCCACAUCCUCCCCGCAAGCCCUCAAGAUACUGAUGUCACAACGGUGACUCUCCUUCUGAGCAACAUGGGCCUUGUACUGACCCCAAACCUGCAUGCAGAACAGCCUCUUCAUCUUGUUCUUCAGCUUCUGUGACCAAGAGGGCUCAUCAGAGGGAGGCAAGAAAGCAGAACGGUCAGCAGCAGCUUCAUCCCUCUCAAGUUCCUCCUCAUCCACAGCCUGCCUGGUAGCCUCAGUAGAAGUGGUGGUGUUAGCCCAAUGAGGCUUUAUGCUGAGCCUGACGGACUCAUGAUGAAUCCACCCUGGAGCUUCAAACUCAUCCUGGGGAAACAGCUUCUCUCAAGUCAUGGAGAUCAAGUGGAACAGGUAAGGCCCGUAGAUGGGGACCUUACAGUUGAACACGGUGAACUGAAGCUCACACCACAUGAUAUGUGAGACAUCAAGUGGUUGAGUCUGAGCCUUACGGGCCUCCUCACAGAUAAGCAUCAUGUCAACGAGGUAAGCAUGUACCUGGCCCAUGUCCCCAAUGCGUGGGAAGAGGGUGUGCCGAAAGAGCCGAUGCAUGAUGUCAAGGAAGGGAUUAAGCACCCACACAGUCUUCUUGUUGGAAAGAGACUUCGGAAGAAGGAAUGGCAUGAGCUUGUUCUUGUUGGCAGAGUCAGAGUUGGCAUGAGGGCGAACUCCAACUGGCGUGUCGAGCCCUUCAUCUGGAACGUUAAGCAACUCCAUGAACUCCUUCCAAGUAGCAGACAGAUGGCGACCAUUAGUCAUCCAAGUCAUGGUCCUUGCAACAUAGUGAUUGUCCUACCUCAUGUGAUGCAUGUCAAUGUAGUGAACGUCAACAUAGUGAUCCUGCUUGGCCUUGAUCACAUCCAUGUAUAUCAGAUUCUGCUUCUUGUUCCAGAAAAGUUCAUUGCCUCGCGUGCUGCCCCGGGGAUUCACAUAGGGAUUGAGCUUUCUUCGAAUGACAAACUCGGCCUGGGGCAUCACAUCCAUGCCCAUGACGGGCUCCUUCUGUUUGUUGGCGAAGGUCUUGGUCCAGCAUUGGGGAGCAGCAGAGGACCCCUCAGGAACAUCAUCUGGGUUGCGCAGACGCUUUGACCCUGUGUCUCGGCUGGGAUUCGAGCGAUGAGCAAAACUGGAGCCACCACCUAGACACAAAGACAGAAAGACACGCACGGGAACAAAACGGAUCAAAACCAAACGCAGAGAAACACAAAAACAUGCCAUUUGGACGACACAAAUGAGCGCAGGAUGAAUCUACGGUGGUACCGGGCAAGGUUGCGGAAGUAAUAAAUUACAUCCGCUCCAGCCGCGGUAGUACCGUGCUAGGAUAGCACGGUAGUAUCACGCUUGGGGCGGAUGUAAUUUUUUACUUCCGAACGCCAAGCGGUAGUACCGCACCGAGGUGUGGAAUUACCGCUGAGCGCCAGAUCCAAGUGAGGCUGCGGUAGUACUGCUCCAGGAGGAGCGGUAGUACCGCAUGGUUUGAAAACCGCCACAGAGGACGCGGAUCUGGAUCUGAAACCUCCGCACGACAACGAUGGUACCACCGGUGAUCAAACGGAACUGAUUUGACAAUCCAAAGAGCAUGGGACAACACUACCACUCUACAACGAAUCCCAUUUGCACAGAUUUAGCCAAAAAUCUCACGAACACCACAUGCAUCUCCCCAAAACCUAGAAGCACAAGGAAGGACAAAAGAAAGAGGCACUUGGGAAAAAACCUGGGUCCAUGGCAAGAGGGCGAGGUGGGGAACGAUCCCACCGGUCAGAAUCCGUAGAGAGCGGCCGGAGAUGGAGAUCUGGCGAAGGCCUCCGGCGCCGUUCUUGGUCAGGAGAGAGAGAGAGAGAGAGACGGGGUGGGGAAUAGAGAUGAAUGGGUAUGGGGGAGUUAGAACUCCCCCUGUCCCGCUGUUAACCCCCACCCGCUUGCGGGGGCGCAGAAGUACCGCGGGUCAUCACGGUAGCACCGCCGGGGCGGAAGUACCGCACGCUGGGCGGUAGUACUGCUCGUCCAGCGGCAGUAAAAAAUUACUGCCGCGGAGGUAGCGGUAGUACCGUGCCCCUGGAAGGCCACACACAAGACGCAGAGCCACCAACUCCUGCGGUAGUACCGUGGCUCACCAUGGUAGUAUCGUAAAUCCAAGAAAGUGAACAACACACAAGAGAAAAGAGAGAAAAGGCAAAACAAACUACUCCGGAAGAAACACCAAACAACUAAGAGACGAACACACACGACGAAUGAGACCAACCACACGACACAACUUCUCCAUGAGGAGAGCGGUGGCCGGAGCCACCUAUGUUUGAGUCAAUUGGUAUGGCACCGCGAAGAAUUAUCCUUGGGCCCAUGACCAAAACUCGUCUUUGAAGCACAAGUACCAUCAAAAAAAUGGCUAAUGUGAAAGAGUUGAUCGUUUUAUGCAUAAUGGGGGGAGGGAGAGUUCAUUGAGAGAACAACACUCCCCCUAUGUCCAUGCCUACAUCUAAACCAGACAACAAGUUGAGUGAGGUGGGCGUGCAAGGGUUCAAGUCACAUUGCUUGAAUCAAUGAUAUUUAGCUCAUGCCUUAACUCGCGAAAUCUUGCUUCAUCCAAGGGCUUCGUCAAGAUAUCUGCAAGGUUAUCAUGAGUGUUGUCAUACUUGAGCUCGAUCUCCCCUCGCCUAAUGUGAUCCCGGAUGAAAUGAUACCGAAUCUCAAUAUGCUUCGUCUUGAAGUGUUGCACCGGGUUGAGAGAAAUCUUGAUGGCACUUUCAUUGUCACACCAAAGAGGCACUUUGUCACAAAUGACACCGUGUUCCUUUAAAGUUUGCCUCAUCCAUAAGAGUUGUGCACAACAACUACCGGCCGCCACAUAUUCUGCUUCGGUGGACGAGAGAGACACACAACUUUGCUUCUUCGAAGACCAACUCACCAAAGAGCAACCAAGAAUCUGGCACCCUCCGGAAGUGGACUUCCUAUCCACUUUGUCUCCCGCCUAGUCGGAAUUCGUAAAUCCUUCAAGCUUGAAGUUUUCUCCUCUUGGGUACCAUAAGCCAAAGUUUGGGGUAUGAGCCAAAUAUCAAAAGAUUCGCUUGACUGCCACAUAGUGACUUUCCUUCGGUGCAGCUUGAAACCGUGCACACAAUCCCACACUCAACAUGAUAUCCGGUCUAGAUGCACAAAGGUAAAGCAAAGAGCCAAUCAUGGAGCGAUAUACCUUUUGAUCCACCGCUUUACCAUUGGGAUCAAUGUCAAGUUGGCACUUGGUGGGCAUUGGUGUAGUAGCCGGCUUGACAUCACUUAGCUUGAAUCUUUUUAGCAUGUCUUGAGUGUAUUUGGCUUGGUUGAUGAAAGUACCUUCUCUUCGUUGUUUGAUAUCAAAACCAAGGAAGAACUUCAACUCUCCCAUCGAAGACAUCUUGAACUCGGAGGUCAUGAGAGCGGCAAAUUCCUCAUUGAAAGCUUUGUUAGGGGAACCAUAGAUAAUAUCAUCAACAUAUAGUUGGCAUACAAACAACUCCCCUUUUACCUUCUUAGUAAAAAGAGUGGGAUCGAUUUGCCCCAACUCAAAUCCACGAUCUUGUAACAACUCGGCAAGGUGGUCAUACCACGCAUGUGGGGCUUGUUUAAGGCCAUAGAGUGCCUUAUCGAGUUGAUACACAUGAUCCGGGAAGUAGGGAUCCUCGAACCCGGGGGGUUGCUUGACAUAGACCAACUCAUUAAUAGGACCAUUAAGAAAAGCACUUUUGACAUCCAUUUGUUGCAACUUAAAGUUGUGAUGGGAAGCAUAAGCAAUCAACAAACGUAUGGAUUCAAGACGAGCAACGGGAGCAAAGGUUUCACCGUAGUCGAUACCCUCGACUUGGGAGUAGCCUUGUGCUACCAAUCUUGCCUUGUUGCGAACGAUGUUCCCAUGAGCAUCUUGCUUAUUCUUGAAAUCCACUUGGUUCCAAUGACGUUGUGGUUCCCCGAUGGCCUUGGCACCAAUCUCCACACCUUGUUGUACUCGAAGUUGUUGAGUUCUUCAUGCAUGGCAUUGAGCCAAUCCGAGUCUUCGAGCGCCUCAUAGACCUUUUGGGGUUCAACACAAGAGACAAAUGCAUGACGUUGACAAUAGUUUGCUAAUUGUCUAUGAGUGCUUACCCCCUUUCUUAGGCUUCCAACCACGUUUUCCAUGAGAUGGCCUUGGGUGGUGAGCUUGGAAGCAAUCUUCGCGGCACGACGCUCUAAUCCCUCCUCGGGUGUGGAAGGAGGAGGGUUAACUUGAUUAUCUUGAGCGUCGUCUUGAGCUUGUUCUUGAUCUUGAGCUUCCUCAUGAUCUUGAACUUGCUCGAGGGGAAGAACUUGACCUUGGGCAUCAUUUAGAGGUUCACCACCAUCUUGAGGUUGAUCUUGCCCUUGGUCUUGUUCACGAGGUUGAGGGCCUUCACUUUGUUCUCCGGAAGCAUGUGGGUCUUGGGGAGGUGAUGGCUCCACUUGAGUGGAGCAUUGUCCUUCUCCUUCGGCCACAAGGGGUUCCUAAAUGGGUAGAAUAUGACCAAUACCCAUUCUUCUUAUGGCUUGGGGAGGAAUUUCAUCGCCUACAUCACAAGUACCACUUUGCUCCACCUGGGAGCCGUUAUUUUCGUCAAACUCCACGUUACACAUCUCCUCAAUGAGUCCGGUGGACUUGUUGAGAACACGGUAAGCAUGAGAGUUUGUAGCAUAACCAACAAAUAUGCCCUCAUGAGCUCUAGCCUCAAAUUUAGACAAAUGAACACCUUUCUUGAGAAUGAAACACUUACAACCAAAUACCCAGAAGUACGUGAGGUUGGGCUUGCUGCCAGUGAGUAUCUCAUAAGGAGUCUUGUUCAAGCCUUUGCGGAGAUAGAGCCGAUUGGAUGCAUGACAUGCGGUGUUGAUGGCUUCGGCCGAAAAGUUGUAUGGAGACUUGAACUCCGCCAUCAUGGUCCUUGCCGCAUCCAUCAACGUCCAGUUCUUCCUCUCCGCUACACCAUUCUGUUGAGGGGUAUAUGGUGCAGCAUAUUGAUGCUUGAUCCCCUCAUCACUAAGAAACUCGUCCAAGGUGUAGUUCUUGAACUCGGUGCCGUUGUCACUUCUUAUUGUCAAGAUCUUUGCAUUAUGUUGACGUUGAGCUUCAUUUGCAAAGUCGAUGAUGGUUUGUUGAGUCUCACUCUUCCUCUUGAAGAAGUAUACCCAAGUGUAUCUUGAAUAGUCAUCCACAAUCACCAAGCAAUACUUUCUACCUCCAAGACUAUCAAAUGAUGGAGGCCCGAAGAGAUCCAUGUGAAGGAGCUCCAAGGGUGUCUUCGAGUAGAUAAUGGUCGUGGGAGGGUGAGCCUUCUCAUGAAGCUUUCCUUCAAUACAAGCACUGCAAGCACGAUCUUUGGCAAAACUAACAUUUGUUAGACCACGAACAUGGUCCCCCUUGAGAAGACUUUGCAAAGAUCUCAUAUUGACGUGGGCCAAACAGCGAUGCCAAAGCCAUCCCACGUCAACUUUAGCCAUUAGGCAUGCCGCGGUCUUAGUGGGUCGCUCCGAAAAGUUAAUCACAUAGAGACCAUUCUCGACAUGCCCAACAAAGGCUACUUUAAGAGUAUUGCUCCACAAGAGGGCCACGGUAUCAAUGUCAAAGAAAAUAGCAAAACCCAUGAGUGCAAGUUGACAAACGGAAAGCAAAGUGUAUGCAAGGGACUCAACAAGCAUGACUUUCUCGAUCAUUAGAUCAUGAGAAAUGACAACCUUGCCAAGACCCAAUACCUUAGAAUGUGAGGCAUCACCCCACUCAACAUUGGUGGGCAUAGAUGGAAUCUUUUUCACGUCCACCACCAAGUCCUUGAUUCCGGUCAUAUGAUUUGUUGCUCCACUAUCGAGCAACCAUGAUCCCCCACCGGAAGCAAACACCUACAAGAGAUCAAUGCUUGGUUUUAGGUACCCAUUUAGUAAUGGGUCCUUUGAUGUUAGUAACAAGGGUCUUAGUAACCCAAAUAGACCAUUCAAUGUACUCAUAAGGAGAACCAACGAAUUUAGCAUAAACAUGUCCAUCACUAGCACGGCACAACACAUAUGACAGGUUAAAGUCGCCGGCUUUGUUGGAGGAAAUGCUUUUGCCCUUUUGGACGUCAACUCCCUUCACUUUUUCCUUCUUCUCCUUAGGAGCACCCUCUCCCUCUUUCACAAAAGUUUGCUUGAGAGGAGGAGGACGUUUGGUCUUGUCGUUCUUCUUCUUCUUGCUCUUGGACCUGGGUGCAAACCCAAUUCCUUCCUUGGCCACAACUUCCUUUUGAUUGCUCAAAUGUUCAUGAGGUUAUUCUCACCUUGAAUGCAUGUCACAAGGCCUUUCUCGAGUUGAUCCUUCAAUUUGGCAUUCUCCUCCACAAGAUGCACAUGCUCACAAAAUGGGUUAGUAGCACAUGCAUUAUCAAUUAAUACCAUAUGAGGGAAGGUGGCCUUUUCCUUGGUUAGCUUAACUUGGAGUUGAGCAUGAGACUCCUUGAGGUUAGCGUGAGCACCCUUCAAGACCUUGUGGGCUUUGUCAAGUAUCUCAAACUCCUCUUUGAGUCUAGCAUGAUCAACCCCAAGUUUAUCCUUCUCGGACGUUAGCACACGAGACACGACAAGAGCAUGCUCAAGAUCUUUCUUUAGCUUAGCAUGGUCAUCGUUGUAUGACUCCUCAAAAGUCAAACGAUGCAAACGCUCUUCCUCAAGAGCAUUAGAGAGAUCCGAUAUCUCAUCGGCAUCGUCACGACUAUGACCUUCCAUCUUAGAGAUGGUUUCUUUGUGAGCCUCGAUCAUGUCAUUGGCCUCACCAAGUUGUUCCAAGAGAGCAACAAAAUGCUUCUUGGACUUGCCCUUGAGCUUACUCAUAAAAGACUCAAAUUCAUUCACUUCCUCAUUAGACCCAUCAUGUUCAUCAAUGCAAUCCUCCAAGGAGGGAUUAGUAAUGAUGGUGGUUUUGAUGUUGGGGGGUUACCUUGUUUGAAGCUUUAGCCAUGAGGCACUUGGCGGUGAUGUUCUCGUUGGGUGAAUCAAAGAGAGACACCAGUGGAGUAGUAGCAAUGGCAACGGACGCCAUGGCCAUCGCUUCUCCAUUUUCAUCAUCGUCGUCAUCCUCUUGGUAUUCUUCUUGAACCACCAACCCACGAGUGGGAGUCUUCUUGGUGAAGUUGUUCUUGUUGGGGAAGGACUUGGCUUUGUCCUUUCGGAUGAACUUGCCACCAUUGUCUUCCUGCUUCUCGUAAGGACAAUCCGCAACGAAAUGGCUCACAUUGCCACAGUUGAAGCAAUUUCUAACUCGUUGCUUGCCCUUGACGCCGCUUGAGUUGUUCUUGUUGAAGUUGGGUCUUGUAUUCUUCUUGCUCCAAAAUUGUCUUGAAGCAAGGGCCAUGUGCUCAUGAUAAUCAUAUUUGGUGUCUUCGGGGUUGCUCUCCUCAUCUUCCACUUCUUCCUCUUCUUCCAUAAUAACCUUGGCCUUCAAAGCAAGGUUGGGCUUCUUUUCCCUUUGAGAACAGAGCACUGCAUUGUCGGCGGUCUUGUCCAAGAUGCUCAUUGCAACAAACUCAUCCAACACUUGACUUGAGGUCAUGGAGUGGAAGUAUGGUCUUUGACGGAUGACGGAGGACAUGGCCUUGUUGUAGGGCAUCAUGGCCUUGAGGAACUUGCGCUCGAUCCAAUUGUCAUGCGUGUCCUUGCUUCCAUGAUCUCGGAGUGAGACCGCGAGUUUGGUCACUCUUCGAAAGAGCUCACAAGGUUCUUCAUCUUCUUUCAUUGCAAACUCAUCGGCUUCAUCUUGCACCACUUCAUAGUUGGAGCGUUGAAUGCUAGCACUUCCUCGAUAGAGAGACACAACACAUUUCCAUGCGUCUUUAGCCACGACAUGAGGUCGAAGAUGAGGAAUAUUUCGGGAAGGAUUGCAUCUUGGAUGAUGAAUAGAGCACUCUCAUUGAAUUGAUUAUCCACGGCUUCUCGAGGGGUGAAGUUGCUUGGGUCAUGAGGAUAGAAACCUUCUUCAAUGAUUCUCCAAAGGUUAGUAUUCACAUGUUUUAAAUGACGCUUGAAGCGAUAAACCCAAGAAUCAAAAUCUUCAUUUUUCUCAUACUUAGGAGGAGGACCGGCAUGAUUCAAAUGAGUAGAGGGAAUCGGUCCUCCAUAAAUUGGGGGUUCCACAUGGGCAAAGAUGCCGGUGCCAUUUUUACCACUAGACAUAGGAGCUUUCUCACUAGUAGCUUCCCCCUUGUCGGGGUUAGCAUCCGUCACUGUGUUGGCGGGAUCACCCACUUUCACGGGCGCGGUGGAAAGUUUAAGCCCUUCUAAGAAAUCCUUAAACAUGUCCUUGACCUCGGUCGUCAUGGAGGUUUUCAAUGUGUCCAACGCCACAUUGAAUUCCUCACGUGAGAUCGAGUUACCCCCAUCUCCCGUAGAUGAUAUCGGAUUCGCACCGGAGUGCUCUCCCACAUCAUCUACGACGUCAACCAUACUCUUCGGACGGUAAAGUCCUUAAAAAGAGACGAGGCUCUGAUACCAAUUGAAAGGAUCGAUAUGGUUGACUAGAGGGGGGUGAAUAGGCAACUAACAAUUUUUAAGCUUUUCUUUACCAAUUUAAACUUUGAAACAAAAUAGGUUGUCUAUAUAUGCAACUAUGUGAGCAACCUAUAUGAUGCAAUAACAACUAGCACAUAAGCAAGCAAGGGAUACAACACAAGUAGGCUUUCAAAAGUAAAGGAACGAAAUAACCAAGAGUGGAGCCGAUGGAGACGAGGAUGUGUUACCGAAGUUCCUUCCUUUUAAGGGGAAGUACGUCUCUAUUAGAGCGGUGUGGAGGCACAAUGCUCCCCAAGAAGCCACUAGGGCCACUGUAUUCUCCUCACGCCCUCACACAAUGCGAGAUGCCGUGAUUCCACUAUUGGUGCCCUUGGAGGCGGCGACCGAACCUUUACAAGCAAGGUUGGGGCAAUCUCCACAAUAAUUGGAGGCCCCCAACAACACCACGAAGCUUCACCACAAUGGAGUAUGGCUUUGAGGUGACCUCAACCGUCUAGGCUGCUCAAACACCCAAGAGUAACAAGAUCCGCUAGGGAUAACUGGGGGGAAUCGAAUAUCUCUUUGUGGAAGUGUAGAUUGGGCCCUUGUCACCCAAUCCCGAGCAAAUCAACAAGUUCGAUUGGCUAGGGAGAGAGAUCGGGCGAAAAUGGAGCUUGGAGCAUCAAUGGAGUUUAGGGUUAGAAGAGGUGAGUCUUCUUGGAGAAGAAGACCCCCCUUUUAUAGUGGGGAACAAUUCCAACCGUUGCCCACCACUCAGCCCGCGACCCACGGAACUACCGCUCCACAGGCGCGGUACUACCGCACUGGCAUGCGGUACGACCGUGGUGGACCGCGGUACUACCGUGAGCAUGGCAGAGACCUGACCACGCAAAAAGGAGCAUGGACAGGGUGCGGUAGAUCCGCAGGAGCGGUACUACCGCGGCCCCAUGCGGUACUUCCACGAGGCAGACACGGGCCAGGCCUGAUAGGCACAGAUGUAAAAAAUUACAUCCGUGACUACCUCCGCUGAGAAAAUGUCGUGCACAAAUCCGACACGGAACUACCGCGACCGAGGUUGCGGUACUACCGUGGAGGGUGCGGAUGUAAAAAAUUACAUCCACCCCUACCUCCGCUCCUGCUCCGGAACUUGGCCUGGUGCCACGGUACUACCGCGUCAUAGCACGGUACUACCGCGUGGAGUGCGGAUAUAAAAAAUUACAUCUGCGCCUACCACAGCUAGAGAGCGGUACCAGACCAUAGCUCGCGGUACUACCGCUCGGACCAGCGGUACUACCGUGGGAGCCUACGGUACUACCGUGCCGGAGCCCGGUACUACCGCUGGCUCCUGCGGUAGUACCGCUCAAAAGAGCAGUACUACCGCUAGCCUGAGAAGAGCAAGACCGAGGCCUUCAUUUCGCAGAGACACGGUGAGACGGAGGAACACUCCAAGGAGCUCAAGGAAAGGCGGUGCAAAAGGGAAUGUGUACGUGAGAUUCCACCCAAACCUUUCCAAAGCGGACCCCCUCUUAAUAGUACGGCUCUCCUACGACUCAACUCCACCGAACUGAACCGUAGACAAAUGCCGUCUUCAUUAAUCUUCGAGAGGCAUCAAAUCGUCUUGUGUUUAGUCGUGAUGAAUCUGAAAAGCUCAAUACACACGAUUAGUCCGCAAAGGCAUUGUCAUCAAUUACCAAAACUACUUAGGGGAAUAAGUGCCCUUACACAUAUGAUCCAAGAAGAGAAAGUAUGUUAGCUUAUGCCUCUCCCUCAUAUGAAAUUGCAAUAGUGAUUAUCGAUCUUAUUAACAAUUGCCUAGGAUAAUUCCGCAUGCCGACCCAGCAUUAUUCCACUCUCGCUAUUUGUAAUAUUUAGUAAUAUAUUCUAAUUUUAUGAUAACAGCACCUACUUUUAUAUUUUAGAUCUUCGAUAUCAUGCAAAGUUAUCCUCUUCACACCCACAACGUAGUUUUAUUUCUCGUUUCUAGUUGGAAGCAAACGUUCGGUGUACGUAGAGUCCUAUGAGUGGCAGAUAGGACUUGAGAGAAUAUUGAUCUUACCUUUAGCUCCUUAUGGGUUCGACUCUCCAUACUUAUCACUUCUACCUUUGGAAUUGCUAUGAUGAUUCCUUGCACUUGGGUAUUACCAGCUAUCUUCAGUUUCCUCAGUCUUAGCAAUCUUCAGUUUCAUCACUAUUGAUUUCUUCAGCUUUGCUAUUGUCAGUUCACUAAGUUUGAGUGUCAGUUUGGUCAGACUUAUUUGGUCAUUGCUAUCUAUGUAUGUCAGCAGAAUGUCAUACUAUUUUACUAUUUAUCAUUUCCAAAUAUGCUAAUAUAUGAAAGCUAUGUUGUCUCGGUCAUAUAACUAUUAUCAGUUAGCUAGAUAUAUAAGCAAAUAUUGGCUUCACAUAAUAUAGGAAAGUAAAACAGCCUCAUCAUUCAACCUUCUUAAGUACUUAACUUAUCAUAGUAGGUCUUAACAUAAAAGUCAUUACAUCAUAGAUAAAACAACCUAGUUCUCAAACCAUAACAGUAGCUCAUACUAUCUUGAUUCAGGUUCUGAAACAACAUAACACAUUCCCAAAAUAUACACCUAACAUGCAGGACAUUUCAAGGCCAGCUAUAUAUAUAGGCCUAAUAAUUACUUAACCAACACAGCAAGCACUUUAGUCAUCCAUGAUUGCCAUGAUCCUCUCUAGGAUAUCUUUGAUGCCAUGCCCAGCAUUGAGCAGAUCAGCAAUCAUAUACUCUAGCUUCUUCUUCUCUUGCCUAAGUAGAUCCCUCUCCCCCUUCACCUUCAUGGACUUCCUCAUGUUCUGAAUGAUAACUGCUUGGCUUUGAAGAAUACACAUUUGCUCCUUCGCAAGCUUCAGCUUCUCCAUCUUUAUCUCAAUCUUUGCCUGAUCCUCAAGUUGUUUCUUCAUUUCAUUUAGAUCAUUGAUUGCCUAACUGGUAUAGUCCAUGUCAUGAGACAUCUUGCCAUCUUGAUAGUCAAAAAGCUUGGAUACAUCUUCCACCAACUAGUUGUAGCUGUCUGGCAGGAAGUCAAUUUCCUUCUUUAGCUUGCCCACCUCUUUCUCAUGAGCUUGUUUGUCCUUCACCCUACGCAAGUUCUGCUCAUGGUAUAUGUUGCAAAUCCUUGCUAGGAACCUUUGUAGGAUCUCUAGCCAAGGGGCAUCCACCCACUCCACCACCCCACAGUUCACAUCUUCAUCCUACAGAAGCAAUUUUUGAAAAGUAAGCACAAAGCACCUUACUUACUAACUUAAUACAGUUAACUGAAGUCAUAAACUUAAUUCAGUUAAGUGAAACCCUAUGUUUAUAUCAAUGCUCUCUGGAUUCAGCUAACAAAAGCAAUUUUUCAAAAGCAAGCACAAAGCACCUUACACUCAAAUUCAUUUAACAACACUCAAAUGAAUUCAGCUUACUGGAUUCAGUGCAGGAAACAUAAAUUUAGUUAACAGUUAACUCAGUUAACAGAUAUAUUCAGUUAACAGUUAACAGGUGUUCUCAGUUUCAGUAAACUGUUUAUUGAAUUCAGUUAAUUCAAGAUCUAAUUUCAUAUAUAUGCUUCCAUAUGUAAGGCACUUGUCAGUUUGAGUUCAAAACACACCACACAUCUCUGCACAACUGAGAACACGUUCACAUUGCACAUUUUGUUCUACUAGCAAAACAAGUAAGAGUUGAAGAUUAAAUACCUGCUGCACAGGACAACCGAGGAAUCGCCUCCCAGUCAAAGCACCUUCGAAAUCUACCAUCAUGUUUGGCCCCUGAUGAUGCAUCAUGCACUUCAGUUCAGAUUCAGUGAAAGAACCACAAAAAUAUGGAUCCACCACACUGUCGGGGGUUUCCUGCAAACAUUUUAACCAAAAGAAACUUGGAAUCAAACAUUUAAACAAAAGAAACUUGGAAUCUCGAAUUUGGAUGACCUAACUCUAACCCUAACUCUAUUCCACCGUGAUGUACUUACAAAGAGCUGAGGAUCCAUUGAAACCAUGCAGAUGUCCUCGUCUGAGCUCUCCUCGUCAUUCUACAAAGGGCAUCCUCAAGUUCUACAGGCAGCAAUGCCGGCGGCGGCGACGACGAUAUGCUUAGAGCAGGAGGGAGAGGGAGAGGAUGAGGAUGAGUGAGCCAAGAGGGAGAGAGUGACUGAGCUCUCACAGUGGGCCACCUUAUUUGACCACCGACAGCCGACAAGCAACCGCACCGUUAACGGGUGUUAACGCACGGCCGUCCACGGGGGCACUGAUUCGUGGGCCCAACCGGUCAGUUCGGUGCUUAGAGUGGGCGCAGCGAGCGGUUAUCCGACAUGGUAGUUUUUUGCCACGUGUUAGUAAAAAAGUGGGUUUUUGGCACAAAUUUGUAAAGUGGUAGUUUAUGGGCACGUUUCCGCGAAAUGUGGUAGUUUUUGGUUAAAUACUAAAUUACACGGCCACGCUGAUCAUAAUACUAAUGCCAACCCUGACUUAACUUUGCCAUGCAUCCAACGUACACGGUACAUCCACUAACUCAUCUAUGCUUGGAUUAUUCCAACAAUCCUUUCCAUCCAUAUCGUCGUUCUUGAUUGCAGUCCAACCUGUACUAGUGUACUAGUGUUGACAUUGCUAGGUCUGACGGUGGGAGCGUGUGUGGCCGGGAAGUCGCGGCCGUAGCGCAGGAAGUCGGGGUGCACCAGCGUGUGGAGCCGGUUGUUGUUACCGGCGUCCAACACCGAGUCCCUCUUUCUCUAAUGUUCAUGGAUAGUUGUCGAGCACUUUAACGAUAGUCAUAAGUGUCACUUUGAUCAAUAAAUUACAUCGAUUUGUUUCAUCACAAUAAUCCUUUGCACCAUACGACCAUCGAUUAGCUGCAGGGCAACAUUUGCACCAUCCGACCAAGCACAACAUAAUUUCUCGUGGCAUGGGGAAAAAAAGGUGCACCAUGCAUGAUUAAGCUUGCCAUGGAUGGGGAUCAAUGGUGAUCCUACUUCAACCCGAAAUGUUUUUUUCUACAGCAUUUUUACAAGCAUCUGCCAGAAAUGGUGAUUCCACGUAUAUAUCAAACAAGCAUCAAUUUUUUUAGGGGUAAACAAGCAUCAACUGAAAAUGGUGAUUUCACAUAUGUAUCAAACUUUGACAAAAAAAACAAUUCGGUUUUCGGUUUUUCGGGGUUUCUGCAAGCAUCUACACUAGUAAUUGCAUGGUUACUUGAAGGAAGCCCACGUACAUGACUCUUGAAGAGAGUUGACCAUAGUACUAAUUCAUCAACUUGUUGCCAUCCACCUUACCAACUCUGUGAAGCCCUAUAAAUUCAUAAAUAAAUGAGUGAAUGCAUGGCACAUAAUGUUAAUAUUUGAAGGGGCAAAGUACUAAUUUUUCCACAGUUGCAACAACGUUCUGAUCGAUGCAACAUAAACAACAUAUUAUGCGAGAUUUCAUGGUUUACCUCCAGUCAGCUAGAGUGUGUAGUGCAUGGACGGAGGUGCAUGAUGAAGGCACAUGCUCAAACUAGCCGGAAUGGUCUGUGCUAUGGUCGACCCGAUUUAAAAUCAUGCGCUUCUCUGAGCGAAAUCUGAAAACAAACUGAGCCCGCAUGAAGUGUCGUCGAUCAAAGUCAGUUGUGAGCGUGAGCAUGAAAGCCAUUUAUAAAAAACACUGCUAGAUAAUUUGGGCCAGCAAAAAGCAUAUUCCAUAGGAAAUCAAACGUCCAUCCCAACCUCUUUUUAAAGUUUAUUUGUUUUUCCCGUGAUGCAAUCAAACAAACUCAAAUCUUGUGGGGUCUGAAUGGCCAUGUCAUUAAUUCUGUGUUUUUCGUAUUCUUGUGUUUUAAUAAUCAUGCGAAUCAAAGAGGAAGAAUCCAAUUCGGCACUUCCAAGCAUAUGCUCUUGCGCGCCAAAAAUCUUUUUUGCAAAUGUAAUUUUUUUAGGAAAAGUAGACUUGUUCACUGUCACCUCCAAAUGCUACCUGCCAUUUUUUAGGGACAAAGCGUAAGUGUUUUGACCUGUGCAAAAAAAAAGUCGAACGCCAAAUGUUACACUUCAUUUUCUUUUCACGGACGAAGCACUGAUACCCUGUUUUGUAUGAAAAUAACCAGCACGCUUGUUACACUGUGGUGAUUUUGGUUUUCUUUUGAUUUUGAUUUUGUUUUUUUUAACUUAAAGUUCAUCCGACAGCAUAUACUACGCGGAGCCAAAACAGUCAUCCCAUCAAAGAUACCCUUACUAUUUGAACGGAAUCUAGCCCUUUACUAUUUAUAGGUGGGUCUAGUGCAAAAGGUCACUUUGGAGGACGGGUGCAUUGGAGCCCUAUAUUUUGAAUAGUGCCAAAAUGCUAUUUUUGAAGUUUCAAAAAAUUAUGAAAAUAAAUUAACAGGUUUAUAUGGAUGUAUAUUACACAUGUGCAAAUUUUGAUGCUGAAAUAAGUAACCAUGUGAGCCACACAAAGAUGUCAUCGUGAUUUUGGAAAGAUGAAUAGUGCAUGUAUUAUUCACUAUUUGGAAAUCACCAUUUUGUCAUCUUUGUAUAGCUCAUAUGUUUACUUAUUUCAUCACCAAACUUUACACAUAUGUAAUAUACAUCCAUAUGAUCACGUAGAAUUCUUUUCGGAAUUUUUUGAAAAUUUAGAAGUGAUCUUUAAAGUAUUUAAAAUAGGGUCCUCCAAUACACCCAUGUUCCAAAAAUCCACUCUCGGUCUUGUGCUAUUACUGGCUCAAACACGUGAUAAAAUCAAUCCUAAAAAAUAACAUGCACUGAGGAUAUAAGAAAAUCAUUGCGUGGAAACACAUAUAUAUCCUAUUCAGUGUGUACCACUCAGGGGACGAACCACUGUGGUGAUUUUGGUUUUCUUUUGUUUCCCCUGUGGAUUUUGGCCUUUUAAGUCUUUGUUUACCUUUUUACGUGUAUAUGUUUUAUUUAUUUAGUUAAUUAAUAUUGUUUCAAAUUUAUGGAUAUUUGAGAAUAUGAUUUUUAUUUAUUUUAAUAAUUUGAAAACAUUUUAAAAUCAUUAUUAAUUUGUUUAUUUUGUCAACACAAUUAAAAUGCAUGAACAAGUUUUUUUCAAUUCAGAAAUAUAUUUUAAAUACAUGAACAUGUAAUAAAUUAGGGUACUUUUUUUUAACUGGACUACCUUUUUACAAAUUUCGCUAAUCAGUUUUAAAUUCUACAAUGUUCAUUAAAUUGUCAAAAAUAUACGUCAAAUUCAUUAAUUUGUUUUUACUAUUCUGAUUUUUUUUAUAUGCUACCCCUUGCCGGUUAAGAAAAAAAAUUCUGAAGACCGGUUUUUAUUUAGGGGUCGACUGGAAACCGGUUACCCAAUCAACUAGCCCUCCCAGGCCAGUUCUUUUCGGUCAUUUCUGAAGAAUCACGGUUUGAAGAAUUAAAAUAGCAAAAGAACUCAUCUGUGCCCCAAGAAUCGUCUAGAAUUAUGAGAGAAUCAUAGUGUAACUGAGAAUCAUCAGAAGUUGGCGAUUCUGGCAAUUUUGAUGUGUCCCUCAAAAGAAAAUUGUUCGUUAGGUAUACCCCUAUUAAACAACAUAUUUACGAUGAAUACGCCACUCGGGCCUGAGGAGAGAAGCCCCAAAACGAGCUGAAAAUAGCGAACAACCUCACACACGCAUCCUGUGUGCUCGAGUUGUCCCCGACAGGAACCGCUCGCUUCAGCUAGGGUUUGUGCUGCCGGUCGGCGACUCCGGCCCGGCAUCUUCAGAUCCACCGCCAGCAGGAGCCCCACGCCGCCACCCUGUCCCGUCCGUCGUCGCCAUCCCAGUUACUGGCCGCCUCGUCUCCUACGCCCGGCUGCACGAUCUCCUCCGCCCCGGCCAUCUGAUCUCCUUCCGCGCCGGUAGGGUUGCGCCCGGUCUCCUCCACUUUCUCAUGCCUCUCCGUCUCCUACGUCCUCUCGGUCUCAUCCUCCCAUUUCUUCUCUCUGUAUACUUUCUUUCUCUGUUUAGGAAAUAUGUGUUGUAAAAAAUAGUGCGUACUUGUUUUCCACUGUAAAUUGUAUGUUGAUUUGUAUGGUGCAAGUUGACUUAGUAUGAAUUUUGUAUGGUUGAUGGCAUAUAGUGAAAAUUUUGUAUGUUGGAAGUUCACUUAGUAUUAAUAUAAAUGUUGUAAUUACAAAGCUUAUAUACACUUUAUGAUAUUUGCAACUCGCUUUCAUGGGCAUAUGGGACGUGAAACUAUCUAAAAUAACCUAGUGUGAGCUAUACAAUACUCAGUUUCAGUUUAGGGGCAUUACAGAUAUUUUAGCACAUAACUCAUACAACAAUCACUGGCUAGGAUCACAGAAAAGAACUGGACGGUUGAUUCUCUGGGUAGGUAAUUAUGUGGACAGUUUCCAGAAUCAGAUUCUCGAGAAUCAUGAGUCGGAAAGAACUGGCCCUAAGUCGACCGGCUCACUACAUUUUUUUUGAGAAACCGACCAGCUCACUACGUGUUGAGGUGCAUGUCUCCUCAAAUGUUCCCUUCGGUGGUGCAUGGGAUAGUCCUAUUUGUCCUGUAGGUCACUGAAUAGUGACCUAGCACUUACUCCCUCUUAGCCCGGUCCUAUGGAUUGGCCGGCCCAUUCCAGAACAUUCCCUGAACUGUUCUUUACUUUUUCCUUUGUUUGUUUGAGGGUUUCCCCCUACAUUUCUUCUAUUUCCUUUUUGUUUCCCCUUAUCCCUUUUAAUUAUCUUUUCUCUUUUUAAAUUUGCAAAAAAAUCAUGAAAAAAAUUAAUUCAUUGAAAUUUUAUGAAAAUCAUGAUAUUUUCCAUAUACUGAAAUAAUUUUAUAAAGUUAUGCACAUUUUUUGAAAUCAUGCACAUUUUCCAAAAUUGCUAACCUUGUUUCACAUAUUCGAGACUAUUUCCAGAAACCAUGAAUAUUUAUUGAUUUCAUGGACUUAUUGAAAAGAAUUCCUGGACAUUUUUUCAUAAAGCUUACAAAGUUUCUCACAUAUAUUUUUUUUUCAAACUUAUGAAUAUUUUUAAACUCGACCAUUGUUCAAAUUCAGAAACAAUUUCUGAUUCACAAACUUGUGAAUAUUUUUAAAUCCGACCAUUGUUCAAACUCGACCAUUAUUCAAGUAUCUCACCUAUAAGAAAAAUGUAUCAAAAAAUAUGAUCAUGUCUUUAAAGAAUGUUAAUCGAGUAUUUUAAAUAUGAUACUCAAGCGGUAAAAAAAUCUCGGAUAAUAAUAAAAUAUGAAAGAAAAAAUAUUCAUCAUGUAUUAAAAAUCAUGUAUUUGCAAAAAAUUAAUCAAUAUAUAAAAAUGUUGAAUGUGUAUAGAAAAAAUCUUUUUCAGGUACACAAAAAAUGUAGAAAAUAAGAAUACAAUUUGUAUGAAACGAUGUUGAUCAUGUAUUCAUAAAGUGUUAAACAUAUUUCAUUUUUUAAAUGUGUACAAAAAAUAUUCCUGAUGUUAACUAAAAGUGUGCUAUGUGUAUGCAGAAAUUUAGACACCAAAAGAUACAUAUUUAAAAAUGUUAAUCAUGUGUUUUGAAAAUCUUAAGUGUGUUUGCCAACAAUUACUGAUGUAUUCAGGAAAUUUAUAAAAUGUCGAUUAAAAACAUAUUUUUAAUAAAAUUAGAAAAAAAUCUUUUAUUUGAAAAGAAUUUUGAAUGUGUACACAGAAAUGUUUCUUUUAUUUAAGUAAAAUAUAAAUGUGUGUAAAAAGAUGUUCCUAUUCUAUAUGAAAAGCGAUAGAAAAACCAACGAAACCAUAAAGCAAAUAAAAGAACAAAGAAAACCCAAUGAAACUUGGAAAAUAGACGGACGAAACGAAUUGAAAAAGAAUUGAAGAAACCAGGAAAGAAAGAAAAAAUUCGAAGUAUAACAAAGAGAAUAAGGGAAACCAAAAAUAAACAAAGAAAGAAUAUCUCACAAAAAAUGAAAGAAACUAAUGGAAACCAAGAAAACAAACAAAGAAAGNNNNNNNNNNNNNNNNNNNNNNNNNNNNNNNNNNNNNNNNNNNNNNNNNNNNNNNNNNNNNNNNNNNNNNNNNNNNNNNNNNNNNNNNNNNNNNNNNNNNNNNNNNNNNNNNNNNNNNNNNNNNNNNNNNNNNNNNNNNNNNNNNNNNNNNNNNNNNNNNNNNNNNNNNNNNNNNNNNNNNNNNNNNNNNNNNNNNNNNNNNNNNNNNNNNNNNNNNNNNNNNNNNNNNNNNNNNNNNNNNNNNNNNNNNNNNNNNNNNNNNNNNNNNNNNNNNNNNNNNNNNNNNNNNNNNNNNNNNNNNNNNNNNNNNNNNNNNNNNNNNNNNNNNNNNNNNNNNNNNNNNNNNNNNNNNNNNNNNNNNNNNNNNNNNNNNNNNNNNNNNNNNNNNNNNNNNNNNNNNNNNNNNNNNNNNNNNNNNNNNNNNNNNNNNNNNNNNNNNNNNNNNNNNNNNNNNNNNNNNNNNNNAACCAUAGAAAACAAUUGAUAAAAGCAUAGAAAAAAGGAAAAAAAACAGGAGGAAAAAUAAAAGAAAAGGAUAAAUAAAUGAAAAAAGGGGGGAAGGAAACAAGAGAGAACCGUCAACAGCCGACCUCAGCCAACCUCGAAAAAAAUAUACAUUCCUUUUAAAAAUAGUAGAAAGGUUUGAGAAUUGUUUGUGUAAUGUUAAAAAAUGUACGGCAGAUUUUAAAGAAAAUCUGUACAAUGUCAACAAGUACAUAUUCCGUAAAUUGAAAAUUCAUUCCUGGUAAUUUAAAAAAUGCUUAACAAUGUCUUAAAUUUUUUCCCAUAGGAUGCAAUUUUUUUGUUUCGAAAAAAAUGUUUAUAACAUUUUCAUCAAACAUUCAAGUGUUACCAAAAAUUAUCAAUGAAAAUCAGAAAAAAAUCUUAUUACCAAUAAAAAUGUGCAACUUGUAUUUGUAAAAUGUUAUUAUUUGUAAAGAAAGUGUUCGAAACAUGUUUUUGAAAACAAUGUACUUCUUGUGUUUGAAGAAUUGCAAAGUGUAUCAGAUAUUCGUUUGGCAUGUGCUCUUAGAAUGAAAAUUGUAUACCGUGAAAAAUGUAGACAUGAGUUGGAAAACAGAUAAAAAUCACAUAGAAACAAAAAAAUAAAAGCAUGAAAAGAACUUUUUCUCAAAGAAAACAAACAAAGAAAGAAAAAACAAAUAUAAUGAAAAAAGGAGAACAAUGGAAAACCAAAGUAAGAAAUGAAGGAAAAAAUCUGAACAUGAAGAAAACAAAUAAAAUCAACGAAAAUACAAGAAGAACGAAGAAAAUCGACCGAUCGAACGUACAACGACUACUACUAAUGACUGCGACUACCACGCUAAAUGGGCUAGCCCGCUCAUUUUGUCGCAUGUUGGUGAUUUCUAUUAAGAAUCAAUAUGGGCCACACAUAGCUAUCACGCCGUUUUGCUCUCUUUUCAACACGUAGGUCGUUUAAUAGGGGCUCCCUAGGGCAUGGAGUAGGAGGACUUGGUUUAGUGAUACUUAUGUCGUCUGACCUAUCUACUGCUUCACACGCCGUUUACUGCCUUGUUGGUAUGCUGCACCUGCAUGAGUUCCUAUCGACCGACCGAUGUAUCCUUCGGUCUCGGGAAGUCUCUAUGUGUUUGUUUGGGUUUUUUCAUCAUUCUUUUUUUUUCUUUUUUCUUUUUUCCUUUAACUUUUUUUCUUUACUUAAUAUUUUUUCAAAAAUUCAAGGAGUUUUCAAAUUUAUCAGAAAUUUCAAAUGCAUGGUUUUUGAAAAUAUAUCAAAUCCACAAGCAUUUUCAAAUCUGUGAAUAAUAGUAUAGUCCAUCAAAUUCCUAAUUUAAAAAAUCCAUGAAUGUUUUGUCAAUUCGAGAACUUUUUUGAUGUUUUUUUUGCCUAUUUAAGAUUCCUAAACUUUUUAGAAAAAUUGACAGUCAACAUCCAUGGUCAACAUGCGCGACUCAUGCGUGAGCGAGCAAGCUAGAAUUCUGUCAAAACUUCAAGGAGGAGACCAGUCGACUGGAGCCAAACUUGGACCCCAUUAACUCUCCUGUGAAGGACGAGGCUGCUAUGAACGUGUUCCGACUGGAGUCUCGCGUUGCUGGAGUGGUUGACUACCUCGCUCGACUGAAGGUUGCGGUGUCGCGGAUCGACACGACACUCUGGCCAAGAGAGAUGCUUCACAAUGACCUCGAGUCUUUAAUUACUCAACUGAAUGACGUUCCAGGUCGAGUGCAGGAAUGGAAGAAGUCUUCUGCCAGGUGUGGUGCUGAUGUUGCACUGUCUCUGGUACGUGUUCACUGCAAGGAUGCUCGAGAGGACAAGCUAGCGUCCAUCAGGGUGGCCAACACCAAGAAGCAUGACUUCCAAUCUUUCAUGGAGACCUUCAUUGCUGCUGCCACUCGGAUUGCUGAUGGAAUCGACCUGGACCAGUUUGUCACGCCCUCCAGUCCUCCACCUGAGGAGUAAAAAACUUCUAUGCUUCAUCUUAAAUUUUCCUCGGAAUGCCGAGUGGUUUUGUAACCGAUAAACAUUUACAGGCUUGACGCCUGCGCACUUCUGAAUCCGUUAUCUGAACUUUGCUUAUCAUUGAAUAUGCUUGCAUUUCCUUCGAGCGAAUUUUCUUCUUCACUCGGAAUAUAUUUUAAUGCUUGAGAUGUAGCUCUAAGGUGGUAAGCCCAGUCGACCUGCACUUCACCGCUUUUUGGCAGGUAGGGAUGGGGCACAGAUGGAGUGCACAUUGUAUUUGUGGCGUAGCUCAGAGGGAGAAGGUUACAAUCGACCUGCGCCUCGUCAUCCUUGUAGAGCGAAAUAGAUUAAGUACUUAGGCGAGCACUGGGCUGCAGCUAAGCCCCCCGAGUGGGAGGUUUUCUCUCCACUCGGUAGGAUUUUCAGAUACUUAGGCAAGCACUGGGCUGCAGCUAAGCCCCCGAAUGGGAGGUUUGCUCUCCACUCGGUAGGAUUUUCAGAUACUUAGGCGAGCACUGGGCUGCAGCUAAGCCCCCGAGUGGGAGGUUUGCUCUCCACUCAGUAGGAUUUUCAGAUACUUAGGCGAGCACUGGGCUGCAGCUAAGCCCCCGAGUGGGAGGUUUGCUCUCCACUCGGUAGGAUUUUCAGAUACUUAGGCGAGCACUGGGCUGCAGCUAAGCCCCCGAGUGGGAGGUUUGCUCUCCACUCGGUAGGAUUUUUCAGAUACUUAGGCAAGUAUUGGACUGCAGCUAAGCCCCCGAGUGGGAGGCUUGCUCUCCACUCGGUAGGACUUUUUGUGGCAUAGCUUCGAAGGAAAGGGUAGCAGUCGACCUGCACCCCGUCAUCCUUGCAAAGCGCGCAUUGUAUUUGUGGCGUAGCUCGAGAAGAGAAGGUAGCAGUCGACCUGCACCUCGUCCGCCUUGCGGAGUGCACAUUAUAUUUGUGGCGUAGCUCGGAAGGAGAAGGUAGCAGUCGACCUGCACCUUGUCCUCCUUGCGGAGCGCACAUUGUAUUUGUGGCGUAGCUUGGAAAGAGAAGGUAGCAGUCGACCUACACCUCGUCCUCCUUGCGGAGCGCACAUUGUCUUAAACACUUAGGCGAGUACUUGGACUGCAGCUAAGCCUCCGAGUGUGAAGCUGGUUCACCACUCGGUAGGAUUUUAAACACUUAGGCGAGUACUUGGACUGCAGCUAAGCCUCCGAGUGGGAGGCUGGCUCACCACUUGGUAGGAUUUUAUAUACUUAGGCGAGUACUUGGACUGCAGCUAAGCCUCCGAGUGGGAGGCUGGCUCACCACUUUGUAGGAUUUUAACACUUAGGCGAGUACUUGGACUAUAGCUAAGCCUCCGAGUGGGAGGCUGGCUCACCACUUGGUAGGAUUUUAAAGUACUUAGGCGAAAUAGAUUCGUAGCUAAGCCCCCGAGUGGGAGGCUGUCUCACCACUCAGCAAGGAUUUUUUUUACAAACUUAGGCGAAACGGAUUCGCAGCUAAGCCCCCCACUGGGGGAUUUCAUAUGUAAACAAAAGUAACAACAAUCAUUGGGAAAAAUUAUAACACUCUUGUCUUUCAUAAAUAAACUACAGAAGUACUUUUAUUACAUCUCAUCCGAGUGAAUACUUAAGUAUAAAAGGGGUGGAGCAGCUCCGCGUUCCAAGCUCGGGGCUCGUCAAUCUGGUGACCGACAUUGUAAAGGCGGUAUGCUCCAUUGUGGAGAACUUUGGUGACGAUGAAGGGACCUUCCCAAGUAGGAGCAGGCUUAUGUGGCUUAUGCUGAUCCACUCGGAGAACCAAAUCUCCUUCUUGGAAGGCUCGACUCUUCACGUUUCUAGCAUGGAAUCGAAGUAAGUCCUGCUGAUAGAUGGUCGAUCGGAUCAUGACCAUAUCUCUUUCUUCUUCUAGAAGGUUGACUGCGUCCUGUUGGGCUUGCUCUGCUUCAUCUCCAGUGUAGAGUUUGACUCGGGGUGCAUUGAGAAGCAGGUCACUUGGCAAGACUGCUUCAGCUCCAUAGACCAAGAAGAACGGAGUUCUCCCAGUCGACCGAUUAGGAGUGGUCCUUAAUCCCCAAAGUACUGAUGGAAGUUCGUCGACCCAUGCACCUGCCGCGUGCUUGAGAUCGCGCAUCAGUCGGGGUUUCAGUCCUUUGAGGAUUAGACCAUUUGCUCGUUCUGCUUGCCCAUUCGACUGGGGUGAGCGACUGAAGCAUAGUCGACUCGUGUGCCUUGAGAUGCGCAAAAGGCUCUGAAUUCUUCAGAAUCGAAGUUUGACCCAUUAUCAGUCAUGAUGCUAUGCGGAACUCCAUAUCUGAAUACCAACUCUCUGAAGAAGCUGAUAGCAGUGCCAACAUCUAGAUUCUUUAUAGGCUUAGCUUCAAUCCAUUUGGUAAACUUGUCGACUGCUACUAGCAAGUGAGUGAAGCUGCUCCUGCCAGUUCUCAGUGGUCCAACCUUAUCUAACCCCCAAACACCGAAGGGCCAGACGAGUGGAAUGGUCUUCAAGGCUUAGGCGGGUUUGUGCGAUAGAUUGGAGUAACACUGACAUCCUUCACACUUGUCGACUAUCUCCUUUGCCAUUUCAUUUGCUCCUGGCCAGUAAAAUCCUGCUUGGUAUGCUUUAGCCACAAUGGUCCGAGAGGACGCAUGAUGGCCAUAGGUCCCCGAGUGGAUAUCGUCAAGGAUUAUCCGACCUUCUUCUGGCGUUAUACAUUUCUGACCGACUCUAGUCGCGCUUUCUCUAUAUAACUGCCCCUUUAUCACGGUAAAGGCUUUAGAUUGAUAGACGAUCUGUCGAGCCUCUUCUUCAUUCUUUGGGAGCUCUUUCCAUACGAUAUACGCGAUGUACGGCUCUGUCCAGUCGGGAGUGAUGACCAAAGCUUCCGUGAUCAGGUCGACCACCGCUGGAACUUCAACUUCAGUCGGAUCUGUGACACUUUUUGGCUAUGGAGCUUCUUCGGUGAAAGGAUCCUCUUGAACUGAUGGAGUAUGGAUGUGUUCCAAAAACAUAUUACUAGGAAUGGCUUCUCUCUUGGAACCUAUCUUCGCCAAAUCAUCAGCCGCUUGAUUUUUUUAGUUGGGGUAUAUGAUGGAGCUCUAACCCUUCAAAUUUCUUCUCAAGCUUUCUCACUGCAUUGCAAUAACCAGUCAUGGCUGGGAUUCUAACGUCCCACUCCUUCAUCACCUGAUUGACCACCAAAUCUAAGUCGCCAUAAACCAUAAGGCGACAGACGCCGAGUGAAAUGGCCAUACGCAACCCAUACAAAAGUGCUUCGUAUUCUGCUUCAUUGUUGGAGGAAUCAAAGUGGAUCUGGAGCACAUAUCUGAGCUUAUCUCCUCAGGGGGAAACCAAUACUACCCCAGCACCGGAACCAUUCAACAUCUUAGAACCGUCAAAGAACAUGGUCCAGUGCUCCGAGUGAACUUGAGUCGGUAAUUGCUGUUCAAUCCACUCGGCGAUGAAAUCUACCACUGCUUGGGACUUAAUGGCUUUCUUUGCCUCAAACUUGAUAUCAAGGGGAAGGAGUUCGAUCGCCCAUUUUGCCACUCGACCAGUUGCAUCUCUGUUGUGCAGAAUCUCUGAUAAUGGGGCGUCGCUGACGACUGUAAUGGAAUGAUUAGAGAAAUAAUGAGCAACCUUCUUCGUGGUCAUAUAUAUAAAUCCCAUAUACAAGCUUCUGAUAUUGAGGGUAUCUUUGCUUUGAUGGGGUCAAAACUUCAGAAAGAUAAUACACUAGGCACUAAACUUUGAAGGCUUUUCCUUCUUCUUCCCGCUCGACCGUAAGUACUGUACUGACGACUUGUCCUGUGGCUGCAAUGUAAAGCAAGAAAGGCUCUUUGCUGAUUGGGGCAGCAAGCACCGGCUGGGUGGAGAGAAGAGCUUUUAGCUCUGCAAACGCUGCAUCAGCUUAUGGAGUCCACUCGAACUUGUCUGACUUCUUCAUCAGUCGGUAAAGAGGCAAUGCCUUUUCACCGAGACGAGAGAUGAAUCGACUUAAAGCGGCCAAGCAUCCAGUAAGCUUCUGGACAUCGUGCACACGCACAGGGCGUUUCAUUCGGAGUAUAGUGCCAACUUUUUCUGGGUUGGCGUCGAAUCCUCGCUCGGAAACGAGAAAACCGAGUAACUUUCCGCCAGGAACUCUGAAUGUGCACUUUGAUGGAUUAAGUUUGAUAUCAUACCUCCUGAGAUUGGCAAAUGUUUCAGCAAGGUCAGUCAACAGGUCGGAACCAUUCCGUGAUUUGACCACAAUAUCAUCCAUGUAUGCUUCCACAUUCCGACUGAUUUGAGUGAGUAAACACUUCUGAAUCAUCCUAUGAACGUGGCUCUGGCAUUCUUGAGGCCAAAUGGCAUGGUGACAUAGCAGAAGCACCCGAAUGGAGUGAUGAAAGCUGUUUUGAUCUCAUAGGGUCCAUACAGACGGAUCUGAUGGUAACCGGAAUAGGCGUCUAAAAAAGACAGGCGCUCACAUCCCGCAGUCGAGUCGACUAUUUGGUCGAUGCGGGAGAGAGGAAAAUGAUCUUUCGGGCAAGCCUGAUUGAUAUGUUUGAAAUCAAUGCACAUGCGAAGUGACUUGUCCUUCUUGGGGACCAUGACAACAUUGGCAGGCCACUCGGAGUGGUAAAUCUCUCGGAUAAACUUUGCUGCCAGGAGCUGAGCCACCUCCUCGCCAAUGGCCUUUCUCUUCUGGACGGCGGACCGUCGAAGAUGUUCUUUGACAGGUUUCACUUUUGAGUCGGCUCGUAGACGACGCUCAGCCAGCCCCCUGGGAACACCCGGCAUGCCAGCAGGCUUCCAUGCGAUGAUGUCCCAGUUCUCACGGAGGAAUUGGAUGAGCGCUUCUUCCUAUUUAGAGUCGAGUGUUGUGGAGAUAUGAGUCGGAGCAGCACUGGGUCGGUCGGGUGAAUGUGAACGGGCUUCAUCUCACCGGACGACUGGAACACUGACUUUGUGGCGGGCUUCUUGGCCCACAAUAAAUCACUCGGAUCUGCAGUUUUCUGGUAUUCCUGCAGCUCGAUCACUGUUAUCUGAGCAUCGGUGAUCUUUGAGCCCUUCUGAAAGCACUCUUCUGCCUUUUUCCGAUUGCCAGUAAUGGUGAUCACACCCUUGGAACCAGGCAUCUUCAAUUUGAGGUACACGUAACAUGGUCGAUCCAUGAAUCGUGCAUAAGCUGGCCUGCCUAGAAUAGUGUGAUAAGCGCUCUGGAAAUCCACAACUUCAAAUGUCAACUUUUCUUUGUGGAAAUGCUUUGAAUUGCCGAAAACCACAUCAAGAGCAAUUUGGCCGAGUGACUCAGCCUUCUUCCCAGGAAUGACUCCAUGGAAACUCAUGUUGCUGGUACUGAGUCUGGACAUCGGAUUGCCCAUCCCUUUUAGCGUCUCCGCAUACAGUAUAUUCAGGCCACUGCCACCAUCCAUCAGAACUUUCAUCAGUCGAGUGCCUUCGACGACUGGGUCGACCACUAAAGCUUGCCUCCCAGGGGUGGCUAUGUGUGUCGGAUGAUCAGACUGGUCAAAUGUGAUGGCGGUCUGAGACCAUUUCAAAUAACUGGGUGUCACCGGAGCAACCAUAUUCACUUCACGGUUGAUAACUUUCAAUCGACUUUUGCUUUCAACAUCAGCAAAAAUCAUUAGGGUGGAAUUGACAUGGGGAUAUCCUUCAUCACUGUCCUCUUUGUCCUCAACUUUGUCUGAAUCCUUUUCCUUAUCUUUGGGCUGUUUCCCCUGAAAUUGCUGGAUCAAGAGCUGACACUGCCGAGUGGUAUGUUUCGGGUAAAUGAAGUUACCCUCCUCAUCUUUCUUCAUGUGGAUGUGGCACGGCAAAUCCAUCACGUCAUUUCCUUCCUUGUCCUUCACCUUAUUAGGGUUCCAAGAUCUUUUGGGCUUCCCUUUAAACUUUCCCUGAGUCACGGCCAAGGCUUCUCCCGGAGCAGCUGGCUCGGCUUUCCGCUUCUGCUUCCGACUGGAGUUUCCUCCCCCGGUUUCAUGAGCGGUUGGCUUGUACUUGCCACUCCGGAGUCGAUCCUCUUCUUCACCAUUGGCAUAUUUGGUGGCAAUCUCCAUCAUUCGACUCAGAGUCAUGUCUCCGGUCCGACCGAAUUUCAAACUUAACUCUCUGUUCUUAACGCCUUCCUUGAAGGCACAAACUCCCUGGUGGUCAGAUAUAUUCUCCACCGUGUGAUGCAAUGUGGUCCACCUUUGGAUGUAAUCCCUUAGAGUUUCAUUCGACUUUUGCACACAAACCUGCAGCUCUGGCAACCCUGCUGGUCGCCUGCAAGUUCCUUCAAAUGAUCUGACAUACACUCGGACAAGAUCUUCCCAAGUGUAAAUGCUGCUAGGUGCCAACUGAUUCAGCCAUGCUCUGGUCGAGCCCUCCAACAUAAGAGGUAGGUGUUUCAUGGCCACUUCAUCAUUGUCGCCGCCAAUCUGAACAGCCACUCGGUAGUCCUCAAGCCAAGUAUCGGGCUUGGACUCGCCGGUGAACUUGCUGACUCCAGUCGCCAACCUGAAGUUGGGAGGAAUCACCGUGGCCCUGAUGGCUCUGCUAAAACACUCUGGUCCUGAGACGUGAACUCUGCUGCUGGUGGGCACAUCUCUGUCAUGGCCUUCUCGGUGAGCUCUGUUCCGGUCGACCAAACCUUGCACAAAAAUGGAUCUCGCGUCAAAGCCUGGUCGACUGGAACCCUUCGCCCAACACUAUGCUGACGUCUGUCAUCUUGCUGUCGAGGAGCGUACGACCCACUCCUUGGGGGGGAGUGGGCACUCGACGCUGAUCAUCGCGAUCGAAUCGGUCGUCAUACUGAUCACGCCGACCUCCACGUCCCUCACGCCUCGGGGGCGAUCUCGGGCUAUGGGCCGACUGGACUGUAUUCGCAGCAACGGAUCUGCUGUGAAUCUUGUUUCGUGACUGCGAUACAGCUGAAUUCUGAUCUCCUGCUGCCCGGAGAAAAUCUCUGAUCUGUAACAAGCCUCUGCCAGCCUCUGACUGGGAGGGCUGAAUCGACUCUUCUAUACGGGCUGCAGCUGCUAGAUUCUGAAUCGGAGUUCGAUACACCUGAGUCGGUUGCAGAAAGAGUUGACGUCGACUGGAGUCUGGAACUCGUUGCCGCGCGCGCUCGUCGAGUGCUUGCUGGAGGUUCUCCAGUUGAGUGCGCUCAGCCAAGUUGGCCAAACGCGCGUCCUCUAAGGCACGAGCCUCGGGGGUUUCUCCAACGAUAGGAGUAUGCAGCGCAUCCAUGUUCCGGCGGCGAAGAUCUUCCCUUUGCAGGGAAGUGAGUGGCUCGGGCUGAUACUCUUCGUGGAACUGCGCUGGGUUACCUCUGCCAUCGACUCCGUCGGUGCAAGGAAAACCGGGAGGACUGCGCGGCCCAUUGACCAUCAGAACCUCCGCCACUGGAUCACUGCUGUCGCACUCAGAUGUAGUCUGUACGGAGCCAGUCGACAGGUUGAACAGGCCGUAGAGAGAUUCGUCGGGCUCGAUCGCCGCGACUUGGGGGGUGGCCGACUGGAGGGCCACUGCGUGCCUCACCCACCGUUGAAGCCUCGACCGACCGGAGCGCUUGCGCUAGCGGGAGACAGGGAGGGAGGAUGACACAGGGGUCAACCGAUACGGGGCCGACGGUUGCCGCAGGAGGACGCCGCGGACACACGCGCGGAAGUGCAUCGCCCCGCGGACUGGGAGCGCGUCGAUGUCGAGUGGAGCCUCCUGAAGCCAAGCGGAGUCGUCGGCGAUGAACAUGAGCGCGCCGAGACGGAUCUCGCGGCCCUCAACCAAAACUCCGCCUGAAACCAUGUUGAAGGAGAUCGGAAAAAUCGCAACUUCUCCAAUAAGUCGCUAAGACACCUGCCCCAUGGUGGGCGCCAACUGUCGUGGUUCUUAGCCUGACAGUAGAAUAGGGGGGUAGGUAUGGAGAGGCAAGAUCCUAGCUAUGGAGUAGUUGUGUACGCAAGAGAUUUAUGAGUUCAGGCCCUUCUCGGAGGAAGUAACAGCCCUAUGUCUCGGAGCCCGAAGGCGGUCGACUGGAUUAUAUGCGUAUGAGUUACAGGGGUGCGAACCCUUUAAAUUGAGGAGGGGGGUGGCUUAUAUAGAGUCUGCCAGACCCCUCCUGCCCUCAGUUAUGCAGGGUUUAAAGUACAUUAAGGCAUGGCGUACUAGUAACGCCUUACAUAAAGUGCUAUCAUGAACAUAAAGACUACUUAAUGACAGAUCGUUUGUGUGCAGAGUGACUCUAGAUCUCCUAGUGGUCGAGUGAGUGGCUUCAUGGUCGAGUGUCUUCGAUUCUGUCGAGUGGAAUCCUUCCAGGUCGACUGAAUGGUAGUUUCUUCUACAGAUGUCCUUGGGGAGGGUACCUUGGACAGGUCCAUGACCCUAACCUAGGUACAUGGCUUCAUCAGCGCGCCCGCUCAAAGACGCGCUACUGCUAUAAUUCCCACGAGGCCGCCGCGAGGCCAGUUAUAGCAGCAAUGCGUUAUAACGACGGGCGCUACUUUUAUGUAGCAUAGUAGCGGCGCAUUUCGCCAAUAAGCGCUACUGCUAAGUUUACUACAAAAAUUUAGUCCUACCUCGCUCCGUGAAGAGAGUUUCUACCACCUUAAAUAUGUUACUUCUAAAACUUUGACAAGCACUUAGUCUUCAUUGAACUCUAUGUGUAGAAUUUGUGGCUGCAAUAUGAGUCUUCACCUGUUCCUAAACCUGUGAGUACUCGUAUUGACAAAUCAGAUUGUACACAAAAAGAUCGUUGAUGAUCAAUGUAUUUUUGGUACAUUGAACUAAGUCUAUUUUUAUAUACUGACACAUAGCAGUAGCGCUUCUUUGUGAAAGGCGCUGCUGCUAGGUAGCUUAGCAGUAGCGUCUAUCUCUAUAGCGCGCUACUGCUAAGCCAUUCCAUCUCCCACCCCCCAUCUCCUCUACCCGAUCAACUCACAGUCACACACUCACUAGAUCCCCUCUCAAUCCCCCGCGCCGGUCCUCCCCCGUCGCCCCUCCUCCCUCUGCGCCGCCGUCACCUCCUCCUCCUUGCUGGACUCGGUACCAGCCUCCUCCUCCGUCCUCCCUCUCCACUCACCGUUGGUCGGCCCCUCCUUCCUCCGCCUUCCUCCUCCGUCCUCCCUCCACUAGCCGCCGGCCGGCCCCUCCUCACUCCGCCUUCCUCCUCCGUCCUACUCUCUUCUCCCUCCUCGAGUCACCCCUCCUUCUCCCUCCUGCCUGCUACAUUUUGAUUUAGUAGGAUAGUUCAUAUGCAACAUUUUGAUUUAGUUGAUAUGACUUAGUUGAUUUAGUAGGCUAGUUGAUUUAGUCGAUUUAGAACAUUUUGAUUUAGUUGAUUUAGUAGGCUAGUUGAUUUAGUUGAUUUAGAACAUUUUGAUUUAGUUGAUUUAGUAGGCUAGUUUAUUUAGUUGAUUUAGAACAUUUUGAUUUAGUUGAUUUAGUAGGCUAGUUCAUUUAGUUGAUUUAGAACAUUUUGAUUUAGUUGAUUUAGUAGGCUAGUUCAUUUAAUUGAUUUAGUAUGCAUCAUUUUAUUGUUAUUUUUUCUGUACAUGGAUAGGUACGUAGUUGCUUUUGUUUUUUUAAUAAGUUAUUUUUUGGCAAAAUGUAGGUGCUACCUUGUCAUCUAACAUGUUACUAGAUCUUAGGAUUAUAAUUGUCCGUCAAAUUGCUUCUCGCGAAAGAACCAAAAAUAUCACAUGCUACUGUUUUUCUUUCCUGUGAAGUGGAUCGUUAAUCCUUUGCUCAUAUUGCUUUAGGAAAAAUGGCGCCACCACCACCACCACUAUGUCGACUGUGCAGGUCAAGGUGCACCAGCAGCCUUGCAAUUGGAAAGCUGUUCGGCAUCUACUUCCAGCCGAGUUUUCGUCAUGCGGCGGUAAGAAAUUAGAUGAAAUAUAAUAACUAUUUUAUUUUUAGUGUUGGCAUCACUGCAUUGUGUCAUUUUGCUUAUUUUACACAGAUCGUCCCAUGCAAUGUGAGGUUGAAAUUCAACAAGCUGACAGGAGACACUGUGACAUUUGAGGCUCCGGGGGGCCGUACACUAUGGAGGUCGAGAAAGGACGCAAUAUGUCACAGAUUGGAGGAGAUGGAUGGGCCCGUUUUGUCGCUCGCAUGCGUCUUACUGGUGGUGAGUUGAUCAGCUUCUCCUUCAGAGCCGAAAGACCCAAGCUGGCUGUCAUUUAUCUCAAACUGGUGGAAGAUGAAGAAUAUGAUGAAGAUAAUGAGGACCCACUCGAUAAAGAUGAUGAGGACCCACUUCAUGAAGCCAUCAUAGCUCAAAGAACAAGGCUGAGCGAGGAGGAGGUGUCCAAUCUGUGGGACAUAAUUCCGCCACGUGCUGACUUUGUCGGGGUGCCAUUCGUGACCCGCCUGACAAAUACCACGGUUGAUCGACAUAAUAUGGUAUGUUAUACUUACUAAUGAAAAUUAUCCGAUGAAAUACUUAGUGUAUAGUCCAAUGAUAUGGUAUGUUGUGUGGAAUCUAGUCGAUGAUAUGUUUUAGUGUAGAGUUCGAUCACGUGCUUAUUAGUGUAGAAUCUAAGGAAACUAUUAAUAGUGUAGAUAAUGCAUAUGUACUUAUUUGUGAGGCUAUUUAUUAAUUGAUAUGUUUUUCUUAUUCAGAAAUUGGCAAAGAGCAUACCUGUGAGUUAUGGUAUCGAUCCUGAUGAAGAAGGCUCAGCUGGACUACGCCUUACCACAAGGGGCUCCGUCACAACAUGUGCUUACCGCGUGGACACGGACGGUCGCACACACUUAAACUCGGUUGGAUGGAAGAAAUUCCUCGAUGGCAAGAAUCUUCGUGUUGGACAGGCCAUCCUAAUUACUAUCAGGAACACCAACCGCCCAGGCUUGAGGAUGAUGAUUGUCUUUGAUAUCAUCUAGAACUACAUAUGUGUGUGUGUGGCUAUAUCAUCUAGAACUACAUAUGUGUGUGUGGCUAUAUCAUCUAGAACUACAUAUGAUGAUCGUCGUCGAUAUCAUCUAGAACUACAUAUGAUGAUCGCCGUUGAUAUGACCUUGUACUGCUUGAGGAUGCAUGUUGACUAUGCAUGAAAUUGUUAUCUAGUACUCCCUUCGUUCCAAAUUACUCGUCGUGGUUUGAACUAAAACCAAGAUGAGUAAUUUGGAACGAAGGGAGUACUACCCAGUAAUGGUUUAUGAAUUUGAUAUCUACUAGCAGUACCUAGUAUCUAGUAUCUGAAAGGGAAACUGAAAGGGAAAGGGGUACGGGGGGAAAUGAUGAAAGAUAUAGCAGUAGCGAGGCACUGCGAAAUCGCUACAGCUAGGUAAUAGUAGCACGUUCAUGAAAAGCGUUGCUGAUAUCGUCAACAGUAGUAGCGCGGGUACAGGCCGCGCUACUACUAUAAGUUAGCUGUAGCGCCUUAUUAGUAACGCGGUCACCCGCGCUGCUGCUAGCCUCAAAACCCGCGCUACUACUAGGGUUUUCCCUAGUAGUGAAUAGUCUUUGUGAAAUAGCUUGGAUAAACAUAAAUUGACAAAUUAUUUCUAAAAUUUUACAAUGAAAUGGUGUUAAAGCAUUUUUUUAACUGAACUAAUCCCACAUCAAACACGGUAAGAAAAUAUUGAACAUGCCCUCAUGGAAAUGUGUCAGUUGGUCAACAAGAGGAAAUAAAACACAAUCACAUAGAUGAAUUCUUAUUUGUUAGAAACUUUUCAUGGUGCAUUAUUUAGAGUUCCCCUUAGAGAAAAUUGCUAAUUUGUGAACUCAAGCCAUGGAAUGGUAAAAUAAUCUCUUUCUGCAUGAGAACAAUUAUCAUGAGUAGGAAAAUCACAUACAUUAAUUAGCCCGCACUUGUUCUUCUGCUUGAUAUUGGUAGAUGUCUACUUGAAAAAUUACAAUGACUUAUGUUUCUGGAGCAUUAUACACAUAGACAACAAGUUAUGAAUAAACUUACAGAUAGAACCUAUCUAUAUAAUAACAAGAAAAACCCAUACAUUACAUAAGAUGUUGUAGUCUCUUUUAUAUUUUGGACCGCCAUGUCUACCUUCCUUGAAACUAUUUAAUAGGAUGAUCUUAACAUGUUUUGUACUAACAAAACAAUGUUUGUUGUCACAUGUCCGAAUCGGUUUUAGGUCUAGGUAGGUAAAGGAAACCGGGAGGUGAUGGACCCUUCACCUCUUGACCUGCUAGUGCCACCGCGGAUUCCACAUCCAAUCUUUUUUUUACAUCAUAGUUAACCCAUUCGAAUGCAAUGAUGGUGGCAGCUCGAUGACACAUUGGAUCAGGCAGGAUGUUAACAUCAGUGGCAAAGGGGCGGCUCCAAGAGGCUCUAGUAGGAGAAUGACAUAAGUGGUGGAGGGUUUCAUCACUCAUCCGGAUAAAAAGAAUAUAUCAAUAUAAACUUCAAUUUGAGAUAUAAACUUCAGAUGUUCUAUUUUCAAAAGGUAUAAUUUUUGUGUUAUAUAGUUUCUAUUAGGGUGAUAAAAUUGGCAACCUAGGUAUACGCGUAGGACUUGUAAUCAGGAUGUACUAUUGGUCAAAAUACUAGUGUUUCAAAUUAAUAUACAAUGGAUACUUCUACAGAAAUAGUAUUAGUAGUACAUUCCUCUAGUCCUGUACAAGAUAGGCUCGCGUGGUAGAUAUAUGAAAUAUAGUAGUACAGUAGGAGUAGAUGAUAGGCUAACAUCCUAGAUAAUAAUCAAUGUCAAGACAUCGGACAGAGAGGUGCCCCUGGGUAAAUUUUCAUCUUAUAUUAUCUAUAUUGACUAGGUGAAAGCAUCUUUCAAAUCAUCACGUUAAUCCGACGCUACCAUUGCAGAAAAAACAGAAAUUUAAAUUUCCAAAUUAUUCAAACAUAAUUGUGUAUGCUCUCGAGAUAUGUGCCUACGAUGCAAAAAUAUUAUGCAUCCAAAUUUUAAUAGACAUAGAGAGACAACAAAGACAAUUUCAGAUGUCAAUAAUGUCAUUUAUAUGUUCUCUUUUUGUGAAACUAUUGAUGAUGCAUUAUAUAUAUAUAUAUAUAUAUAUAUAUAUAUAUAUGACAAAUUUUUCCUACUACAGAGUGUAGUUACAUCCAUUUUUAUUUUGUACGUUUUAGGUAGUAUCUAUCAUACCGCAGUGUAUGUAUGCGUAGUAUGUAGUAUGUAAGAAUAUUUAGGUAGUAUAUAUACUAUUCUUUAGGUAGUAUGUAGUAUAUUUUUAGCAUACUUCUUUUUACGUACAAAUAUGUAUGUAUUUUCACAAAUAUGAUAAAAACAUGGGCUCACAUGCAAUUUUUUCACAUAACUCGCUUUGAAGUAUCUUAGAUGUAGUAUAUGAACAUACUAAAAAUGAUAAAGUAGUAUAUAUACUACCACAUAGUAGUAUAUGAGAAAUGGGUGUAACUACACCCGGUAGUAGGAUGCAUUUUCCCUAUAUUUCUCUAUGUUUAUUUCAAAAUUGAAUUUCAAGGUUUUAGCAAGUUAUACACAUAUCUUGUGAACAUUUAGAAAUUUACUAAGAAUUUUUUUGUAACAAUAAAUAGUUUUGUGCAGUGGUAUCACCGUAAUAUUUAAACAGUUAUAUCACCGAAUAUUCUCCCCAAAAGUAUAUAUAAUUUGUUGAUCUUGAAAAUAACUACACGUAGAGGGUUUAGAUUUCUCAUGAGAAUCAUAUGCUGCAGUAAGAGUCCUCUCGCAAAUUACGUGGCAUAUGGUGUUCGUGGCAAUUAAAAAACUGUUUAAUGAAACGGCUGGGAGUUCGAGCUGUAAUACUAAUCCAAAAAUAUUCUACUAAAUAAAAAAAGAAAAUUAAUUUGGUCAACCAAAUAUGAGUGAUAUGCCAUGAAAAUGGUACCACUGGAAACUUCGGCCACACGUUGGAGGUACGUAGUUGUUGGGCCCUAUUUAUUACUGUACUAACUAGACAUCAUUUGUUUAUGUAGACAAUUAAGGGUCAACGGAAGUACUCUUUUCUUGUGAAUGUUGGGGUGUCCACAGGUACUUUUCAUACCACAGUACCACCACAGUGUCCUCAGGGACGUGGAAACUUAGAGAUGCGACCACAGCCCCAGCUCGCCGUCGUAAUCUGAACUAACUGCCUUGAGCUCGAUGGGAACAGCUGCUCCAAAUUCCUGUUUUUGGACAAUGGCAGAAGCGACGGCGGCACCAGAACCAGUCUUGCUCAACAUAUAUAAUAAUCACAAGUAUGUAGCCGUUAGCAGUUGUCCAGCUCAUAUCCAUCACUUCGGAAUUUGAGAUUGGUGAAUGACACCUAGCUACAUGCCAAACACCCUAGCUAUCUAUACCAUUGAAAGCAACGGAUAUGGUUGAACAACUUCACGUUCGGUCGUUGAUGAGACUGUACUACGGAAUCCCCAAAUGGACCAAAAGUUGAUUUUUUUUCUUUCGAAAAGGGGAUCCCGGCCUCGGCAUCAGCAUGAUGCAUACGGCCAUCUUAUUAAAAUAAAGCAUCCACAAAGUCUCGAAGUCUCAAUAGUAGCAAAAUAAAGAAGAAAAGGCUCACACAGAGCCAGAAGGCUAGAUACACAAGCUAGCCAAAAAAGGAUAAACCACAACCGGUUGGCUCAAAAAUAGACAGGUAAACUAAUUGCCUAUCCUAUUACAUGACCGCCAUCCAAACCGGCUGAAGAUAUCCCGAGCUACCGUCUCCCAUCGGGUAGCACCAGUAACCAAAAGCUCCCUGGCCUCCGUCGGAGUGAGUAGCGACCAGGAACAGAUAAGUGCCGUAGCUCUGAAGAUGACCUGCAAAAAAUGAAUGUUUGUUGUUCUGUUAAAGACCAGAUCAUUUCUGCAAUUCCAAAGCGCCCACACUAAGGCGCACACCCCCAUGCGAAUAUGUUUUGCUAACCCGGGCUCUACCCUGUUUAGCCAUGUUCCAAACAACAUGUUAACCGAAUUUGGCGGAGGAAUAUUGAAAGCAAUAUGAACAGUCGUCCAAAGAAUUCUAGCUAGUGGGCAAUCAAAGAACAAAUGUUCAAUGGUUUCACCCUGAUCACAGAAACUACACCUAGUAGGCCCUGUCCAAUUGCGCUUUGUUAAAUUGUCCUUUGUUAAGAUAACUUGUUUGUGUAGAAACCACAUAAACACUUUGAUCUUCAAAGGAACUUUGACACCCCACACAUGCUUGGAAGUAGGAAUCGAGCUCGAAUUAAUGACAUCAACAUACAUUGAUUUAACUGUAAAUUCACCCGACCUAGUGAGAUUCCAGCGGAGUUUAUCGGGUUGUUGUGAAAGUUGGACCUGCAUCAGUCUCCUAACUAUAUGUAGCCAAUCUUCCCAACGAUUGCCCACUAACGACCUUCUAAAUUGAAUAUUAAGGGGUAUCGAAUGAAAGACCGUUGCAACCAGAGCAUCGCGUCUUUGGACUAUGCGAUACAACGACGGAUACUGGAUUGCAAGGGGCGCACCUCCGAGCCAAGUAUCCUCCCAGAAUCUUGUGCUGGCACCAUUACCAACGAUAUGCUUUGUCCUCUGAAACAAUGAAAGCUUAACUUUCAUAAGCCCUUUCCAAAAGGGUGAAUCAGUUGGUCUAACCGUGACCUGAGACAAAGUUUUGGUUUGAAGAUACUUAUUACGAAGGAUUUGAGCCCAAGUGGCGUCAAUUCCUGAAGAUAACUUCCACAACCACUUACUAAGAAGGCAUCGGUUCUUAACCUCAAGAUUUUCGAUCCCGAGACCCCCUUGGUCUUUCGGCCUACAAAUGAUAUCCCACUUCGCUAACCGGUAUUUUCUUUUUAGCUCAUCUCCCUGCCAAAAGAAUCGCGAUCGAUAGAAGUCCAGUCUUUUCCUUACACCAACUGGGACUUCGAAGAAAGACAAAAGAAACAUGGGCAUGCUCGUGAGAACCGAAUAAAUAAGAAUUAAACGGCCUCCAUAUGACAUGAGCUUACCCUUCCAGCAACUUAGUUUCUUUUCGAAUCGAUCCUCAAUACACUUCCUUUCGUUGUUCGUAAGCCUACGGUGAUGUAUAGGUAUUCCUAAGUAUGUGAAUGGCAACUCCCCCAAACCACACCCAAAUAAUUGUUUGUAUGCUUCUUGUUCCUCCUUGGCUCUACCAAAGCAGAACAACUCGCUUUUGUGGAAGUUAAUUUUGAGCCCACUCAAUUGCUCAAACAAACAAAGCAACAGCUUCAUAUUUCUUGCUUUUACCAAGUCAUGCUCCAUGAAGAUGAUAGUGUCAUCAGCGUACUGCAGAAUGGAAAUUCCUCCAUCCACUAAAUGAGGCACCAAGCCUCCCACUUGGCCAGCCUCCUUGGCUCUCCCUAACAAAACUGCCAACAUGUCCACAACGAUGUUGAACAGAAUAGGGGACAUUGGAUCUCCUUGCCGCAGGCCCUUAUGUGUUUGGAAGUAAUGACCAAUGUCGUCAUUCACUUUAAUGCCAACACUACCCUUUUGCGUGAAAGAUUCAAUCUGGCUCCUCCAGACCUCGUCGAACCCUUUCAUAUGCAAGGCUUGUUGUAGGAAAGGCCACUUAACUUUAUCGUACGCUUUCUCGAAAUCCACUUUAAAGAUGACUCCAUCUAGUUUCUUUGAGUGGAUUUCAUGGAGCGUUUCAUGCAAGACCACCACCCCCUCUAGGAUAUUUCUAUCCGGCAUGAAAGCUGUCUGGGAUUGCUGCACCAUAGAAUGCGCAAUCUGUGUGAGCCUAUUAGUCCCUACCUUGGUAAAAAUUUUGAAACUAACAUUCAAAAGGCAGAUAGGCCGGAACUGCUCAAUCCUCAGAGCAUCGGUCUUUUUUGGUAGCAGCGUUAUGGUCCCAAAGUUCAAGUGAAAAAGUUGAAGCCGUCUAGCAAAAAGGUCAUGAAACAUAGGUAAUAGAUCCCCCUUGAUAAUAUGUCAGCAUUUUUUAUAGAACUCCACCGGAAACCCAUCCGGCCCGGGAGCCUUAUUGUUCUCCAUCUGAGAGAUGGCAUCGAAAACCUCCUUUUCCGUAAACGGCGCAACCAAAAUAGCAUUGUCAGAAGCAGUUAGUUGAGGCACAUCCUCAUUCCUGGACUCAUCGAGGGACACAGGGCUAUCCUCCGGCGGUCCAAAUAACUGCUUAUAGUAUUCGGUGAUGUAAAGCUUCAGAUUAUCGUGACCAACAAUUGUGCCUUCGUCUUGCUCGAGAUGGAAUAUAUUUUUCUUUCUGUGUGUUGCCAUUCGCAAUGAGGUGAAAGAAUUGAGUGUUCGCAUCCCCCUGCACUACUUUGCGAACCUUUGCUCUGAGCGCCCACUUCAGCUCUACUUCGCGGAGAAGUUCCUUCAACCUCUUCUCCGCAUCAAGCUUAAAAGUCAAUUCAGCAGGUUGCAAAAUUGUUGAUUCAGCUUUAAUAUCUAGGGAUUGUAUAAGAUCCAGGAGUCUGUCCUUCUCAAUCUUAUAAGCUCCACUAAGGUGCUUGGCCCAUCCCCGGAGAAAGCUCCUCAAAUGCCUGAUCUUAUUCUGCCAUCUCUCGACAGACGUUCUACCCCCUGUGUCCGUAGCCCACUCCCUGGCUACGAGAUCCAGGAAACCUUCUCGUUCAAACCACGCCGUUUCGAAAGAGAAGGCAUUUUUGUUUCCCACAUGCCUUGGCUCACCUGAGUCUACAAACAAAGGCGUGUGGUCUGAAAUCCCGCGCGUGAGAGCCUGAACCGUGACGAGAGGGAACUUCUGUUCCCACUCGGCACUUGCUAGUACCCGAUCCAACUUCUCAUAUGUCGGAUUGGGUAAAGAGUUAGCCCAGGUGAAUUGUCGACCAGAAAGCUCGAUCUCUCUCAGAUCCAAACUCUCAAUGAUGGUGUUAAACAUAAACGACCAUCUGCCGUCAAAGUUAUCGUUAUUCUUCUCGUCCCUCCUCCUAAUGAUGUUGAAGUCCCCCCCAACCAAAAUUGGGAGUUGCUCAGACCCGCAAAUACGAACAAGGUCAGCCAGAAAUUCCGGUUUAAGUUCAGGUUGUGCGGCCCCAUAGACCGCCACCAGAACCCAGUUAAACCCAUCUACUUUAGACCUGACUCGAAAUUUGACCGCGAAGUCACCCAUUACAACGCUACGAACUUCAAGGGAAUCACAUCUCACACCAAGCAAGAUGCCACCUGACCUCCCUCUUGGAGGAAGACAAUGCCAAUCGAAAUCCACACCUCCCGACAGCGUGUUAAGAAACUGUGGCGCAAAAUUAUCCCGACCAGUUUCAGAGAGUGCAAUGAAAUCUAAUCGGUGCUCUAAAGACGCCUCCGCUAGAAACCUUCGUUUAGCCAAGUCCUUAAGACCUCUGCUAUUCUAGAAUAUUCCUUUCAUAGGUCAUCAUGGAAUUUUUUGGCAGUACGAAUCCUAGCGCUCCUACGUACCGCGGAUGCAGGGUACACCUUCCACUUCCACUUACGUUUAGGAAUAUUAUUUCCCGUAGCCCGGUCCUCAUAACCGGGCUCCGGUUGUGGAAUUACUACAUCAUCCACACGGAGUUCCUCCUCGUCAGACUCCGCAGACGGAGGAACAAGAUCCGCAGAAAAAUGGUCAAGCACUCUUACUCCCAAUGCAUCAAUCUCAGCAUCAUUCAUAGGUCUUACUGCCGCUAGGUUUCUAAUGGUUUCUAUGGCACGUUCCGCUUCCAAAUCUAGGAGAUCGUUAACUGAGUUUGAAAUUUCAGAAUUAUUAUUCCCAAGCGACACCCCUACUUGGUUUGCAUUAUUAAUAAUCUCAUCCUUAGAAAAAUGCAAAAUGGAAUUGGAUAAAUUUACUGACAUACCGGUUGUGACCUCAACAUCACGAAGCUUGGCCGCCCGCAUAGCGCACCGCUGCUGCAUAUCAUCAACCUCUGGAAGGUCCUGGAGACGAGAGCUCAUCCGUCUCCCCUCGGAGACCGGGUCUGGGAUCCCUCCGAAAGCAAUGACCUCCUCCCGAGUAGCGGCACUCGGAGGGGGCAGGGACAAGGGAGAGCUCCGAAGGUUGGGAGAGAGGCCAGAGGAAGUGGGCGCCAAGGCCGCCUGCCCUAGUCCGUCCCCCCUGCCCUCACCCUCGCAGCCAAGUGCAUCGCCGUUUCGACCGCCGUCGAGACUAGGGGGUCUGGGGCCACCUGCCCCUGACGCCUGCCUAGCGCCUCCGGCGAUCCCUCCGCAAGCAUAGCUCCCGCGUGGCACUCCUCCAGGGCCACCUGCCUCAGAGAUGGACCACCACCGCCGGUUACCGGCGCCAAAGCUGUCGACACCGGUAACAAGGUAGUAUGAGAGGGAGUCUUGGCCGCCUGCCCCGACGCCCCCCCCCCUCGGUGUAGCUACCAAGUCGAGCUCAAAUUGGCUGCACGAGGACACCAAGGACCCUGGGAGCACCGGAGCCCCCUGAGGCUCCGCAGCGCCUAUCCUCUCCAGGUUCGGCUCGGAUACACCCGGAUCACGGAUGCCGUCCGUAAGAUGGAGCGCCGAUCCAAAGUCCAAAACCGGGAGCGAGUGCUCAAAAGCAUCGUCAGAGUCAACCCGAUCACUCCAAAGCCGAGGAGGGGCCGACGUCGGCUGAAAAGAUCCAAACCGCAAAGUGUUGUGAGGCAGAGACGAAGUAGGAGACGGCUCAACUCCGGAUCCGGUCUCGGGCUCCUGAGCUAUAGGUCCCGAUCCGUUGGACUCCUGUUCAGCCUCAUCAGUCGGUCCCCUCCUAGCACCAGCAUCAUUGCCCCCUUCGUGCAUAUCCACAUCAGUACCAGUAGCCACCUCAGCAAACAACUCAGCGUCCUCAAACUCGAUCUCAAGGGGAAACACCUCUCCCCUAUAUGUCCAGUUGACCACGUCCGGAACGUACUCUAUGUCCAGAAUACUGACUCGCAAUCUGGCCACCCCCUGGGCUCGAGUGAAUGCCAUAUCAACCUUUUCCGUUUUACCAACCAUGAUACCCAAACUAGCCACAACACGAACAUCAGCCAGGGCCUCAGAUGGUGCCCCAGAGAAGCGCAACCACACUUGAGUAAGAGGCUUCCCCUUAGGCUCAAAUUUCUUCCAUUCGUGAAACUCCAAAAUACCAUUGGUGCCUGGAACCUUACACAUCCCAAAGCUCAGCAAGCGCUGCAAGUCCUCAACUGAAGGGAACUCAACUCUGAACACUCUUUCUUCAAUGGAAACAAGGUCCCACUGAAAAUCACCCGGAGCCAACUCCUGAAGCUUCUGCACAAUCUGAGCCUGUGAGACAUCUCCCUGGGUGACCUUCACCAAACCAGUAGUGAGACUCUGAGUAUCAACUGGAAUCUCCCUCGCAGCUGCUGACUCAAAAAACAUCAGCUCAGCACAAUACACGCCGUACACUGUAAGAGCUGGAAUCUGCUCCCUCAAAAAAGGACACUCCCCCGAUGCAUGUGCUGGCUUGCCACAAGACUCACAAAGCUGAGCCACGCAUUUUGCAAUGAAAUGACCUUUCUCCCCGCACCGGUAACAAAGCAUCCUCUCUUUCUUGCGCGCAUACUUGGAUGCCCGCUCAGCAUCAGCCCUGUCAGCGACCUCAGUCUCCUUCCCAGUCCCAGGAACAUCAGCAACGGCCAGUGCAUUCACCACCUCCAUCGCCUGGGGUGGUAGCUCAGGGGGAACCUGGUCAGUCUCCAUUGCCGCAACGGCAGGGUCUGCAACCCUGGGUGGAGGCGGUCGGCGAAACCUCCCUCGGCCUCCACCACGACCACAGUAUCCACAAAAACCACCUCUCUGUCGAUUAUCCGGUCCUGAGGCCCCCUCAACAAAACCUCCAGCUGGGCCAAGAAACGGUCUCUCCAUAGACCCGUCACUCUGCCAUGCAUAUCCACGGCCUCCUCCCGUGGAAGAGGAUCCUCGAUGCUGACCAACACCAUAUGCAUCAUACCCGUCAUCCCCCCACUUGCCUCGUGGUGGAUCAUUUGGACCUCCAUUAUUAUUAGUCUGUCUGGCCUGUGACUGCGUCUGCCCAAAGCGGUUCUGCGCCUGCCGUGCGACAAGAUGAGGCGGAGGUGCACGUUGCUGUCCACCCGAAGGCACAUGCACGGCCUCGGGGGUAACACCUCCACGGCCAGCCGUAGCCACCCCCGGCGCAGGGGGUCUGUGACCAACCGAACCCACCGCCGCCGUCACAGCGGCUGGCGCCACCGGAGAAGGAGGCCGCUGCACACCCCGGCCAGCAGCAGACGGAGCCACUCCCGGCGCCGGGGGCCUUUGCCCGCCACGCCCAGCCGCAGACGGCAGCAAAGCCGGAGGCCGGGCUCCCUGGCUCGCGGCGCUCCCCUGGUUGCCCGCCUGCUGCCUCAAGGGAGGAGGAGGAGCUCCGCGGUGCUGUGGGGGAGGCGCCCCUCCCCGCCCCGCAGCACCCGUAGCCGGCGCCGGCGGCCGCUGUCCGUGCGGCACGGGGGCGCCACGGCCCGAACCCUGCGCCGGCGGCGGAGCAACUCCGCCCCUCCCCACCGCGCCAUUCGCAGCGGGUGGGGGGGGGGCAGUCCCCCGGCGAGCCAUAAGUCUCAGCGGCGAAAUCCUCCUUGCCCGGCGAUCACCGCAGACCGGAUACCCUCGACGCCCGCACCUACGAACCCUAACUCCACCCAACGACGGCGCAGGGUAGAUCGCACGAUCGGGUUCAUACGUGCAUGGCUCGACAACCAAACCGGGAUGGACUUCAGAGGUAACAUGGGCCUCAUACCCAUGUGUCUCCGGCCCAUCUCCCUCAAGGCCCGCAUCCGUCUGUGCUGGCCCAGCCGCACCCAGCAGCCGUUCCAGCGCGGCCGCCCUCGACGUUUGAAUCGAGGCCGCUGCGGCCGCCAUCACCCGCACCGGCGAUCCCAAACUCCGGGCCGAUCGCCGCGCCUUCUUUCUUCGCUUAACCGUAACCCACUCCUCCGGACGAAUCAAAUCAAAAACAGUAAGUUUUGGCAAACUAACCUUAGGUAAAGGUCCUUUCCACGGCCGGAGUGCCGUUACCGCCGUCUUCCGAUGAACGAUCCGGCGGAUCAUCUCGAUCCUCUCUCCGGCGUGUAGUCCCGCGCGAGCCGGAUCCUCCGGAGGAACGACCCAAUCUACCGUGGUAGCCACCUCCUCUUCGGAAUACCCUGAAUGGAAAAACUCGCAGAUGAGGUCAGAAGGGGAAGGCGACGGCGGCGACUCCACCGGCGGCGCCGCCCCAUCAUCUUCCGCGUCUUCUUCAUCAGAGUCCGCCAAAGCCCAAAACCGGCCUCCCACCCGCCGGCGAUCGCCGGUGCCGGACGGCGGAUCCGCAGUCGGGUGCAAGUCGCCCCCGCGGUCGCCCUCAGAGCGCCCCCUCGGUCGCCCCAUCCAGCUAGGCCUCACUGCGGCGGUGAUAAUAUAUUUGUCACGACACUGCGGCUGCCACGUGGUGCACCACGAUCAGUGUGACCGAUCAAUAAAUCCCACUUACGAUCUAACAAAUUUGUUGCCUCUCAAUUUUCGCAUGUUUUUGAAGUUGUAGUCUCAGAAUCAACACAACAGAAAAGAUGGCCAUACUUUACAUGUUACGCAAUCCCCUAUACGUUUCUGUAAACUAGCAAUGUAGCCCAUGUAAAUGCACAUGCAGAGUCUUUUAAUCAUCUAUCGUAUAUUAUUGAUCAAGUUACAUACAAAGUGUGAUUCAUAAAUUCCGGAAUAUAUUUAGAUUUUUUAUUUAUUAUUUUCACAACUACUAGGGAAAUGAAUCAUAUCCCAAAGAAUUAAUAUUAAAACAAAUUGUGGUAGGCUGGAGUUACAUGCAGAGUCUUUUAAUUUUCAUUACGUUUAUGUUACUAAUAUUUACAACAACAACAACAACAACAACAACAACAACAACAACAACAACAACAACAAGAAUGUCUUUAGUCCCAAACAAGUUGUGGUAGGCUGGAGUUGAAACUCAUAAGAUCUCACAAUCAACUCAUGGUUCUCGCACAUGGAUCACAAGCUUUGUUGUCUGGGAACCUAAAUGGGUAUGAAAUUGAUGUCCAAAUCAUGAGUUGGCUUACCAUUUCGACUUCAUAUUAGUUUGAUAUGUAAAUUUUGUACGCGAUGUUGGCAAGUCCUUAAGUUAAAGCAAAAGAAGUUUAAAUAAUAAUUUAUUGGUUUUACCAUGGUUUAGGUCCAUUACGAAUUUAGAUAUUACAAUAUCGUUCCCACUUGAAAUUAAAUAGUUUUAUUGCGCACUAUUUUCAUAUAUGUUCCCAUAUUGUCUAAGGCUUGUGUGAUGUUCUCUUUAGUUUUAAUUAAAGAUCCUUUUGAAAGAGCAUAACCUGAGAACGGUGACCUUUUUCUAUUCUAAUAUGGACACACCGAGUUCCUAAACAUUAAAAAAACGAGGAUUUUUUAUGUAUCUCCCAUUGGCCUUUUUGCAUAGACCAAUAAUAAUGUUGGCGAUGGUCUUCAUCAAGUAGCAAGGACAAACAUAAAUUAACCGAAUAUUUCUCUAAAUGAACUGGUGUGAAGGUGUUUUUUUAAAUUGAAGUAAUGCCACAUCAAGCACAGUAAGACAUGUUGAACAUGCCAUCAUUGAAAUGUGUCAGUACAUUAAUAAGAAGAAAUGAAAUAAAAUCACAUACGUGGUUAUUUCUUCAACACUCCUUGUGCAACAUUCUUCUAUGUUUUUCAACUACAGUUCCCCUGAGAAAAAAAUGCUAAUUUCUGAACUCAAGUGAUGGACCUUUAAAUAAUCUCUUUGUAAAUGUUCCAAAAUUAUAUAGAGUUUGAAAAUUUUGUACACUACUUAUCUCGUACUUAUUAUUCUGCCUGAGAUCGGUAGAUGCCUACUUGCCAAAUUAUAAUGACAUAAUGCAGUCAAAACAUGGACCACUGCUCAGGUAGAAGCUUAUGUUUCUAGAGAAUUAUAAACAUAAGAAGCAAGUUAGGAAGAAAGUUGCAUAUUAGUCCUAUCUAUGGAUGACAAAGAAGAAGUACAUACAUUACUUAUAGGAUGGCAUAGUAUUUUAUAUAUUUGGCAUCACCAUGUCUACCUUUCUUUAAAUUAUAUACAAGGAUGACCUUAGGAUGCUUCUUACUAAAAAAAUACCUUUGUUGUCGCAUGUACAUAUCAGUUUUAGGUCUAGCAAGCUAAAAGCAAAUAGGAGGUGAUGACAUCUCCGCCUCCUACACCCUGGCUCCACUUCGGGUUCACCAUCCAAUUUUUUGUGCAUCGUAGUGCUUUAUUAUGUAUGAAAGCCAGCAUGGUGGCAGCUCAAUGAGGUGCUGGAUUAGGAAGAUGGUUGACAUCGGUGGUGGAUGGUGGCUCGAAAAGGCUUCAGCGGGAGCUUAGCAUCAGUGGCGGAGGGUAUCCUCACUUGUCUGGAUGCAUCUUGUUCACAAGAUUAACACAUGACAAGAUGAUGGAAUAUGACAUGGACUUGUGAUUCACAAGGAAUGGAAAUGGAUAGAAGGAAAAUUUUAGUUUAGUAUUGAAUUGCGCGCAGUUACAACUUCCAAUCAUGUCGACUACCAUAAUUACUCAGUGGAUGUAUGGACUACUGGGAUGAAGAGCAUAAUUACUUGUUUCCCAAAGAGUUAACCAUGGAAAUGUUUUUGGUUGAUUAGUUGAUCGGUACCAUAGGUGGUUCUUUUGACUGGUUUAAUGCCCACAUUAAGUGGAACUGCUAUGAGAUAAAGGUGUAAUAUUGUUCAGGAAAAAAAUGUUCUAAAUUAAUAAAGGAUGGAUACAUGUUUUGAAAUAGCAAUUGUAGUACAGUUUCCAGUCCUGUACAAGAUAGGCUCAACUCACAAAUAUGAAAAAGUAGUAUAGUAAAAGGUAGGCUCACACCCCACAUACUGAUGAAUGGAUGGACAUAUGACAACAUAGUUCUCCUUGGUAAUUCUGCAUCUAAUCUUAUCUAUAUUAACUAAGUGAAAGCAUCCUACAAGUCGUCAUGUUAAUUCGAGGAUAUCAUCGCACAAAACAGAAAUAAAGUUUCUUAAAUGUUCAAGAGGAAUUGUGUAUGUUCUCAAGAUAUGCGAAAAAAAUUAGAAAUCCAAAUUAAAAUACACAUAGAGAGAUAAUGAAGACAAAUCUAAAUGUGAAUAGUGUCAUUUUCGUUGUUGUCUUUUUGUGACACUAUUCAUGCUGGAUUAUUGUUUCUUCGUGUGUAUUUCAGAAUUAAAUUUGAUGUUUUUAGUAACUUACACACAUAUCUUGUGAGGAUUUACAAAUAUUCUAAGUUGAAACAUUAAAAUUUUAGUUUAAUACAUUGGUAUCACGAUAAGCUUUUAACAUAGUAUCAAUAACUAUUCUCAGCAAAAGUACAUCUAAUUUCUUGCUCUUUAAAAUAACUCCACAUAGAGGGUUUUUAUUUCUUAGGAUAAUGAUACACCAUAGCAAGAGAGUCCUAUCGCAAUUUACAUGGCAUAUGGAGUACAUCUUAUAUUAAAACAAUUGUUUAAUGCCCAAAGUUGAUUGGAACGUCGAGCGCAAGCAUAAUACUAGUCCAAAAAUAUUGUUCUAAAUAAAUAGAAAUUUUGACCAUUAAUCGGAUAAAAAUUAUGAGUGAUAUGCCAUCAAAAUUUUACCAUGGAUAACUUCUUGAACUUGAAUCCUAUUAUAAAGUUUUUAUUAACAUAUACCUCAUAAUUUGUUGACCAAAAUAACCGCUCCAAUUUUAACUAAAUAUAUGUUAGCCUUAAAAACACAAACGGAGCGAGGAUAUGAUAUCUUAGAUCCCAAAGCUUGACAAAUGCCUAGGCAUAGGGUGGUGUUGUGCCCCUUUGGAUUUUUUUGUCUUGUAUCAUCUAAUUGGAGGCUUCAACGGGAGGUUGGCAUCAGUGGCGGAGGGUAUCGUCACUCGUUGGGAUACAACCUGUUGACCAAAUUAACACAUGACAAGAUGAUAGAUAGGUCGCAUAGACUUGUGAUUGACAAGGAAGGGAAAUAGAUGGACGGAAAAUUUUAGUUUGGUGUUGGAUUUCAUGCGGUUGUAUCUUCUAAUCAUGUCGAAUCCCACAAUUACUCGGUGGAUGUAUGGACUACUUGGCUGAAGAGCAUAAUUAUUUGUCUGACCAAGAGUUAACUAUGGAAAUACUUUUGGUUGAUCGGUACCAUAGGUAUUCAUUUUGAAUGGUUUAAUGCCCACAUUAAGUGGAAUUGCUACGAGAUCAAGGUUUACUAUUGGUCAAGAAAAAAAUGUUCUAAAUUAAUAAACAAUGAAUACAUCUACUGAAAUAGCAUCAGUAGUACAGUUUCCAGUCCUAUACAAGAUAGGCUCACCUCACCGAUAUGAAACAGUAGUACAGUAAAAGAUUAGCUCACAUCCCACAUCCCGAUGAAUGGAUGGAGAUAGGACAACAUGGUUCUCCCUUGUAAUUCUGCAUCUAAUCCUAUCUAUAUUGACUAAGUGAAAGCAUCCUUCAAGUCAUCACGUUAAUACAAGGAUACCAUUGCACAAAACAAAAAUAAACUAUCUAAAAUGUUCAAGAGGAAUUGUGUAUGUUCUCAAGAUAUGCAAGAAAAUUACAAAUCAAUACACAUAGAGAGACAAAGAAGACAAAUCUAAAUGUGAAUAUUGUCAUUUUCAUUGUUAUCUUUUUGUGACACUAUUCAUGCAGGAUUAUUGUUUCUCCAUGUGUAUUUCAGAAUUGAAUUUGAUGUUAUUAGUAACUUACACACAUAUAUUGUGAGGAUUUACAAAUAUUCUAAGUUGAAACAUUAAAUUUUUUGUUUUAUAUGUAGUGGUAUCGCUGUAAGAUUUUAACAAAAGUAACACUAAAUAUUCUAAGCAAAAGUACAUCUAAUUUCUUGAUCUUUAAAAUAGAUCCACUUGGAGGGUUUUUAUUUCUUAAGACAAUGAUAUACCAUUGCAAGAGAGUCCUCUCCCAACUUACAUGGCAUAUGGUGUUCAUCUUAUAUGAAAACAAUUGUUUAAUGCCCAAAGUUGACUGGAACGUCGAGCACAAGUGUAGUACUAGUCCAAAAAUGUUCUUCUAAAUAAAUAGAAAUUUUGACCAUUAAGUUGGAUAAAAAUUAUGAGUGAUAUGCCAUGAAAAUUUUAGAAAGGAUAACUUCACUUGAACUUGAAUCUGAUUAUAUAGUUUUUAUUAACAUAUACCUCACAAUUUGUUGACCGAAAUCACCGCCCCAGCCUAAUGAACACAGACGGAGCGAGGACAUGAUAUCUCAGAGCCCAAAAAUUGAUGAAUGCCUAGUUAUAGGGUGGUGUUGUGCUCCUUCGGAUUUUUUGUCUUAUAUGAUCUAAUUGGAGACAUACUUGGAGCCAACACAUUAUUGCUAGAAAAAAAUAGAUUUAAUAGAUUGAUCUUAAAAAUAAGUCUGCAUGACAGUUCAGUGUUCUAACCGCGUAAUGAGAUAUUACUAGCAAUUCACAACUCUUAUGCGGUACAUGUUCUGAGUAUUUACCACCCGCCUAAAAAUGUGCUAGGCAUAAGGAUGAUCCCAAUAGGUUCAUUGUUCAUUGAGGAGGCUCACGCCGAGAGUAGGCAGUGAUCCUCGAUGAUCUCCUCCCAUGGAUCGUCUCUAUCUCCGUGUUGUCUAGAUGCGGGCAAAGAUUAUUAUGGCAUCACUCUAGUUUAGUAUUUAAUCAUGCGGUGGAAAAUAAAGGAUUGGAUGACUGCAGACUAUAUAGUGUGCCUUUUGACAAUGCAUUGGCAGGUGAGUUCAUACAUAUUAGUUCUAGAGUACAUAAUUAUUGAUUGGUUAAAUAUAGAUUGCUUAUACCUACUUGUGUAGUUUAAUAAUACGACUUAUUCUAAUGGUUUUUAUAAACCCACCAGGCCAGAAGCUUCGUGGACUUAAGCAUUUACUUUUCUAGUUAGACAUCAACAUCUUGGAGCUAAUGUGGGAGUCGUUCAACAAACCACAUGUUAAGCUAAAUAUCUAUUGUGUUACCCAAGCUAGGAGAUUAUCUUUGACAGGGGAAACUAUGUGUUUUGGGGAUUUUUAUGUCAAGGGAGCCCAAUCAGUUCUCAAUUGAGUGAAUUGAAAAACAGAAAACCAUAGAAAGGACUAGCAGAAAACGGGCCUUUAGUCCCGGUUCUGAAACCGGGACAAAACAAACGGGACUAAUGCCCAAAACCUUUAGUCCCGGUUGGCUUACGAAGCGGGACUAAAGGAGCUCCACGUUGCCGCUGUCUGGAGCUCCACCUUUAGUCCCGGUUGGUAACACGAACCAAACACCAAUCGGGACUAAAGAAUUUUAAAAAAAAAAUAGAUUUUUUUUGAAUUUUUUCCGAUUUCAAAUAUCUGAAUUAUUUGACAAUUUAAUCUCUAAUCACCCCACAUCACUGCCCAAGUGUGGAGCACUCAUUUCAAAUCGUCUAAGUUCUCGGCUGGUUACCCAUCCUCUCACUAUUUCAGCCUAAGCAUGCUUAAAACUCCCAAGGUCUAUUCCCCCUAGUUUCCAAGUCUGCAUUUGUUUUUCUGCUCACAAUAGUAAACUGUCAAUCGUAUUAACCCUUAGGAAAUGAAAUUGAGCAUGAAGUCACACGUUUCACCAUUUGAGUUCGAAACUAUUAUUCUAAAAAACAAUAUUUAUUUAGUAACACUAAUAUUUCUUAAACAAGUAGUUUGACCAUAGUUUGACCAUAGUUUGACCAGAGUUUGGCCAAAAAUUCAAAAAAGCUUAACUUUGAGGAUAACUUUUUUCUUUUCAGAAUUUGAGGAUACUAAAAAUUUGCAAAACGGCAUGCGGCAGUCGAAAUUGGAACCGGCUUUCCAUACUGAACAUUUUGAUAUAUUAUACGUUUUUUCCGACAUCGUAUGCAAAAGUUAUAGCCGUUUUCAUAACUCUUUUUUCAAAACAUGUCGAAAUUUAUGUUUUUUAUUUUUCCUAACUAGUAGAUAUAGUAACAUAACUACAUAUCGAAGGAUUUUAAUUUUUGAAGUUUUUAUCAUUUUCUUUUUUUUCCAAACUGAAAUGGCGAUAGGGGGUAGAGUUUGAAAAUUGCAGAACCCCUUUAGUACAGGAUGGUGUCCAUCCAAUCCGGCCGUCGCCUACAUCUUCUAGCACCGUCCCAGCCAGAGUCACAACUACGGUUAACCAAGUGAGAGUAACGUUCUAUUAAAGUGGCAAAAGGAAUUACUUUUUAAUAUAGUAAAACUAAUUAUAUCAACUAUUAUUAAAGGCUAAACAACUAUUAAUACAAAACAAUAUUAAAAUUAAUAUUAAAUAAUUAUAAAAACUUAUCUACUGUUGGCUAACAGAAGCAUACUACAACAUGUUAAAAUCUACAUAAAGAACUACUAAAAAUAAUUGAAAACAACAAUUAGAGGACUAAAACAACUAUAUAAGCAAAAUAGUACUAUUUUAAUUAAAAUUCUAAUUUAAAUUGUUCUAAAAAUAACAAAAUAAAUCUUACCAUGACAACAAUCUAACAUGUGAUUGGGAGAAAAAGAAUUAAAUUUAAAACUAUUUUUAAACUCAAAUUAUUCACAAUCUACGGUUUGAAGCAAGUUUGAAAAAAUUCAUAUUUAAAUAAUUCAAAUUUGAUAAUGGCACAAACAGAAACUAGGCGAAAUUUUGAAUCUAAUUCAAAAAAGAAUCACUCAAAAACAGUAGAUAUCCUAAAAGAUAUAAGCAAUUUAAAACAGAAACUAAAAAUAAAAAACAAGAAACAAAUUUCAAAACCCCUUUAGUCCCGGUUGGUGGCUCCAACCAGGACUAAAGGUCCUCAACCCCUUUAGUCCCAGUUGGUGGAGGUGUAAUCUUUAGUCCCGGUUGGAGAUAGCAACCGGGACUAACGGGCAUCGCACCUUUUAGUCCCGGUUGGUGUCUCGAAUCAGGACUAAAGGUCCCAUUUGAAUAGGUACUAAUGCGUGCCCGGCGCCCUAACCGCUCGUAUCGGGACUGAUGCUCACAUUAGUCCCGGUUCGUAAUGCAACCAGGACUGAUGUGUAGAUUGAGCUUGGACCAAAGCCAUGUUUUCUACUACUGACGUUCGACACAAUAUAUUACCCAUGUUGCUUUAGUUAACCUAUUUAUAUUAUGUGGGUGGUGUAGCAUCCAAAAUCAAUGCAGUUAAUUUUGUCUGUUCCAGAAAAUGGUUAUCAACUUCCCAUUUUGUUCUAGCAUUCUUUAUUUCUUACAAAUGUUCUUCUACAAAUAAUCCAACCAUGAUUGCUACCCAUAUGGUGGGAUGCAGCAUAGUAUAAUUGUAUUUUACAUUGACGGGAUUACUUUUAAUUUAUAAUUUUCAUAACAUGUAAGUUUCUUUUGUUUACUUAACUAUAAAAUAAAUAGUGGUCUAGGAGCAUCUUUUCUACAUAUUUCUAAAACUUAAAUAAAGUAAAUAUAUUUUAAAAUCAAAUUUUUUGUAUUUAUCUUUGGUUUCUACUCAAUAAAGAAGAGAUAUACAUAAGCCUUAUGAGAUAUAUACUCCAUUGUACAUUAUUAAUUAGGGAAAUUUGUCGUCGAUAUAAUUCAUGCUAUGUUGAUCAUUGUCACGCCAUACAUAUCCUAUCUGGUCCACCACAUAUACAAUGGGUAAGUAUCAUUGUCUGAGAUUUAAAAUAGAUAUGAAAUUAAAUUCCAAAUCAUGAUAUUGGCAAGUCAUUAACUUAAAUUAGAAGAAAUUAAAGUAAUAAUUUAUAUGUUUUAUAUUGUUCCGGUCAAUUUGGAAUAUAUAGAUUACAAUGGUCUUCCGACUGCAAAUAACUGAAAAUAAAUAAUUUGAUUACGAAAUACUUUCGGAUAUGUCCCCAUAAUGUCUACUGUUUAUGUGAUGUUCUUUUUAGUUUUUAUGAAUACUCCCUUUGAAAUGGAGGCACAAGUUCAGCAUAGUUACUUUUUUCUAUUCUAAUAUGGACAUACCAAGUUCAUAAAAACUAAAGGUUAAUGAUUUUUUACGUAGCUCUGGUUGCCCUUUUGGCAUAGCCCUAUAAUAAUGCUGCUGAUGGCCUUUGUCAAGUACCUAGGACAAACAUAAAUUGACUAAAUAUUUCUAUAAUUUGACAAUGAAGUGGUCUCAAGGCAUUUUUUUAAACUAAACUAAUGCCACAUCGAACACAAUAAGAACAUGUUGAACAUGCAACCAGGGAAAUGUGUCAGUAGGUCAAUAAGAGGAAAUGAAACAAAAUCACAUCGUGCAUUCUUCUAUGUUUUUCAAUUCCAAUUCCUCUUAGAAGAAUAGUAAUUUGUGAACUGAAGCGAUGGACUGGUAAAUAAUCUUUUUGUGCAUGUUAAGAAUUAUCAUGAAUAUUUCUAUAAUUUUAUGAACAGAGUGAAUAUUUCUAUAAUUUUACAGUGAAGUGGUGUCAAGGCAUUUUUUAAACUGAACUAAUGCCACAUCAAACACAAUAAGAACAUGUUGAACAUGCUACUAGGGAAAUGUGUCAGUAUGUCAAUAAGAGGAAAUAAAACAAAAUCACAUACAUGAAUUUUUAUUGCUUCGACACUUUCAUGGUGCAUUCUUCUAUGUUUCGAAAUUCUAAUUCCUCUUAGAAGAAUAGCUAAUUUGGUUACUGAAGCGAUGGACAGGUAAAUAAUCUUUUUGUGCAUGUUAAGAAUUAUCACGAGUAGGAAAAUUCCAUAAACUACUUUGCCAAUACUUACACUUCUGGUUGAGAUUGGUAGAUGUCUACUUGAAAAAUUACAAUGACUUAACACAGUCAAACAAUGGACAAUUGCUCUGGUAGAAACUUGUGUUUUUGGAGCAUUACAGCAAGUCAUGAUUAAACGUACGGAUAGGACCUAUCUAUAGAAUAACAAAACAAACAAAUACAUUACUUAUGAUGGCAUAGUCACUUUUAGACUUUGCAUUACCAUGUCUACCUUCUUUGAGAUUAUACACUAAGAUGGCCUUAACAUGCUUGUUACUGACAAACCAACUUUUGUUGUCAGAGUUACGAAUUGGUUUUAGGUCUCACUACCUAAAGGCAACCAGGAGGCGUUGGCAUCUUCACCUCUCAGCCCGCUAGCACCGCUAUGGGUUCGCGAAUUUAGCUGUGAAAUAACUUUACAAGAAAUCCGGACACUACCAAUCCUUAAACAUUUCUGGAAACCACAAUCAAAACAAAAAACACUGAGUCUCUUAAACAAGACAUUCUAAAACUUAGGUAAUUUAUAGCAUCCAAUAUUUUCGUGCGGCGUAGUGGUUUAAUCCAUAUGAAAGCAAGCAUGGUGGCAGCCGGAUAAGGCAAUGGGUCAGGCAGGAGGUUGAGAUCGGUGGCGUCGUGGCGGGGCAAAGAGGCUUCAGCCGGAGCUUGGCAUCUGUUGCAGCGGGUGUCGUUGCUCGUGGUGAUGCAACCUGCUGAACAGUGUAACACAUGACAAGAUGGACAACGGCCAUGGACUUGUGAUUAUCAUCGAAGAGAAAUAUACGGUAGAGAUGUUUUAGAUUAGGUUUGGGUUCGAUGUGGACGCAACUUUUUCAAUCGUGCUGAAUCCCACAAUUAACUUGGUGAGUGUAUGGACGGCUGAGCUGAUGAGCAUAAUUAGUUGUUUGACCAAUACUUAAUGAUGAAACUUUCUCAGGUUGAUCGGUAGCACAGGUAGUCGUGUCAGAAAUUUUUGAUGCCCACAUUGAGUGGAACUGUUUGGAGCUCGAGGUGUACUACUUGUCCGGAAAAUAUUGUUCUAUAUAAAUAUACGAUGGAUACAUCUUCUAAAAUACUCUCUCCCUUUCUAAAUAUUUGUUUCUUANNNNNNNNNNNNNNNNNNNNNNNNNNNNNNNNNNNNNNNNNNNNNNNNNNNNNNNNNNNNNNNNNNNNNNNNNNNNNNNNNNNNNNNNNNNNNNNNNNNNNNNNNNNNNNNNNNNNNNNNNNNNNNNNNNNNNNNNNNNNNNNNNNNNNNNNNNNNNNNNNNNNNNNNNNNNNNNNNNNNNNNNNNNNNNNNNNNNNNNNNNNNNNNNNNNNNNNNNNNNNNNNNNNNNNNNNNNNNNNNNNNNNNNNNNNNNNNNNNNNNNNNNNNNNNNNNNNNNNNNNNNNNNNNNNNNNNNNNNNNNNNNNNNNNNNNNNNNNNNNNNNNNNNNNNNNNNNNNNNNNNNNNNNNNNNNNNNNNNNNNNNNNNNNNNNNNNNNNNNNNNNNNNNNNNNNNNNNNNNNNNNNNNNNNNNNNNNNNNNNNNNNNNNNNNNNNNNNNNNNNNNNNNNNNNNNNNNNNNNNNNNNNNNNNNNNNNNNNNNNNNNNNNNNNNNNNNNNNNNNNNNNNNNNNNNNNNNNNNNNNNNNNNNNNNNNNNNNNNNNNNNNNNNNNNNNNNNNNNNNNNNNNNNNNNNNNNNNNNNNNNNNNNNNNNNNNNNNNNNNNNNNNNNNNNNNNNNNNNNNNNNNNNNNNNNNNNNNNNNNNNNNNNNNNNNNNNNNNNNNNNNNNNNNNNNNNGAGAUGCUAUCACAGCCACAGCUCGUCGUCUUAAUCUGAACUAACUCCCUGGAGCUCGAUGGGAACAGCUACUCUAACUUCCUGUUUCUGAACACCAGCAGAAGCGACGGCGGCGCCGGAAACAGUCUUGUUCAUAAUACUCACAAGUAUGAAGCAGCUGAGCUGUUGUCGAGUUCAUAAACAUCAGUUCGGAAUUACAGGUUGGUGAAUGACAGUGAGCUUCCUGCCAACCACCCUGGCCAUCUGUCCAAGUGAAAGCAAUGGAUAGAUUAACAACUGCAUAUUCCUGCCUUUAUGAGACUAUUACGCUGGAAUCCCCAAAAGGACGGCAAAUGAAAUGACACAUUAUAAUUAAUCGCCAUGAUACUUGUAUGAUGCUCAGUAAGGACACGGCAACGAGGUGGUGAUUGUGAUCUUCUGGCUUCUCUCAUGGACCGAUACUCUUUAAUUGUUGUGAUGAUCAAGGCGGUGAUAUAUAUUUUUCAUGACACCGCCGCAUCCACACAGCGCACCGCCCCCCAAUCGUAUGGUCCAUUAAUAAAUCCUACUUAUGAUCUAGCAGAUGUGUUGCCUCUAAAAUUUUGCAUGAUUUUGGAGAACAUGUAGUCUCAGAAUCAAUACAACAAAAAAGAUGCCGCUGUUUACACGUUCCGUAAUAACCUUUUACAUUUCUGAAAACUAGCAGCAAAGUGGCCCACGUAAAUGCACAUGUUUUAUAUAAAGUGAGACUCAUAUAAUUGGGAAUAGAUUCAGCUAUUUUGUUUUAUUAGCUUCGUAACUAUUAGUUACAUACAAAGUGUGAUUCAUAAAUUCCGGAAUAUAUUCAGAUUUUUUAUUUAUUACUUUCACAACUACUAGAGAAAUGAAUCAUAUCCCAGAGAACUAAUAUUAAAACAAAUUUAGUUGUCGCAGCCAAAAUAUAAUAAUACAUAACUAAAAUUAAUGUAUUAUAUGCUUUAAUAUCGGAAAAGACAUGUAGCUGUGUAAAUAUCUUCAUUUCGCUAUGCAAAUCUCUUGAAAUACAAGUCAGACGGCUACAUUAACAAAUCUUCAAAUUUGAUUGAUAUUAAUUUUUUUUAUAUUCAUUGGAUUAUUUUUAAUUUUUAAUUUUAAUUAAGUUGAUGUUACUAAUAUUUACAACAACAACAACAACAAUGUCGUUAGUCCCAAACAAGUUGUGGUAGGUUGGAGUUGAAACUCAUAAGAUCUCACAAUCAACUCAUGGUUCUCGCACAUGGAUAGCAAGCUUUGUUGUCUGGGAACCUAAAUGGGUAUGAAAUUGAAGUCCAAAUCGUGAGUUGGCCGACCAUUUCUACAUCAUAUUAGUUUGAUAUGCAAAUUUUGUAUGCGAUGUUGGCAAGUCCUUAAGUUAAAGCAAAAGAAGUUUAAAUAAUAAUUUAUUGGUUUUACCAUGGUUUAGGUCAAUUGCGAAUUUAGAUAUUACAAUAUCGUUCCCACUGAAAUUAAAUAGUUUUAUUACGCACUAUUUUCAUAUAUGUUCCCAUAUUGUCUAAGGCUUGUGUGAUGUUCUCUUUAGUUUUAAUUAAAUAUCCUUUUGAAAGAGGCAUAACCAGAGAAUGGUGACCUUUUUCUAUUCUAAUAUGGAGACACCGAGUUCCUAAACAUUAAAAAAUCGAGCAUUAUAAACAUAAGAAGCAAGUUAGGAAGAAAGUUGCAUAUUAGUCCUAUCUAUGGAUGACAAAGAAGAAGUACAUACAUNNNNNNNNNNACUGAGUCUCUUAAACAAGACAUUCUAAAACUUAGGUAAUUUAUAGCAUCCAAUAUUUUCGUGCGGCGUAGUGGUUUAAUCCAUAUGAAAGCAAGCAUGGUGGCAGCCGGAUAAGGCAAUGGGUCAGGCAGGAGGUUGAGAUCGGUGGCGUCGUGGCGGGGCAAAGAGGCUUCAGCCGGAGCUUGGCAUCUGUUGCAGCGGGUGUCGUUGCUCGUGGUGAUGCAACCUGCUGAACAGUGUAACACAUGACAAGAUGGACAACGGCCAUGGACUUGUGAUUAUCAUCGAAGAGAAAUAUACGGUAGAGAUGUUUUAGAUUAGGUUUGGGUUCGAUGUGGACGCAACUUUUUCAAUCGUGCUGAAUCCCACAAUUAACUUGGUGAGUGUAUGGACGGCUGAGCUGAUGAGCAUAAUUAGUUGUUUGACCAAUACUUAAUGAUGAAACUUUCUCAGGUUGAUCGGUAGCACAGGUAGUCGUGUCAGAAAUUUUUGAUGCCCACAUUGAGUGGAACUGUUUGGAGCUCGAGGUGUACUACUUGUCCGGAAAAUAUUGUUCUAUAUAAAUAUACGAUGGAUACAUCUUCUAAAAUACUCUCUCCCUUUCUAAAUAUUUGUUUCUUAGAGAUUUUAAAUGGACUACUACAUAUGCGGAUGUAGAUAGACAUAUUUUAGAGUGAGAUUCACUGAUUUUGCUCUGUAUGUAGUCACUUGUUAAAAUCUCAAGAAAGACAAAUAUUUAAGAACGGAGGGAGUAGUAUUAAUAGCACAGUGAUGCAGUCUUGUACUCCCUCCGUCCCAAGAUAGGCUCACAUCGCAGAGAGAGAGAGAGAGAGAGAGAGAGAGAGAGAGAGAGAUGGGGUUCAAACAAGCAGAAUUAUCUGGUUGUUGAUUCUACCCCAUAACUCAAUAGUCGGAUAUUGAUAAGAUAUGUAUGGAUGCGGCGGCAACUACGGCCACAUGUUGGGGGUGCGUAGCUGAUGGCCCCUUAUUGCAACCAUCUGGCCUUCAUUAGUGCAGACAAUUAAGAGUCAACGAAAGUAGUCUUUUCAAGUGAAUUUAAUGUUGGGUGUCCGCAAGCACAAACAAACCACACUUUACAAUGGGACGUGGAAGCUUGGAGAUGCUAUCACAGCCACAGCUCGUCGUCUUAAUCUGAACUAACUCCCUGGAGCUCGAUGGGAACAGCUACUCUAACUUCCUGUUUCUGAACACCAGCAGAAGCGACGGCGGCGCCGGAAACAGUCUUGUUCAUAAUACUCACAAGUAUGAAGCAGCUGAGCUGUUGUCGAGUUCAUAAACAUNNNNNNNNNNUGGAGUUGAAACUCAUAAGAUCUCACAAUCAACUCAUGGUUCUCGCACAUGGAUAGCAAGCUUUGUUGUCUGGGAACCUAAAUGGGUAUGAAAUUGAAGUCCAAAUCGUGAGUUGGCCGACCAUUUCUACAUCAUAUUAGUUUGAUAUGCAAAUUUUGUAUGCGAUGUUGGCAAGUCCUUAAGUUAAAGCAAAAGAAGUUUAAAUAAUAAUUUAUUGGUUUUACCAUGGUUUAGGUCAAUUGCGAAUUUAGAUAUUACAAUAUCGUUCCCACUGAAAUUAAAUAGUUUUAUUACGCACUAUUUUCAUAUAUGUUCCCAUAUUGUCUAAGGCUUGUGUGAUGUUCUCUUUAGUUUUAAUUAAAUAUCCUUUUGAAAGAGGCAUAACCAGAGAAUGGUGACCUUUUUCUAUUCUAAUAUGGAGACACCGAGUUCCUAAACAUUAAAAAAUCGAGCAUUAUAAACAUAAGAAGCAAGUUAGGAAGAAAGUUGCAUAUUAGUCCUAUCUAUGGAUGACAAAGAAGAAGUACAUACAUUACUUAUAAGAUGGCAUAGUAUUUUAUAGAUUUGGCAUCACCAUGUCUACCUUUCUUUAAAUUAUAUACAAGGAUGACCUUAGCAUGCUUCUUACUAAAAAAUACCUUUGUUCUCGCACGUACAUAUCGGUUUUACGUCUAGCAAGCUAAAAUCAAAUAGGAGGUGAUGACAUCUCCGCCUCCUACCCCCUGGCUGAGAAUAGUUAGUGACACAGUAUCACUAACUAUUCUCAGCAAAAGUACGUCUAAUUUCUUGCUCUUUAAAAUAACUCCAUGUAGAGGGUUUUUAUUUCUUACGAUAAUGAUACACAUAGCAAGAGAGUCCUCUCGCAAUUUACAUGGCAUAUGGAGUUCAUCUUAUAUUAAAAAAUUGUUUAAUGCAAAAAGUUGACUGGAAAGUCGAGCACAAGCGUAGUACUAGUCCAAAAAUAUUCUUCAAAAUAAAUAGAAAUCGUGACCAUUAAGUCGGAUAUAAAUAAUGAUGAUAUACCAUGGAUAACUUCUCUUGAACCUGAAUCUGAUUAUAUAGUUUUUAUUAACAUAUACCUCACAAUUUGUUGACCAAAAUCACCGCCCUAGUAUUUUUAAAUAUAUGUGGGCCUUAUAAACACAGACAGAGCAAGGACAUGAUAUCUCAGAUCGCAAAGAUUGACGAAUGCCUAGGCAUAGGGUGGUGUUGUGCUCCUUCAGAUUUUUUUGUCUUAUAUCAUCUAAUUGCAGGCUUCAGUAGGAGCUUGGCAUCAGUGGUGGAGGGUGUCCUUAGUUGUUGUGGUGAAUCCUGUUGACCAGAUUAACACAUGACAACAUGAUAGACUGAUGCCAUGAACUUGUGAAUAACAGGGAAGGGAAAUGGAUGGAAGGAAAAUUAUAUUUUAGUGUUGGAUUGCGCGCGGUUGCAACUUCUAAUCAUGUCAAAUCCCACAAUUACUCGGUGGGUGUAUGGACUACUGGGCUGAAGUGCAUAAUUACUUGUUUGACAAAGAUUUAACCAUGGAAAUGUCUUUGGUUGAUCGAUACCAUAGGUAGUCGCUUUGACUAGUUUAAUGCACACAUUAAGUGUAACUGCUACGAGAUCAAGGGUUACUAUUGGUCAACAAAAAAAUGUUCUUAAUAAAUAAAUGAUGAAUACAUCUACUGAAAUAGCAUUAGUAGUACACUUUCCAGUCUUGUACAAGAUAGGCUCACCUCAACUAUAUGAAACAGUACUACAGUAGAAGAUCGGCUCACAUCCCACAUACUGAUGAAUGAAUGAACAUAGGACAACAUGGUUUUCCUUGGUAAUUCUGCAUCUAAUCUUAUCUAAAUUAACUAAGUGAAAGCAUCCUUCAAGUCAUCACGUUAAUUCGAGGAUACCAUUGCACAAAACAGAAAUAAAAUUUCUUAAAUGUUCAAGAGGAAUUGUGUAUGUUAUAAGACAUGCAAAGAAACUAAAAUACACAUAGAGAGACAAAGAAGACAAAUCUAAAUGUGAAUAGUGUCAUUUUCGUUGUUGUCUUUUUGUGACACUAUUCAUGCUGGAUUAUUGUUCCUCCAUGUGUAUUUCAGAAUUGAAUUUGGUUUUUUUAGUAACUUAGACACAUAUCUUGUGAGGAUUUACAAAUAUUCUAAGUUGAAACAUUAAAAUUUUAGUUUUAUAUAGUGGUAUCACGGUAAGCUUUUAAAAACAGUAUCACUAAAUAUUCUCAGUAAAAGUACAUCUAAUUUCUUUAUCUUUAAAAUAACUCCACGUAGAGGAUUUUUAAUUCUUAGGAUAAUGAUAUACCGUAGCAUGAGAGUCCUCUCGCAACUUAUAUGGCAUAUGGUGUUCAUAUUAUAUUAAAACAAUUGUUUAAUGCCCAAAGUUGACUAGAACGUCGAGCACAAGCACAGUACUAGUCCAAAAAUAUUCUUCUAAAUAAAUUGAAAUGUUGACCAUGAAGUUGGAUAAAAAUUAUGAGUGAUAUGCCAUCAAUAUUUUACCAUGGAUAACUUCUCUUGAACUUAAAUCCUAUUAUAAAGUUUGUAUUAACAUAUACCUCAUAAUUUGUUGACCAAAAUCACCGCCCCAGUUUUUAUGUAAAUAUGAUAUCUUAGUUCCCAAAGAUUGACGAAUGCCUUGGCAUAGGGUGGUGUUGUGCUCCUUUUGAUUUUUUGUCUUGUAUCAUCUAAUAGGAGGCUUCAACAGGAGCUUGGUAUCAGUGGCGGAGUGUAUCGUCACUCGUUGGGAUGCAACCUGUUGACCAGAUUGACACAUGACAAGAUGAUACACAGGUCCCAUGGACUUGUGAUUAACAAGGAAAGGAAAUAAAUCGAAGGAAAAUUUUAGUUUAGUGUUGGAUUGCGUGCGGUUGCAACUUCCAAUCAUGUCGAAUCCCACAAUUACUCGGUGGGUGUAUGGACUACUGGGCUGAAUUAGUUGGUUGACCAAGAGUUAACCAUGGAAAUGCCUUUGGUUGAUCGGUAACAUAGGUAGUCGUUUUGACUGGUUUAAUGCCUACAUUAAGUGCAACUGCUACGAGAUCAAGGUGUACUAUUGUCAAGAGAAAAAUGUUCUAAAUUUAUAAACGGUGAAUACAUCUACCGAAACAGCAUUAGUAGUACAGUUUCCAGUCCUGUACAAGAUAGGCUCACCUCACAGAUAUGAAACAGUAGUACAGUAAAAGAUCGGCUCACAUACCACAUAUUGAUGAAUGGAUGGACAUAGGACAACAUGGUUCUCCUUGGUAAUUCUGCAUCUAAUCCUAUCUAUAUUAACUAAGUGAAAGCAUCCUUCAAGUAAUCGCGUUAAUUCGAGGAUACCAUUGCACAAAACUGAAAUUAAUUUUCUAAAUGUUCAAGAGGAAUUGUGUAUGUUCUCAAGAUAUGCGAAAAAAUUACAAUUCCAAAUUAAAAUACACAUAGAGAGACAAAGAAGACAAAUCUAAAUGUGAAUAGUGUCAUUUUCGUUGUUGUCUUUUUGUGACACUAUUCAUGCAUGAUUAUUGUUUCUCCAUGUGUAUUUCAGAAUUGAAUUGAAUUUGACUUUUGGGGUUGUGCAAAAUAGGUCUCCAAUAUUUGCUCCCUUUCCAGCCCAGAAUUCCAGCUGCCGGCAUUCUCCCUCUUUGUGUAAACCUUAUAAAAUAAGAGAGAAAAGGCAUAAGUAUUGUGACAUAAUGUGUAGUAACAGCCCACAACGCAAUAAAUAUUGAUAUAAAAGCAUGAUGCAAAAUGGACGUAUCAUGGUUUUGUGCUCGUUCUGAUUUUUUUGUCUUAUAUCAUCUAAUUGGAGGCUUUAGCAAGAACUUGGCAUCAGUGGUGGAGGGUGUCCUCACUUGUCGGGGUGCAAACUGUUGACCAGAUUAACACAUGACAAGAUGAUAGACAGAUGCCAUGAACUUGUGAUUAACAAGGAGGGGAAAUCGAUGGAAGGAAAAUUAUAUUUUAUUGUUGGAUUGCGUGCGGUUGCAACUUCCAAUCGAUCAUGUCGAAUCCCACAAUUACUUGGUGCGUCUAUGGACUACUUGGCUGAAGAGCAUAAUUAGCUGUUUGACCAAGUGUUAACCAUGGAAAUGUCUUUCGUUGAUCGGUACCAUAGGUAGUCGUUUUGACUAGUUUAAUGCCCACAUUAAGUGGAACUGCCACGAGAUCAAGGGUUACUAUUGCUCAAGAAAAAAAUGUUAUUAAUCAAUAAACGAUGAAUACAUCUACUGAAAUAGCAUUAGUAGUAAUACAGUUUCCAGUCUUGUACAAGAUAGGCUCACCUCACAGAUAUGAAACAGUAGUACAGUAGAAGAUCGGCUCACAUCCCACAUACUGAUGAAUGAAUGGACAUAGGACAACAUGGUUCUCCUUGGUAAUUCCGCAUCUAAUCUUAUAUAUAUUAACUAAGUGAACGCAUCCUUCAAGUCAUCACAUUAAUUCGAGGAUACCAUUGCACAAAACUAAAAUUAAUUUUCUUAAAUGUUUAGGAGGAAUUGUGUAUGUUCUCAAGGUAUGUGAAAAAAAUUACAAAUCCAAAUUAAAAUACACAUAGAGAGACAAAGAAGACAAAUCUAAAUGUGAAUAGUGUCAUUUUCGUUGUUGUCUUUUUGUGACACUAUUCAUGCAUGAUUAUUGUUUCUCCAUGUGUAUUUCAGAAUUGAAUUGAAUUUGACUUUUGGGGUUGUGCAAAAUAGGUCUCCAAUAUUUGCUCCCUUUCCAGCCCAGAAUUCCAGCUGCCGGCAUUCUCCCUCUUUGUGUAAACCUUAUAAAAUAAGAGAGAAAAGGCAUAAGUAUUGUGACAUAAUGUGUAGUAACAGCCCACAACGCAAUAAAUAUUGAUAUAAAAGCAUGAUGCAAAAUGGACGUAUCAUGGUUUUGUGCUCGUUCUGAUUUUUUUGUCUUAUAUCAUCUAAUUGGAGGCUUUAGCAAGAACUUGGCAUCAGUGGUGGAGGGUGUCCUCACUUGUCGGGGAGCAAACUGUUGACCAGAUUAACACAUGACAAGAUGAUAGACAGAUGCCAUGAACUUGUGAUUAACAAGGAGGGGAAAUCGAUGGAAGGAAAAUUAUAUUUUAUUGUUGGAUUGCGUGCGGUUGCAACUUCCAAUCGAUCAUGUCGAAUCCCACAAUUACUUGGUGCGUGUAUGGACUACUUGGCUGAAGAGCAUAAUUAGCUGUUUGACCAAGUGUUAACCAUGGAAAUGUCUUUCGUUGAUCGGUACCAUAGGUAGUCGUUUUGACUAGUUUAAUGCCCACAUUAAGUGGAACUGCCACGAGAUCAAGGGUUACUAUUGCUCAAGAAAAAAAUGUUAUUAAUCAAUAAACGAUGAAUACAUCUACUGAAAUAGCAUUAGUAGUAAUACAGUUUCCAGUCUUGUACAAGAUAGGCUCACCUCACAGAUAUGAAACAGUAGUACAGUAGAAGAUCGGCUCACAUCCCACAUACUGAUGAAUGAAUGGACAUAGGACAACAUGGUUCUCCUUGGUAAUUCCGCAUCUAAUCUUAUAUAUAUUAACUAAGUGAAAGCAUCCUUCAAGUCAUCACAUUAAUUCGAGGAUACCAUUGCACAAAACUAAAAUUAAUUUUCUUAAAUGUUUAGGAGGAAUUGUGUAUGUUCUCAAGGUAUGUGAAAAAAAUUACAAAUCCAAAUUAAAAUACACAUAGAGAGACAAAGAAGACAAAUCUAAAUGUGAAUAGUGUCAUUUUCGUUGUUGUCUUUUUGUGACACUAUUCAUGCAGGAUUACUGUUUCUCCAUGUGUAUUUCAGAAUUGAAUUUGAUGUUUUUAGUAACUUAAACACAUAUCUUAUGAGGAUUUACAAAUAUUCUAAGUUGAAACAUUAAAAUUUUAGUUUUAUAUAGUGGUAUCGCUGUAAGAUUUUAACAACAGUAACACUAAAUAUUCUAAGCAAAAGUACAUCUAAUUUCUUGAUCUUUAAUUAACUCCAUGUAGAGGGUUUUUAUUUCUUAGGAUAAUCACUAGGACAUAGGCCCGUGCGUUGCAACGGGAGAUCAAAACCCUGGUUCAUAUCCUCUAUUUGAACAUGGCAUCCCACCCGUAUUGUUUCAUAUCCUCAUUCACGUCCUCUUUCCUUAUGUACACUUUCUGUUCAUAAGAGGAAAGAGUGAAAAUAUCACAUAAUCAGUUUUAGUGUUAUCCUAAUUUCUAACAUUACGUCAAAAGGUGUAUAUAAUUCUAUUACCACUAUUUUUUUUACAUUUUUUUCAAAAAGUCGGAUCAUCCUUCUAUGUAUAUAAUUCUAGUCUUCAUAAACCGAAUAUAAUCUCAAUUGAUCACAAAAUCUCUAACAUUUUUUGUUAGCUGCAUAUUAAUUUUUGAUGAAAAUCAAUGCUAUCAAUGAAAUAAAACUUUGUGAUCAAUUGAGUCCGCAAACUUAGGUGUCUCCAUAAUGAAAAGCUAGGAGUCCGCAAUAUUUUCAUUUGAUCGAGGUUUCGUUUUAUCCAUUUGCUUUGUACGACCAUAAUUUCCUUUAAUUACAAGAGAUGGCAUGGUCCUCCCUUCCAGCCUCCAUUUCACGCGAGUUAACUGAUAUUCACACCCCAACUUUUUUACUGCGUCCUUUUCUGUCAUCUUUCUUAUAUUGCGAAAUUCCUUUGCUUUCAAGGUUAAAUAGGACCCACACUUCAGCCUCUGUUCGUUAUUCUUGGUGUCUUUUUUAUUCUGUGACAACUCAUGGGCUAUAUAAACUGAUAAAAAAUCAUGUAAAAAAGCGAGGUGAGACUAUUUAAAUGCAUAAUGAGCGGUGUAGUUAACAUACACAGGAGCUGGUCCUAGCCUGAAGGAGGCAAAUACCAGGUCGUGGGCUCGAUCCUUAGUGCAAAUGGCAAUUUUUUUGCGAAUCCUUCUUCUCAGCACAAGAGCGUUGGCGUGCAUAGACCCCAAAAAACAGCGGUAACGAAUAUGAAUUUGUUUUGUAGCAAAAAAUAGUACCACCUCGAAUACAGUAAAAAAUAUAUAAAAUCACCUAAGCGGGACGAAACCAAGAAUAUCACCUUGCUUUAAUAGUAGGUAUAGAUAUAGAUAUACCGUAGAAAUAGAGUCAUCUCGCAACUUACGUGCCAUCUGGUGUUCGUCUUAUAUGAAAACAGUUGUUUAAUGCCCAAAGGUGACUGGAACGUCCAGCACAAGCGUAGUACUAGUCCAAAAAUAUUCUUCUAAAUAAAUAGAAAUUUUGACCAUUAAGUUGGAUAAGAAUUAUGAGUGAUAUGCCAUGAAAAUUUUACAAUGUAUGACUUCACUUGAACUUGAAUCUGAUUAUAUAGUUUUUAUUAACAUAUACCUCAUAAUUUGUUGACCAAAAUCACUGCCCAAGUUUUUAAUUAAAUAUGUCUGAGCCUUAUAAUCACUGCCCAAAGAUUGAUGAAUGCCUAGUUAUAGGGUGGUGUUGUGCUCCUUCAGAUUUUUUUGUCUUAUAUGAUCUAAUUGGAGGCAUACUUUGAGCCAACACAUUAUUUCUAGCAAAAAAUAGAUUUAAUAGAUUUAUCAUGAAAAUAAGUCUGCAUAACAGUUCAUUGUUCUGACCGCGCAGUUAGAGAUUACUAGCAAUUCACAAGUCUUAUGCGGUCCAUGUUCUAAGUAUUUACCACCCGCCUAAAAAUGUGCUAGGCAUAAGGAUGAUCCCAAUAGGUUCAUUGUCCAUUGAGGAGGCUCACGCCGAGAGUAGGCAGUGAUCCUCAAUGAUCUCCUCCCACGCAUCGUCUCUAUCUCCAUGCUAUCCAGAUGCGGGCAAAUAUUAUUAUGGCAUCGCUCUGGUUAAGUAUCUAAUAAUGCGGUGGAAAAUAAAGGAUAUGAUGACUGCGGACUAUGUAGUGCCUUUUUCGACAAUGCAUCGGUAGGUGAGUUCAUACAUAUUAGUUCUGGGCCAAUAGCUCCUGUGCGACACAUUUGAGGUGAAUUGGCUUGAGUGCGACGUUGUUCGAGAAAAUGGCUGUGGUGCGACACAUUUGAGCAGGUAAAUAGCCCAUGCAGGACAUGGCUGUUUAAUGUGGUUAAAUUGGUCGUCAACCAAGCCCGUUUAUGUUAGGACAUGUGGGUCCAACUUAAUUGCUCCUCAAAACAGCUGACAGUGCCCUGUCGCCCGACCGUGUCGGGCCCGCCACUCUGCCCCCUCCCCCCCUCUUCUCCGGUGGCGGCGGAUCUUGCAUUCUCCGGCGGAGGCGGAGCCCUCGUUCUCAACGGCGGCGGAGCCUUCGUCCUCAAAAAAUGGUGAGUGAGAACCCUAGUCCCCCUCCCGUUCCUCUCUCGGCCCCGUAGAUCUCAGCUUGUUUCCUCUAUUUUCGCUUGUUGAAUCGAUAGGUUGUGAGGGGAGCCCGUGGGCACACUGAGAUGGAGCCGCCAGAUUCAACUUCGAAUAGGCAAUGCGUCUCUCUCCGACCCAAUUUUGCAUGCAAUUAGGGCCUAGUCUGCUCUUUCUCACGGGCUCACACUGUCCGCCACUGACAGAGGGGAUGCUGCCGUUCGGACCUUCGAAUUGACGGUCAAUUUCUUUCCAUCCAAGGCAAAAUUAGUUGAUGGUAGCAUUCAGAACAUUGAGAGAGACACAAUUGUUAAAUGGGAGGUUGAGUUUACAGAGAUUGAUCCACAAGUUCUACAGAACAUGGGAGAGAAGGUAGUGAAGAAAUGGGUGGAAAAAAUUGGGGAGAAUGUUGUUUGGGGUCCAGAGCAAGAAGUAUCACUAUUGCGGUUUGAUGAUUGGAAAGGAGAGUAUGUCAGAAUGGAAGAUGGUGAACAGAUUGUUGAUGAAAUCGAUCGGCAAAACGGCCGGACAAGCAAAAGAGCUAAUUUUUUUGCUGAGCUGGUUGAUCUGAAUAUUUUUUCGAAGGUUGGAUAUGUGCCAUCACAAUUGGCUGCGCAGAUGGUAGAUGAUGAUUGGGCUACACAGAGGCCAUUGAUUCCCAUGUGUACUGAACUUACAGUAAUAGCCGAAGAGGGACAGGUUACUGGAACUGAAACUGAAACUGCAGCAACUGUUGAUUGGAAUGUAGUUGAAUUAGAUGAGCCUACUGAUUUGGUCAUUGCACCAAUGCCUGACAUUGAGAUGGCCAAACUUUUUGGCAUUCCAGUCGAUGACAGAGAUAAGCAAGAGAGGGGCAAAUCUAGUUUGUCUGCUAAUGUUGAUGAAGAUGUAGAUGGACAAUUGAUGGAACAAGCUGCAGAUGAAGUAGAUGAUGCACAUGAUGAUGAGCUAGUGCAUGUGUAUGACAAAGAAAACCCUGUCAUUGAAGUAGGCAAGUUGUUCCCAAGCAUGAAGGAGUUUAGGAUGUGUUUCAAGACUUAUGCAGUGAAACAUGAGUUUGAUGCCAAGCCUGUUUGGACUGUUAGAAAGAAGUUUUAUGCGAGGUGCAGAGGAUUUGAUGGUAGUGUCAAGCCUUGCAAGUGGUACAUAUCUGCUAGACUGCAACCUGAUGGAAGUACUGUCAGGGUUAACCAAAUCCCCAAUCAACAUACUUGUAUUACAAGUUCACAGAGAGUAUCAACCAUGACAUCACAACUUUGGGUUGCAGAAAAGAUCACCCCAAUUUUAGCCAAAACACCAAACACUACUGCCAAGAAACUCAAAGUAGACUUGGAAAAGAUGUACCCCAUUAAACUGAAAUAUACCAAAGUGUGGAAGGCAAAACAAAGGACAAUGAAAAAUUUAUAUGGUGAUUGGGCAAAUACAUUUAGGAUGCUUUACAACUUCAAAGCAGAGGUGGAAAAGAGGUCACCUGGUAGUGUUGUGGAGAUAGAUACAGAGGUAUCAGCCAAAGGUGAAGUCAAGUUCUCCAAGUUUUUUAUGGCUUUGAAGCCUUGCAUAGAUGGCUUCAAAGCAGGGUGCCGUCCAUAUUUGAGCAUAGACUCAUCAUUUUUGAUAGGCAAGUGGAAUGGUCAGUUGGCAGCAUGCAAUGCUCUAGAUGGACACAACUGGAUGUUUCCUAUUGCUGUUGGCUUGUUACAGUCAGAAACAGAGGCUUCGUGGACAUGGUUCAUGAUCCAGUUGAAAAGAUGCCUAGGGCCAGUGUCACCUUUGGCUAUACACACAGAUGCAUGUAAGGGGCUUGAAAAUUCAGUGAAAAAUGUUUUCCCACAUGAUGAGCAGAGGGAGUGCUUCGGUCAUUUGUGGAUGAAUUUGAUCAAAAAAUUUAGAGAAGAAUUUGGGCGCAUGUGGCCGGCAGCAAGAUCUUACACUAGACAGACACACAAAUAUCAUCUUGAUAAGAUAAUGGCAGCAUGUGAUGAGUUUGGUCCAUGGCUGAACACCUACCAUUCUUUGUUAUGGUACAGGUCAGCAUUCAACACUGCCAUCAAGUGUGACCACAUCAACAACAAUUUAGCAGAGAGUUUCAACAACAAGGUGAAGGAGUUAAAAGAUUUGCCUGUGCAUGACAUGGUUCACCAAAUCAGGAUCAUGCUCAUGCGGUUGUGGGAAUUGAGAAGAAGGAUAGGUGAUUGUCUGCAAGGUGAUAAGCUUCCAGCAGUGGUACAAUAGGUGGUCAAUAGGAGCAGAAGUCUUUCACAUUUGUUUGUUGAAAAAUCUUCACCUUGGGGUGCUGAAGUAAGAGAUAGCAAAACUGGAAGGAGACAUGUUGUUAACACUGAAUUGCAUGAUUGCACUUGCCUCGAGUGGCAACACACUGGUAAACCAUGUGAGCAUGCCAUUCUUUUCUUAGCAUCCCAACCGAAGAUAAACAUGCACCCAUAUCUGCAUGAAUAUUAUUCGGUAGCACGAUUCAAAGCUGCAUAUGCUACUCCAAUUCCAGCACUUACAGAUCAGUCUCAGUGGCCUGAAGUGGACAUUGAAUUUUCCAUGUGUCCUCCCUUGACGAAAAGAAAGGCUGGCAGGCCUAAACAGAGUAGAUUCAAGGCAUGGUUUGAGAAAGGUGGGAGUAGUAAGAAGGGAAAGAAAGAUGAAAAGCCAAAAGGGCCCAAAAGGUAACAAAAACAGAUGUAAAUUGUGCCAGGAACUUGGGCACAGAGUGGGAUCUGUCAAUGCCGUUACACUCCUGAUAAGCCAAAGUAUGUUCUUGUUUAUUUGUCUGCCUUUGAUUUGGUGCUUUUUUCCAAUUACUAUAUCUAUAACAUUUUCUGCACAAGAGGAAGCGAGCAAGUCAGCCCCUUGUUGUUGAACAGUGUUGGCCAACAAAAAAAGCAAGAGUCAAUGGCGGUAGAAAGAAGAGAAGUGUGCCUGAGCCUGAGCAGACUGAAGAAAAUCCUGCUGCAGUCAACAUUCAGACUGAAGAAACUGAUGUGGAGGUGCACACCGAAGAAACUGAACCUGAGCGUGUCGAGGUUCAGACUGAAGAAACUGAACCUGAGCGUGUCGAGGUUCAGACUGAAGAAACUCAACCUGAGCGAGGUUCACACUGAAGAAACCCAUGUUGAGGUACACAUCAAAGAAACUGAAACUGGUGUCAACAUUGAGACUGAAGACACUGAUCACGAGGGUAUUGGCGAGGUGUUGAAAAGACCAGUGAAGAAAACCAAGAUGAUCAGUGAACUUGUGUGUGUUGAAGAACCAAAAACAAGAAGGGCUAAGGCGAAGAAGGGCACACGACAUGGUAGGAAGAAGUAGAACAAAGAACAGUUUGAAAAUUUGGUGCAUGUAAUAAUAUUUGUAACUUGGUGCGUACUGGUAGUCACUAUGUAUCCCCAUAUUUCUAUUCGAACUUGUUUGUCUAAACCAGCCAAAUAAAAUUCAAAUUUAAAUUUAAAUUUGGGCUAUUGAUAUUUUAGUGCUAUCUAAAGUACCUCAACUGAAAUAUGUUUGCUUGCUGAUCAUUCCGAGCCCUUUUGGUAAGUUGAACUCAUAGUCAUGAAAAGUGUGUUUCAAAUGACCUCCAAAGGUAGGGUAAACGGCCUCAUAUUUAAGCAAGUUUUGUUGGCACUUUGUCUAAACCAGCCAAAUAAUUUUUCUACACAUCUAUUCUACCUAUAUAGUGUAAAUCUAAAGUCUCACUAUUUAUUGAAUUAAUUUUCUAUUAUUUUCUUUUCCUUUUGAAAAAACAAGGUUUAAUAGAAAAUUAUAUAUAUAACAAGUUUAAAACAUGAAAAUGAGAAAAGUAAGUUUAGAUCUUUCUUAGUCAAUCCAAAAUGAAAAUGAGAAAACAAGGUUUUCACACUUUUCAUUUUCAAAACCCCACCUACUCUCGGGUGCCCACUACUCUCUCCCUUGAACUACAUACUACAUUGUUUGAGGAAUGACAAUUUUGUGAAGGAUUUUUCGUAAAAAUGUAUGUAAACCAUAUUUAUGUUUUUUUCUCGUUACUAUACGACAUAAUGAGACUAUGUGCGCAAGUUUUAUAUUUUUUUGAUUUUUUUUGAAUUAGUUAUGCCCAACCCUAAUCAGUCAAAACCUCUCAAAACCCCUCAAAACCCCUCUCAAAACCCCUCAAAAACCCGCACACUACCUGGUCGUCGAUCGUUUUACAUGGACGGUUGAGAUCAGGCGCUAGGGUUAGCUACAGUGUGCAGCGAUCCGCAUGAGAUGCGCUGAUUGGUUGACGCGGUGGGGUUUCGAUCAGCCUCUCUCGUUGGAGCAUCAGGACCGUUCAUUUGAAUCCAACGGCAAGAGUUGACGCGGUGCAUGGACCAAGCCUACGCAGUGCCCUUUCCAUCGUUGCAUGCGUGCCCGUGCCCACCCGCAGCAUGCAUGCCCACCCGCAGGACUGCGCCCGUCGUUGGUCGUUGCAUGCAUGCCUUGACGUAGCCCUGCCCCGCCACCCCUAUCAACGCAGUAACCUGUCACAUGCCUACCAUUAGAACCGAUGCAGCGUCGCAUCAAAGCAUGCACCAAGCCACAAUGCAGCAGCCCAAUGAAGACAACCAAAAAGCAAACGCUGCAGGGCGUGCCGUGCAUGGCGUGCUCCUCUUUGAGGACACAAUACUGGCAUGGGGUAUCGAUGUGGGUAUAGAUGCAGUUCAAAUGACGUGCUGCCUGUUACAAGAUGGGUAAAUGAAGGCAUCCAUUAUUGUCACGUCUCACAUCGACCGAACAUUGCCCUCAAAAAAAACCCGACAGAACGUUGCCCUCUAGCCGGCUAGCCCUAGCAAGAUGGGCUAUGACAUGAAUGCAUGGGCGGCACACGCAGAGAACCCGGGGUAGGCGUGUCCCCUUGACCCACGACGGCACAGAUGCGUGCGUGAUCCCGCCCCCCUUGACCAGCGACCGUCACAGCCCGUUUCCCACGCUCGUGUACACACUUCCAUGGGGCGCCACCAAACGCCGCCCGCCCAUUAAUUCUACCCAGUGUAACCGCAGCGCUUCCAUCAAAAACCACGUCGCUCUUGGGCUAUUUAAGCCGGGCACUAUCGUCUUCCUCUUCCUCCUCAUCCACACCCCAUCCUCUUCCUCCUCUGCCCUCCUUCUUCCUUCUUCUCCAUCAAACCCGAUCGAGCCCUCGAGCCACCGGGCGCCACCAUGCAGUACAACGCCCCCACGUACCAACUCCCCCCAACCGUGCCGGAAAGGCUCUACCCGAACGGAGUGUACGUGGAGAGUACCCUUAGGGUUUGGGCCAUCUCAAGGUGGAGGGGCGCAAGGGAGUUGACGGAUUUCUUCCUUCCGGCCGGCUUCUGCCAGCUCCCCCGCGGCUCUCCAAGGAUGUACCAUGUUGAGGAGGUCACCCACAACGGCGUUGUGGUUGGGCUCCUCGCUACGUUCACUAACCCAUUCGAUGCUUUCUACCUCCUCGGGCGAGUGUAUUGGGUUGGUUGUGAGUUCAUAGCUUUCACCACCCAUAACAUUUUCACCGACUUCAACUCCAUCUUCCCCAACAACGGAGUUAUGCACACGCUCCCGUACCCAAUCAACAACGACGAGUGAAGGGCGCCCGGAGGAGCCCGGAGAGAAGAACCCGAAGAAGAACCCGAAGGAGGAGGAGAGAAGAACCCGAAGAAGAACCCGCGUUUGGUGCCCCCCGAUCUAUCGUAUCGUAUCGUAUUAGUUUUUAAGUUGUAAUCGUUAUGCUACUGUUAUUAAGUUGUAUUAGUGUUUUAAGUUGUAAGGCUAUCGUGGAACUAUGUGUUGCAAUCGUUAUGCUUCUAUAUAAUCGUUAUGCUACUAUAUAUAUAUUCUGUAUUUUGUGCUAUUAUUUGUAGAUUGCUAUGGGUUGUUCCAUUAUUUGUGUAUUGCUAUGGGUUGCUACGGGCCCGGGUUGCUACACCCCAAUCACCACACACACCAUCUUCAAAAUAUUGGCCAAAUAAUGGGUCAUGACCCAAACCAUAGACAUGCAACUAGGAGCCCCAUGCAAACCCACUAUGGACAUGCAACUAGGAAAUGCAAACUAAUUUACUUCAUGCAAGCAUGCAACUCAUUUAGUUCAUGAAACCGUAGACAUUCAUAAAAACAAGUAAUAUUUAGUUUUAGUGCAUCAAAAAAUGAUCCAUCACAAAAUUUAGUGCAAGAAAAAGGCCAAAGUAAAAACAAGUAACAUUUUAUUUGCCGAAGUUAGAGGUGGGCUGGUGCCCCUACGCGGGUGGGCUGGUCUCCUUGAGCCCGAUCUCCUUACGGCCCAACAUCUAUUCGGCAGCUCAGUUUUAUUUUUUACUAGAAACUGAAUUUGGGUGCCCGUGUACUCUGUUAACUGAAGAACCAAAACAGGGGAAGCAGAGCAUGAACACUGAAUAAUUUGUGUUCCAAAUUGCUGCUUCAAUUCAGAUACAUUACUUGCGCACAGAUCACAUCCUCUACACUGAUAGGCCUAAAGGCCCAUUCUAAUGACGGAUGAACAACAAAUAAAACAAAAACAGAGCAAUGAUACAACAAUAGAACCCCCCUGCCAUGAUAUUUGCUUGCUUCUGCAAAUCGAUCAUCUGCAUUAGAUGUUUCUUGAUCUUCUUCAGUUCCUUGGUCAGUUCGGACUCCGCAUGCAGUUCAGCAUUGCGCGCAUACAUCGCCAUCGGCACGACUCUGCCCGCCCCUCCGCCUGAGCUCCCCGUAUUCUCCACAGCAAUCGGCGGCACCCCGCCCAAAUUGAGCUCCCAGGUUGCGGCCACGCUCGAAUCAACGUAGCCCUCAAACUGAAUCCUAUCAACAUAUUCAUCAAUCCACUCAAAAUGGUAACAUUUCUUCAAGAUCUGAAAAGAACAACACGAACCCUAAAUCCCAAAUUCGAGGAGAAAAAACAAAAUAUGGAGAAAUCAGAGCGAAAGACAGCGAAAGAACGGGCUAAGAACUGAGAUCUAACCUUGCCAUCCCUUCCUGUCAUUGGUUUGCUCAAGCAUUUCACAAAUUCCUGCCCAAGAUUGCCAUUGUCAUCCCUUUUAGUGACCAACCGUUUAAGAGGGUCUGGGCGUGGGCAUUCAGGGCACCUUGUUAGCAGCACUGGUCCAUACUGCCGCCAUUUUGAUUGCGUGGCGGAGGAGGUAGACAUUUGCGCUAGGUCGCCGGAGAAGAGAAAGAUUGGGGAAAGGGGAUGAAUGGGCGGCGGCGGGCGGACGGGCACGGGCGCUCGUCUCUUCUAGCUGCGAGGAGGUGGGUCCCGCGAGUAGACAAGUGGUGGGUCCCGCGCUUAGGUGGAUAAGUGGUGUGUCCAGCGCUUACGUGGAUAAGUGGUGGGUCCAGCCCUCAACAGCUUACGAGGGCAUCAGUUUAGUUUAACAGCCAUGUCGUGCGUGGGCUAUUUACCUGCUCAAAUGUGUCGCACCACAGCCAUUCGUUCGAACAACGUCGCACUCAAGCCAAUUCACCUCAAAUGUGUCGCACAGGAGCUAUUGGCCCGUUAGUUCUAGAGUACACAAUUAUUGAUUGGUUGAAUGUAGAUUGCUUAUACCUACUUGUGUAGUUAAUAAUACGACUUAUUCUAAUGAUUUUUAUAAACCCGCCAGGCCAGAACUUUCGUGGACUGAAUCAUUUACUUUUCUAGUUAGACGUCAGCAUCUUGGAGCUAAUGUGGGAGUCAUUCAACAAACCACGUGUUAAGCUAAAUAUCUAUUGUGUUACCCAACCUAGGAGAUUAUCUUUGACGGGGGAAACUAUGUGUUUGGGGGAUCUUUAAGUCAAGGGAGCCCAAUCAGUUCUCACUUGAGUGAAUUGAAAAAUAGAAAAUCAUAGAAAGGAUGAUGUUCGACAGAAUAUAUUACUGAUUUUGCUUUAGUUAAGCUAUUUAUAUUGUGUGGGUGAUGUAGCUUCCAAAAUAAAUGCAGUUAAUUUUUUCUUUUCCACAAAAUAGUUAUCAACUUCUCAUUUUGUUCUAGCAUUCUUAUUUUCUUUAGGUCUUAUUGGCAUGCUGGAAGAACUAGGGCUACUACAACGAGCUUUGAAAAUGCAAUAAAUCACAACCACUAGCAUGUUCAUUACCUGAAGCCUCCUAACAAAGAUUUUCGUAUUUAUACUUGUUCAUAAAAAAUGUGCAACGGCUUGGUUAUUCCAACUAACUCAGCAAUUCGUUCUAACGUACAAAAGAAAUAUUAGGGAAAGAACAAAGGAAAACAAUGAAAAAAAAGGAACAUAUUAAAUAAGAAAAAGUGUGGGAUUCGAACCCUCGAUAGUUUCUAGAACUAUACGUGUUUACCAGAAUAGAUCUAUCAACCAUUAAACCAUCUCUCGAUAGAUAAUCCCGAUUUUAUUCUUAGAAAUAAAACAUAGUCAUACUAAAAAUAAAAAUAGAUAUAAACGUUUAGAAAUAUUUCAUGUGGGUAUAUUUUCUCCUAUUUUAUACACAUAUAUAAGAUGUGCUAUACAACCUUGUGAAAUAAAUACUAAAUCCCCUCUUCUUGCUUCCAUAAAAAAUAAAAAGAAGUGGUUAGAAAUAAUUUCGAAGAGAAUGAUUAAUGGAUUCAAGAUUAAACUGCUCCUACUUCGCACUUUUUUCCUUUACAUUUAUUGAUAAGUGAGUGAUCAAAUAUCUAGUCAACAAUAUUUGAUGUUAAGUUGGAGGGUUACAAAUAUUGUUAUUGCUUACCAGUUAGCUCUUUGAGCAUUAUUUUAUGACUUACUCGCUCCUAGUAAUAUGUGUACCCCUUGUAUUUGCUUGCUGGUUUCUGUAAUAAUAAAAAUGUGGUACUUCCUUGUACAUCACUUUGGAUUGGACUAGUAUUGUCGUACGUAUUCAAAUUCUCUUAUUUCUUAAAAAAAAACUCCCUCGGCUGAAUGUUUAGAGGGAUAGACUGCAUCACCGUGGCAACGAGAGCGUCCCUACGCUGAACAAUACAAUAUAGUGUCGGAUAUUGUGUAGCCAGAGGCGCGUCACCCAGCCACGUAUCCUCCCAGAAUCGCGUAUCAUCACCAUUACCGACAAUACAUCUCGUUCUGUUAAAGAAAGCGGCUUUAACCCUCAUAAGCCCUUUCCAGAACGGCGAAUCUGUAGGUCUCAGAGUGACCUGGGAUAAAGUCUUUGAGUGCAGAUAUUUACUACAUAGAAUCUGCGCCCAAGUUGCCUCUGUCUCAGAAGACAACUUAAACAGCCACUUACUAAGCAGGCAUCUAUUCUUGACUUCAAGAUUUUCAAUAGCAAGUCCCCCUUGGUCCUUUGGUCUACAAAUAAUAUCCCAUUUGGCCAAUCUGUACUUCUUCUUAGACUCAUCACUAUGCCAAAAGAAGCGAGAACGAUAGAAGUCUAGCCUUUUCCUAACCCCAACUGGGACCUCGAAGAAAGAUAAGAGAAACAUAGGUAAACUCGUGAGCACCGAGUUAAUCAGAAUCAACCGGCCUCCAUAAGACAUGAGUUUUCCUUUCCAGCAACUUAGUUUCUUCUCAAACCGAUCCUCGAUGCACUUCCACUCUCCAUUUGUUAGCUUACGAUGGUGUAUGGGAAUACCAAGAUACGUGAAAGGUAGAGCCCCAACUUCACAACCAAACAAUUGUGUAUAUGCAUCUUGUUCGUCUUUGGCUCUACCAAAGCAGAACAACUCGCUUUUAUGGAAAUUAAUCUUCAGCCCCGACAAUUGUUCAAAAAGGCAUAACACUAACUUCAUGUUCCUCGCUUUUGCCAAAUCGUGUUCCAUGAAAAUGAUUGUAUCAUCAGCGUAUUGCAGGAUGGACAGACCACCAUCAACCAGAUGAGGCACCACUCCCUCCACCUGACCGGCCUCCUUGGCCCUCCCAAUCAGGAUCGCUAACAUAUCAACCACAAUAUUGAACAGGAUCGGCGACAUAGGGUCACCCUGUCUCAGACCCUUGUGCGUUUGGAAGUAGUGACCUAUGUCGUCAUUAACUUUAAUGCCAACACUACCUUUUUCCGUGAAUGUUUCAACCUGAUGUCACCAGAUCUCAUCAAAGCCCUUCAUCCGUAAAGCCUGCUGGAGGAACGACCAUUUGACUUUAUCAUAAGCCUUCUCGAAAUCCACUUUGAAAAUAACACCAUCUAGUUUUUUCGUAUGAAUUUCAUGAAGCGUUUCAUGAAGGACCACAACCCCUUCGAGGAUGUUCCUAUCUGGCAUGAAAGCCGUUUGAGAAGGUUGUACUACUGCGUGCGCAAUCUGUGUGAGCCUGAUCGUCCCAACCUUGGUAAAGAUUUUGAAACUGACAUUCAGAAGGCAGAUAGGCCGAAAUUGCUCAAUUCUCAUGGCAUCUGUUUUCUUAGGCAACAAAGUUAUCGUUCCAAAAUUAAGUUGGAAAAGCUGCAAAUGUCAAGAGAACAAAUCAUGGAACAUCGGCAUCAGGUCCCCUUUGAUAAUAUGCCAACACUUCUUGUAAAACUCAGCCGGGAAACCAUCCGGCCCCGGUGCCUUGUUACACUUCAUCUUGGAAAUAGCCUCGAAAACCUCCUUUUCCGAGAAAGGGGCAGUUAAUACAUCGUUCUCCACAGCAGUAAGUUGAGGGAUAUCGUGAACCCUAGACUCAUCCAGGGACACACACUUCUCCUCUGGUGGUCCGAAAAAAUGUUUGUAGUACUCAGUAAUGUAGAGCUUCAGGUUGUCCUGGCCGACUAUUGUACCCUCAUCUUGUUCUAGCUGGAAGAUUCUCUUCUUCCGGUGCUUGCCAUUGGCUAUCAUGUGGAAGAACUGAGUGUUCGCAUCCCCCUGGACAACUUUUCUCAACUUUGCCCGCAGUGCCCACUUUAAUUCUUCUUCACGGAGUAACUCUUUCAGCCUCAUCUCAGCCUCAUGCUUGAUAUGAAGCUCGGUGGCUAACAGAAUCGUAGUUUCUGCUUUUAUAUCUAAGGUUUGAAUAAGGGAAAGGAGUCGUUCCUUCUCCACCUUAUACACUCCACCUAGAUGCUUAGCCCACCCACGAAGGAAACUUCUGAGAUGCCUAACCUUGUUCUGCCAGUGUUCAAGGGCAUUCCUACCUCCUACAUCUUUAGCUACAAGAUCCAAGAAUCCUUCUCUUUCAAACCAAGCAAGCUCAAAAGAGAAUAAAUUCUUGUUGCCCGAAUAGGUAGCCCCACCAGAAUCGAGCAACAGAGGUGUGUGAUCAGAAAUCCCGCGAGAUAGAGCCUGAACAGUUACAAAGGGAAACUACUGUUCCCAAGCAACACUAGCCAGAACCCGAUCCAACUUCUCGAAAGUUGGAUUUGGCAACGCGUUAGCCCAGGUGAACUUCCUACCUGAAAGCUCAAUCUCUCUCAAAUCUAAGCUUUCAAUAAUAGUAUUAAACAUAAAUGACCAUCUCCCAUCAAAAUUGUCAUUAUUCUUUUCAUCGCGUCUUCUAAUAAUAUUAAAAUCACCCCAACCAGAAUUGGAAGCUGCUCAGACCCGCAGACUCUAACAAGAUCAGCCAAAAAGUCAGGUUUGAACUCUGCCUGCGCUGCCCCGUACACCGCCACCAAAGCCCAGUCGAAACCAUCAUCUUUCGACCGCACCCUGAACUUAACAGCAAAAUCCCCCAUGACCACACUGCGAACUUCGAGAGAGUCACAUCUAACACCAAGUAAGAUUCCACCCGACCUUCCUCUCGCUGGAAGACAAUGCCAGUCAAACUCAAUACCCCCCGACAACGUAUUGAGAAAUUGAGGUGAGAAAUUUGCUCUGCCCGUUUCCGACAAGGCAAUAAAGUCCAAUCUAUGCUCAAUGGAUGCCUCUGCAAGGAACCUCCUUUUAGCCAAGUCCUUAAGACCUCUGCUAUUCCAAAAGAUUCCUCUCAUAUCUCAUCAUGAAAUUUUUUAGCCGUGCGGAUCCUAGCGCUCCUACGGACCGCGGACAUCGGAUAUAUUUUCCGCUUCCACUUGCGCUUAGGGCUGGUCGGGCCCACCCGGUCCAAACUGCCCGUAACCGGGGACAUAACUACUUCCAAACUGACAUUCUUGUCCUCCUCCUCCGGCUCCUGGAGGGGUGGUGCGAGAUCAUCACAAAAGUUAUCAGGUAUUCGAACUCCCAAGGCAUCAAUCUCAGAAUCGUUCAUCGGUUUGACAGCAGCUAAGUCACGAAUCAUUUCUAAAGCCCUCUCGGCUUUUAGAUCAAGCAAAUCGUUAACAGAAUUAGUAACUUCACCCUCAUUACUACCAAGUGAAAUUCCUAAUUGGUUUGCCUUAUCCACAAUUUGAUCAUUCGAAAAAUGCAAAAUAGUAUUGGAAGUAUUUACGGACAUACCAGUAGUGACCUGGACGUCACGAAGCUUUGCUGCCCUCACGGCACAGCGCUGCUGCAUGUCGUCAACCUUCGGAUAGCCCUGAAGCCGACAACUCAUGCGUCGGCCCUCAGACGCCUAGUCCGGGAUCCCGCCAAACAGAAUAACCUCCUCCCUCGAGAAUUUAUCCAGAGAGCGACCGCUUGUCACUCCCCGAACAUCCACCCGGUCGCCAUGACCAGGUGAGAGCGCCGAGUCAGCCACUGGGGAGGCAAAGGCCACCUGCCUCCGCCCCCCAUCCGCUCCGGACCGCCUGUCAGGAGUGCACGUCGAUGUCGCGAACGGGGUGCUCCCCUCGGGCACCGAAGGUGAAGAGGGCCUUGAGGCCGCCUGCCCCAAGCCCUCUCGCAGAGCCUGUCCAGCCACCUGCAGUGUGGCCCGAGCAACAGGCAUAGAAGGUGCGGAGGCCACCUGCCCCGGCCCCCCUACCGUAGGCCCGUCGUCUCUCCCGGUAAACUCAUCGGGAAGAAGAGGAGAAGGGGUCUCCAAAGCACCCUGCCCCGAACCCCCAGAUGGGAUCGGACCACCCUCCUGCAACUCAGCCACAUCACCGCAACCCUCCACACCCGUGUCCUCAAAGUCCAACGCAGGUAAAGAGUGCUCAAACUCCUCAAGAGACUCCACCCGCUCGCUCCAAAGUUGCGGAGGUGCAGACGCGUGACCAAAGGAACCAAAUCUCAAAGUGGUCGACGGCACAGACAUGUUAGGCGCCGUCCCUCCUCCUGCUGCCUUGGCAGUCGACUCCGGUCUCUUGGCCAUCUCACACCCAGAAUCAUCGGUCGGUGUUUCCUUACCGGCCGUAUCAUCAUCACCCUCGCUCAUAUCGUCGCCAGUGGCAGCCGGAGCCUCGGCAAAGAGGCUAUCAUCCUCAAAUUCAAUCUCAAGGCUGUAUACCUGACCACGAUAAGCCCACUUAACCACGUCCGACACGAAGUCAAUGUCCAAAAUGCUGACUAAUAGGCGAGAAAUCCCAUGAGCUCGAGUAAAGGCCAUAUCCACUCGCUCGGUCUUUCCCACCAUGAUACCCAGACUAGCAACAACCCUGGCAUCCUGCAGGAGCGCGGACGGAGCUCCCGAAAAGCGCAGCCAGGCCUGGGUGAGGGGUUUACCCUGAGGAUCAACCAGCUUCCACUCCUGGAACUCAAGAGUGGCCUCCGUACCUGGAACCUUACACAUCCCAAAGCUCAGCAACCUCUGUAAAUCCUCCACAGUCGGGAACUGAACUCUGAAUAAGUUGGUCUCCAGCCUGACAAGCUCCCAAUGGAAGUCUCCUGGUGCCAGCUCCCGGAAGCGCUGAAUAAUCUGGGCCUCAGACACUUGACCUCUAGUCACUUUCACCACCCCAGUUGUCAUACUGUGCACCUCUUGAGGAACCUCCCUCUCAGUCGGCGACUCAAAAAACGUGAGCUCAGAACAGAAGACACCAUACGUCAUAAGGCUCGGUGUCUCCUCCCGCAACCGCGGACAAGCCCCAGACUCGUGUGCAGGCUUACCACAAGUAUCACAUAAAAUCGCCACACAUUCAGCAAUAAAAUGGCCCUUAUCACCACAUCGAUAACAAAGCAUUCUUUCCUUUUUCCUUGCAAACUUUGCAGCCCUGUCCAUCUCAGUUCUGUCAGAAGCCUCCACCGACAUAGGCUGGGCCUCAACCGCAUCAAGAACCUCCACAGCCGCCAGUUCCGUCACCACUUCCAUAGCCUGGCAUGACAGCCCUGUCUCCUCAGUAACAGCGUCGACCACCGUCUCAUCAACGGUAACAUGAUGCUGCCUUGGACGGUAACGACCCCCUCGGCCACCGCGGCCACCACGAUUGCCACAAAAACCGCCUCGGUUACGAUGAGCCGGUCCAGAAGCCCCUUCGACAAAACCGCCUGUCGGCCCCAAGAAAGGCCUCUCGGCCGAACCAUCGCUCUGCCAGGCAUACCCCCGUCCACCACCCGUAGACGAGGAUCCCCGGUGGUGUCCAUCUCCAUACACAUUAUAAUCAUCGUCACCCCACUGCCCACGAGGUGCCGAGUGAACAUCCACAUUAGCAGAGACCUGCGGCGCCUGUGCCUGCUGCAAAACCGGCGUCGUCGAGUUAUUCGCCUGCCUUGCCACGAAGUGCGGCGGUCUAGCUCUUGCCUGAGUCGCCACCGGACGCUGGCCAUUAGCAGCAGGAGGAGGCGGCCUUGGGGUCGGGGCACCCCGGCCCGCGACAGCCCCAUGGGUCGGCACGGGCGGCCUAAAUCCACCCCGCCCCGCAGCAAGCAUCAUCAUCACCGGCGCGGUAGGCCGAACUCCAGCCGCAGCAACCCCGCGGCCAGCCGUACCGGCCAUAGUGGCGCCACCCACUGGCGGUCUUUGGGCGCCGACGACCGGUGCCGCGCGGCCGGUUCCAUUCCCUGGACGCGGUAGGCCGAACUUCAGACUACAUUUCAUAUUAUUAGUUUUUAGUUUAACCUGCAGAAUUUCUUCCCACGGUGUAUUUCUUUAAAUUUAUUGAUUUCCGAGAGUGCAUACAGAGUAAGACACUAAAAUCUACAAAUUGUACACAUAAAUGAUAUUAAUUAAGACCUAGCCAAGACAUCGAGGCUACAAACAGUUAAAAUAUCAUAAAAAAGAAAAAUAAUAUGGCUAAAAAAGUCACGCUCAAGCUAUCGGUGGUACGCAACAAGAGGAAACAACAACAAUAACAGCGGGGGAGGUUUUUCAAGAUCAGCAUCCCUAGAAAGGAACGAUGCCCCCGCGUCAUCGUUGCUGGGAUUAAUCAUUGAAGGCCAAAUCAUGGGAUUUCACCCCGAAGAUCAAUUCAAGGAAAACUCCAAGCAAUGCCUCGAAGAAGGAAACCGAGUGUAAACACCAUUGCUGCUAGGUACAACAAACUAAGGUCAGACCUAAGGAUUCUUGAUGCGAAGCUCGAGACCAGAUAGUCGAGAAGCACCAUCAAACAAUUGUUGUUGAUCUGUGGUGCCGCCUUCAUUUGCCGACUUCGAACUACAUCAAUGGCAUAUAAGGAGAAAACUGUUCAUGUGGACAAUUCUAAUACCGACAUGUAGAUACACGAGCAUAGACGAAAAAAACCCUGAUCAAUCAAAUUCAAACACAGACCGAAUUCUACGAGAUUCACCAGAGACAAAUCUCCACACACCCCACGACGAAGCUAGAAGCACCACACCAUAUCGUCAUCCCAAGCAGUGAGUUAUAGCAGAUUUGGACCAGAUCGUGAAGGCCAUUGCCACCCUCGACUUCAACUCAUGCCGGCGCUCUCACCACUUAACCUAGCCACCGCACGCUGGAUGAGCCCAUGUGAGGGCCAUCACUCAAGCGAUAUGACGGCGCAAGCACUGGCAUCCUGGGCAAGGUGUGCUUUGUCUGCAGUGAGGACGUCCGAGAUAACACUCCCACAUAUCAUCCAAACAAGUUCCACCUUACCGCUCUCGACCUCUUUGGACAUAUCAUCCAAACAAGUUCCUCCUUACCGGUCUCGACCUCUUGGCUCCUGCAGUGAUUUAUUUCCAAGCUUAAGCUUACAAUGAGUGCAUUCCAAAUCCUCUCAAUUCUGAGAUUACGUCUCAUAUCCCACAGCCUCUAUUGAUGUAAUUUGAAGUGAUAAAAUGGUGAAGUUGAAACACUACUAAUAUAUAUACUGUUUAUUCAUUGAAAUUCUAUAUGAACCAAUAUCUCCUUGUGAAAAUUAUUGUCUACAAGCAAAGAGUUAUGCCAAAGUCCAUUCACCAUUAAUAUAAACAUAUGAAAUUUGAUGAUUUUUUUUCUGGUGCUAGCACAACUUUGCAGCACAGUAAAAACUAACAUGAUCACAAAUCUUGUAGCACCGGAACUGCUCUUGUCCACUCGACAGCAGUCAGCUCAGCACUGGUCCCUGUCCCGCCAACUCAAGUAAACCAGGCCAGCAUGGUAGUGCGCGUAAGCGCUGGCAAUGACUAGCACGUGGAACAGCUGGUGGCUAUGCCCGACGAGGUCAAACAUUCCUGGCAUAAACCUCUCCGGCACCCUUGUGGCGUAAACCAACACGCCGGCAAGGUAGAACGCCCCCAUGACCACCUCGUAACCAGUCGUGAGCACCGCCUCGGGUCGUGCAUGGAACAUGAGCAUCUUGUGCACGAUUGGCACGAUGCCGGACGCGCCCAUGCACGCGAAUAGCGCAGCGCGCGCCCACCGCAGAUCAGGUGCCUGGAAGACCGGCAGCAGCGAGACAGCCACAGCGGCCGCGCCGCAGAUGGUGAUGGAGCCAAGGUAGAGUGUACGGGAGAAGGGGUCACAGAGGAAGGUGUAGUAGACGACCGGGUAGAAGGAGGUGACGAUAAGGCCGGUGAUGCCGGCGUAGUCGAGCCGGAGCAGCACGUAGGUGGCAUGCUCCGAGUGGCACGCCAGCAGAUGGCAACCGCUGCUCAUCAGCAGGCAGAACAUGGCGCCGCACAGGUACGUGUAGAACGGCCACCGCGUGACCGGGCCGUGCUCCCCCGACCAGACGGACAUGGUGAGCGCGAGGAAGAUGAAGAAGCAGAUCAAAUGCCUGCGGGGUUUCGUUGAAGAGUACACGUGACGUGAGAAAUAUUUUGAUCGAGUGUGACAUUAGGGAAGGCUCACAGAACCUACGUCCAGACGUUGAUCGUCUCGUUGUGGAGGGCGAAGGCGCUGAGGAUCGCCUGCUUGACGGGCCAUUCGCUGCGGUAGUGAUCGAGGAUGCAUUCGUCGUGCUUCAAGAAGGCCCGGAGCGCGUCGUAGCAGACGAGCUCGUACCUAUGCUUGCAGCUCGGCUUCGCCACGUCACUGCAGGUGGGGCUGCCUUUGUUUUUCAAUGCAACAGCUUGAUCGGCAUGGACGCCGCCGCCGUUCCCCAUGGUGGCCGCCGUCUUGGAAGCCAUUCUGUCCUAGAGCCUGCCGAGAAUAUAUGCUCUUUUGUAGUCUACUGUCGGACAACUCCAGUCCAGAGAGAAUUAAGGUGGUCAACGCAUCCAAUUCAAUCUAUCUAUCUAUUACUUCCCCUGUAUCAACAUAGAAGACUUCCUUUGACACUGUCAUAUUAUUAGAAAACUUCUUAUAUUUUUAUAUAGAGGGUACACUCCUUUAAUCCGAAAUUAGUUGAUGCUUACUUAGCCAUUUUAGUGCUUGAUACAUCUGUUUGAGCGCCACCAAAUUAUGGAUGAAGUAUCAAGCACUAAAUUAAGUCUAGAUACAUUUGCUUGAGGGUCAACUGAUUUCGGACGGAGAAAGUGUUAUCUAUCUAUACCUAUUUAUUAAUAAAGAAAGAAAGUUAUUAUUCCUGGUCCAUCAACCAGUUUUAAAGAAAACUAGUUGAAAUUUAAGGUAGUCAACUCGCAGUCCAUCCUUGCCCCGGAAGCCAGCAGUUUUUUUAAUUCGCUUGCAGGAUCGAUCCAUCCAACUCAAUCUAUCUAUCUAUUACUCCCUCUGUUUCAACAUAUAAGACGUGUUUUUGGACACUAUCAUAGUGUUAGAAAAUGUCUUAUAUUUUAAUACAGAGGGUAUACUCUCUUCGUCCGAAAUUAUUUGGCGCUCAAACGGAUGUAUAGCCAUUUCUGUGCUAGAUGCAUCUUUUUGAGCAUCACCUAAUUAUGGAUGAAGUAUCAAGCAUUGAAAUAAUUCUAGAAACAUUUAUUUGGGUGUUAACUAAUUUCGGGCGAAGAAAGUAUCUAUACCUAUUUAAUAAAGAAAGAAAGUGGUUAUUCCUAGUCCAUCAGCCAAUAUUAAAGAAAAAUCCUUGCAAUUUAAGCUAGUCAACUCGCAGUCGAUCCUUGGCCCGGAAGCCAGCAGUUUUUUCUUGUUCGCUUGCUUCCUCCAUCGUACCUUCAGCCUAGGUUCAGCCAUCACCGAGUCGCCAGCCAGGGGCAGACACACCGGAUCUCCUCGGACAGACCAGAAGGAGCCCAAGAGGAGGGUAACAGCCGGCUCGCUGUGUGUCUGAUUGUUCGCCGUGGCGUUGGCACCUGUGCCACUGCAUCGGUGCUAUUACGGCAUUUUCUUAUUUCCUGGUGUUCAAUUCAUACGUAUGACCGUGGUGUGAUACAGGGUGUUCAUUUGCUUAUGCGAUAUGUGCUUCUUUCUCUGAAGAAAUAGGUGCUUGCUCUUUGUUUUUCCGUGAGAUGAUCGUGUUUGUUCUGUCACUCCUACAUGCACGUGCUACAACUAAGCCGUUAGAUGGAUGAUGUGUUUCUACUACUGGCUGUUAGUAUUGUAUAUGCAAUUUAGACAACUUUGAAUACCUUGAGCAUGUUUGUACUACUUUUGUUUCUUUUUACUCAGCAUAUAAAACUUGUUUGAAUUCAAUCUCAAAUAGUUUGCUAAAAUAUAGGAAAACAUCAACAUUUAUUCAAAUUAAUUUCGUAAUGCAUCUAAUGAUAUUGAUUUUGUAUCAUGGAUGUUGAUAUUUUUUCUGUAAAGUUGGUUAAACUUUAUGAAGUUUGACUUUGAUUUUUUUAUUUGCAAGCUGAAAAGUCACCGAGGGAGUAAUCAUCCCCCUGUAUAUCGAGCGAUGAUAACAUAAAUAUAUGGAAAUAAAUUCAGAUGUUUGUAAGACAAUAUUCUUUUUUAAAAACUUCGAGUAGGAAGACAAUAUUCAGGUGGGGUAAACUCCCCCCGUUGAAAAUUCAAAAAAAAGACAAUAUUCUUUAAAAACACCCACCAUUGUUUUGUCAAUGUGAAAAUGUGCGGACGCCUACAAUGAUCUAUUCCAUUCAAUCAUAGGCCACAUGCGGGAGCGUGGAAUUUAGUAAUCGGCCUCACGGAUGCAGGUGCACAACGUGGCUCUGCCGGCCUCAAAAAAUAAAGUCACCUUGUCCACACCAUAAGAACUGAAAAUUAGAGACUUCUAGAGAGAAGUCAGGUGAUCGGAAUCGUCGUGAGUUUUCUUUUGGGAAGAAAAAUUAAAUAUCAUGGCUAUUAAUUAUGAUAUGUAGUAUAUCAGUUGCCGUCCUUUUGGGAGGCAAAAUUAAAUAUCAUAUCACUAUCUUACAAAAGCAGGAACAUGUAGAUAUAGUCAACUCACGAACGCCUAACUAACUGAACAACCUCAUUAUGGCGUCAAACCACUGCCAUAGCCAAGGGACCUGUCAAACUAAGAACCAUUAGAACCAGCAACUAUAACACCGUGCCUUUUAUCUUUUUUGGAUGAUGGGUGCCGAGCAAUUAAAACAUAUUACAGCAAUUAAAUUUGAUAUGUAGUAUCAUCUGCCAUCCUUCAGGGGAUUCAGCAUUAGUCUAUCUCUAAUCUGCUCAUUAGUUAAUGGAAAGUUGCAAACGUCAAGAUCACAUGUGAGUACUAGGUUGUUUGACUCAUUCAAGCAAUGGUAUCACGUCUUCACACUGUCAUUACUAGUAUAGGGGAGUUGGGAAUUGUACCUUGUAUGACGCCCACCAACCUCCCCUCGACCCUCCAUGUCUCACGAGCAACUAAUCGGGGUUACCCCUUGCGGCUCAACCAGUUGAAACUUUCCCUGAAACUGAGCGCUCCAGCGCAGCCACAUAGCACACUCAUGCGUGAUCACAUGGAGUCUGCUGGGCGCUUCUCCCAGAAAGUUUUUUUUCUUCUGUUUUGUUGGUUUUUUCAUGUUUUUUCUCGGUUUCUAGUUUCUUUGGUACCCUUUUUUGCGCCUCUUGGUUUUUUGUUUCAUGUGAAGUAUAGUUGUGCUAUGUCGGGUGAAAAAUUCAAUCGUGCUUCCAUGUGAAACGCAAUAGCAAAAAUGGUUCAUGAUUUGAACUCAUGAUGCAAGAGAUAAAACCUUUUUAAAAAAAUCUACCCAAAAAGGCACAAAUAAACCCACCCGUCCCUCCCGUGGGUUGAAAGAAGUCCCACUAAAAUUCCCAGCUUACAACAAGUGUCGCACUUGCAAGAUUUUGGUCCAUGUUAGGGGAUGAUCUGGUUGAGGAGAUUCUUCAGGCAGUAAAUACAUGUACUAUCCCUCCUGGGUGGAUGAUAAUGCAAUUGUGAUUACCCCCAUGGUUAAUUCUCUGGAAAAGGUUUGCCAACUUAGACCUAUCAGCUUAUGUAAUGUGGUGUAUGAGGUUAUUGGAAAAUGGUGGGAAUUCGGUUGAAGGAUUUUCUUCCAAAAAUUACCAAGUCACAUUGCUUUAGUUCCCAGAAGAAUGAUUAUGGAUAAUGUCUUAGUGGCUUAUGUUUGCUUUCGUACAAUAAGGAAUAAGAGAGAAGGUAAAGAGGGUUUGUGCGCUGUAAAACAAAAUAUGCAUACAACUUAUGACUGUGUUGAGUGGUCUUUCCUUGGGGAGAUUGUUCUAAAACUUGGCUUUCGAGAGAACUGGGUAUGCAAUGUGUAUACACUGUUGAAUAUCGGGCCAGAUUCAAUGUAGAAGAAAGUGACAGUUUUAAACUGGCGAGGCGCUUACGGCAGGGCUAUCUUCUUUCUCCCUAUCUUUUCUGGCUUUGGACGAAGGGCUUGACGACACUCUUGACGCACGCGGAGGAGAGUGGUAAUAUCUUGGGUGUGAUGCAUUGUAGAGAUGCACCUCCGAUCACCAAUCUUAUCUUUGCUGAUGACUCAUUGAUCCCCAUGAAGGAAAAUAUGCAUAAUGUUCAGACGUUGUAGUCAAUUUUGGACUCCUACUGUGCCACUUUUGGGAAAAUUGGUCCGUGUUGAUAAAUCUAGUAUUUUUUCAGCCCAAAUACAAGGGGUGAGGUGAGAGUGCACAUGUGUAAAUCUGAUUAUCAUGAUGGAAGCAGUUAAUGAUAAAUAUUAAGGCUUGCCUGUCAAUGUAGGAAUGGAUACAUUUGACAGCUUACAAUACCUGAUUGAUUGCAUUGUCAUGAAUAUUAGUGGUUGGAACAAAAAAAUAUCCGUUGGAAGGAUGGAGAUCCUCCUCAAGUCUGUUGUCCAAGCCAUACCGACCUACACAAUAUCCGUCUUUAAAAGUUCUAAGAAAUGUAAAGGAAUUAUUGAACAAUGGCACAAUUGUUUGUGGGGAGAUGAGGAUAACCAGAGAAGAAUGUAUUUGAUUGCUUGGUGGAAAAUAUGUGUCCCAAAAAAUCAAUGAGAGAUGGGUUUUAGGGAUAUCCAUUGUUUCAAUCUAGCGAUGUUGGCAUAGCAGCCUGUCGUCUGAUUGAGGACCCUAACUCUAUGUGCUAAUGUCUCGAGAGUCAAUUAUUUUCCUGAUGGGGAUUUAUUGAACGCAAACUAAAAAAGGGAUGCUCAUUUACUUGUAAAAGUAUUUUGGCGGGUGUGAAUUCUAUGAAGAAAAUAUAUAUUUGGCAUGGUGGAAAUGGCCGAAAUAUUGGUAUUUGGGAGGUCGCAUGGAUUCCAAAUCGUUCCACUAGGAAAACUAUCUGUUCGAAAGGGUGUCAUUUGUUAUCCCGGGUGGCAAACCAUAUUAAUCCAGUUUCUAAUAACUAUGAUGAAGAUCUAGUUAGAAAAACCUCGUGUCCUAUUGAUGCACAAAUGGUUCUCGCAAUACCUUUCCCUCAGCAUGCCAUGCAAGAUUUUGUCACCUGGAAUUUUAAGAAAAACACUUUAUUUUCAGUCCAGUCUGCAUAUUUCAUGGAAUGGGAUCAUCAACAUGGUAUGAAACUAAGACAUACAAAUGGUAGGGGAUGAACCACUUAUAAACCUAUUUGGUGCAAGAUUUGGAGGCUAUCGAGGCUGACAAAGUAUAAGAUUUUUAUGUGGCGUACAUUGCAUGGUACACUCCCAUGUCAUGUUACACUUGCACAUAUACAUUUGAAAACCUCGCUCAAUGCCCGUCAUGCUGCUUGGAUCCAGAAGAUACAAAGCAUGUGUUAUUUCUUUGCAAAAAGCUAGAGAAGCUUGGAAUAGGUUGGGGCUGGACGAUGUUAUUAAUCGUGCUUGCGAAAUUGAUCUUGUUGGGGAGGCGGUUCUAGAAUUCCGACUCCCUUUAACAGAUCUGGAUUGAUCUGUGAUGGGAGAUCACAAUGUCCGAAAGAUGAUUGCUAUGACGGGUUGGUACUUAUGGUGGAAAAUAUGUAAGUUGGUCCAUGACUAGAAAGUUCAAAGUGCUAUCCACAUAUCUAUGGGGUUCCCGAACUCAUGACCACUUCUGUUAUUGAUUCUUCCCCUAAUGCUUCCAUAAAAAAGAGAGUUGGACCAGGCCUCCAAGGGACUUUGUCAAACUAAAUGUGGAUCCAAUGAUGCAUCCGCAUCAUGAUACAAUUCUUAUGCAUUUUCUCUCUUAAAGGUACUGUUUGCGCGAUCCUGUGGGAUGAUAAAGGCAAGUUCAUUCAAGAGGUAAUCGACGAAUCGACUGGUUUAUGAAUGGUUUAAUGGCUGGAUAUUUGGCUCUCGGAUUUGGGCUUUCUCUUGCAGAAAGGGUGGGUUGCAACCGUCUCGUGAUUCACUCUGAUAACUUGAAGGUCACUAAGACCAAGAAGAAUGGAGGAAAAUCUGCAGGUGCGGCGGCGACAUUUUUUGAUGAUUGUUAUCAUCUUGCUUGUGAUUUCUCUUUCUCUAGGUUCGAGCAUUGCACUAGAUAGCUAAAAAAGUCACUCAUGAGCUCGGCAUCUAGUGAUACGUCCAUUUUGCAUCAUGUUUUUAUGUUCAUAUUUAUUGCACUGUUGACUGUUAUUUCACAUUAUGAUACAAUUCUUAUGCCUUUUCUCUCUUAUCUUACAGUUUUACAUGAAGAGGGAGAAUGCCGGCAGCUGGAACUCUGGACUAGAAAGGAGCAAAUCUGAUAUACCAAUUCUGCCCAACUCCAAAUGUGCAGACACUUUAUGGAGAAUUUUUUUGGAAUAUAUAAAUAAAUUGGGCGAAGAAAUAACAGAAAGGGACCCACUAGGUUGCCAUAAGCCUAGGGGGCGCACCCUACCACCCAUGGUGCGCCUCCCGAGCUUAUGGGCCCCCUGGCCAGCCCCCAGUGUCCAUCUUCUAUUAUAUGAAAGGUUUUGACCUAGAAAAAAUAAUAAGGAGGCUUUGGUGACGAAGCGCCGCCGUCUCGAGGCAGAACCUGGGCAGAAGCAAUCUACGACUUCGGUAGAGCAAUUCUGUCGGGGAAACUUCCCUCCGAGAGUGGGAAACGAAGCCUUCGCCAUCACCAAUGAUCCUCUCAUCGUCGGAGGGUCAAUCUUCAUCAACAUCUUCACCAGCACCAUCUCCUCUCAAACCCUAGUUCAUCUCUUGUAUUCAAUCUUUGCCUCAGAACCUCAGAUUGGUACUUGUGGGUUGCUAUUAGUGUUGGUUACUCCUUGUAGUUGAUGCUAGUUUGUUUAUUUGGUGGAAGAUCAUAUGUUCAAAUCCUUAAUGAUAUUUAUUACCCCUCUGAUCUUGAACAUGAACAUGCUUUGUCAGUAGUUACGUUUGUUUCUGAGGACAUGGGAAUCAUGUGAAUUUGGUAUUGGUUCAAUAUUUUGAUGAGAUGUAUGUUGUUUUUCCUCUAGUGGUGUUAUGUGAAUGUCGACUACAUGAUACUUCACCAAGAUUUGGUCCUAGGGGAAGGCAUUGUGAAGUAGCAAGUAGAUGAUGUGCUACUAGAGUGACAUAAGCUAAAACCCUAGUUUAUGCAUUGCUUCGUAAGAGGCUGAUUUGGAUCCACAUGUUUCAUGCUAUGGUUAGAUUUAUCUUAAUUCUUCUUUCAUAGUUGAGAGUGCUUCCGAGGUGGUUUAAUCAUAAGUGGGAGGCUUUUCCAAGUAAGAACAACACCCAAGCAUAGGUCCACCCACAAAUCAAAUUAUCAAAGUAACGACCGCGAAUCAUAUGAGCAUGAUGAAAACUAGCUUGACAAUAAUUCUCAUGUGUCCUCGGGAGCGCUUUGCUUUAUAUAAGAGUUCGUCCAGGCUUAUCCUUUGAUACAAAAAGGGAUUGGGCCACCUUGCUGCACUUUUGUUAUACUUGGUACCUGUUACCCGUUACAAAUUAUCUUACUACCAAACUUUUGUUAUACUUGUUACUUGUUACCCGUUACGAAUUAUCUUACAACCAAACUAAUUGUUACCGAUAAUUUCAGUGCUUACAGAAAAUACCUUGUUGAAAAUCUCUUGUCACUUCCUUCUACUCCUCAUUGGGUUCGACACUCUUACUUGUCGAAAGGACUACGAUUGAUGCCCUACACAUGUGGGUCAUCAAGACUCUUUUAUGGCGCCGUUUCCGGGGAGUGAAGCGCCUUUGGUGAGUGGAAUUUGGUAAAGAAACAUUUAUAUUACCUGCUGAAAAUUAUUGUCACUUGUCACUGUGGAGAAUAAUCCGUUGAGGCGUUUGUUUGGGGUAUCUUCACCUUGACCGGAAGAACAAAGAUUUGCUCCUCAACCGACUAGACCUACUGAAAAUAUUUAUUAUGAAAUUCCUUCGGGUAUGAUAGAGAAACUAUGAGGUAAUCCUAAUGCAGGAGAUGGAACACUACGUCCGGAUAUGCAUCUAAUCUAUGUGGAUGAAGUUUGUGGAUUAUUUAAGCUUCCAGGUUUAUCCGAAGAUGAAAUCAAGAAGAAGGUAUUCACUUUAUCUUUGAAGGAAAUGCAUUGAGAUGGUAUAGGCUAUGUGAUGAUUUUGGGGCUUGGAUUUACAACCGAUUGGAAUUGGAAUUUCAUCAGAAGUUUUAUCCUAUGCAUCUGGUUCAUCGUGAUCGGAAUUAUAUAUAUAUAUUUUGGCCUCGUGAAGGAGAUAGUAUCGCUCAAUUUUGGGGGAGGCUUAAUUCAAUGUUAUAUUCAUGCCCCAAUCAUGAGCUCUCAAGAGAAAUGAUUUUUCAGAUUUUUUAUGCUCGACUUUCUCCUAUUGAUCAAUCCAUGCUUGAUACAUCCUGUACUGGUUCUUUUGUAAAAAAAACUACUGAAUUUAGAUGGGAUCUUUUGGAAAGAAUUAAAUGCAACUCUGAAGAUUGGGAACUCGACGAAGGAAAGGAGUCAGGUAUAAAGAUUGAAUUUGAUUGUGUUAAAACUUUUAUGGAUACCGAUGCUUUUCAUAAUUUUAGCACUAAAUAUGGACUUGACUCUGAUAUAGUAGCUUCUCUCUAUGAAUCAUUUUCUGCUCAUGUUGAUGUCCCCAAGGAGAAGUGGUUUAAAUAUCAUCCUCUCAUUGAAGUAAAAAUAGUAGAACCCGUUGAAGCUAGAGAAAAAACUAUUACGUAUAAUGUUGAUCCAGUUAUUCCUACUGCUUACAUUGAGAAACCGCCUUCUCCUAUUAGGAUAAAAGAACAUGCUAAAGAUUCAAUCAUGGUUAAUAAAAGUUAUAUAAGAACAUCUACACCCCAAACAAAUUAAAUUUGAACCAAAUGUUGCUAUUGUUAAAGAUCUCUUAGUUGAAAAUAUUGAUGGGCAUGUUAUUUAUUUCUGUACUGAAGCUACUAGAAUUACCAAACUUGAUUAAAACAUAAACAUAGACCUGUUGCUGGCAUGGCUAUUGUCUCUAUUAAAAUAGGAGAUUUUUUAUAAUGGAUUAUGUGAUUUGGGUGCUAGUGUGAGUGCUAUCCCGUUUACUUUAUAUCAAGAAAUUAUGAAUGAUAUUGCACCUGUUGAGAUAGAAAGAUAUUGAUGUUACUAUCAAAAUUACAAAUAGAGAUACUAUAACACCACUUGGGAUUGUUGAAGUCUUGUGUGGGAAGAUAAAAUACCCUACCGAUUUUCUACAUCUUGGUUCUCCACAAGAUGAUUUUUGUCCCAUUAUAUUUGGUAUACCUUUCUUGAAUACGGUGAAUGCUAAAAUAGAUUGUGAGAAAGAAACUAUUAGUGUAAGUUUUGGUGACGUGUCUCAUGAGUUUAAUUUCUCCAAAUUCCGUAGACAACCUCGUUAUAGAGAAUUACCUAGUAAGGAUGAAAUUACUGGCCUUGCUUCAAUUGUCGUGCCUCCUACUGAUCCGUUAGAACAAUAUUUGCUAGAGCAAGAAAAUGAUAUGCUUAUGAAUGAAAUAAAUGAAAUAGAUGAGAUAUUAUUUAAAUAAAUGCCUGUUUUGAAACAAAAUUUACAUGUUGAGACGCUUGGAGAUCCUCUUCCACCCAAGGGUUAUUCUGUGUUUGAGCUUAAACAAUUACCUGAUACUCUGAAAUAUGCUUAUCUUGAUGAAAAGAAGAUAUAUCCUAUUAUUAUUAUUGCUAACCUUUCAGAGCAUGAAGAAAAUAUAUUAUUGAAAACUCCGAGGAAGCACCGUGCAACUAUUGGAUAUGCUCUUGAUGAUCUUAAGGGCAUUAGUCUCACUCUAUGUCAGCAUAAAAUUAGUAUGGAACCUGAUGCUAAACCAGUUCUUCAUCACCAGCGAAGGUUAAAUACAAGGAUGAAAUAAGUAGUAAGAAAUGGAAUAUUAAAGCUUAUGGAAGCAGGUAUGAUCUUUCAUAUAGCUGAUAGUAGAUGCCUAAGUACUGUUCAUAUUGUCCCUGAGAAGGGAGGUAUUAAUGUUGGUCCUAAUGAUAAAAAUGAGCUUAUUCCACAAGGAAUUAUCACAGGUUAUAGAAUGGUAAUUGAUUUGAGAAAAUUAAACAAAGCUACUAGGAAAGAUCAUUAUCCUCUAGCUUUUAUUUAUCAAAUGCUACAAAGACUAUCAAAACAUACACAUUUUUGCUUUCUAGAUGGAUACUCUGGUUUCUCCCAAAUACAUGUGUCACAAGAGGAUCAAUAAAAAACUAUUUUUACAUGCCCUUUCGGUACUUUUGCUUAUGGACGUAUGCCUUUUGGUUUAUGCAAUGCACCUGCUACCUUUCAAAGAUGUAUGACUGCUAUAUUCUCUGUCUUUUGUGAAAAGAUUGUUGCGUUUCCAUGGAUGAUUUUUCCGUUUAUGGAACUUCUUUUGAUGAUUGCUUAAGCAACCUUGAUCGAGUUUUACAUAGAUGUGAAGAAACUAAUCUUGUCUUGAAUUGGGAGAAGUGUCACUUAUGGUUAAUGAAGGUAUUAUCUUGGGGCAUAAAAUCUGCAAACGAGGUAUUGAAGUUGACAAAGCUAAAGUUGGUGCAAUUGAAAAAAAUGCCAUGUCCUAAAGAUAUCAAAGGUAUAAGAAAUUUCCUUGGUCAUGCUGGUUUCUAUAGAAGAUUCAUUAAAGACUUCUCUAAAAUUUCUAGGCCUCUAACUAAUCUUUUGCAAAAAGAUGUUCCAUUCAUUUUUGACAGUGAUUAUUUAGAAGCCUUUGAAAUACUUAAGAAAGCCUUAAUAUCUGCACCUAUUGUUCAACCAGCUGAUUGGAACCUACUCUUUGAAAUUAUGUGGAUGCUAGUGAUUAUGCUGUUGGGGCUGUUCUAGGACAAAGAGUUGAUAAUAAAUUAAAUGUAAUCCAUUAUGCUAGUAAAACUCUAGACAGUGACCAAAGUAAUUAUGCUAUGACUGAAAAAAAAAAUUAGCAGUUGUGUUUGCUUGUGAUAAAUUCAGAUCUUACAUUAUUGAUUCCAAAGUAAUUGUUCACACUUAUCACGCUGCUAUUAAGUACCUUAUGAAAAAUAUGGAUGCUAAACCUAGAAUCAUCAGGUGGGUUCUCUUGCUACCAGAAUUUGAUUUACAUAUUACUGAUAGUAAAGGAGCUGAGAACCCCAUAGCAGACAACUUGUCUUGGUUAGAAAAUAUUCUUGAUGACCCAUUACCUAUUGAUGAUAGAUUUCUGGAUGAACAAUUAGCUUUCAUAAAUGCUUUCUAAACUCUUGCACUAGAAAAAUUAGUGUUGGUCCCUUUUUCUACAAUGGUAUUGAUGUUUUCCUCGCCAAACACCUAGUGCGACAGUACCCCCACCCCCACAAAACAAAAGAAUAUCACCAUAUUCAUUUGUGAGCACAAUUUUACUUUGAAACUUUGCUACAUUGUAGUCUUUCACGUUACUAUGCUGUUUAUGCUUCUGUGUGGUUGGUCACCUUGGUCUUGUGUAUGUUAUGGUGCAACUUUGAGUAUGGUGAUGCUAAUUGGGAUUCCACGAUAUGUUAGGUCCUUGAUGACGCCUAAGGUAUGGUGGUCGAUAUCCUGGAAAAGGUUGGGCUUGCAAGGAACUUGAAGACACUUCCAAAGAUGGGGCACCUAGAUGGCACUAUGUACUUACGGAAAUUGUUGGGGCAAGUCUUGAGAAGCUAGGAUCUUGAAGGUGCCGAUGUACCUAGGUUCCAGCUUUCCUUUGACAUUGAAGUGUUGCAUACCAUGCUUCAUCUCAUUAUCCUCCUUCAAAUGCUCCUCCAUAUCUAGCAACAACAUGCGGGGGCUAACAUAGCGCCAGUGGAUAACAACAACCAUAGGCCAACAACAAUGACUCCAUCAACAAUCCUAGCAACAAAACGAGGUUUAUGUGAAAGAAAUCCGCUUAGUCCAGAAUAGUUUUGUUUUACCUCUGCAUAUGAUGUAUUGAUGUUUGUUCAUGCCACACAGUCCAGAAACUGCGUGGGGUAGUCUGUCACCAAAUGAGCCAUACAUAAUUCGUGCUAAGGGCAUCUCCAAUGCUGACCCGCAAAUUUGCUCUGGCAUCUGUCCACGGAUAGGCGGGACUAAUCCGAUGACACAGUUGCCGGAGCCUGGAGGCCACGAUCCAACGCAACCCGCAUACAUUUCAACCAUUGUUGGAACUAACCAGAUGAAAUUCAUGUAGACCAGCCAGAUUUGCAUAUAAACCAGAAGAGAUUCAUGAAAAUACAGAUGAUUUCAUAUUAAGAUGACGAAAUUUAUUAUAUUUCGGACAUACUUCAACUAAAAGCGGAGCUCGUUGACUCUGAAGAUAUAAUUUUGGACUUACUUAUAUUCUAAACCUAAUCUAAGUGAUCGCCGGUGCUAGUUCCUAGUGUCCCGCCAUGAGCCCCAGUGUUCUAGCACUUGCCCCUGCCUUCUCCAGUUCCGCCUUGGCGCUCUCUAGCUCUGCCUCCGCAGACUUCAUCAGUCUUGGCCCACACCUCGUCCGCUGCCUCGCCAAACUCCUUGUAGGCGGCCUCCAAUUUUGCCUGAUACUAGCGGAGACAGAUCUAGCGGGUGGAGCGGUAGGAAUCGAGCAGCGCCACCUGCUCCACCACUUCUGCGUCUGGCGCCAUCACCCUACCGGCGUCGAGCUUCUCCUCCAUCUGCUGGUGUUCUUGGAGGAGCUGGAGGUUGUAGGCUGCAUCAGGCUGCUCCUCCUGAAACUGCUCCCCCCACUCCUCCAGCACCAAGUCCAUGUAAUGGGCACAGGCCUCGCCGAUGGUCAUGGUGGAAUGCACAGGCGAGGGUGGCGCCGGCUCGUCUCGGUCGUGUCCUUCAUUGAGAAUUUGUUGGCCUCUGGCUGCCUGUCGGCCUUCCAGCCGGUAGAAAUGGCGGCCAUCUCCUUCUGUUCCAUCGACAAUCCAUCGUAGACAGCUUUUGAGCACGAUUAGGCCAUGGUAGGAGUGGUGCCGAGAGGAGGAAGGGACCAUAGGAGGAUGAAUGCGGCUAUGGCCGGGGCUGCAGUUUAUAUAAAGGGCGAAUAGCAAUGGUGGGCGGCAGAAGGACAGACGGAUGGCGAUGGAGUAGGUUUUUCGACAAUGGUUUGUCAUUAAUGUGGCGGUAGAUGGACGGCCUUGGUGUCCUUUGAACGGGGAGCAGCCGCGUGCAACGGGAAGCGGCGCUGGCAGCAUUUCCUCGGCCGGCGCGUGGCUUAGAUGACGGUGCCAGUGACAGGUCGCCUCCGCUCUAGCCGGGUAUGAAUGCGGCCAUGACGGUUUGGAGCAGUGCUGACUGUUUCGGGUGGGAAGCACGCACGGUCAUGGGAGGAGAUUUGGGUGGGCCAGGGUGGUCAAGAGCGGGCGUGGCGGCGGUUCGGACGGCCGGAAAGCCCUUCCUAGUUUGUCUCUGGUUUGCGGGACAAAGUACGUCUGGAUCACUCGGCGGACCGAUACAGGACCGCAUUAGAUGGCACAACACGUCCGGACUGCACAGUGUAUGCGGGCGGUUUGAGCGUCCGUGUUGGAGAUGCCCUAACAUCCUAUUUAUGCAGAGGACAGGUGUUACUCAACAUACUUUGUAUCCACUUGACGUUAUAUUCUGAGAUAAUAAUUACGCCCUUUAUGAAAAAUACUCCCUUUGCAACAAAAGGUAAUGCCGUGUGCGCUCUAUGCGGGUUUAUGACAUUGUGUGUGUGUGUAUCCUUUCGGUUGAAAAUUCAUGAACUUGUUGGCUGGAACACUUAGCUAAUACAACAACCAAACCCUAAACCAACUAGAAGAGACGCGAGCGCGACCUGAGGCCUGCAUAUAGACCAGCGUUUAAGUCCUCGAGCACGAAAUAGAGUAUCCAAUCAUAAGUAGGCAGUCUUUGUACAUUAAUUGCAAAAAAGAAAGUCUUUGUGUAUUGAAAGAUAUACAGUGCAGAAGCACGUGUCCAGUAAAACGCUAUAAAAUCCAUAGAACAAAGCCUCUGCCGAACCAUAAUCGAGCUCUGACGACUUUUAUUAGCUUGUACUCGUAGUUGAAGUGCAUCAACAUAUCGUACCUAGGUCGCCAUGCCUGCAAACAAGACUUACCCCUCCCAUAAAAAUGCCAACGGUGAGGUGGACGACGAAUUCUACCCAUUAAUCCGCAAGUACAAGGACGGCCGGAUCGAGCGGUUCAUGAGCUCAUUCGUGCCGGCGUCGGAGGACCCGGCGGCCAGCCGUGGUGUGGCGACGAGGGACGUCGUCGUCGACCAGGGCACCGGUGUGUCCGUGCGCCUGUUCCUUCCUGCCCAGGCUGCCGAGGCCGGCGCGAGGCUCCCCCUUGUUGUGUACGUCCAUGGUGGUUCCUUCUGCACGGAGAGUGCCUUCUCCCGGACGUACCACCGUUACGCCACUUCCCUCGCCGCCAGCGCAGGGGCGCUCAUCGUGUCCGUGGAGUACCGUCUGGCGCCGGAAUAUCCCGUGCCGACGUCCUACGAUGACACAUGGGCCGCGCUGCGGUGGGUGGCGUCCUUGUCCGACCCUUGGCUCGCCAAAUACGCAGACCCUAGCCGCACGUUCCUCGCCGGCGACAGCGCUGGCGGCAACAUCGUGUACCACACGGCCGUGCGCGCCACACAUGAUGACAGCAUCAUGGACAUCCAGGGGUUGGUCAUGGUGCAUCCAUUCUUCUGGGGGCCCGAGCGUCUCCCGGCGGAGAAGGUCUUGGACGGCGACGCCAUGUUCCCACCAGUGUGGGUGGAUAAGCUGUGGCCGUUCGUGACGGCGGGCGGGGCUGGCAACGAUGAUCCUCGGAUCAAUCCUCCGGACGAGGAGAUCGCGUUGCUAACUGGCAGGCGGGUGCUUGUGGCCGUUGCAGAGAAGGACACCCUGCGCGACCGGGGGCGCCAGUUUGUGUGCAGCAUGCGCAGGUGUGGGUGGGUUGAUGGCAGCCUCACCGUGGUGGAGUCGGAGGGUGAGGACCAUGGCUUCCACUUGUACGCCCCCCUACGUGCGACCAGCAAGAAGCUUAUGAAGAGCAUCGUGCAGUUCAUAAACCAUCGCGCCACCUUGCCGUCACCGGCCAUGGUGAUCCCAGAAGGCUCGGCCGAAACUAUGCUAGGCGUCCCUAGUAGGCCAUUUAAGGACAUAUUUGGCUACGGGAUGCGCAUGAAACGUUGGAGUGGCACGAGUUUUGGGCUCAAAGUUGGUCGUGCAAAAGCAUCGACGACGAGCUAUGGGUUACCUUUGAAGCAAGCUCGCACCUUCGGAGACCCUGUUUCAGCACCAACUUCGGUAAGAUUCGUGAUGAGGAACUGUUUCUAGAACCAGUUCCCGGGGUGUGUUAAGUUAAUUUAAAUUUACCUCAAUAAAUGUAUUCUUUUCAUUAUUGCUUGCACGUUGAGUUUGUAUACGUCAAGGUUAUGAUCACUUCUGGAGUCGUGUAAGUGCUUUUGCUAUUGCACUGGCGCAUUGUAUCUGCCAGAAACGUGCAAGUUCACGUUGCGGCUAAGUCGUUGCUUGGCAUGUUGUAGUCUCGUCGCCACGAUCCACCGCGUGCAGGAUGGCGCACGCUUUGUGUGGAUCGAUCACGGUGAGCUUUGUGUGUCUGGUUGUCAAGUGUUAGAAUAAAUAAAGGAAAUGAAAGAAAGAUAGAAAAGAUGCAAUUACGGCGUCACAAAAUUACCUCUUUUGUUUCUCUAAAGCACAUCCAGAUAUACCCUAAGUAUUGCACAUCUCAGUCCUAUGCUAUUGAUUUUACGUGAAGAACCGUGCAAGCAUUUUUGUAAAACUCCUAUCAUCCCCCGGGAAUUACCAUGUCUACCACCGUCUGCCUCAGCGCAGCUUCGCAGUUGAUGUGGAGUUUGACUUGUUGCAGCCGUGGGUCUUGCCAUGUGCGCCGGCUCUUGAAGCAGUACGAGGAUUCCUGGUGCACAUAUCCUCUGGGCCGGUCGGCUCCUUUUCGGGUGGUGCAGUGGUUCUUCGUUGCUGAUACUAAUGUGCUGCGUGUGGUAGCCUUUGUUGGCAGAGUGGUGGUUCAUCCAGGUUUUUCCUUUGGCACGGUUGUGGGUGGUGGUAGGUUCUUGCUAUUAUCUCUUCGUGAGGUUGCAACAAAGCCAUGAGUUGUGGCUGUGGCACUCUGGGCAAAAGCCCUGCACUACCUUUGUUGGUGUUGAUGACAAGGACACUCUCGGGCCAUGUUUUCCUCCUGAGUGGCAUUGUCGACGAGCCCUACUCCAUCAUCAUCCCUCGUGAUCCAGUCUCCAGUUGAAAACCUAGAUUUGCCUUGCUUUAUCGGAGAAUGGCAUUGUUGUCGAGGUUGCUUCCUUCACGGAGGCAUUGUUCUAGGAGGUCUGACCCUAGGUUCACAUGCACGCUGCUGACAUGCAUUUUGGCUCUUUCUGGCAGAUCCUAGGUGUUGUUGAAAUAUCCCAAUGAUGCUACCAUGGAUGGGAUGUGUAGUGGACCGCGGAGUAUCAAAUGUCGCGUCAUCUUGGUCGCCUGGGGCACCCAACGGGUUUCGAUUGACGGAUGCUAACGUAUGUUGUGACAGACAAGGGAUGUGAUGGGAUACGGUGGUGCAACAUUCAAGGUGCAUGUGGUGUGUCUGGAAGUGUCGAGGCCUCGGCACCGACGGCGGAGCAAGGCUGGCAGUCCAUGAUGCCAUCUGGUGUGAUUUUCGCUUCCAUUGCCAAGAUUACUAUCAUGUAUGUUUGUGUCGAUGGCUUCUAUGCCAGGGUUUAUCUGGUGGUGUCUGAUGCAGGGUGUGUGUACUAACAUUGGUCGUAUUCUUGUCUUACGUUUGUGGUUGUUUUGGCCUAGUCUUGGAUUGUUCGGUUUUAAAUCUUCUUUCUAUCAACGGAUUGAAACCCAAGCAUUGCGUUUUCUCAACAAAACAAAAGUAUUUUUCCAUCCGGCCAUUGUGAGACCGGGUCUUAGAAAAGCAGCUGCUGCACUUCAUCUCUAUGACGUCAAGAAACCCUCGCCUGCAAUGGUUAGUGCGGUAAAUUAGAGAAGAUAAUUAGGAAAAAAUGGCUCGUGUGUUUUGGUACUUUUUGGAAGGAGAAAAACUGUAGCAGAGAGGCAAGCGGGGUCCACAGUUACAUUCCUAAGCUUAAUAGCUUCAACACUAGCCUAACAAAACUAGUCCUGAAGCUAUUAAGCUGUCGAAUUCAAAAUCCGCUGCCACUUUUACUGUAAAUGGGUGAGUAGAAUACAGUCUAAUACCAACAUUUGGCAUUCGUAACUUGUAGUUUUGAACGAGUGAUGAUUAUGAUCUGCUGAUGCAAUUUGGCUGCUGAUUGAAUAAACUAUCAAAAUCUCGAAAGAAAUCCGACUAGCCACUAUUGUGUACCAGCCACAGCGGAAGUGAACUGGAGAAGGUGGUCAAGGGCUCAAGGCUUCCAUAGAAAAAGGCUGAACAAUGGAUUCUUGAUCCAGUAACAACAAUUACAAGAGACAAAUUUACAGCUUUUGGCAGCGAGGAUGAAGAUUCUGAUGAUUUCUCUCGGCAUUUGGUCGGUAAACAUUGAUGACGCCGACAUUGGUCAUGAAAACGAUCAAGGAAUCAUGGUGGACAUUUUGCAAUCGAAGACAAUUUCUAUGGCUUGGACAUAGUCAAUGUGGAAGCCCAAUUUAGAGAACAAGUGGAGUUGUAAUGAGGCCAUUGACAUGAUCCACUCGACGCCCAUGGUGGGCAUCAUGUGCCAAUGAAGCAUACAGCGCAGAUUUCAAGAUCUACUAUGGAGUCAUGAAGAGGGUAGGAUAGAGAAGGGGUCAUUCCCAAAGAGAUACAAUCAGUCACAAUGGAGACACAGUGGUAUUAUCCGAGUUCAGGCCCAUGAUUGAUAAAACCCCUAUGUCCUGCUUAUUGUGUAGUAUUGUUUUUUUCCAGGGGAUUAUUGUGUAGUAUUCACAAUGUUGAAUUACUGUUAUAGUAUAUAAGGAGUCCACGCUCUACACUCCAAUCAAUGCAACAAUCAUAUAUAUGUUACUAUGUUACUCCAAACAUCAUAGAUUCCUCACAAUUGUUGUUUACCCAACCUUAUGACUGCCAGAUCAACCACCAUAGAUAGGGAUUUCAGUACUCAACCUUAGAGACCACGCUAGGUACGAUGGCAAUAGAUUCCUGACAAUUUCUUUUUACCCAACCUUAUGACUACCAGAUCAAACACCUAGAUAGGGAUUUCGGAACUCAACCUUAAAUACCACGUUAGGCACAAUGAUGGGUCAAUGGUUUGGAGGACUAAGGCUAGGCGCUAGCCACCAAGAUGGAAACCAAAGUUGGUCUAGACAUAUGGACGGCUAGCACUUCCCAUGCGUAAUACAAUUCGCCGAUAAAUAGGAUAAGACCCCUUGAAUCCACAUGAUAACAGGCAAAAAGGAGAAGAGGGAAGGUGAAUAGCAGAGCUCUAUUAUUUUUAUUCAUUUCUCAAGAAAGUGUCAAAACUUAGAGAUUACAAAAUUAUUCAAUUAUAGAAUACUAGCAAAAGCUUAGGACUUACUAAUCGGCCACAGGGAUGUAGAUUAAAGUUCAUGAUGGUAAUUUAUUUUGUGUUGGCUCAAAUUGCAGGGAUGUAGAUUAAAGUUCACAACAUCUAAAUCCUUGAUUAUUGUGGGUUCAAAUAAGGAUCUUUUUUAAAUAGGUUAUGGCCCUAUCAUCUUGUAAAUAACCACCCCAACAUUAAUCACAAUGAUGGGGAGGGUUUCCAAGUAGUUCAUUGGCACCACACUCGAUGGCUGAUGUUCAUAAGGGUUCCGUUAGAUUAUCGUAAUGUUUGGUGACAUUUUAUCAUACUUUAAUUUAGUGUUUGUUGUUCAUGGGCAGAAGACAUAUUAUCGGUGCCCUCAAGUAUUUCAUACAAGUAGAAGAAUUUGUGCUUGUCAACGUGCCAGUACAUGGCAAGUGCUUGGGCUACUAAUCUCCUUAGCCUGGUCGGCUUUGACUUAAUAGAAUCCCUCUCACAUGCAGUUUUUUCCCUCAGAGGACCUUCUACAUCAUGGUAACAUGGCCAUUACCAGCAUUUGCACAAUUUGCGAAGCAGAGGACUCAUGGUGUUACUCCCUCAUGAACACUACAUUAUGUCUCACUACAUUUGGGAUCUUUCCGCUGAGGAACUUGUGCAAGCUAUGCAUAUGACAAGAGAACCUGACGGUAAACGCUGGAUUUUCUCACUGAUGAAGUUUCUUUCAUAAUCCCAGUUCACCAGAGUGUUAGUUACCAUGUGGUGUAUUUGGCACGCCCGACGGAAAGCUAUACAUGGAAAAUAUUCGAGAGCUCAGUGCCUGCAAAAAAAGUGAAGGUCUUCCAUGUGGUGAUAAAUUGCCAACUUAACUCAGAGGUAGAGCGAUUUCGGCCUCGGAAGCACACGGGCGUGCAAUGACGCGUCCAGGUGUCCUCCCUAUCCGAGUCCGUCGGAUCCGGCAGCGACUCCACCAUCUAGUAGACAAUAUAGAUAGUGUAUUUAAAAGAAUUUUAACACCCAUAACAUAUAGCAGUAAUUGUAUUACCACAAAUCCAGUGAGCAAGUGUUAAUAUAUCCGGUGAAGUGUGCUUUUGAUGUAGUUAAUAGUGGAGACAACUUCAAGAAACUAAUUAAACCGGACACAUGCAAGGUCGGGUCCUGUGCUCUUCUGAUUAAGUGAUAAUCAAACACAUUUAUCUGAAAACUACUAAGUAAAACCAAGUCUUGCAGCAGUAAGAAGAAGACCAAUUGAAUGUAUGAAGUCCUGAAUAACUGGUUAAUGGACCAACGCAUGAUCACUGACGGUGUUCUGAACUAGGGGUACUCACCACGUCGUCUUCCGACCAGUGGGUCGGGCCGAUGACCCCCAUGAUGAUUUACUAAUGGGCCCCUUCGGGUAGCCCAUGCAGAACACAAGGAGGAUUUCACAAAACUUGGCGCACAAGACAAUGACUCCUCUAAAGCCUAGGCCUACGGUGCAUAUAUAAACUGAGGCCAAGCUAGUCAAUAGACAAUCCAAUAUUCAUUGCUACAAUCUCGUUGUAGACACAUGCAUCCUGUACUACACCCAUAUCAAUAUAAUCAGAAGCAGGACGUAGGGUACUAUCUCUUCGAGAGAGCCCGACUUGGGUAAAAUCAUGUGUCCAUGUUACCAUCGUUUCCAAGACGCCUAGCUUAGGACCCCUACUACGAGAUAUGCCGGAUAUAGAACCGACAUUGGUGCUUUCAUUAGGACCCUGCUGGGUGAUCACCAUGGAUCGAUGGGAUGAUCAGAUCAGUUUUUGGCUCACCGGCGGCGAUGAUUUUUGUGCAAGAUCCGAUGAAGGCAGGCUGGCGUGCCCACAUGAAUCACUUCGCGUGAGAUCGAUCAUAGAGACAAGCGCAGACGUAAAGACUAAUGAAUAAGAAAACAGUUCGUAUGGCGCUCCUCACUGGCAAAUUUGACCAUUUUGACCUAUGGACGAAAUCAGUUCACGGAAUGAACUGACCGUGAAACUAUUUCACAGCCCUAACUUUUUUGUGUAGCGCCCGCCACGACGGCGCCACACCCUACUGUGCAGCGCCUAGCGCGGGGGCGUUGCACACCAGUCCACCGUGGCAGCCCCUGGGCCCGCACCCAGCAGUGCAACGCCUCCGUGCUAGGCGCCACACACAUGUAAUGUGGAGCGCCUAGCGCUCGGGCGCCACACUUGUAAAGUGCAGCGCCUAGCGCGUAGGCGCUGCACUGUGACUUAUCCAGCCACUCGGCUGCCCCCCUCCCCCACCCCCACACCACACACUCUCCCACUCUCCUCCCCGAGCUUUUCCCCCUUUCCCCCUCUCUCCCCCUCUCAAACCCUCUCCCAAAUCUUGCAAAUUUGAAGAAUUUGUCCGUGGAUUUCGAAGUCAAACCCUCCCUCAAGGUAAUAUUCUCCAUUCCCCUUGUUUUGAUCCAAGUAAAGUUCCCCAUUGCUCAUUUGUUGCUUGUUUGGGGAAACCCUAGUUUUGUUUGGAUCUAGAGAUUUGCAUGGAAAUGUGAGAUGUUUGUUUGCCAAUUUCUAUGGUUAGGCUUUGUUAGUAUGCUAGGGUUAUUCUUAUGGGUGUUCUUAUGUUGGUGCUAGGGCUAGGGUUAUGGUUAUGGUUAUGGUUAUGGUUAGGGUUGUUGUUUGACAUAUAUAUUAGGGUUUCUAUUCCGUGUUAAUCCUUGUAUUAGUACUCAUGGAAGCAAUGUUACCUUGUGUUAUUGGAAUGCUUAUAGGGAUGGGAAGAACAUGUGUGUUUGUUCAUCAUGGGGACAAGGACGCCUUUUUGAAAGGCAAUGUUGAACCGGACCCGGAUGAGGUUGACAUGGUGUUUAAUAGUAGUUCUAGCUAUGCGGAGCUCUUGCAACAAGUUAGGGAAGAUUUGAAUUGGACGGACCCUAGUGAUAUCAUAGAGAUGGAGGGAAGGCAUAAUGUUGGUUUUGGAAUGCACAUCCGUUGGAAGACAAUGCGUGUCAACUCGGAGCAACGUUGGGUUGCAUACAAGGAGACGGUGGCCGAAUCACUAGACAAGGCUCUUGAGUUAUUUGCAACAAAGAAGGUUGAUUCAAGUUUGCAUUUGGACUUGAACCGGAACCCCUCCCCUUUGGUUGCUAGUAGCCCCACACCCUUGAAGCGAGAUGAAAUUGUUGAACCUCUUUUGACCCAAGAAGUGAGGCCAACAUUGAGCCCGUUUACAAACAACCAAGAUGAAGCUUUGCAAGAGGACAAUGAUGAGUAUGCGGACGAUGACAAUGAAGUUGAUCUCCAUGACAACAAUGUGGGUGAUCUCGACAAAUAUCACUUGCAAGAGACAAUGGACCCUUCCAUCCCUUUUUCCCGUGGAUAUGCAUCGGACUCGGAUGACGAUGGUCUCGAUGAACAAGUUGAUGCGGAGGGGUUCACGGUGAAGGAGGCCGAAGCUUUCGAGAAGGUAUUUGGUCGGGAUCAUCGGACUACAUUGUUCAAGGAUGUUAGUCUCGCGGAUGAAGCCGUGGUAGAUGGUGGCCAAUGUGUACCUCUUGGGGUUAGGCCAAGCUCUUAUCGUGAUUUGGGAGACGACAAGAACCACAUUGCUAAAGGUUCUAAGUUCGACACCUUCUUGGAAUUGAUAAUGUGGCUCGACAACUACUCGGUUACGCAUUAUCGUCCACAUAAGGUGGUGCACUCGGACGUCAAAGUGCGCUACACGGUUGCAUGUGCAUGUGAAGAUGAAAUAUGUCCAUGGAUUGUGUGUGCAAGACCAUGGAAAGGAGGUCCCACUUGGCACGUAGUGAGUUGUGUGCCAACUCACAUGUGCCAAGGCAAAAGGGUGGAUGGCAAGAUUGUGUCCCAAAACCACAAACAACUCACGUCCGAGUUCAUCGCUUACAGGCUCUCCAACUCAAUAUCCACACUUCCAACAAUGAGCAUCCAACAUGUCAUUGACCUUGUGAAAGCCAUCUUUCACUACAAGGUGAAGUACGGCAAGACAUGGAAGGCGAAGCAAGCCGCAUUUAAGAUGUUGUAUGGUACUUGGGAGGAAGCAUACAACAGAAUCCCUAGGUUGUUGUUAGCCAUGGCCGCGACAAACCCGGGCAUGGUUCAUGUGGUCGAGCCUCAUGGGCACCAAACAAAGGUUCAUCAAGGAAGGAAAGUCAGAGUAUUUGGCCGUGCUUUUUGGGUGUUCGAGCAAUGUGUGAGGGCUUUCGAACAUUGUAGGCCGGUCAUCGCAAUUGAUGGCACGUUCUUGACCAGACAAUACAAGGGCACCUUGUUGGUUGCGAUAGCAAGUGAUGCCAAUAACCGGGUGUUGCCAUUGGCAUUUGCUUUGGUUGAGGUGGAAAACAAUGACAACUGGGAGUGGUUUCUGCAUCUUUUGAGGACGAAGGUGUUACCCGCUCAAAGGGAAAUUUGUGUCAUAUCGGAUCGGCAUCAAGGAAUUCUUAACAUGGUGGAGAUUGACAUUCCCGGGCAUGCUCCGUUGCACCACGAUGGUGCAUGAGGCACUUUUGUUCGAACUUCUGUAGGGCAUGUGGCCUUAAGGAGUUGGCCGAUGAUCUUCAAGAUUGUUGUCUUGCUUUCUCCGAGAAGCGCUUCGCCACUUUGUACCACAAAUUGCUCGCACACAAAAAACUUGAUGCCGGGGGUCAAGACUUUCUCAAUAGGCACAUUCAAUACCGGAACAAGUGGGCACGUGCCUUUGAUGAAGAUGGCCGGAGAUACGGUCAAAUGACAAGCAAUAUGGCGGAAUGCUUCAAUAGGGUGCUCAAAGGUGCACGUGGAUUACCCGUGACGGCAAUAGUUCAAUACAAAUUUGACAAGAUGAAUGCGUACUUUGUAAAGUACUCGAUGGAAACCGAUGCACAAAUAGCGGGUGAGAACCCACGGAAGUACAAGUACAAGUUCCCACCCAAAGUUGAUGAAUGGUUGGUAUUUCAAUCAUCGAAGGCGGACUCAGAAGAAGCUAUAUUAUAUGACAAUGAAGAGUGGAAGUACGAAGUGAAAGAGCGAGGAGGAACCACAGACGAUGGCCGGCAACAUGGAGGUCGGGCUUUCAAGGUGUCGUUAACACAAUGUGAUUGCACUUGCGGGAGGCCGUUGUUGCUUCAUCUCCCAUGCUCACACUUGUAUACCGCCGGUCGCGUUAGGAAUGUGGACAUCAAUCACCCACGCACCAUGAGGGAGUCCGAGUUCUCAAUCAUGACGGUCAAGAAAACAUGGGCUCCCCGCUUUCACCCGUACUUUGACCAAUCACAAUGGCCGGAGUAUCAUGGAGUUCAACUAUGGCCGGAUUCGGAGUUGAAGGUUGUUAAACGGGGUAGACGUCAGACAAAGCGUCUUAGAGGAGACAUGGACGGAUGGGGCCAUGGUGGCCGCCGCGAAGCGGGCAACGACCAAUUCCAAGAGCCUCGUGAGAGCUCCCGUUGUGGGGAGUGCAAAGGUCAUGGCCACAACAAAAGAAAAUGUACGAAACCAAGGAAAAGGUCCAAGAAAAAUGAUGCAAGCACAAGCCAACAAGGAGCUACACAAGGGAGCCAACCAAGUGGUAGCCAACAAGUGCCAAGCCAACCAAGAGGUAGCCAACAAAAGCGAAGGCAACCUAGUGGUAGCCAACAAGUGCCAAGACAACCAAGUGGUAGCCAACCUAGUGGUAGCCAACCUAGUGGUAGCCAACCUAGUGGUAGGCAACAAGUGCCAAGCCAACCAAGUGUUAGCCAAAGAGGAUCUAGGAAACAAAGAGGUCGUCAACUAGGACUUACAAGGGGCCGUGGUGGUGGUAGUGGCCGUGGUGGUGGUGGUAGAGCUCGUGGUGGUGGUGGUCUAGGCCGUGGUGGUGGCAAUGGCCGUGGUGAUGGUCUUGGCCUUGGUGGUGGAUUUGGCCAUGGUGAUGGAGAAGGGCAAGUUCGUUAUAGAGGAAUGUUUGGAUACCUAGAUGGACCGUUUCCGUAUGUUCCUCACUAACUAUAAUGUAUCACAUGUUCUUGUUUUUCAUAUGUUCUUCCAUUUGUUCUUAUUGUCCUUACUAGCCAUUAUGUUUCACUCAUUGUAGGUAUGGCGGCUUCCCAACACAACAAACCAACGAUGAAGGAGGAUGGCGAAGAUGAGAUGGCUGGAUGGUGGGAGAAGGCUGCGAAGAAGCUUAGAGAUGAGGAUGCAGCCAAGCUAAAGAAGAAGGAAGAGGAGCUUGAGAAGGAGAUGAAGAGGAAAGAGAGAGCGUCAAAUGCGAUGCGCGCUAGGGAGGAAGCGUUGGUGAGGAAAUGUGAGGAGGCACAGAAGAAGCGUCUAAAGGAUUUUCAAGAAAAAACCAUGAAGCUUUGGGCAAUUGCAGCUGAAAAAGAAGAGAGGGACAAUCAGAUAUUCAUGGAAAGGGUGGUUAAGGAGGCUCACCUCAUAAGAAAAGGGAGGAGGAAGAGGAAGAAGAGAGGAAGAAGAAGAAGGGAAAGGGGCCUUGCUCUACGCAAUAAAGCUACUAUGUCUCCUCUUCGAUUUGGUUGUAAGAACUACUAUGUGUCGUGAACUACUAUGUCUCCUCCUCGAUUUGGUUGUGAACUACUAUGUGUCGUGAACUACUAUGUCUCCUCCUCGAUUUGGUUGUAAGAACUACUAUGUGUCGUGAACUACUAUGUCUCGUCCUCGAUUUGGUUGUAAGAACUACUAUGUGUCGUGAAGUACUAUGUGUUAUGAACUAUGUGUCAUGCAUAUAUUCUCUUCACAGUUGUUAAAUUACUAUGUAUCAAUCCUACCUCACAUCAUCUUACUAUGUUUGCACAUGCUAAAAAAUUCACCAAGUCCACGUGCAACGUCUAGCACUGAGGCGCUGCACUGUGNNNNNNNNNNNNNNNNNNNNNNNNNNNNNNNNNNNNNNNNNNNNNNNNNNGAGAGCAACAGAAUGUGUGUCAUGCUACAGACAUGUGCAACGCCUAGCCUGGAGGUGUCACACACCACAGUGCAACGCCUAGCCCUGAGGCGCUGCACUGUGUAGUGUGACGCCUACAGGCUAGGCGCUGCACGUGUCUGUAGCUAUCCAGAGAGCAACAGAAUGUGUGUCAUGCUACAGACAUGUGCAGUGCCUAGCCUGGAGGCGUCACACACCACAGUGCAAUGCCUAGCCCUGAGGCGCUGCACUGUGUAGUGUGACGCCUCCGGGCUAGGCGCUGCACAUGUCUGUAGCUAUCCAGAGAGCAACAGAAUGUGUGUCAUGCUACGGACCUGUGCAACGCCUAGCCUGGAGGCGUCACACUACACAGUGCAACGCCUAGCACUGAGGCACUGCACUGUGGAGUGUGACGCCUCCUGGCUGGGCGCUGCACAAAAACUUAGCGAAUUUUUUGGCCAAAACUGGAGGCCUACCUUCUGUUGCUCUCUGGAUAGCUAACAGACAUGUGUGACGCCUNNNNNNNNNNNNNNNNNNNNNNNNNNNNNNNNNNNNNNNNNNNNNNNNNNNNNNNNNNNNNNNNNNNNNNNNNNNNNNNNNNNNNNNNNNNNNNNNNNNNNNNNNNNNNNNNNNNNNNNNNNNNNNNNNNNNNNCCAUAGUGCAGCGCCUGGCCUGCAGGCACUGCACUAUGGAGUGUGACGCCUCCGGGCUAGGCGCCACACAUGUCUGUAACUUUUCCUUCAUUCUGUUGCUCCUUGUUGCUCCAGUUUUGCAUCACAGAUAGUUUCAUCACAGAAUAAGCAUUACUAAGAGAUUUAAGUUAAACAUUACCACCAACAUAGAGUUCAACACAUAGAGUGACCAUCACGACAAGUUCGACAUUACCACCAACAUAGAGUUGAACACAUAGAAUGACCAUCACGACAAGUUCGACAUUACCACCAACAUAGCUACCAUUACUACCAUUACUAAAAGAGAACGACGACUACUUCCUUCUGCGCUUGUUGGCUCCUCCACCUCUCUUGGAGGGUAUCUUCUUCACCUUCCUAGGAAGACGAACCCGCUCCGGCUCUGGCUCCGGUUCCUCCACGUCAUCCACAUCGUCAUCCACAUCGUCAUCCAAAUAGUCGUCCAAAGCCGCCAUCCGCGAGGUGCCGACCGUCCUUUUGCCUCUUUGGGUGAAGUCCUCAGGUGUGUAUUUGUUGAUUCCCCUCCUAGGCUUUUACUCAUAUGCAGACCGAACCUUGUAGGUCCCCAAGGUCCUAUCAUCAAAAACCUAUGCAUCCACAAAAGAUAUGGAAAGACCGUUUGUGAGAAUAUAGUUAGCAAAUGCAUCAACAAUUGGAUAUAUAACCUCAGGCCAUACCUCUUGGGUGAGCACGCACACAUCUUGGGUGACCACACCCACAUCCUCAUCGUCCAAAGGAUUAUCAUGGCCAGAAGUUGGAUCUGAUGGUGUCGCUGACCUAGAACGUUCUGGUGAUACAUACUCGGGGUCACGACAACCGAAAAGGUUUGACAGCCGCCUUAACUUUUGGCCCUGGCGCUGCAACAUGAACAAGUGAAUGAGACAUCGAACGUAGCAACACAUGUUAAGUGCUAGUUUGAAGGAGAUGUGAACCUUAAUGAAUGCUCGAAGUGCACCUUCCCCAUCGCUUUUGCCAGCCGGGGUUGUUUCCAGAAUAGUGUCGGACUCAUCAGCUGCUUUCUUGAUCUGGGCACGCUAUGAACAGAAAAGGUAUUAACGUGUUAGGCAAGUGAAGAUGUGAAUAUUGCGAAUUGAAAAGCAAAAAGGGCAAAUACCACAAAGUUCAUCAUUGGCCCCGCAGGGAUCACGAAGUUUCCUUUCCUGACUAAUGCGUUGUACUGGUGCUGGGCUACCUCAUCAAAGACAGUGGGUUCUUCCAAAAUCUUAUCAUCAUACGUCGGCUUGCAUACCUCCACACGAGUGACGCCUAGAAACCAUGUGAGAUAGUUGUUGAACGCAAUCGGGCAGUGCUCACGAAGCUUGGCUCAUUUUCCAGCCCUAGCUUGCUCCAAAGUAAGCUCCCACUGUAUGACAUACUUGUUGUGAUGCUUGGCCCAAUCCUUGAUCUUCCGCUGCUUUUUCCUAUCCAACCUGCAAGUUAGAAACAUAAUAUUAGCAUCAUCGAAACCGCCGAGAAGCUGCUAAUUGCUCAAGGUUGAUUAUAUCUUACGCGUGUAGCACUAUAUCCGUGUCCACAAACUCCGGCGGGUGUGGCAUGAACAAACCAAACUGACGGUACACCCGAUGUGGCAUGUGAAGCUCAACCGCCCAGUUGCAUAUGAGUGGACACCGCAUAUGCCAGAGAUCCCUAUCCCUAGUGCACACCGGAUUCAGCGUGAACUCUAUAGGGUUCCCAAAACUCUCUCCUUUUCCAUAAGGUUCCCAUACAACCUACAAAAUUGGAUAGAAUGAAAAAUUGAUAUCGAUUUACGAUGGAAGCAUGAUAAUAACUUAUGCAAUGUCAAUUCACCUGCUCAGGCGUGAUCGCGUCCAUCUCGCUCCUGUACAGCUUGUACAUGACCGAGGGAUCAUCCGUCAUCUCAUUUAACACAUCCCACUUGUAAGCCCAAGUCGGGCGCCGUAGUGGGUCGUCUUUCUCGUCCCAAUCCUCGAACUUCAAGGUCUUCAGUCGUCCAACCGGCAAACGCUCCCAGCUCCAUAUGGAAAGUGCGAGCAAACAACCACCAAUACCUCCAGAUAGCCUACAACAGGCUUCGUCCAACUACUAGUACGAACCGAACAGAACCCCACGUGAUGGUUGUCAAAAUCAAGUACUACUUCUGUAGUAAUUGAAGCACGCCUCCCAAGAGUACAUCAUCACUACAGCUUUUAAUCAAAUUCCAUGGGCGUUGUGUGCUUUGGUUUUAGCCGGCCGCUGCCAGGUGCUAUCUCUCCAAAUUACUUUCAAUGCACAAUAUUUUUCUUGGGAAUUAUUCCUUCGGCCAGUGUUAUUUUUUCUACACAGGUCAGCUAAUUUGUGGCUGCAAUGAGAUCGCCCCACGAAUUCAUGUUUCAUCAUGCUGCCACUGCACUACAUCUGCGUCGUUAUUCCGGGCACCCUGAAUCCAGCCGAGGAGGACGAGCAUGUCUGCGUACAGUCCACGCGGAGCAGCGCCCGUAGCCAACACGAAUUCAGCUAUGCGGCAACCCACAUGGAGAUCAAUCUUUCCUUUUCUUUAUUAAGAUAAUGUACUAUACUAUUGCUUGCUACUACCUGUGUGGGAUGCUAUACCUCUGCACUGUAUCUAUUUGGAUCUAACGUCUGAUUGCUAGCUGAUUGACUCACAAAUCCUCAGGUGCUAUUCUUCCUAAUAAUUACAUGCAGUAAGAAUUAUUUGUGACAUUAUGUUUUCUGUUAGGUUUGUACUGCUCUAUGUAUAUAGAUUGAUGUACGGCCUAAGUUCGCGUCCGCUGCUUGUCGAUACAUCGGAUUCGGAUACAUCGGAUUCAGACUCAAUCUGACCAACAGACGAUUCAGCCGAAGAGAUAGUGCAGAAGCAGUACCCUAACAGGGAAUGGGCUCCCUGACAGCACACAAAGCACACAAACAAGGAGAUUUAAUUAUUUUCCCCCUUUUUAAAUGAGCUCUUCAUCGGCCGCUGGCAGUUCCCAAUAAUCCUUUUCAAAAAGUGGAUAGACCUAGAGUAUUUCUAACCUAAUUAAAUACUUGUUUUGCAAGCACUGUCCUUGUGAUCUAAUCUACAAACACUAAUUCACAUAUUGAUGAAUGCCAGCAGUCCAGCUAGCACUACUUCGGGCAACGAGCAAAGUUCGACCGAUGUUUCUUUAUUUCCUUCGGUCCUCCACGAUUAUUGCCGUCCAGGUUUUUAGCGAUUUGUUUAGCACAUAGAUUAUUAUACAGAGAAUGUUUUCUGUUCUUUUGUGUUGCAUUAUUUUUGCAGAGAAGUUUUUCGGACCCUCCUACACGGCGUCAGUCUGGCCAGUCUCUCGUUGUCACCUAGGCAUGUCAACCAAUGUCGAUAUUGACCUCGCGCCAGAUAAUCGACCUUGACUAUGUCACGCCGCCACCUCGGCAAUCCGACGUUGUCGUCCAGCCUGCGCUGAUCAUGCCAGACCAAUCUCAACGCAGUCACAGGGAGAUUUGAUUUUUCUUCUUUUCUCUAUUAUUUAUUAAGUUUGGAGGCAGUCUACACUUUCACUAAUGGCCUCACUUUCGUGUGCUUUUCUGAUGCGAUUAGUACUACCAGUUGCUUCACUUCCAUCAGAGAAUGGAGUGAUGCAACAAGAAGCUUACGUGGUACCUUCCAUAUGAAGUUGUAUGAGUACUUUGGGCCGCUCUUUCACAACAAUUGCUACAUGCGGAUAAGGCUGACAGCCACCGCACCCACUGACACCUUCGUGCUGUGUCUUGAGCUUGCGUUGUUUUUUCUUGAAGAGGAAAGGGUGAUGCAGCAAUAGUAGCGUAAGUAUUUCCAUUAGUUUUUGAGAACCAAGGUAUCAAUCCAGUAGGAGGCUCCUCAAAAGUCCCACGCACCUACACAAACAAACAAAGAACUCGCAACCAACACAAUAAAGGGGUUGUCAAUCCCUUCACGGCCACUUGCGAAAGUGAGAUCUAAUAAAAAUAGAAUGAUAAGAUAAAUAUAUUUUUGAUAUUUUAUAAUAUAGAUGCAAAAAGUAAAGACGUAAAUAAAAGUAGAUUGGAAGCAAAUAUGAUAAGAGAUAGACCCGGGGGCUAUAGGUUUCACUAGUUGCUUCUCUCAAGAUAGCAUAACUAUUACGGUGGGUGAACAAAUUACUGUUGAGCAAUUGAUAGAAUAGCAAAUAAUUAUGAGAUUAUCUAGGCAUGAUCAUGUAUAUAGGCAUCACGUCCGCAACAAGUAGACCGACUCCUGCUAGCAUCUACUACUAUUACUCCACACAUCAACCGACUCCUGCCUCCAUCUAGAGUAUUAAGUUCAUAAGAACAGAGUAACGCAUUAAGCAAGAUGACAUGAUGUAGAGGGAUAAACUCAAGCAAUAUGACAUAAACCUCAUCUUGUUAUCCUCGAUGGCAACAAUACAAUACGUGCCUUGCAACCCUUUCUGUCACUGGGUAAGGACACCGCAAGAUUGAACCCAAAGCUAAGCACUUCUCCCAUGGCAAGAAAUAUCAAUCUACACUAGUAGAAAAGGGGCCAAUGGUCCAGACCAGUCCAGCCCAUUAGUCCCGGUUCAAUCCAGAACCGGGACCAAUGGGGGCACCGGACCCUGUUCGUGAGCCCCGGGGGACGGCCGGGCCACGUGGGACAUUGCUCCCGGUUCGUCUGGACCUUUUGGUCUCGGUUGGUGGGACGAACCGGGACCAAUGGGCCUCGCUCCUGGCCCACCACCAUUGGUCCCGGUUGGUGGCUCGAACCGGGACCAAAGGCGACCAUUAGUCCCGGUUCAUGCCAUCAACCGGGACUAAAGGGUUGGUCCUCGUUGCGAGUUUAGUCCCACCUCGCCAACCGAAGGGGAAUCAGACCGGUUUAUAAGCCCCUCCCUCUCUACCUUAUUGAGCUCCUCUGAAAAUGAAAAUAGAUGCCCUUAUAUAGGGAAUUUAGCAUAAAUUCAUACGGAUUUCUCUUGAAAUUCGUUAUGAAUUUAAGUUGGAUUUCCUCUAUAAGCGCAUCUCUACUCAUUUUUGAGUAGUUUUUUAUAUAGUUUUUCUUCUUAUUCUUCUAUAUUUAUUUUUUUCUUUUUAUUUAUGAGUUGUAAUAAGCCAUUAAAAAUAAGCAUAUAUGCUCCUUUUUUAGUACAGUUAAUCACAACUAUUUUUUGCUUCUAUUCAUUUUUGAGUAGUUUUCUAUAUUUGUUUUUAUUUUCUGCUAUAUUUAUUCUUUUGUUUUUAUUUCUGAGUUGUAAUAAGUUAUUAAAAAUAAGCAUCUAUGCUAUUUUUUAGUAAAGUUAAUCAAAAUUAUUUUUUCUUCUAUUUAUUUCUGAGUGGUUUUUUAUCUAGUUUUUUUUCUUUUCUGCUACAUUUAUUUUUUUCUUUUUAUUUCUGAGUUGUAAUAAGUCAUUAAAAAUAAAAAGAGGCGCAAUGCUCGUUAAUUUGCUUCAAGCCUUUCGGAAUAGUGUCAACUGCACUGCACAUAGCUCUAUGCAGUCUACCGUAUUCCUCAAGGCUUGAAGCUAACCAACGUGCAGGAGCAUUGAGCCUCUUCGUCAUCAUCUUUGCACUCAGGGCUUAUAAACAGUUGCGAGUGCCUCUCGCUUGGCGAGGUGGGACUAAAAAAACAGCUGCAGGAAGAAUCAUCAAAAAAUAGCUGCAGAAAAUAAAAAAGUAGUUACACGGGUCCAUUGGUACCGGUUCAUGGCACCAACCGGUACCAAUGCUACUCUUUGGUCCCGGUUGGCUGGACCAACCGGGACGAAUGCUCAUCGUUAGUCCCGAUUGGAUCCACCAACCGGGACCAAAGGUCUUCGUUUCUCGCCCUUUGCGCUGCUGAAAAGAGGCCUUUGGUCCCGAUUGGUCGCUCCAACCGGGACUAAAGGUUGCAUUAGUCCCGGUUGGAACGACCAACCGGGACCAAUGCUUUUGCUAUAUAUACUGGACUUAGCAGUUUUCGCCAAGACCCAUCUCUUUCUCGCCCCGACGCCUCUGCUCCUCAUCGCCGUCGCCGCCGAGCCCUACCCCGCGCCGCCCCGAGCCCGCCGACGUUGCCCGCGCACGUCGUCGCCGCUCCCAUCGCCGCCCGCGUCCCGNNNNNNNNNNNNNNNNNNNNNNNNNNNNNNNNNNNNNNNNNNNNNNNNNNNNNNNNNNNNNNNNNNNNNNNNNNNNNNNNNNNNNNNNNNNNNNNNNNNNNNNNNNNNNNNNNNNNNNNNNNNNNNNNNNNNNNNNNNNNNNNNNNNNNNNNNNNNNNNNNNNNNNNNNNNNNNNNNNNNNNNNNNNNNNNNNNNNNNNNNNNNNNNNNNNNNNNNNNNNNNNNNNNNNNNNNNNNNNNNNNNNNNNNNNNNNNNNNNNNNNNNNNNNNNNNNNNNNNNNNNNNNNNNNNNNNNNNNNNNNNNNNNNNNNNNNNNNNNNNNNNNNNNNNNNNNNNNNNNNNNNNNNNNNNNNNNNNNNNNNNNNNNNNNNNNNNNNNNNNNNNNNNNNNNNNNNNNNNNNNNNNNNNNNNNNNNNNNNNNNNNNNNNNNNNNNNNNNNNNNNNNNNNNNNNNNNNNNNNNNNNNNNNNNNNNNNNNNNNNNNNNNNNNNNNNNNNNNNNNNNNNNNNNNNNNNNNNNNNNNNNNNNNNNNNNNNNNNNNNNNNNNNNNNNNNNNNNNNNNNNNNNNNNNNNNNNNNNNNNNNNNNNNNNNNNNNNNNNNNNNNNNNNNNNNNNNNNNNNNNNNNNNNNNNNNNNNNNNNNNNNNNNNNNNNNNNNNNNNNNNNNNNNNNNNNNNNNNNNNNNNNNNNNNNNNNNNNNNNNNNNNNNNNNNNNNNNNNNNNNNNNNNNNNNNNNNNNNNNNNNNNNNNNNNNNNNNNNNNNNNNNNNNNNNNNNNNNNNNNNNNNNNNNNNNNNNNNNNNNNNNNNNNNNNNNNNNNNNNNNNNNNNNNNNNNNNNNNNNNNNNNNNNNNNNNNNNNNNNNNNNNNNNNNNNNNNNNNNNNNNNNNNNNNNNNNNNNNNNNNNNNNNNNNNNNNNNNNNNNNNNNNNNNNNNNNNNNNNNNNNNNNNNNNNNNNNNNNNNNNNNNNNNNNNNNNNNNNNNNNNNNNNNNNNNNNNNNNNNNNNNNNNNNNNNNNNNNNNNNNNNNNNNNNNNNNNNNNNNNNNNNNNNNNNNNNNNNNNNNNNNNNNNNNNNNNNNNNNNNNNNNNNNNNNNNNNNNNNNNNNNNNNNNNNNNNNNNNNNNNNNNNNNNAAAGAAGACGUAGUUUAUAUAUAGUUGAACUAGCUAGUUGAUUUAAUAAACUAAUUUAUUUUACUAUAUAUAGAAGUAGUUUGUUUUUAGUAAGUACUACUUAUUUAUUUAUAGUAAGUGCUUAGUAGUUGAACUAGAUAGUUGACUUAAAUAAUAAAACUACUUUUAUUUAACUAUAUAUAGAAGUAGUUCCCGCGUCGACGUCGGCGAUGCCUAUCCCGCAUCCUCGUCGUCGUCGACUCGGCGGGGGACGUAGGUUGGUGAGGAGGCAGCCCGUUGUUGACCCGAUCCUUGUUUGGUGGCGGUCGCGUGGGCCAGUGACGGUGGUGAGGCAUCCGGACACAGAGGAGGUGGUACGUCACCGUGUCAGCAAGGAGGACGAGCAAGUCCGUCGCUACAUGGUUGCAUUGGAGGGGAGGUUCGACAAUACCUGGCAGGUUCUUCAGGGAUCUCAUUGGAGCUAUGAUCCUGUGAUGGUUCCUUAUCUUUGGGUGUCCACCGCCCGCGUCGAUACCCGUCGGGCGCUACGGUUCUAGUUGUAUUAGUGAUAAUAUUCGACGAUGUACGGACACCAAGAGAUGAUGUACUUUUGCUUAUAAUUAUUGAAUGCAUGCUAAUUUGAAUACUAUACUUUAUUUUAUGAUUUGGUUUUGGUUAUUUUAUGAUUUGGUUUUGCUUAUUGAAUGCUCAUAUUGGAUAAGUUCUCCUUCAUUCCCGUGUGCUAGACAAUUUGGUAUCAUAAUGCAUUUGGGAAUGAAAGAGGAGCUACAUACAUACAUCGAUCAUCGAUAGUCAAUCCAUGAUUAAUAAUAAUGAUCUAGUUUAAUAUUUGAAUUAUGAACAUAGGCCGGAAAUGUCGUACUCAUCGGACGACGAAAACCGCCCGGGGGAGUGCGACUGGUGCCACGACGACCGAGGUAUCUGCGACAGGUUCAUUGAGCUGGACGAAGAUCGGCGCUUCAGCAUUAAGCUCGAGGAAACCUGCGAUGUUCAUACGGUACGCAACGACGACAAUAGUUUUUUUCGUAAUUAAGCAUGACUUCAACUAUUUUAACGUGUAUUUUUCAUCUUCUCCAAUUCGACUAGGUUAUCCCAUGCUUUGCAAGACGCUAUGUCUUGGAGAGGAUGGGUUUUGAAGACCAUGAAAAUUUUGAAACCAAAAAAAUUAUCCUAAGUACCCAUCAUGGUGUGGAUUUUCAAGUAAAGUUGUACAAUGCUCAGAGUGUAACCCAUUUUGGUUGCAAAAAUUGGGAUGCAUUUUGCAAGAUGUAUGGUCUUGAUGAGGGUAUGCUUGUCACCAUGGAUCUUGGUGAUCCUACAAUCGAGCAAGAGACACCUUCGAUUUGGGUCCUUGUGGAUACACCUCUAGUUCUUCCCUCAUGUGAGCUAAACAUAGUUAUUAAGUAAUUUAUAUUGUUUAUUUCAAAAUAUAUAGUUGACAACUUAUCUCCAUUGAUAGCUUAUUUUCAUUCUUCAAAGAACGUGCGGAAGAUGGUAGACAGAAUGUACUACACCGGAGGCUCCGAAUUAACUUAUCAGGAGAAAAAUCAUCUGGUCGGAUUUUGUACUGAUCUUGAGAAUUACAAUAUCUACAAUCAAACUCCUCAACAUUAUGGUCAAUACGUGCCACCAGUGCACGUGUUGAACUACGGUAACUACCAUGGAGAUACCCUGGUAAGAUUAUUUUUUACUAUUACAACAUCCGUGCAUCUUUUUGCACACUUCUAAAACUAGUACAUCAUUGCUAACUACGAAGUUAUUACUAUGUUUUUCAACAGAUAAUCCUGAAUGAUUGUGUGCCUCAUCUGAUGUAUACGCAUGGUAGCCUUCAUGUUUUGAACAUACAACCAGGUCGUCCUACGAAUCUCAACUGUCCAUACCGGGUUUCUAAAAGAAGUGGAGACAUAACAAUCAAAGAAUGGAAAAAAUGUAUGGACAGUCGUAAGGAGCUUCUUGGAAGCAAUAAGCAGCGAAGGGCAAGAAUUGGAGACAGGAUGAUCGCCAUUCUUCAUAAUGGAGAGUCGGGGUCUAUAUUGUUUUAGCUAUUUUACCUUAAGGGUGUUUAGGUCCUACCUGAUACUGAUGAUCAUGUGCUAAGAACAAUUAUGUAGGGUUGGGUUCGAUGACUAUAUAUGAGGAUGAUGAUCGUAUGACUUAUUAUUAAUAACGAGUAGAAGUUGUAUGAUGAUGCAUGAUUAGUAGGACUUGUUAUUAUAUAUAUAUGAUGAUGUAUGAUGCAAAGCAUGCAUAAGCAUGUUAUACCUGCGGGUGCAAUGAACAUAGCAGCAGCGUUGAUAAACCAAGGACGAAGAUAAGAGAGGACACUUCUCUCUAUUAGCUAGCUAUAAUAACAACCUAAAAAUAACCCCCAAAACCCCUAAAGCAGCCACUUUUGUAAAGAAAAAAGACUUUUGGUCUCGGUUGGAGCCGCCAACCGGGACCAAAGGCCCCAUGACUGGGCUCGGCGCAGAGGGCCACGUGGAGGCACAUUGGUCCCGGUUCGUGUUUGAACCGGGACUAAUGGGUGGAGGCAUUAGUAACGACCCAUUAGUCCCGGUUCUUGAACCGGGACUAAAGGCCCUUACGAACCGGGUCUAAUGGGUGGUUUUCUACUAGUGCUAGUAGGUCAAACCAAACUGAUAAUUCGAAGAGACUUGCAAAGAUAACUCAAUCAUACAUAAAAGAAUUCAGAGAAGAUUCAAAUAUUAUUCAUAGAUAAACUUGAUCAUAAACCCACAAUUCAUCGGAUCUCGACAAACACACCGCAAAAAGAGUUUACAUUGAAUAGUCUCCACAAGAGAGGGGGAGAACAUUGUAUUGAGAUCCAAGAAGAGAGAAGAAGCCAUCUAGAUAAUAACUAUGGACCCGUAGGUCUGUGGUAAACUACUCACAACUCAUCGGAGGGGCAAGGAUGUUGAUAUAGAAGCCCUACGUGGUUGAUUCCCCCUCCGGCAGAGUGCCGACGAAGGGUCCAAGAUGAGAUCUCGCGGAUACAGAAGGUUGGAGGUGGAAAUUGUGUUUUGUUGGCUCCCUGGAUGUUUUCGGGGUAUGUAGGCUUAUAUAGGAGGAAGAAGUACAUCGGUGGACGCCCGAGGGGCCCACGAGACAGGGGGGCACUCCCUAUAGGGGGGCGUGCCCUCCUAUCUCGUGGAAGCUUCGGCUGCUUCUUGACUUGCACUCAAAGUCCUCUGGAUCACGUUCAUUCCAAAAAUCACGCUCCCGAAGGUUUCAUUCUGUUUGGACUCCGUUUGAUAUUCCUUUUCUUCAAAAUACUGAAAUAGGCAAAAAAACAGCAAUACGGGCUGGGCCUCCGGUUAGUAGGUUAGUCCCAAAAAUGAUAUAAAUGUGUAAAUAAAGACCAUAAACAUCCAAAAGGGGUAAUAUAAUAGCAUGGAACAAUCAAAAAUUAUAGAUACGUUGGAGACGUAUCAAGCAUCCCCAAGCUUAAUUCCUACUCGUCCUCGAGUAGGUAAAUGAUAAAAAGAGAAUUUUUGAUGUGGAAUGCUACCUAGCAUUAUUCUCAAUGUAAUUUUCUUUAUUGUGUCAUGAAUGUUCAGAUCCAAAUGAUUCAAAAUAAAAGUUCAUAUUGGUAAAAGAAAUAGUAACAUUUCAAGCAUACUAAUCAAAGUAAUCAUGAUUCUCAAAAUAGCAUGGCUAAAGAAAGUUCAUCCCUACAAAAUCAUAUAGUUAGGCUAUGCUUCAUUUUCGUCACACAAAGAUGUUCCCAACUUCUAUACCCCCGAUGACAAGCCAAGCAAUUGUUUCAUACUUAAAUAAUCUCAAACAUUUUCAACCUUCACGCAAUGCAUGAGCGUGAGCCAUGGAUAUAGCACUAUUGGUGGAAUAGAAUAUGAUGAUGGGGAUUGUGUGGAGAAGACAAAAAAGGAGAAAGUCUCACAUUGACAAGGAUAAUUAACGGGCUAUGGAGAUGCCCAUCAAUUGAUGUCAACAUGAGGAGUAGGGAUUGCCAUGCAACGAAUGCACUAGAGCUAUAAAUGAAUGCUCAACAAAAGAAAACUAGUGGGUGUGCAUCCAACUUGCUUGCUCACGAAGACCUAGGGUAUUUAAGGAAGCCCAUCGUAGGAAUAUACAAGACAAGUUCUAUAAUGAAAAAUUCCCACUAGUAUGAAAAAGACAACUUAUGAGACUCACUAUAUGAAAAGCAUGGUGCUACUUUGAAGCACAAUAUAUGAGACUCACUAUAUGAAAAACAUGGUGCUACUUUGAAGCACAAUAUAUGAGACUCACUACAUGAAGAACAAGGUGCUACUUUGAAGCACAAGUGUGGAAAAAGAGAUAGUAACAUUGCCCUUCUUAUUUUUUUUUUCUUUCUUUUUUUUGGGCCUUUCUUUUUUUUUCUUUUGGCCUUUCUUAUUUUUUUUUCUUUUUGGGCAAUGCUCUAAAAUGAUAAUCAUCACACUUCUAUUGAUUGCAACAUAUGAAUUACAACUCGAAACUAGAACAAGAUAUGACUCUAUAUGAAUGCCUCCGGCGGUGUACCGGGAUGGUGCAAUGAAUCAAGAGUGACAUGUAUGAAAAAUAAUGCAUGGUGGCUUUGUCACAAAUACGAUGUCAACUACAUGAUCAUGCAAAUGGAAAUAUGACAAAAGUAAAGUAUGUCAUGAUGAUGAUGAAUGGAACGGUGGAAAGUUGCAUGGCAAUAUAUCUCGGAAUGGCUAUGGAAAUGCCAUAAUAGGUAGGAAUGGUGGCUGUUUUGAGGAAGAUAUAAGGAGGUUUAUGUGUGAUAGAGAGUAUCGUAUCACGGGGUUUGGAUGCACCGGCGAAGUUUGCACCAACUCUCAAGGUGAGAAAGGGCAAUGCACGGUACCGAAGAGGCUAGCAAUGGCGGAAAGGUAAAAGUGCGCAUAAUCCAUGGACUCAACAUUAGUCAAAAUAACUCAUAUACUUAUUGCAAAAAUUUAGAAGUCAUCAAAAAUCAAGUACUACACACAUGCUCCUAGGGGGAUAGAUUGGUAGGAAAAGACCAUCGCGCAUCCCCGACCGCCACUCAUAAGGAUGCACAUGCCAGGUACACUUCAUGUUUCAAAUUUGUUACACAACUUUAACCAUACGUGCAUGCUACGGGACUUGCUAACUUCAACACAAGCAUUCUUUAAAUUCAUAAUCACCCUACUAGCAUGAAUUUAAUAUCACUACCUCCAUAUCUCAAAACAAUUAUCAAGUAUCAAAUUGAUCAUAGCAUCCAAUUCACUUCCUAUGAUAGUUUUUAUUAUACCCAACUUGGAUGCCUACCAUUCUAGGACCAAUUUUAUAACCAUAGCAAAUACCAUGCUGUUCUAAAAGACUCUCAAAAUAAUAUAAGUGAAGCAUGAGAGACUAGCAAUUUCUUCAAAAUUAAGUCACCACCGUGCUCUAAAAGAUAUAAGUGAAGUACUAGAGCAAAAACUAUCAAGCUCAAAAGGUAUAAGUGAAGCACAUAGAGUAUUCUAGCAAAUUCUAAUCAAGUAGGCUUCUCCCAAAAGGUGUGUACAGCAAGGAUUAUUGUGGUAAACUAAAAAGCAAAGUCUAAUAUAAUACAGGACGCUCCAAGCAAAAUACAUAUCAUGUGGCGAAUAAAAAUAUAGCUCAAAGUAAAGUUACCAAUGAAUGAAGACGAAAGAGGGGAUGCCUUCCCGGGGCAUCACCAAGCUUAGGCUUUUGGCUAUCCUUGAAUAUCUUGGGGUGCUAUGGGCAUCCCCAAUCUUAGGCUCUUGCCACUCCUUAUUCCAUAGUCCAUAAAAGCUCUACCCAAAACUUGAAAACUUCACAACACAAAACUCAACAUGAAAUCUUAUAAGCUCCGUUAGUGAAAGAAAACAAAACUACCACAUAAGGUACUGUAAUGAACUCAUUAUUUAUUUAUUUUGGUGUUAAACCUACUGUAAUCUAGCUUCUCUAUGGUUUAUAACAUAUUUUACUAGCCAUAGAUGCAUCGAAAUAAGCAAACAACACACGAAAAACAGAAUCUGUCAAAAACAGAACAGUUUGUAGCAAUCUGUAACUAACGCAAACUUAUGGAACUCUAAAUAUCCUAACAAAAUAGGAAGUCCUGGACAAGUUGUGUAUUGAUCAGCAAUAAAAAGAAUCAACACAAAAGCACAUUUCUGUGAUUUAACAAAACUAAAUUCGUGCGCGCAAAGUUUCUGUUUUUCAGCAGAAUCAAAUCAACUAUCAUCAUAGGUUAUCCUAUAGGUUCUACUUGGCACAAACACUAAUUAAAAGAUAAAAACACAUAUAAACAGAAGGUAGAUGCAAGAUUUAUUACUAAACAGGAACAAAAACAAAAAACACAAAGAAAAUUGGGUUGCCUCCCAACUAGCGCUAUCGUUUAACGCCCUAGCUAGGAAUAAAGCGAAGAUAGAUCUAACGAGUGCCAUCUUUGGCACUAAAUUCAUAAGUAGCCCGCUUGAUAGAUUCAUAAGGUAAUUUGACAUUCUUUCUUGGAAAGUUCUCCAUGCCUUUCUUUAAUGGAAAUUUGAAUCUAAUAUUCCCUUCCUUCAUAUCAAUAAUCGCGCCAAUCAUUCUAAGGAAAGGUCUAUCAAGAAUAAUAGGGCAAGAAAGAUUGCAAUCUAUAUCAAGAACGAUAAAAUCUAUGGGCACCAAAUUUCUAUUUGCAACAUCAUUGAUCCUUCCCAUUGGCUUUUUAAUGGUGGAAUCCGCAAGGUGCAAAUUUAAAGAGCAAUCAUCAAGAUCAUGGAAACCUAGAAUAUCACAUAAAGUUUUCGGAAUUGUGAAAACACUAGCGCCCAAAUCACAUAAAGCAAAACACUCAUGAUCUUUAAUUCUAAUCUUUAUAGUAGGUUCCCACUCAUCAUUAAGUUUUCAAGGUAUAGAAACUUCCAAAUUAAGUUUUUCAUCAUAAGAUUGCAUCAAGGCAUCAACAAUAUGUUUGGAGAAAGCUUUAUUUUGACUAUAAGCAUGAGGAGAAUUAACAACGGAUUGAAACAAGGAAAUACAACCUUCUAAAGAACAAUUAUCAUAAUCAAAUUCCUUGAAAUCCGAGAUAGUGGGUUCAACGCUAUUUAAAGUUGUGACCUCUCCAAUCCCACUUUUACCAAAUUUAGCAUCAAGAUCUAAAAACUCCGAAUUCUUGGGACGGCUUCUAGGUAAAGUGGACUCAUCAUCAGUCCCAUAAUUAUCAAGAUUCAUAUUACAAAACAUAGAUCUAAUAGGAGACGCAUCAAUAACUUUAAGAUCCUCAUCAUUAUUUUCAUGGAAACUAGAAGAACACGCCUUUAUAAAGCAAUCUUUCUUAGCACGCAAUCUAGCGGUUCUUUCUGUGCACUCAUCAAUGGAAAUUCUCAUUGCUUUGAGAGACUCAUUGAUAUCAUGCUUAGGAGGAGAAGAUCUAAGUUUAAGAGAAUCAACAUCAAGCGAAAGUCUAUCAACGUUCCUAGCCAAAUCAUCAACUUUGAGCAAUAUUUCUUCAAGCAUAGCAUUAAAAUUCUUUUGAGAAAUCAUAAAUUCUUUCACACUAUUCUCAAUCAGAGGGCAUCUUAUUGAAAUUACCAAAAGCAUUAGUGUAGGAAUUUUCAUAAUUAUUAGAGGAAUUACUAGGGAACGGUCUAGCAUUAAAGUUUCCUCUAUAAGCAUUGUUUCCAAAACUAUUCCUACCAACAAAAUUCACAUCCAUAGAUUCAUUAUUAUUCUCAAUCAAAGAAGACGAUGGCAUAUCAUUGGGAUCAAGAGGAGUAUUUUUAGUAGCAAACAACUUCAUAAGUUCAUCCAUCUUUCCACUCAAAACAUUGAUUUCUUCUAUAGCAUGCACUUUUUUACUAGAAGAUCUUUCGGUGUGCCAUUGAGAAUAAUUAGCCAUAAUAUAAUCAAAAGUUUUGUAGCAUCUCCUAACGUUAUUUCCAUAAACGUGCCUCCCGCGGCCGAAUCUAAGAGAUUUCUAGAAGCAAAGUUCAAACUGGCAUAAUUUUUUUGUAUGAUCAUCCAUAAAUUCAAACCAUGAGUAGGGCAAUUGCGAAGCAUCACUUUCAUUCUUUCCCAAGAUUGGGCAACAUGCUCAUGAUCAAGUUGUUUAAAAUUCAUAAUAUCGUUCCUAAGAGUGAUAAUCUUAGCGGGAGGAAAAUACUUAGAGAUAAAAGCAUCUUUGCACUUGUUCCAAGAAUCAAUACUAUUUUUAGGCAAAGACGAAACCAAACUUUAGCAUGAUCUCUAAGUGAAAAAGGAAAUAACUUCAAUUUAACAAUAUCAUUAUCUGUAUCUUUCUUGUUUUGCAUAUCACACAAAUCAACAAAGUUGUUUAGAUGAGUAGCGGCAUCUUCACUAGGAAGGCCGGCGAAUUGAUCUUUCAUAACAAGAUUCAGCAAAGCAGUAUUGACUUCACAAGACUCAAAAUCAUUAAGAGGAGCAAUCAGAGCACUAAGGAAAUCAUUAUUAUUGGUAUUCGAGAAAUCACACAAUUUGGUAUUAUCUUGCGCCAUGGCAACAAGUAAUCCAACACACAAGGAAACGGAAAAAGGCAAGCGAAACAGAGAGGAGGAGAUUGGGAAAGAGAGGGCGAAUAAAACGGCAAGGGUGAAGUGGGGGAGAGGAGAAUGAGAGGCAAAUGCAAAAUAAUGUAAAUGCGAGGGAGAUGGGUUUGUGCUGGGUACUUGGUAUGUCUUCACUUGAGCGAAGACCUCACCGGCAACGGCGCCAGAAAUCCUUCUUGCUAUGUCUUGAGCUUGCGUUGGUUUUCCUUGAAGAGGAAAGGGUGAUGCAGCAAUAAUAGUGUAAGUAUUUCCCUCAGUUUUUGAAAACGAAGGUAUCAAUCCAGUAGGAGGCUCCUCAAAAGUCCCACGCACCUACACAAACAAACAAAGAACUCGCAACCAACGCAACAAAGGGAUUGUCAAUCCCUUCACGGCCGCUUGCGAAAGUGAGAUCUAAUAAAGAUAGAAUGAUAAGAUAAAUAUAUUUUUGGUAUUUUAAAAUAUAGAUGCAAAAAGCAAAGACGCAAAUAAAAGUAGAUUGGAAGCAAAUAUGAUAAGAGAUAGACCCGGGGGCCAUAGGUUUCACUAGUGGCUUCUCUCAAGAUAGCAUAAGUGUUACGGUGGGUGAACAAAUUACUAUCGAGCAAUUGAUAGAAUAGCGAAUAAUUAUGAGAUUAUCUAGGCAUGAUCAUGUAUAUAGGCAUCACGUCCGCAACAAGUAGACCGACUCCUGCCUGCAUCUACUACUAUUACUCCACACAUCGACCGACUCCUGCCUGCAUCUAGAGUAUUAAGUUCAUAAGAACAGAGUAACACAUUAAGCAAGAUGACAUGAUGUAGAGGGAUAAACUCAAGAAAUAUGACAUAAACCCCAUCUUGUUAUCCUCGAUGGCAACAAUACAAUACGUGCCUUGCAACCCUUUCUGUCAUUGGGUAAGCACACCGCAAGAUUGAACCCAAAGCUAAGCACUUCUCCCAUGGCAAGAAAGAUCAAUCUAGUAGGCCAAACCAAACUGAUAAUUCGAAGAGACUUGCAAAGAUAACUCAAUCAUACAUAAAAGAAUUCAGAGAAGAUUCAAAUAUUAUUCAUAGAUAAACUUGAUUAUAAACCCACAAUUCAUCGGAUCUCGACAAACACACCGCAAAAAGAGUUUACAUCGAAUAGAUCUCCACAAGAGAGGGGAGAACAUUGUGUUGAGAUCCAAAAAGAGAGAAGAAGUCAUCUAGCUAAUAACUAUGGACCCGUAGGUCUGUGGUAACACUACUAGGGAAAAGCCUAGCAGCACCGCGGGUUUUGGGCCUAUUAGCAGCGCGGGGGCCGGCGCUACUAAUAAGGCGCUACAACUAACUUAUAGCAGUAGCGCGGGUGCCACCCGCGCUACAGCUAAUGUAUAGCAGUAGCGCGGGUGCCACCCGCGCUACAGCUAACGCAUAGCAGUAGCGUGGGUAAAAACCCGCGCUACUACUAAUCUGUAAUCUCUGAAUUUUUUUUUGAAUUUUUUUGAAUUUUUUUGAAUUUUUUCCCUAAUUUUCAAAUUUCUGAAUUAUUUUAACCUCAAAUCUCUAAUCACCCCUCAUCGCUACUCAAUUUAAUCUCUAAUCACCCCUCAUCAUUCAAAAUCAUCUAACAUCCCGAACGGUCACCCAUCCUCUCACUACUCCAGCCUGAGCACGCUUAACUUCCGGGUUCUAUUCUCCCUCGUUUCCAAGUCUGCACUUGUUGUUUUCCUGACAAUAGUAAGAUGUCAAUCCUAUUAACCUGAGGAAUUUAGCUUGAGCAUGAAGUCACAAAUUUCACUGUUUGAGUUUGAAACUAUUGUUCUAAAAAAUUAGUAACACUAAUAUUUCUUGAAUAAUUAGUUUGACCACAGUUUGACCAUAGUUUGACCAGAUUUGACCAAAAUUCAAAAAACUAAAAUAAUUAUUUAGUAACACUAAUGUUCUUGAAUAAUUAGUUUGACCAUAGUUUGACCAGAUUUAACAAAAUUUAAAAAAACUGAUGUUUUUUUGAAUUUUUUUGCCUUCAGAUCUUAAAAGCCCCGUAACUUUUUUUCUGUUAGGUUUUUGAGGAUUUUAAAAAUGUUUAACGGGGUUCCAGAGAGAUGUAACUUUUCGAUUAAAUUCGGAUGUAACUUUUCGAGUAGAUGAUUUUUCAUAUUAAAAACUUUUUCAUCCGAGUUCGUAUGCAAAAGUUAUGGCCAUUUUACAAAUUUACAGAGCGAUUGUGCAAAUAAAGUCGAAAUUCAUAUUUGUAAAUUUUCCCAACAACUAGACCACAUAUCACAUGGGAAACUUAUUUUCUUUUAUUUUUUUGACAUUUUUAUCAUUUUCUUUUAUUUUUUCUAAAACUGAAAAGGCGGUCCACGGAGGGGGGGGGGGGUAGACUUUGAAAAUUUUGCAAAUAGGCCAUACCCCGCGCUACUACUAUGGCAGACGAUUAGUAGUAGCGAGGGGUAAAAACCUGCGCUACUACUAUCAGCUUAGUAGUAGCGCGGGUUUAUACCAUCACUACUACUAUGGCAUGGUCCAGGGGCCACUUAGUAGUAGCGAGGGUUAAAAACCCGCGCUAUUGCUAUCAACUUAGUAGUAGCGAGGGCUAAAAACCCGCGCUACUACUAUGGGAUGUCCCGGGGGGCACGGUAGAGACCGCUUAGUAGUAGCGAGGGUUAUAAACCCGCGCUGCUGCUAUCAACUUAGUAGUAGCGAGGUUUAAAAACCUGCGCUGUUAGUAAGUAGCAGUAGCGAGGGUUUUUAACCCUCGCUGCUGCUAAGAUUCUGUGUAUAGGUUAUUCCCUAGUAGUGUAAACUACUCACAACUUAUCGGAGGGGCAAGGAUAUUGAUGUAGAAGCCCUCCAUGGUCGAUUCCCCCUCUGGCAGAGUGCCGGCGAAGGCUCCAAGAUGAGAUCUCGCGGAUACAGAACGUUACGGCGGUGGAAAUUGUGUUUCAUUGGCUCCCUGGAUGUUUUCGGGGUACGUAGGCUUAUAUAGGAGGAAGAAGUACGUCAGAGGACGCCCGAGGAGCCCACGAGACAGGGGCACACCCUAUAGGGGGGGGGCCCAUCAUAUCUUGUGGAAGCUUCGGCUGCUUCUUGACUUGCACUCCUAGUCCUCUGGAUCACGUUCGUUCAAAAAAUCACGCUCCCGAAGGUUUCAUUCCGUUUGGACUCCGUUUGAUAUUCCUUUUCUUCGAAAUACUGAAAUAGGCAACAAAAAAAACAGCAAUACGGGCUGGGCCUCCAGUUAGUAGGUUAGUCCCAAAAAUGAUAUAAAUGUGUAAAAAUAAAGCCCAUAAAGAUCCAAAAGGGGUAAUAUAAUAGCAUGGAACAAUCAAAAAUUAUAGAUACAUUGGAGAAGUAUCACUCCGCACAAUGAGUUCGGAUACAAGGUCGAUGUUGGCGUCCCGCGCAUGGCGACCUGCAUCGACGGGUCCGCGCUGCCACUGCAUCGACUUCGCAUAUAUUAAUUAUGCAGUUUUUUCUUUCAAUUAUUAUUUUUUUGCUUGCUGUAUUUUAUGUGUGCAGGUAAUCGAUUUUUACUAUGUUACGCGGUCACUUCGGUGUCACCGGCCGACCUGCUUCCACACCUCGGCUGGCAUGAGACUUCGGCGUCACCAGCUGGCCUGCAUGAGACUUCGGCAUCCGCCGAUCAUAGCUUUGCCAUGUUAACUGCACCGAGGACUUCAUCUCGCCACAUCGGCCGUGCAGCGUCGCCACUUUGUCAGACCGAACUCUUCGUUCAGUCACCUCGGCGUACGGAGUCAUCCUCUCGCUUCCAUCAACCACAUUCCACCAUCACCAUGGUGUGAUACCCUGUGUCGCCAUUAUCGCAUCGUCGCUUCAUCAAACUGACGUCCACCAUGCCUACCUGUUUCGACACGUCGACUGACGUGGGGGCUUCAUUGUCAUGCUGCCUAACUACUUUGUCUCCUUGGCUGGACCGGGGGCUUCGCCUCGGUACUUCGGCACUGUCGUGCCAUCACUUCAUCAAGCUAAGCUCUUCGCUCGGGUACAUCAAGACUGGUUUGUGGGUUGGGACCUUGAGCCGCUACAAGCUCGGCCCACGUCACAUCGAGCACAUUAACCAGCAAAGUCGCUUUCAUGCUCAAAAACUUUCAGUUUUAAAUUUUGUUCGAUUCGACCAAGCAUUAUACUUUUUUUGACAAAAAGUCCUUUGCAAAAAACUUUCUUUGUCAAAACCUUAUUUGUUAUAAACAAAUUCAUAUACCCUGUUUACUUGGGGGCAUCCUUUCAAUCCAUUCUUCUUGCAUAUGAUUAUUAAUGUAUCACACCAUUCCUUGUUCACGCAUUAUGUCAAAAUAUGCAUCAUGUUGACUUAAGUGCUCCACAAAGCUGGGUUGCCUGGCUCCUGUGCUUACCCCUACGUUUCCGAUUGUUCAGCUAGGGAGUAAAGGGAGCACCUCUGCGAUUGUUACAACCGGGUCAUCCAAACUCGUACGUCAGAUGGGUGAAGCCGAAUGCUAGAGCUCUUAUUGUUUUCAACUAUGGUCGGCACACAACGGAACUCACGCAUUCACAAAUCUAUUGCACAAGUCUCAUAGUAAUCAUGAGCGACCAAAGAAAGGUACCAUUGGGGGCGCUAGUUUCUAUGAAGAUGCUUCUUACGUUAGAUAAGUAAUAUAGCAUAAGUUCCCUCGGCGUGUUUUGUCUGUUACAGCCUCAUGACCUGAUUGCCUGGUUAUCCGAAACACUGCCGAUAUUCUCGGUAGGCAGAUUAGAUAACACUUUUCGGCCCUUGGCCGAAGAGGGAGAAGCCCACGGUCGGUUACGACGCGUCUAGAGUUCGGGCGAACACAUAUAUUAUAUAAAGUACUUUCGUACAUACAAUCGUUAUACAUAAAAUUCUUUUACCCAAGUCACUUUUGAGCUCUUAAAUUAAUAUGAGAUGUUUUAUAAUAGAUGUUUUCUUCUUAGUCAUUGCAAAGUCUUUUUCUACCACUCCUUUCUCGAGUUAGGUGUAUGAUCAAUAGCCGGGUAUCCUGGUUUCUCUCUAAAGCCAUUUGGUUUAGUUCACUAAAUUGGCCUGAUAAACACUCCGCCUUCAGGAUAGGGAGGUUGAAGCAAAAGGCUGGCCCACUUGAAGCAUAGAGAUCGGAUGUGUCAUCUGAAAGCACGACGGAGGUACAAUUUAUGCAUGUUUUUUGGUCUUUUGAGCUUAUAAAAUAUUUCACCUAUUUUAUGUUUUCCUUUCAGGAAGUGGGACAUCCUCUUGGUUGAGGUGUUCAACGUGAAACUCUUUUCUAAAACAACAGUUUGGCAUCUUUCCUACUGAACUCCACCUCGGUAUUGUCAAAACAUACAUGACAGUUGAACUAGUUCCCAAGGAGGUACGAUCCUAGGGUCGACCAUGUUGCCCAACCCAAUUCUCGAUGGCUACUGCAUUGAAAAUCCAAUGCCGAAAAUUUAAGUGCAAUGUAGUUUCCGAGGAGAUUAUGAUCCUCAGGUUGGUCGGCCGCACCCAACCUGAGUCUCAAGGGCUGUGCACACUGCUUUUUGUGUCCUGAAGUAUUCUGUCGAUCUAGGAGUUGAUCCUCAGGCCGAUUUUGCGAAUCAACCUGAGUCUCAUGGGCUACUGGGAUCAGCUGUCUUAUGUCAUCUUUCAGGCGCAUCUUGGGUAUUAGACCGACACACACCUUGAGGGCUACUGGCUAUAUAUCUCGGCAGAGAAUAAAUUGCACCAAUCAAAAAUAUUCUGAACAAAUCAGCUCGCAGUCGGGGUGGUGCACCACCUAAGAAGCAGUCCGGCAUAAAGCUCGAGCGCCAGUGGCUGGCUCCAUAGAGGGCAUUUCCGGCAUUAUGCUUGGCUGAAAUCGUUAAAUCUUUUAAAGACCAAGGUAGUUUAUGACACUUCGGAUGCCGACCAUCGUCGAAGCUCGGCUUUGAAAAUAUGCCUCGGAUUUAGUUCCGCGUUGGAGCUUGGACGCAAGAGGAUACCUUGAAUGCCGAAUAGUGUUGGAGCUCGGCUGUGAAAAGACGCCUCGGAUUUAGUUUGGCAUUAGAGCUCGGACGCAAGAGGAUGUUGUCGCCUGGGAAACACUUCAAACCCCAGGUGUGGCGUAAAAAACUUAUAAGGCAUUGAUAGGCCGAUAACUUAAAGGGGCUCCUUGGAUGCCCAACAUGUAAACCCUUUGGAUUCAGCUCCUUUAUCGUCAAGAUUGGACAUGGGAAGAUUUGUUGAACCAGUUUUCAAGAGCGACGAUCGAAGAAGAAGAAUUAUUCGAAAGAACCGAGGAGCGUCCUCAACUUGAAGACCGGUUAAAGGGGCUACUGACGGUGUCCUGGACUAGGGGGUACUCACCACGUCGUCUCCUGACCAGUGGGUCAGGCCGAGAACCCCCAUGAUGAUUCACUAACGGGCCACUUCGGGCAGCCCACGCCGAAUACUAGGAGGAUUCCACAAGACUUGGUGCACAAGACAAUGACUCCUCUAAAUCCUAGGCCUACGGUGCAUAUAUAAACCGAGGCCAACCUAGUCAAUAGAUAAUCCAAUAUUCAUUACUACAAUCUGGUGGUAGACACAUUGUCGGUGUCAAAACCGGCGGAUCUCGGGUAGGGGGUCCCGAACUGUGCGUCUAGGCGGAUGGUAACAGGAGACGAGGGACACGAUGUUUUACCCAGGUUCGGGCCUUCUUGAUGGAGGUAAAACCCUACGUCCUGCUUGAUUAAUAUUGAUGAUAUGGGUAGUACAAGAGUGGAUCUACCACGAGAUCAAGGAGGCUAAACCCUAGAAGCUAGCCUAUGGUAUGAUUGUUGUAAUGGAUGUUAUGUCCUACGGACUAAAGCCCUCCGGUUUAUAUAGACACCGGAGAGGGCUAGGGUUACACAGAGUCGGUUACAAUGGUAGGAGAUCUACAUAUCCAUAUCGCCAAGCUUGCCUUCCACGCCAAGGAAAGUCCCAUCCGGACACGGGACGGAGUCUUCAAUCUUGUAUCUUCGUAGUCUUGGAGUCCGGCGGACGAUGAUAGUCCGGCUGUCCGGACACCUAGUCCAGGACUCCCUCAGUAGCCCCUGAACCUGGCUUCAAUGACGAUGAGUCCGGUGCGCAUAAUGUUUGGCAUUGCAAGGCGGGUAAUCCAUAGAAGAUUGUGAACACCAGGAUAGUGUCCGGCUCUGCAAAAGAAAUUCCACAUUCCACCGUAGAGAGAAUAUUAUGUACACAAGUUCAAUUUGCUAACGUAUCUUGUAGCAUGACAUCACGCCACUACCAAGUCUUUACUUGAAUCGUUUUUUAUUAUACCACCUCAGCGCGUUUAGCGAAGCAGUUUCCUUGGCACGUCUUGUCGAAGCAGAGAUCGUGUUCCCCUUAUUCCGGGAUUCUCAUCAAUACGGACGUGGGUAACCCAACCGCGCCAUUGAUGGUGGCGCUUGGGAGAUAAGCGAGUUUUACUAGGCCGGUGGGGACGCAUAGUCUUCGUCCGCCUAUAUAUAAGGGGAUAAGGAUCCACCUUUUCACCUACGCCUUCUUCCUCCUUUGCUUAUCCAUCUCCGCGCACUCGAGCUCCAGCGCCCAAGUUUGCGCAUCUCGUCUCAACCUUCUCCGACCAUGUCUGGAGCGGGAGGCAAAUGGUUGGCCUCCUCCGUCACGGAGGAGCACGUCGCAAGACUGCGCAGCGCUGGAUAUCUUUUCGGCGAUAUUGCGCACAGGCUGCCCGACAAGGGGCAGCUCAUCCCCACCCCCAGGCCCCAUGAGAGGGUCGUUUUCCUUCCCCACUUCCUCCGCGGACUGGUCUUUCCACUUCACCCCUUUGUCCGGGGGCUCAUGUUUUACUACGGCCUGGAUUUCCAUGAUCUGGCGCCGAACUUCGUCCUCAACAUCUCGGCGUUUUCGUCGUGUGCGAGGCCUUCCUCUGCAUCCAGCCCCACUUCGGCUUGUGGCUCAAGACCUUCAAUGUCAAGCCGAAGGUAGUGAAGGGUACUCAAGCGGAGUGCGGAGGCGCCAUGUGGCAAGAUGCCCAACGUCCUUUGGUUCGAAGGGGCCUUUGUGGAGUCCGUCAAGGGGUGGCAAUCGGGGUGGUUCUACAUCACCGAGCCGCGCGACCCUACAUGGGCGGCAGCCCCCGAGUUCAGAGCUGGUAUUCCCAUGCAGCUUACCUCCUGGAAAGAGAAGGGCUUGCUAUGGCGUAGUUCGGAGGAGCUGACGGGACUCCAAGCCUGUAUCCAGAAGCUGGUUAACAAGAAGCUCAGGCUUGUUAAUGUGAUCCAAGUCAUGCUCGUCCGCCGGAUUCUCCCAUGCCAAGAACGGGCAUUCAACCUGUGGGAGUUCGAUCCGGCACAGCACCAGGCAUUGAGCGGGCUCUUCGACACGACGUACGAAGGUGCCUGGAGGGUGCUGUUCAAGGGCGCCGAGGCUCCCACAUCCGCCACUGAAGAUCGCGGAUUUCGCUCGCAGCGUCCAGCUGACGAGGUAAGUGAUUCUACCCCUUUACGGGACACUUGUUUUUAACAGUUUGACUCUGCGCGGGUUUCAAUCUCCCUUUUCCUUUGACAGGACUGGAUGAGGAAGGCCGAGCAGCUCAUCUGCCCUGCUCCCAUGCCAGAAAACCCAGUAGACACCCGCCUAGCGGGGCUACUGGUUCUGGCACCGCAUGUGGUGGCGGAGAAGAAGGCCAAGAAGGUGGCCACGGGAACUCGAAGAAGUUCCCGGCGCCAGGUGGUAUCGGAUUCAUUGUCCGAUGGCUCUGAGGCGGACUCCUCCCCGGAAGACGAGGAGGAGAAGGAGGACUCUCUCCCAGAGGAGGGAGAGAGAAAGAGGAAGGCCUCCCCGACAGGGGAGGCCGAAGGGUCCAAGAGGGGAAGGACUAUUCCCCCGGACAGCUCCGCCAACACCAACAUUGGCGACGAAGAGUGGCCCUCAAGGGCCAGGCCUUCGGCAAGAUCGUAAGUAUCCGGAUUCCUGAAUGAUUUGUAAUUUCUUAUGUGUCACAUAGUGUCCUUCUAAUGCCGCAUACUGCCUGCAGUCCGGCCGAUGAUGAUCUCCCCGCUUCAUCGAGCGGGUCGUUGGCUCCGUCGGAUGUGGAUUCCAUCCCGACUGCCUCCACCCCUCGCGCCGCUGAGGACGCCAGGUGGGAUCCCAAGAAGGGACCCAUCAGGAGGAGGCUCCGGAGGCGCCGCACGGCAGCCUCCCGGACUUUGCGCCGGACUCCAUACCGGAACCCGCAGUCGUUCCGGAGUCAGGCAGGCGGCCCCUUCGCAAGAAGGGAAAGACCGUGACGCGGGCGGCCCCCGUCCAACUGGAGGCGCCGUACAACUUGCUGGAGGCGCUCAAAGGCGCUUUCAUCGAGGAAGAACACCGCACUAUCAUGAGUGCGGUGAUUCAGAAGGUUCAGCUCGCCAAGAGCGGGCUGACCGAAGCUUGCAGCAGCCUUCUAACAGGCUUUGAGGUAAGAAGUUAAAAUUAUGUAAUAUAAUACCACAUAGACAGUAGCCCCUGAUGCUCGGUUCGGUGUUCGGAAAGAAAAGCCGGACUGAGGAUCUAAAAAAGAUAUACGCAGGGUUGCUAAAAAAUUGUGUCAAUAUGGGUUUGCAGGCUGCGCUGCUGACCUCUACCGCACUGACUGCGGAAGUCGGUGCUUUGAAGCAGGACUUCGAGCGGUCCGAGCAAGAUCUCGGCCGUGCCAAGAAGCAGCUCGAGGACAAAGAAGGUGAGUAACACCAUUUUGAAUAGUUACCUUACAGAAAAGGAUUUAGGUUGCAAUAAAAAUAACAAGGAUAACGUGGGUACUGCAGGGGCCACGAACGAGGUGGCGACCCUGAAGGAGGCUGUGUCCGCGGCCGAACGCAAUGCGGCCACGGAACGGGCAGAGCGCGAGAAGCAGGAGGCGCGGGUGGCGGAGGUGCGGCAAGAGCUCCAGGCUCUCAUGGAAAAGCAUGAGAGUUUAGAGCGUGAGUCAACGACUCGGGAGUCCGAGCUUGCCUCGGCUCUCGAAAGUGCCAAAGCCGCCAAGGCCGAGGCCCAUAAGGCACUUCAGGAUGUUGAGGAUGUGAAGAAAAUAGCGGCGGGUAAGGCACUUUUCAUGCAAAGCAAGCAUGUUAAUGUAAACUACCUGACACUUACCCGAAUUUGGAGCUCUCCAGGGGCGUUUCUAGAUCUGCCUCGUAGUGCGUCCGAUGCCGCCGCAUUCUACCGUGGCGAAGAGGGGAGCUCAACGGAGAAGGUCUUCUGGUCUCAGUACGCUGAGGCCAGCCAUCCGGUGCCCCCUAGCGAUCAGCUGAAGCAGCUGGUCGAGCUCCACAAGGUAGCCGAGCAGGCCAUGAAGGGCCUCAUAGUCCGGUUGUGGCCUGGAGAGGCCAUGCCUGGGAGCUACUUCAGCCUUGUGCGGCGGCUGGUGGAUGCGUGCCCCUGGGUAGAGGUCAUCAAGCGCUCCGCCUGUAUUGAAGGUGCUCGUCGGGCCCUUGCCCGCGCAAAGGUGCACUGGGGCAGGCUGGAUGCGGAGAGGCUUAUCACUGACGCGCCGCCAGCGGGCAAGGAGUAUCGUACGCCCGAGAUGUACUAUAAGACUGUCCUGAAGGGUGCCCGCAAGAUUGCGGAUGAGUGUCCCAAAGAUGUAAUUAUUGAGUAAACUCGCUAUGUAUUAUCCUGUGCGCUGAAAAUUUUGUUCAUAUGCGCUAAGCAACGCUUGUUUGAUUUAAAAUAUUACCUUCUGUGCGGCCGUUGAUGAAAUCUGAGAGAUGACAAGUCGUCUGCUUCAGCCCCCAAGCCACGAGUGCUGGGGUGUUCGGGAUAAACUUGAGCACUCUUGUUCCCAUUUUUGGGUCCAUCUAGGGAGGCGCUCAACACUACGAACAAGGCAACCGGACUUAUAAUGCUUGAACACUCUAACUUAGCCAUAGAAUUCUAUAAUUUUAAAUUUCGGCGAAGCCCCUAGUAUUCGGAAGGCCGAAUUUGGGGCGCUAUCCACGCCUUCAUCGGACAUUAUCCGGUUCUUCGCUCGAAGCGGCAUAAGUCUUUAAGGACUCAAAAAGACCUCUCGAACAGCGACCAGUCUCUCGCCUUAUCAUGACAGUCAGUUUUAGCUUUCUCCACUGAGGCGCUCGCCCAGCUCAACCAGGGUGCAAUCGCAGUGGUUCUCCCAGUGCCACUUUAGCCGACAGAACGGAACGUAAGGUACCAAAACGUGGGAGCCGGGCAAACCCAACUAUUGACCCAAGACAUGAUUCGGAGCCGAUUCAUAUAAUGAUAUAAGUUCGGGGUGCCGCACUUGUGAAAGUGUUCGGACUUAUCACACCAUAAUGCGGGGAACAUAAGCCCCUGGUGUAUUCGGCCGUACCAAAAUAUACGGGUGCAAGAUGUCAUUAAUGAACAUAUAUGUAAAGUGAUGCAAUUAUAGGCAAAAAAUGCUGCAUUAUUUAUUUAAGGAAUUCUGCUAUGAGUGCGGAAUGAUACAAGUAGUGCGGUAAGCAAGGGAUUGGACUAAUUAAACAUGUCCCCCUCCAGGGGUGGGUUGCGGACUGGUGUGUAUAAUCAAAUUUAAUGCUCUUAAUGGAGACCACCUGAGUGUUCGUCGCGACCUUUUUCCCUCCCUGGCGGUUGCAUCGUGAGUUCGGCGGGUUCACCGCUGGACAGGGCCUCUGGUAAACGGAGUCCUGUAUAUAAAAAGAAGGAAAAUAAAAGUAAGAAGAGUGACACACUUGGGAGCCCCUGGUGUGGUCGAGCCGCACUUUGGGUCUGUUGUGGUCGUGCCCCUCCCCCUAGGCCCAUGGUAUCUCCAGAGCAUAAUGAUGUACGCGGAGGGUUGGCCUUGCAAUCAUGUGAGGGCUGGGGUUGGGGCCGCAUUGCUACGCAUGCUCGGAACGUGCCGGGUGGUCUUGGUUGAUGUUGCUCCGGGCGCGUUUGGCCGUGUCCGGUCGUUUAACGGCCGGACUCGAAAAUUGCCUUAGAAGGCUGCUCUGUACUUCUGCCGCGAGAGCCGCUGUAUGUUCCUCCGUUCGGAGGGAUCGUUCUGUAUUUCUGUUGACCAUGAUGACUCCACGAGGGCCUGACAUCUUGAGCUUGAGGUAUGCAUAAUGCGGCACCGCGUUGAACUUUGCAAACGCGGUUCGUCCGAGCAGAGCGUGAUAGCCGCUGCGGAACGGGACUAUGUCGAAGAUUAACUCCUCGCUCCGGAAAUUAUCCGGGGAUCCGAAGACCACUUCCAGCGUGACUGAGCCUGUACAAUUAGCUUCAACACCUGGUAUGACGCCUUUGAAGGUCGUCUUUGUAGGUUUAAUCCUUGAUGGGUCUAUGCCCAUCUUGCGCACUGUAUCCUGAUAAAGCAGGUUCAGGCUACUACCGCCGUCCAUUAGGACUCUCGUGAGGUCAAAUCCAUCGACGAUUGGGUAUAAAACCAAUGCGGCGAAUCCGCCAUGGCGGAUGCUGGUCGGAUGGUCUCUUCGAUCGAAAGUGAUCGGGCAAGAGGACCAUGGAUUGAACUUCGGGGCAACUGGCUCCAUCGCGUAUACGUCCCUUAGUGCACGCUUCCGCUCCCUCUUGGGUAUAUGGGUUGCGUAUAUCAUGUUUACCGUCCGCACUUGUGGGGGGAAACCCUUCUGUCCUCUACUGUUCGGCGGUCGGGUCUCUUCCUCGUCGUCGCUAUGCAGCCCCUUGGCAUUGUUUUCGGCAAUUAACUUGCCUGCCUGCUUGAAUACCCAACAAUCUCUGUUGGUGUGGUUAGCUGGCUUUUCAGGGGUGCCGUGUAUCUGGCAUGAGCGGUCGAGUAUUCGGUCCAAAUUGGACGGACCCGGAGUGGUUCUUUUAAAUGGCUUCUUCCGCUGACCGGGUUUAGAGCCUCGGAAUCCGGCGUUGACUGCCGUAUCCUCCUUGUCGUCGCAGUUACCGCGGCGUUUGUUUUUGCUUCAACGCGACCUACCAUUGUGGUCCUUGGUAUCCGGACUGCCAGAAUUUUUACUGAGGUUGUUGCUGCGAGCUAGCCAGCUAUCCUCUCCCGCACAGAAGCAGGCCAUUAAUGAUGUGAGGGCUGCCAUGGAUUUCGGCUUUUCCUGUCCUAGGUGCCGGGCUAGCCACUCGUCGCGGAUGUUAUGUUUGAAGGCUGCGAGGGCCUCUGCAUCCGGAUAGUCAACGAUUUGAUUUUUCUUUGUUAAGAACCAUUUCCAGAACUGUCUGGCCGAUUCGUCUGGCUGCUGAAUUAUGUGGCUUAGGUCAUCGGCGUCUGGUGGUCGCACAUAUGUGCCCUGGAAGUUGUCGAGGAAUGCGGCUUCCAGGUCUUCCCAACACCCAAUUGACUCUGCGGGCAGGUUGCUAAGCCAAUGCCGAGCUGGUCCUUUAAGCUUGAGUGGGAGAUAUUUGAUGGCGUGGAGAUCGUCGCCGCGGGCCAUAUGGAUGUGAAGGAGAUAAUCUUCUAUCCAAACCGCGUGUCUGUCGUGCCAUCGUAGGAUUCAAUGUUUACGGGUUUAAACCCUUCAGGGAUUUGAUGAUCCAUUACUUCGUCAGUGAAGCAUAGCGGGUGUGCGUCGCCUCUGCAUUGAGCAAUAUCGCGACAUAGCUCAAGGGAGCGUUGUCUGCUGUGUUCGGCCCGGCCGGAGUUGUUGUAUCCGGCUCGACGGUAUUUGUCGUGGGUCGUGUGGCGCCCAUGUGAUCCAUAGAUAGAUCUGGAUUGUCUUGCCUUGUCCUCCAAUAUAUCUCGCAAGUCCGGCGCGUUCCCUCAUGGCUUCGUACUUUUGGAGCGAUGCCGGGGUACGGUCUUGGUGGAGGGCCUGGAUGCCUCUCUGUCGCGACCACGGGGUGGUCGGUCGGCCGCUGGGGAUGAAGGUAUGUAUGCUUCCUCCUCUAAUCGAGAGAGCAACUUGCAUUUUGGGUAACUCUUGGAGGGACGUAUGAGUUCGUACUCUUCGGCCACGAGGACCUCGGUCCAUCUGUCGGCCAGCAGGUCUUGAUCAGCUUGAAGCUGCUGCUGCAUUUUCUUUAGGCUGUUUGCUGUGGCCAUUAGCCUGCGUUUGAAACGCUCUUGUUCGACGGGAUCCUCGGGCACGACGAAUUCGUCGUCGUCGAGGCUUGCCUCGUCUCCCGAGGGAGGUAUGUAAUUAUCAUUCUCAACCUCUUCGUCUGCCGCUCUUUCGUGUGGGCUUUCUUCUGCGUCCUCCUGCGCUGAAUCUUGCUGGAGGGGAUUGUCUUCGGCACUUUCUGGGGUGUUAUUAUCUCCUGUGCCGGAAUCUCCAUUCUUGCUGUGGCGGGAUUUAGAGCGCCGCCGCUGAUGUCGGCGCUUGGGCUGUUUCUUUAAGGAAUCUGCCUCCGCUGCUUUUUCGCCGUCCCCAUCUUUUGGGGUGUCCACCAUGUAUAUGUCAUAUGACGAGGUGGUCUUCCAGUGCCCUGUAAGCGCUGGUUCCUGAUCGUCUCCGGCAUCGUCGUCCAUACCGUCGAUGUCUUCGGAGUCAUAGUCUAGCAUGUCGGUUAGAUCGUCGACAGUGGCUACAAAGUGGGCGGUGGGUGGGCUUUGAAUUUCUUCGUUGUCCGCAUCCCAACCAUCCUGGCCAUAAUCCGGCCAGGGAUCUCCGGAUAGCGAGAGAUGCUUUAGCGAAUUUAAGAUGUCGCCAAAGGGUGAGUGCUGAAAGAUGUCUGCAGCGGUGAACUCCAUGAUCGGCGCCCAAUCGGAUUCGAUUGGCAGGUGCGCAGGAGGUUCGGAGUCCGGCACCUCGGAGUCACGGGAUUUAUAAGAGACAAGGUCAGUGUUCGGCUCCAUCGCCGUGGAAGUUGCAGCUCCCGAGGCGGUGUCCAGCCACCCGUCCUCGAUCUGCGCGAUCGGCUCCAGACUAUGGGUCGGAGCGGAUUCGUGUGCGGCCUCCAGGGUACUAUCCGGCGGCAGAGCUAAAUCGUGCCCAUCGCGACAGUGCGGCACGCUCGGCUGCGGAUCGGAUCCGUCGAAGAUCAAAUCUCCGCGGAUGUCCGCCGUGAAGUUUAGGCUUCCAAAUCUGACCUGACGGCGAGGGGCGUAGCUUUCGAUCUGCUCCAGAUGGCCAAGUGAAUUGGCCCGCAGUGCGAAGCAGCCGAAUACGAAGAUCUGUCCGGGGAGAAAAGUCUCACCCUGGACGGCGUUGUUGUUGAUUGAAGAAGCCAUCAGGCCUAUCGGUGACGACACAGAGAAACUCUCAACGAAAGCACCAACGUUGGUGUCAAAACCGGCGGAUCUCGGGUAGGGGGUCCCGAACUGUGCGUCUAGACGGAUGGUAACAGGAGACGAGCGACACGAUGUUUUACCCAGGUUCGGGCCCUCUUGAUGGAGGUAAAACCCUACGUCCUGCUUGAUUAAUAUUGAUGAUAUGGGUAGUACAAGAGUGGAUCUACCACGAGAUCAAGGAGGCUAAACCCUAGAAGCUAGCCUAUGGUAUGAUUGUUGUAAUGGAUGUUAUGUCCUACGGACUAAAGCCCUCCGGUUUAUAUAGACACCGGAGAGGGCUAGGGUUACACAGAGUCGGUUACAAUGGUAGGAGAUCUACAUAUUCGUAUCGCCAAGCUUGCCUUCCACGCCAAGGAAAGUCCCAUCCGGACACGGGAUGGAGUCUUCAAUCUUGUAUCUUUGUAGUCUUGGAGUCCGACGGACGAUGAUAGUCCGGCUGUCCGGACACCCCCUAGUUCAGGACUCCCUCACACAUGUACCCUGUACUACACCCAUAUCAAUAUAAUCAGAAGCAGGAUGUAGAAUAUUAUCUCUUCGAGAGAGCCCGAAUCUGGGUAAAAUCCUGUGUCCAUGUUACCAUCGCUACCAUGAUGCCUAGCUUAUUACCCCUACUACGAGAUAUGCUGGAUAUAGAACUGACAACCACCUGUAUAGCACUACCAAUUUUAUCGUCCAAGCACUAUCAGCUGCUCAUUAUUCCAGAUAAUGCCCAUAAAAACUCUUGUAACUGAUCCCUUCCAGGGCAAGGAGGCGCAAGCAUGAUGAACGCGUUCUUCAAGGGAUCCUACAUAGUCUGCAGGCUGGCGUUGUGAUGUUCCGUUGGGCAAACGUUAUUCUUUCUCGCUCAGUAUUUGGGAGCAAACGAAACCCACGCUUUACAAUCUUAGUACUGAUUCUCAAGGCUGCUCACUGAUUUCAGAUCACAUAGGUAUGUAAAUUGAUGGAAUAGAGUAUAAGGGAGUGAGGUGGUACUACUAAAUAGAUAUAAGAAUCCGCUCCUCUGGCCACAAGUAUGAACUGGCUCAGUUGGAUGUAGGCUUCAGUUUUGGUUGCUAGGUCACAAGUUCGAUUCUUGUCUCGAGCGAUAAAGUUUUGCCGAUCCUCUCCUAGGCAGCAUGGUCCUGGGUCACCGUUAUUUGACUUAGAGGCCUCUUGGACAUAUGCGAUGCGAAGUGAUGUACUGUCGGCUUAUUAUAUAAAAUGUCAUGCGUGUUUCUGUAGAAGUGCAUGAAGGUACAAGAAUAUCAUCUACCUUUAUUAGUAGGUAUAGAUAUAGAAGAAUGUUGAAAGGAUAAACACUCAGCUCAAGUCCUCGAAUAUAGUGUCAUUUUUUUAACAUAGUAUAUAUACUGACACUCAUACAUACGCACUUAUACUCACCCCUAUCAUGCACACAUGCACACCCUACCCCUAUGACUACUAGAAGAACGCCCGUGCGUUGCUACGGGGCCACAUUAACUUUAAGAGUUCAAUAUUAUGACAUUGGCGACCUUUUUUACCAUCAAACCCUCACACACACACAGACACACACUCUCCCCCCCUCUUCCUCACUCUCUAUCCCCCUCUCCCUCUCUCUCUAACACACACACAUAUCCAUCUUAUUGGGUACGGGACCAUAAUCCAUCUAUUUCACACAUACACGCUAGCGCAUAACAAUAUGGAUUAUGUGUAUUAUAUUUGCCACCAGAACUGAGGGAAUUAAUUUCAUGUAAAUCGACCAGCCACAGCUCCAAAAAUACGCGGACGAGGUGGCUCGCGUCGGCGUCGGCGCCGUCCAGUGCGGGCCACGGGCCCGCUUCCAAGUGCACGUGCAAUGCACGUCUUCACAAAUAUUUUAACCAGAUGUGAGAAAUCACAUGCAUAGAAAAGACAUUCUGAUAGCAAUCCAAAUACCAUACUCAAUUGAAUACCUAACCUGGACAAUACUCUUAUUUCUAUGCGCUAGAAAAAAUGGAAUGGCAAAGCUAAGUAUGCCUACAUAUGCUCAGAUUAUAUACAAGAAUCUUGGGUGAACAAUUGCAACAAAGCACUAAGCAGCGAUAAAUUUAAAUAAAAAAUCCGUUAACUAUGCAGGCAGCAGGCUUGUUACAAUAUAGAGAUAAGAAAAUGUCACCUCCAGUAAUGUAGCACAAUGAGUGGAACGAAGCAUGAAUGAGCGGUUGUCUGUUCUUCUCCAUGUACAUGGAUCAGCAGUAGGGGCCAAGUAUAUAAGUACUUGACUGAACUCCACUCUUCGUGUACGAAGAGCCAUGUCACCUUCUCGCCGCUGCAGCAUGGGAGGACGACUGGUUCACGUGACCCUCCAGCUGGGGGAUCCAUGGUGGCUGACCGUCGAGCUCGAGGCAGAGAAGUUGAGGGCAGCAGUGGCGAGAUCCAUGCCGGCAACCGGGCGAAGAGGAGGUCGUCGGGGAGGGACACAUUGGCAAGAUCCGGUCGCCACGCGACCUGAAGAGCAACAGUGAUCUCCACAAGCUGUAGGCCGACGGCGUGCUCCAUCCCCUGCGAUGGGGUGACCAUGGCGGUGGCCACAGCUCCUCAUGCUCGCCUUGAUCUCGGCAACACACCCUGAGUGUAGGAGGCAGCAACGACCUCGACGAAAUCAUGGCCUCCAUCCCGGAACGCAUGAAGGACCUCGGCCCCGUCGCUACUCCUCCCGCCGUAGCCGCACGCGGCAGCGGACCGUGGGUAGGAGGGCAGGCGGCAUCGCCUCGGCUGACGGCAGGGAGCAGCGUUGAUUUCGGGUAGGUGGCAUCGCGAGGACGGCCGCGGCCGUGGGGAAGCACCCCGAUCAUGCUGCCAGGCCAAUCCUUCUCCUCCGAUCCCCUAUCCCCGAAGAUUGCGCCACCACCCCGGUCGUGUUGUUUCCAUAUAUUAUGCCAUUUUUUCCUGUACCUAAACGAACGCGGGCGAGCGGAUGGCGGAGUUUUGGUCCGCCCUCUAAAAUUGCUAAACGCACUUUUGGUGAGGAUUAUUGCUAAUAAAUGAAUUCAAUCAUGUUGCUCUAAAUAAAUGGAUUCAAUCAUGUGACUCUAAUUACUUUGGAUUGUUACGUGCACACUAAGCAGGGUGCAAUUAGGAAAGAAAAUGUUUUCUAAUUAAAGUGAUUGAGUGAUUUAAGGUAAGGUUAAUUAAUUUAGAUUUGAUUUUUAGUGAUUGUUAGUAAAGUAUGAUGCGUCUUUAAAAUCUUUUAUUGGUUUCCUUAAAAUCUAUUAUUUGUUUCCAAAAGAAAUUUGCAAUAAUGGAAGGUAUAGGUUGAUUUGGAUAAGUUAGUAAAUUUAGAUCCGUGAUUGCGUGCACGUUUGGAAAGUGUUGAUUUGCAAGGAAAGAGCUGAGGUGUAAAUAAACCGGUGAAUAAGAAACCAGCAUCGAAAAAAAUCAACGACAGUUAACCUACGAAAAAAAACCGGACGAAAGUGGUGGGACAAAAAAAAACCUGGAAGCGAGACUACCAACUGCUCCAUUAGGAGUAGAGAUAAUGUCAACUUAAGACAAUUAAAUUAGGCAAGGAUAAGAGUAUCUGCAACAUUUUAUAUGUUAAAUUGUUGGCACAACUAUCCACGUCAGCAGUGAGCAGCACAUCAUACAAGGUCUCCAAUGGAUCAUAUGGUAAGCUGUAUUUAACAAGAGAGAGGUGACACCAGAAGCAUUUAAUUACUAUGAAAAAUAGAUGAUCAAGAGUGCAACACAUCUAUGUAACCAUAGAUGAUGCUUUGCUUGCAAGUACGUACAUGACAAAAGAUCUUCAAAGUGGGAUUGCCCUACAGCCAACAAAGUUUAACCGAAGUAGAAAUUCUUACAAAAUAACAUAGUAGUAGUGCCCUCUAUUUUAGUUCUUACAUAAAAAGGCCACAAGCUCAAAUAACAUGAACCCAGUCGCCAAAGAGUAAUCAACUAAACAAAACAAGGCAAAGGUUCUCUUCAGUUUAGCGUAACAAAAAUAUAGAAGACCAAGUCGCUGUCCAGCGGUAUGCAAACUCCAGCAUGCUGCCAUGAAUCUAUUCAUUUCUAUAGAUGACAUGAAUCGCUUGAGCUUGCCAAUCCCAGCCUGAAAAUAAUAGAUAGCAAAGGAGGUUGUUAACACCAUUCAAUCAUUUAUGUAUUGGUUAGCUGAGGAUGUACAAUCUAGGAAUACUAGGAAAUAUUUUGUUAGGCAUAGAAGAGACAUACCUAAUUAUUUAGCCAAUUCGCCAACCUCUUCCAAAGCAUCACCUAUGGUUACAAGAUGUAUUGCAAUGUUGAUCAUCUGCUUACCCUAGUAAUUUAAUUCUUCUGGUAUGUUGUCUCUCUUAUCACACACAACUUAUCAUAUGAUCACCCGCAAUUCCCGUGCUGAUUUCCCCAACAUUCAGUAUGCUAAUGAUAUUGUCAUUGUGAUGCCUGAUUCCUCAUAUCAGCUCCUUCUGCUCAAGAACCUCAUUAUGCAUUUCACAACUUUUACAAGGAUGAGGGUAAACUAUGGCAAGUACACAAUUGUUCCCAUCAGCACUCCUCAACCAAAAAUGAUUGAGCUGGCCUCCAUUAUGGGAUACUCUAUUGGCCUUUUACCAAUUUAGGUUUACCUUAGUCCAUCAAUAAACCCAAACCAAUAUACUUUAUCCCCAUCCCCAAAAAAAUUCUCACUAGAUUAACAGGCUAUUCUAAUGUGCUUUCAUAUGCUGAGAAAUUAGUGCUAGUCAAAUCAGUUUUCUUAAGCCUCCCAAUUUUCUACAUGAGCACAUUAUCUCUUCCUGUUGGCAAUGUUUCUCAUCUCAACAUUUUUCUCAAACACUGUUUUUGGAGGAAAUAUGGUAUGGUAGAUAGGGGCUAUAUUGAUCGCUUGGGAAACAAUAUGCUUAUCUGAACAAUAAGGGGCUUGCGAGUACUUGAGUUAGCCACUCGCAACAAGUGUUUGUUGAUGAAACGUCUGCACAAGGUCUUUAACUUUGAAGACCUCGCUUGGGUUAAAUUAACCUCAUACUCUUACUUUGUAAAUAAACCACUCUUUCAAUGUAAGGGGGGCUCUAUUUGGUGGAGAGAUUACCAAACUUAUGCCUACUUUCAAAGAGAUUGCCAAAUGCUCUGUUGGAAAAGGAAAUGAUGUCAUGAUCUAGAAUGAUAACUGGAAUGAUGAGGGGAUCCUGAAAGAUAAAUUCCGAGAGCUCCUCUCUUAAGCCAUUACAACUGAUAUUUCUUUGAAAACAGCGAAAGAAACAUCUGAUAUGGUGGAGUUACUCCAUACUCCCAUAUCAAUGCAAGCUUAUGAUCAGUGUUAGCACUUUCAAGUUCUCAUUAGUAUCACCCAGCUAAGAGAUCAUCCAGGCAAGUGGUCGUAUCCAUGGGUAAUCGAAAGUUCUCCUCUAUCAAAAUGUAUAAGUCAUUGAGACAUCAUCUUGGAGCACAUCAGCUCUUCCAUGGGUGUGGAAAAGUGCACAUCAGCUCUUCCAAUCGGUUUUUGGACAAAGAACCGUCGUGCAUGCAUUGCGAUCGGGCGCAAUAGCCGACGGCGUAACGGGGAGUGCAGGUUUUUUGCGCAUGAUAGCUGGUUUAGUAGCCGCCGCAUUCCCCUUAAAAAAAAGUAGCCACCGCAUGGGAGAGCCGAUAUGCAUCGCUGCUACCUAGUUGCAUUCGAAAUGAAACUUCCGGAGAGAUAGGAAUAGGAUAACCACCAAAGUAAUUAAAGAGUAGAAUCAUAGUCUAAGAGCAUUAGAUCUUUUGUACUGGGUAGUAUCAUAGACGCGUAGUAUGUAUAUCAUACUAGCCUAUGUUACUACCUAAAUAUUGCAUAGUAUCAUAGAGUGAGUAUCUUAUUUAUUUAUUGUAAGAGAAAUUUUUGAUCUAUUCUUAAUCACUCAUGGUAGUAUAGAGAACGCUAGAGGUAAUACAAAUUAUAAGUCAAUGGAUCAUCUAGAGAUGACUACAAGAACCGCAACGAGCCAAAAGCGCGCCACAGCUAUUGUCCCUCCCUCAUUGGAGUCGGGCAAACCUGAUUGUGGUAAACAGUCAGAAAGUUAUCAGGCUAAGGCCCCAAAGGAUCACUGCACCAGAGCAGCAACCAUCACCGAUGAAGAGAGUCGUAGAUCUAAAAGAUCAAACCUAUAACCACCGGAACAAACACGAAUGAAAGUUGGAUCCCGUGAGAUCCAACACCAACGGAAUCCCGUGAGAUCCAACAGAGACACACUACCACACGCCUUUCGACUAUGCUACAUGCACCAUCAGGGCAGGGAUCGGACGUGGGAGACAUUAUCCCUACUAACGAACAUCGCUACUGCCACACAUCCCAAACCAAGACAUUAGUCCUAGCAAAAAAGUGAUUGGGGUCCCUCAAGCCGGUGAUGGGCAGAGAUCCUCUGCACCUCCACGGCCUAAAGUCCAUCAGAGGUGGGGAGGACUGCUGGUGGCAAAUUGAGUUCCAAUCUAGCAUUGCUCUGAUUCAAGUGCAAUCGAUUGAGUUUGAAUCAAAUCAAAAUGGAUUGGAUCAAAUAAAUUCUAACUAAAUCCAAUCCAGACCAAUACAACUAAUGACUGCCGAAAGUAUAGCCCAAAACUACACAAAAACCCAAACUACGAACGCGAGCACGGGAAAAAACUCAACACUUUCGGAUCACGGGUGUUGAUGCAGGGGUCCCGCCGACAAUGAUGGGCUGGCCAUAACUAUGGCAGUUGCCAUGGUCCCCGUGAUGCGCGGGUUAGAGGAUGAGCGCGUCGUUGUUCAGUUCCCUCACCUUUACACAGGAUGAAUGGGAGAAUACCCUCGAAUAUGUGUGGGGGGGGGAGACCCUACCCACCUAGGCUGCCUUCGUCAUAGCCGUUUGGGUUCGCACCUCUAGGGUCGUCGAACCCAAGAUGACUAGGUCCAACAUCGGGAGCGAAUCCAGAGCACGAAUUGCGUGUGGGGCAAUGGGCGGUGCAUGCAGCAUGGUGCCAUGAGGUUCCCACCAGAAGAGGCGAGGCCGCCAACCCACCUGUCCUGGAUGGUGUUGCUCUCGGCAACGAUGGGUGGUGGGGUCCGCGUGCCCGUGGCGCUGACAUCGGAGACAUCAGAGGGGUGGUGUGGGAGAGAGAGCGAGUCUGGUGUGAAUGUGCAUGAGAGGUGACUGGUGAGAGGGGGGGACUUAUGAGACAUCUCUGUGUCUCCCGCGCUUCCCAAGCCGUCCAGGCAACGGGCACGUGUGGCUCGAGCUAGCAGGCCCAAAGGUUCUUCAAGUUUCGUGUGGGCCGAGAAUCUGAUUCAAGACAGGAAACCAAAUAGGCCAUUUUAAUCCCGUGCGGGCCUGGUAGACCUGUAUGUGGAAAAACAAAUGCUCCGUUAGGAGGUAGUUAGCUUUCUUUCCUACUUUAUAAAACUAACAAAAGUUUAUUUUUCGGAAAAUAUUCAUGAAGUUCGGGGUCAAAAAAAAUUAUCUGAGAAAUCAAACAUGCAUAGAUUCAAAAUGCAUCGGCGACUAACUAAGAGCAUCUUCAAUAGAUCAUGUAGUUGUAUAAAUAACUGAAUUUUACAUCACCAAGGUCCAAAAACCAAGCUCCAACGGAUGAUGUAGAUGCAAUUUUACUACACAGGAUUUGCUCCAGAUCUCACAAAGGGAACUUGGUGAUGCAAAUUUGCAUCACCAGCUGUGGCCCGAGCAAACUUGCAGCCGUCCGUACAAAUGCCCAACAACCUCGCUUAAAGUUCCUGUCGCCCCCCUGCCUACCUGCCUUCCGUCGCCUACCAUUAGACCCGAUGGCCAGCUCCCCCGACCACGGGGCUGCAACUGCCACUCCGCUAUACCUUGCAACAGCCGCCUCCGUGUCUCCCGCCGUUCCCGACCCUACCAUCGCUGCCAUGCCUACCCCAUAUCGGCGCGGCGGCGGAUGUGCAGCCCACGUCCCAGGGCCGCCACCAGACUGGAAGCACUAGCGAGUAAGAAGCCUAGCACGGCCAAACUACAUUGUGGCAGCUUGAAGAAGCCACCACACAACAGAAGAAGAGAAAGGCGGUCAUGGCAACCGUUGUUGUUUCGAUGUCAUCGAUGCCCGCGACUGUUGUUGCGGACGAAGGCGUGCCUACUCCCCCGCCAUCACAUGCCCCGCCUCCGGCUAUGUAGGAAGAGUUGUCGACUCUCGUGGCCAUCGUCUCCAACAUGCUCGACGAAAUGUCCAAAAUGUAAAAAAAAUCUCAUACCAUGGAUGGAUCACAAGCCAAUGUUCAUAAUGUGCCAAGUAACAACGGCGAGAAUGAAGGCGAUGAUGAUCUUCAAGCCAAUGUUGACAACGUUCCAAGUGCCAAUGGAGAAGAUGCUAGUUGAGAGGCCAUGUUUAUGUUUAUGUUUAGGUUUAUGUGCACAUCUUAUUCGUUGGAUCAUGAACUUUGUUUGCCAACAUACACUAUGAGACAAUAAAUUUGCCAUGUUGAUGUUGAAUUUGACAUAUUGAUCAUUAUGUUUGUGAUGAUCUUGCAAAAUUUUGGAUGAUUCUGAUUCAAAGAUGUGCUGCUGUACUGAUGCUGUUGCGCAGCUUUCGUGCGGCUGGCUAUUUUUUACAUGAUCUAUUGGGGUGGCUGCCCUCUUGUACAUCAUCUGUUUGAGUUUGACGUCUUUGGUGAUGUAAACAUGCACAUUUUGGUGAUUUAUAUUUUACUCCAACCACUUUUUUGGUGAUGUAAAAUGCAUCAUCUAUUGAAAAUGCUCUUAACCACUAGCUAGCUAUUUCGGUGGACUGACCUCAUCAUGGAGUCAAUGCCCUGCCGUAGUGGAGUAACCUGUCAAAUUAGGAGCGGUCAGACCAAUGUAAAUGCAAAACUAUGCCUUUGUAAUAUCAUCUAUGGUCCUUUUGGCUUAAUUAUGUAUGACCAAGCAAUUAAUUUUUGAUUGUGCACUAUCAUCUGCCGUCCUUCCAAGGGACCCAACAUUAAUCUCUGUCUAAUAUUUUUUUUGCGAAUUGUGAUAUCAGGUACCGUUCUUUUGUCUUUUGGAUGGUCGAUCGGCACCAAGCAUUCAAAAGACACUACGGCGAUUAAUUUUGAUUUGUUGUAUCAUCCGCCGUUCUUUUGAGGAUCCAACAUUAAUCCACGUCAAACCUGAGCAUUAGAUUAUGCAAAUGUCAAUGCUCAUAUCCUGUCAGGUGUCCCCAACGAUAUCACGUGACGAUCUAUUAACAUUAUUAUUCUACAAUUUGUAAAUACUAUUGUUCAUGUAAACUACCAGGGUGACCACUCAUUUGCACUCCUAGAUAUGAUACAUACUAGUAUAUUAUUAUUACGUAUGUUUGCACCAUAACAAACUGUUAUUAUCGCUAUAUACUUCAUAAAGUAAGCCAAGCAAAACCAUAGACUAUAUCGCACCAUAACAAACUGUUAUUAUCGCUAUAUACUUCAAACCGGGGAAUAUCUAUGUCUCUAGGAAAGUUGAUUAGACUAUAAUAUUGGAAAUACGAUCUUUUGCUGUGUUAUCACCAGCCAAGCAAAACCAUAGACUUUCAUUGACUAUAAUAUUUUUUCUAUUAAGCUGGUCAAGCCAUACUUUUUUUUAUCAAAAGAAGGAUAAAACCCCCGGCCUCUGCAUCUGGACGAUGCAUGCAGCCAUUUUAUUAAUUAUUCACAAAGAUCAUACAAAGUAAUACAUCAGUCAGCCUGAAGCCACCAUCUAGGUAACACCUGUUGCUACCCCUAUUUCCUUGAUGAAGCUGUGCCGAAUAUCUGGGACAAAUACCAAACGGACAUCGCACUAAACCCUAACAUCUAUAGCCGGAUGCCCCUGCCCAGCCACACACCGGGACUGGGUCCAUACUGGCUCGGCGCACUCUCAUAGGCUGCUGCCGCCAUCUUCCACCGGUCCAUCUUCAGAGCAGGAGCUGACGCAUCGACUUUGCCUGGCCUGCCAUCGACGCCAACACGGCGCCAGACAGCUCCACCAUCCUGCACAUAUCCAUCCACACGCGCCCGUCGCCAAACUUCCGCAGCGCCAUGCCACCGGGAUCCGUCGUCGGCCUUGCAGUGAAUGCGACACCGCUCCUCCAUUUGUCUCGUCCAACCAGCAUUUGCUCCAAAAUGAUGCCCCAUGAGGGAUAACGGCAUCGAAGGUGCCAUCAUCGUCCGAUCAGGUAGAUCCAGAUCUAGGGUCCCCCCAGAGCCACACGAGUGGGGUGCCAUGACCAGCAACAAUGAUGCCUCGAGAAGGGAACGGCGUCAUGGCCGCCGCCAUCGUCCGCCGUGACCGAAGUCGCGCGAUUUUCACCGGAAGUCGCGACUCCCCGAACUCGCAGCUGGGUGGAACCAAACGGAGCCUCGCCCUGGAGACGAGGGCCGCUGUUGGCAUGCCGGAAGGGAGGCUCUAGCCGCCCCUCACCGGUCCUCCUCGCGUCACCGGCCGGCCAAUGCCAGAUCCACAGCCAUCAAAGCCACCCAUGAGCACAUAGCCGCCACACCGCCGGCCAUGGAGGCUCCAAUCGCCGCCAUGCAUCAGGGUCGCCGCCCUGACUGCCACCUGUGUCGUCUACAAGCCCAUGGAUCCAGAUCGGGCCAGAUCCGGAUCCAGAUCGGCCGCGGUGCAGACACACCCCUCUCCACCGGGAGGUACUCCAGGCCGCCGCCCAUCCGCAGGGCCCUGAGCGCCGGCGUCCUCAACGCGCCCCACGCCGGCGAGCCGCCCAGGCGCAAGGAUGCUGCCCCACCGCAGUACCCCGNNNNNNNNNNGACGGAGGGGUACGUGGGUAUCCCAAUCUAAACGAUCAGACGUAAACGCAGGAAUGUUUGACUGUCAAGCAAUACUAUAUGGUAUAUCUUUUCACCAUUGCUUUCUUAAAACUAUUCCAAUAAGAAUUAAAUCUAAACACCAACGGUUUCGUGCCCAACCAUUUGUAGCAGACACUGAGAACAUACUAGUAUCAACAAGUUGCCGGUGUGGUUUGUGACGCCUGUGGGUUCAGCACCUUUCUCCUGUGUUUUAUAUAUUUCCCACGUGUACUGACCCAUCAAAGGCAGUUGCGCAGCAAGACGCAUCGUAAAUAGGGCUGUGUUAUAUAAAGACCUAAAACAGCUGCCAGAGAACAAUCAUAAGUUAAGCACCCAGAACAAUCAACAAAACUGAGAAAGGAGAGAACUAAUAUUCAUGGCGGCUAACGUAGUGCAAGCCCUGGCCGCUGUCCUCACACUGCUGGUGAUCACAAGAGCGCUAUGGUAUCUGCUUUGGAGGCCAUACGCUGUGGCCAGGUGGUUCGAGCAGCAGGGCAUCAGAGGUCCGCCUUACAAAUUCCUGGUUGGGUCCCUGCCCGACUGCCAAAGGAUGCUCGUUGCCGGGAGAGUCAAGGAUCUGGACACGAGCUCCCACGACUGCAUCACCACCGUGCAACCCUUCUUCCGGAAAUGGGCCUCACUGUAUGGUAAUUACUUGAAUGUCUCUACUCUCUACCCGAUAAACCACAAUGGACUAUAACUGUGUGUAUUAUAUAUAAUACGGAGUAACAUGCAUGUCCCUAUCAGGAAAAACAUUCCUGUACUGGUUGGGACCGACACCAGCACUGUGUACUACAGACAUAGAAAUAGUGAAGAAAGUGUUAAGCGACAGGACAGACAUGUUCCAAAAAGAUUACUUGAAUCCCAGUUUGGAAGCAAUUCUAGGGAACGGGGUAAUAUUUGCAAACGGAGACGACUGGAAGCGGCGGCGCAAAUUCAUCCACCCGGCUUUCAGCCAAGAGAAGAUCAAGGUUACUUAGUUAGCAAUCUCUUCUUUCUUUUCUUUUUUAACAUGCUUGAAGGAUGUGGGAUUUUCUUGAAAUCUCAACGGAAUAAUUACGUUUGAAUGUUUGUGUUCACAGUCCAUGUCAGCAAUAACGUUGGAGUGCACACAGCAGAUGAUGGAACAGUGGCGCACUCAAAUGCAGGAGAGCAACAUGCAGCAAGCCGAGAUCGACAUGAGGUACGACUCCGAUGACAUAGCAAUGCGUGUCAUAGCACGAGUGAUGCUGGGCAAGAACUACAGGGAGGCCUGGGAAGUGUUCAUGGCAGGAAGGGAGCAACUGAAGCUCGCCGCGUAUGCAUUUGCGGAUCCUCCAGUACCUGGAUUCAGGUAAGCCGGAAGAGUAGCUAGUUUUCCUUUUAUGGAAAGACUAGAUAGGAGACCCUAGAGUAUAAAUGUGAGCACAAUGAUUUGAACUAUGCUUAGUGGAGUCGUGCCCUGUACACUCCACCGGCCCAACCGGUGGUUCUCAAAGAAUGCGAUCAAUCCAAGGAUAACGUGAAAUUAACUUUUAUUACUCUAGGUACCUGCCGACACGUCGCAACCGUCGGACCUGGCAACUCGACAAGCUUGUGAGAAGCAAGAUUACAGAGAUCAUAAAGGCGCGGCUUGCUAGCAGUGUCUAUGGAGACGACCUGCUCGGGCAGAUGUUGUGGCUGCAGAGGUCGGGUGCUGGCGCCAACGCCGAGACCCUGAGCACGGAGGAGAUGGUCGGCGAGUGCAGGACCUUCUUCAUGGCUGGGUACGAAACCAGCGCCAACCUCAUUACCUGGGCCAUGUUCCUGCUCGCCAGCCACCCACGGUGGCAGGAGAUGGUCAGGGACGAGGUCGUCCAGGAGUUUCCUGCUCACAAGCCACCCUUAGGUGACGGCCUCGGCAAAUUGAAGCUGGUAUGCUACGCAUAUAGUAUAGAUGGACAUUAAUCCUCAUCCAUACAGCUUUGAUAUAUCCCAGGUCCGUAGAACAAUUAAUGAAUGCCGUGGUAACUUGCAGCUCAACAUGUUACUCUGGGAGACAUUGAGGCUCUAUGGCCCCAUAUCAUUCCUGCAGAGGAAGACAGCCUCAGACACAAUCCUCACACAUGUGAAGGUGCCGAAAGGAACGAUGAUAACGAUACCUCUGGUGAUGUUGCACCGGGACAAAGAGGUCUGGGGACCCGACGCCGACGAGUUUAACCCAAUGAGGUUCCAGAAUGGCUUCGCGAGAGCCGCCAAGCAUUCACAUGCACUGCUGGCCUUCUCGUAUGGGCCUAGGGUCUGUGUCGGGCAGAACUUUGCCAUGGUGGAGGUGCAGAUCGUCAUAGCGACGAUGCUCAAAAGUUUCUCCUUCUCCCUGUCCCCCACUUAUGUGCACAAGCCGAGCAAUUUCGUCACAUUGACGCCCAAGUACGGGCUCCCUCUCAUCGUGAGGAACCUGCAGCUGACUAGGUGAUUGUCUUGUGACAUGACAUACCGGAGCCAUGACCCUAUAGUUAGAUGAGACUUGGGUGUACAAAUGUACAUCCGUUAUUUCGUCAAAAACUAUCUAUGCUUGGGUAUAAUUCACAUACGGAACAAUAUACAUGAAAUCGAUUAGAAGAACUUGAGAAAAACUGUGUUUUUAUCGCACUGUGUAAUCUAUUGUUUAGAUACCGUUAUCGCAACUGACGGGACCUGUAUAUUGUGAUGUGUCUUGUACUACACCAUACUGUACUAAAUAAACUAGGCCACUUUCGCAUGUAUUUGUGACGCAUGGUUUUCUCACCAUUGUUAUUCCUCCAAGCUACAAAUAUAAAUAGACUAGGAUGAUGUCGUAUGUUAUCGAUUAUUCAUUGUUGUCUAUCUUUUCAUCAACAACAAAAGAAUUUAAACAUAUAUGAGUAUCUUCUAAUUCUAUCUGGUGAACCAUAAUAUGUUCGCAAUAGAACCGAACGGCCUGAAUGAUGUCUGAUAUAAAUCGCGCAGUUACACCCGCAAGCCCAAGAACCACCUGACCUAGGGUAAUGUUUGUGACAAAUGUUACAUUGUUGUUUAUUUCUCUAUCAUGCUGAAAUAUACUUCUCUACAACAUCUGCCUUCGAAAUCCAGAACUUCAUGCUAGACUUUUGGCAGACCCUGAAUAUUUUUUGCUGAACUGCACCCACUCCUAGGGAUUCAACAAGGUGCUACGCAAUGAAGAUACAUACAAUAAGGACUGCCUAAUGACAACAAAGGAUACAACUUCUAUGCUUUCUAAUGAGAAGUUGGGCAAGAACUGGUGGCUGUUUUUGUAAGGUGUCUGCCUUUGACCCGGCGGACCCAUAGCUGAAGAAGGGCUUUAUGAUGUUUAAUCUAGUACAAACUAACAUAGGUAUACUGCUAACUUUAUUUGUGUAACUAACGUGGUAAUAUGCACCCCACAAACUUAAUAACCUACUUACAAACAAAGUGGUAACUUUGGUCCGGGUAACUUAUGUGUAAAUACGUGGUAAUAUACACACGGUAGACCUCAUAGCUGAUGCACAAAAACUAUGAUAACUUUUGACCAUGUCAAACGUAGUUGCUGAAAACAUACCCACGGCAACUUUUGUGAAAAUAGUAUGGUAAUAUACGUACCGUAGAGCUGAUAACCCAUGUAGAAACACUGGUACAUUUUGACAGGGGAAAGAAAUUGUUCAAAAACAUGCUCCUGAUAACUACUAUGUAAACAACAUGGUAAUAUACACACCUUAGACCUGAUCACCUAUGUACAAACACUGUGGUAAAUUUUUGAUCCGUGGAAAAAGUUGCUAAAAACAUACCCUGAUAAAUUUUGUGUAAAUAGCAUGAUAAUAUCCGCAGUGUGGACCUGAGAAAGUAUGUAUAAUUACCGUAGUAAAUUUUGUUCUAUGUAGAUAUCAUGGUAAUAGAUGCACUGCAUACCUGAUAACUUACAUUCGCAUACCGUAGUACGAUUGGCCAGGGAUUUUUCUUGACAAACGCAUCCGCCGAUAAAUUAUGUGUUAAUGGCAUGAUAAUAUAUGGACCAUAGACCUAAUAACAUAAGUACAAGCACCGAGAUAAGUUUCGACCCGGGAAGAAAGGUGAAGAAAACUUACCUCGAUAGCUUCUAUGGAAAAAUGAUGGUAAUUUACAUCCAACAAGCAUGAUAAUUCACAUAGCUCAUGUGUGGUAACUUUUGACCUAAAAACAUCAAAACACAUCAACAUGAUAUCUAAUUUCGAAGAAUUGAUCGCAAUAUAUUUAAUGGUGAAACUGUAUCUUGAAUCAUACCAACAGAAUGAGCUACAAAAACAGAUUUUGAAAUGGAUCAUCAUGGCAGAUUGUAGUAACUUUGAUUCAGAGAAAACAAGUUGUUGAUACUUAGCCCCGAUAAUUUCUCUGUAGAUAACAUGGUAAUUUACACAUUGCAUGGCUGUUAAACUUACUGACAAAACACUACGGUAACUUUGACUCCUGGAAUUUACAAAAGUUGAUUAAACAAACCCUUAUAAUUUAUGUGCAUAUAGCUUGGUAAUUUACACAUGGUAGAUCGCGAUAACAUGUUUACAAAAGCAUGGUAACUUUUGACCAGGUGGUAAACCUGAUGUUAAACAUACUAAGUCAUUUAUGCGUUAAUAGCAUGGUAAUUUACCUAUCACAGGCCUAAUAAAUUACCUACAAAGACCUUCGUAACUGUUUAUGUUGAGAACAAUGUAUUUAAAACAUAUCUAGUAGCUUCUGCGUAAAUAUUAUCGAUCUUUUGUUGGGAAAAACUCAUAAAAUUACCUUUCUUUGUACUAGUGGUAAAAAGGGUUUAGAAUCAUUGAUUGGAUCCAAAAGAACAACAACAAUACCUUUAUUUGUUGUAUAUUGUACUUAGUACAUGCAUCUGUCUACCGUGAGACUAGGGUUUGAAUCCCCAGAAUUUUAUUUUCUCUUGCAUUGGUUUUCGGGCAAAUCUCUGUUAGAGUCGAACAAAAAAGUGGGUCAUCGAAGGAAUAAUAGCAACAAGGGGAUCGUUUGAAUCAGUCGCUAAAAAUGGAACAUUCGCUAGGUAUCAAGGUCCACCUAAUUAUUGUUGUCCCUUCUUACACAAUCUCAUUGCUUCUGUAUGUAGUUUUAUUAUUUUAUUUCUUUUGUGUCAUGCUUUGAGAUAUUUUCUUGUAUGGUCCCCUUCUAAUAUCGGUUAUAAUUUGAUCACUUCUGAUAUGGCUAAACCUGAGCGUAAAACAAACUCUAAUCUAACCAAUAUUGUCGCACGGUGAUCUGUGCGUGAUUUAUUUUCACUUAUUUGGUUCUCCCUAUUGAAAGUAACAUAUGUCUUCAAACUUUGCAAGCUAACAAAAUAUUAGAACUAAAAUGUGAACAAAAAACAAGUGAAUUUCUUAUUCAGCAUAAAUAUAUAGUUAGGAUUUAUUACUAUGAAAUAUUAUUUUAUGUAGUUACGAUGCGCCAAAAAAAUAGAAAUUUUUUUCCGCACAUUGUAGUUAUAGUAUUUUGGUGACAUGCAAAGUGUCAAGUCUAUGUGUUGUUUCAAGUCAUAUUGUAAAGUUAGUUGAAGGGGUACAUAUUACACACAGGUUUAUAUAGAAGGGACAUUUACAUUUGUGCCCUUAAUUUGCGCCCACUCUCAGAUUUGUCCCUAAUUUCGAAGUCUGCUCAAAUUUACCUCUCCGCCGUUAGAUGCCCUUAAAGAAAUGCCCUUCUGCGCUGUUACCGUCCAUUCAAAGAUGGGCAAAGGGCUUUGACCAUCCUAAAAAAAAUAUAAAAAAAUAUAAAAAAUCUGAAAUUUUGUGAGAUCAAAGAUACUAGGGUUCGCAAGACCCGUGCAAACUUUUGUGCUGUUUGGACAUUCCAGGAGGUCGUGGCAAACAAAAAACAGUAGAUAUGUACACUUGUGAACAGUAAAUUCUUAAAACUUGCAAGAAAAUUCAAAAAAAUAUGAAAUUUUUUGGCAUCAAAGAGGCUUGGGUCUGCAAGGUGCGUGCAAUUUUUUGUUGUGUUUGGACACAGUAGGAGCUCGUGGAGAAAAAAAAAAUUGGCUCAGGAAAAAACUUUGGAAAAAAUAACUAUUUUGUUUUUUUUGCUAGAGCUCCUCGCAUGUCAUUUGAUCACAAAAACUUGCAAGCACCUUGUGCACCCAAGCCUCUUCGAUGCCAAAAAAUUUCAUAUUUUUAUAAUUUUCUUGCUAUUUUAUUUCAAAUUUACUGUUCACAAGAGUACAUAUUAACUGCUUCAUAUUACACCCAGGUUUAGCCACAUCGGAAAUGACCAAAUUAUUUUCCCCUGCCAACUGCUUCAUAUUACACCCAGGUUUAUUUAGAAAGACCACAAGUUCUGGCCGUCCCUUCCUGCCGUGUAGGAGGCGCGAAGGCGGUGAGGUCUCGUUGCAGCUGCUGGUGGCUUGUCCUGCCUGCUGGCCACUCUCCCUGGCGAUGGUUCUCCUCUUGCAGUCCUGGCCGCCGGUCCGUAAGACCAAGCUGUCGAGGAUGGUGUGGUGGAACCUUGGAGAUGCUAUCACUGCCGUCGUAAUGUGAGCCAACUCCCGGGAGCUCGAUGGAGACAGCUGCUCUCACUUCCUGUUUUUGGACACCGGCAGAACUGACCGCGGCACAAGAACCAGUGUUGCUAAUCAUAAUUAAUACUCACAAGAAAUAUGAAGCAGUUAGCAGUUAUCUAGGUCAUCAACAUCAGUGCAGAAUUUCAGAUUGAUCAAUGACAAUGAGCUAUUCCCUCCGUCUAGGUUGUGCACCAUGACCAAGGAGGAGGGGAAAAUGAGAGACUUUAAUGUUUAUUUGCUAAUUAAUAGUAUUGCAUGCAAUGAACUAACCACUGCAUGUUAUGUUUGGUAGCCUCAAGUCAUUAAAAGCAUGCACACUCCUCAUCUCUUAUUGGUUGAUAUGGCAAGAAAUAAGAAACGAGGUAAAAAUUAAUGCAUCGCGCCUUAGUGUUUUGAGAUUAUUUGGUUUCGUAAGAUGACUUACACACCUAGACGGACGGAGUACGUGCCUAGUACAUGCCAAUAACCCUGGCCAUCGAUCUACCCAAUUGAAAGGAAUGGAAAUGAUUAAGCAACUGCAUGUUGCUGCCUUUGUCAGACUGCUAUAAUGGAGUCCCCAAAAGGACGGCAGAUGAUACUACACAUCAUAAUUAUUCGCCAUGAUAUUUGUUCGUUGCUCAGUAACACGGCAACGGGUGGUGAUUAUGAUCGCCUGCCUUCUCUCUUUGGACCACUCUACUCUUUAAUUCUUGUGAUGAAUUUCUCAUGACACGGCCGCAGCAACGCUGCGUACCCCCAUCGGUCUGCCCAAUUUAUUAAUUCCACUUAUUAUCAGACAGAUGUGUAGCCUCUCAAUUUUCGCGAGCUUUUUGGAGAACUUGUAGUCUCAGAAUCAAUCAAAAAAGGAUGGAUCUACUUUAUACUCCCUUCAUUUUUAUUUACUCUGCAUAUUAGAGUUCACUGAAGUCAAACUUACUAAAAUUUGACCAAGUUUAUAGAAAAGAAUAAAAAUAUUACCAUAACAAAUAUAUAUGAAGUGGAAGUACAUUCAAUAAUAAAUCUACUGGUAUUGAUUUGUUAUUGUAUAUGUUAAUAUUUUUGUCUAUAAACUUUGUCAAAUUUUAUAAAGCUUGACUUUCACAAAACCUAAUAUGCGGAGUAAAUAAAAACGGAGGGAGUGGCCCGUGUAAAUGCCCAUGCAGAGUCUUUUAGUCAGCUAUCACAUUUUAUCGACCAACCUUUAUGUAAGGUGAGAGACUCAUAAAUUUGGGAACACAUCCCGAUAUUAUUGUUUAUUAUUUUCAUAACUAUUAGUAAAUAUGAGUUAUAUCCCGAAGAAUGAAUAUUAUUCAAACAAAUGUAGCAAUCGUAGCCCAUACCUCAUAAAAUAUAAUUAUUAGUUAAUAUUAUCAUAUGAUUUAAUACCGAAAACAACAUUUAGCUGUGUAAAUAUGGUGAUUGUAAAAGUUCAAAUGCACAAGAAACUGCUACAUUAACAAAUCAUGAAAUUUGAUUGAUAUUAAUGGAAUAAUUACAAAUGUGGGAUGUGGCAUAGCUACUGUCUUAGAGCAUCUCCAAUGCUGACACGCAAAUUUUCUCCAGCAUCCUUCCGAGGAUAGGGAGGCCAGUCCGUGAACACAUACGCGGGAGGCGGCCAACCAAAUCUAUCCACGUAUGUCCGGUUACAUUUCCAAUGAAAAUGAAUGAAAAUAAACAAUUUUUAUUCAACUCGAACAAACCUGACAUCUUUUACAUAAAAUCGGAUGAUUUUUAUCUAAGCCAGAGCAAAUUCAUUACAUUUAGAUAUUUUUCUACUAGAGCGGACUAUAAACCUAGACUAAAAGGACCGUCGGCGCCCGUUCCCCAUCUCCGGCCGGCCAUGAGCCCCGGAAAAUGAAGCCUCGCCCCGCCGCUGACAUAUCUUCCUAAAGUCCGAAAGCCCGCUCGUCGGACUGCCGGACGCCCUGAAAGGAUAUGCUUCAGCGAGAAGGGAAGAAUAACAUCCUCUUUCCCUAUACCUUCCCUAUGUCUAACAACGCUUGUCAUUGGAGUGGCCUCCACUUUCGUGAAGGAUGAAUAAGGGUUGAUUUUUGGGGUGGGUGACAAGGUGGCCUGCGAAGAGGGCAAGACACCGGCUGUGCAUGCUGGCAUCACGCCGGCGGUGGCCUUGUGGGACCCAAGUGGCGGCGGCCUCUCAUGAUCUACUUUUCCUCACUGUCGGCAACUGCCGCGGAAGUGCUAGCCGCCUUGUUGAUCUCCCCAUUGUUGGGGAACGUAGUAAUUUCAAAAAAAUUCCUACGCACACGCAAGAUCAUGGUAAUGAUAUAGCAACGAGAGGGGAGAUUGUUCGUCCACGUACCCUCGUAGACCGUAAGCGGAAGCGUUAGCACAACACGGUUGAUGUAGUCGUACGUCUUCACGAUCCGACCGAUCCAAGCACCGAACGUACGGAGCCUCCGAGUUUAGCACAUGUUCAGCUCGAUGACGAUCUCCGGCCUCCGAUCCAGCCAAGCUCCGGAGAUGAGUUCCGUCAGCACGACGGUGUGGUGACGAUGAUGAUGUUCUACUGGCGCAGGGCUUCUCUUAAACACCGCGACGAUAUGACCGAGGUGGAAUAUGGUGGAGGGGGGCACCUCACACGGCUAAGGAACGAUCGGUAGAUCAACUUGUGUGUCUAUGGGGUGCUCCCUCGCCCCCGUAUAUAAAGGAGCCAGGGGGGAGGAGGCGGCCGGCCAAGGAGGGCGCGCCAAGGGGGGAGUCCUACUCCCACCGGGAGUAGGACUCCCUUCUUUCCUAGUAGGAGUAGGAGAAGGGGGAAAGAGGAGGAAGAGGAGAAGGAAAGGGGGGGCGCUGCCCCCCUUCCCUUGUCCUAUUCGGACUAGGAAGGGGAGGGGCGCGCGCCCCCCUCCUGGUUCCUUCCCUCUUCUCCCUCGAGGCCCAUGUAGGCCCAAUAACCCCCGGGGGGGUUCCGGUAACCUCCCGGUACUCCGGUAAAAUGCCGAUUUCACCCGGAACCAUUCCGAUGUCCAAACAUAGGCAUCCAAUAUAUCAAUAUUUAUGUCUCGACCAUUCCGAGACUCCUCAUCAUGUCCGUGAUGACAUCCGGGACUCCGAACAAACUUCGGUACAUCAAAACUUAUAAACUCAUAAUAAAACUAUCAUCGUAACGUUAAGCGUGCGGACCCUACGGGUUCGAGAACUAUGUAGACAUGACCUAGAAUCAUUCUCGGUCAAUAACCAAUAGCGGGACCUGGAUGCCCAUAUUGGUUCCUACAUAUUCUACGAAGAUCUUUAUCGGUUAAACCGCAUAACAACAUACGUUGUUCCCUUUGUCAUCGGUAUGUUACUUGCCCGAGAUUUGAUCGUCGGUAUCCAAUACCUAGUUCAAUCUCGUUACCGGCAAGUCUCUUUACUCGUUCUGUAAUACAUCAUCUUAUAACUAACUCAUUAGUUACAAUGCUUUCAAGGCUUAGGUGAUGAGUAUUACCGAGAGGGCCCAGAGAUACCUCUCCGACAAUCGGAGUGACAAAACCUAAUCUCGAAUUAUGCCAACCCAACAUGUACCUUCGGAAACACCUGUAGAGCACCUUUAUAAUCACCCAGUUACGUUGUGACGUUUGGUAGCACACAAAGUGUUCUACCGGUAAACGGGAGUUGCACAAUCUCAUAGUUGCAGGAACUUUGUAUAAGUCAUGAAGAAAGCAAUAGCAAUAUACUAAACGAUCAAGUGCUAGGCUAACGGAAUGGGUCAUGUCAAUCACAUCAUUCUCCUAAUGAUGUGAUCCCAUUAAUCAAAUGACAACACAUGUCUAUGGUUAGGAAACAUAACCAUCUUUGAUUAGUGAGCUAGUCAAGUAGAGGCAUACUAGUGACUUUAUGUUUGUCUAUGUAUUCACACAUGUAUCAUGUUUCCGGUUAAUACUAUUCUAGCAUGAAUAAUAAACAUUUAUCAUGAUAUGAGGAAAUAAAUAAUAACUUUAUUAUUGCCUCUAGGGCAUAUUUCCUUCAGUCUCCCACUUGCACUAGAGUCAAUAAUCUAGAUUACAUGGUAAUGAUUCUAACACCCAUGGAGUCUUGGUGUUGAUCAUGUUUUGCUCGUGAGAGAGGCUUAGUCAACGGGUCUGCAACAUUCAGAUCCGUAUGUAUCUUGCAAAUCUCCAUGUCUCCCACUUGGACUUGGUCCCGUAUGGAAUUGAAGCGUCUCUUGAUGUGCUUGGUCCUCUUGUGAAAUCUGGAUUCCUUCGCCAAGGCAAUUGCAUCAGUAUUGUCACAGAAGAUCUUCAUUGGUCCCGAUGCACUAGGUAUGACACCUAGAUCGGAAAUGAACUCCUUCAUCCAGACUCCUUCAUUUGCUGCUUCCGAAGCAGCUAUGUACUCCGCUUCACAUGUAGAUCCCGCUACGACGCUUUGUUUAGAACUGCACCAACUUACAGCUCCACCGUUUAAUAAAAACACGUAUCCAGUUUGCGAUUUAGAAUCGUCCGGAUCAGUGUCAAAGCUUGCAUCGAUGUAACCAUUUACGACUAGCUCUUUGUCACCUCCAUAUACGAGAAACAUAUCCUUAGUCCUUUUCAGGUAUUUCAGGAUGUUCUUGACCGCUGUCCAGUGAUCCACUCCUGGAUUACUUUGGUAGCUUCCUGCCAAGCUUAUUGCUAAGCAUACAUCAGGUCUGGUACACAGCAUUGCAUACAUGAUAGAGCCUAUGGCUGAAGCACAGGGAACAUUUUUCAUUUUCUCUCUAUCUUCUGCUGUGGUCGGGCAUUGAGUUUGACUCAACUUCACACCUUGUAGCACAGGCAAGAAUCCUUUCUUUGCCUGAUCCAUUUUGAACUUUUUUAAAUUUUGUCAAGGUAUGUGCUUUGUGAAAGUCCUAUUAAGUGUCUUGAUCUAUCUUUAUAGAUCUUGAUGCCCAAUAUGUAAGCAGCUUCACCGAGGUCUUUCACUGAAAAACUUUUAUUCAAGUAUCCCUUUAUGCUAUCCAGAAAUUCUAUAUCAUUUCCAAUUAAUAAUAUGUCAUCUACAUAUAAAACUAGAAAUGCUACAGAGCUCCCACUCACUUUCUUGUAAAUACAGGCUUCUCCAAAAGUCUGUAUAAAACCAUAUGCUUUGAUCACACUAUCAAAGCGUUUAUUCCAACUCCAAGAUGCUUGCACCAGUCCAUAAAUGGAACGCUGGAGUUUGCACACUUUGUUAGCACCUUUUGGAUCAACAAAACCUUCCGGCUGCAUCAUAUACAACUCUUCUUCUAGAAAUCCAUUCAAGAAUGCAGUCUUGACAUCCAUUUGCCAAAUUUCAUAAUCAUGAAAUGCAUCAAUAGCUAACAUGAUUCGGACAGACUUAAGCAUCGCUACGGGUGAGAAAGUCUCAUCGUAGUCAACCCCUUGAACUUGUCGAAAACCUUUUGCAACAAGUCGAGCUUUAUAGACAGUUAUAUUACCAUCAGCGUCAGUCUUCUUCUUAAAGAUCCAUUUAUUCUCAAUGGCUUGCCGAUCAUCGGGCAAGUCAACCAAAGUCCAUACUUUGUUUUCAUACAUGGAUCCCAUCUCAGAUUUAGUGGCCUCUAGCCAUUUUGCGGAAUCUGGGCUCAUCAUCGCUUCCUCAUAGUUCGUAGGUUCAUCAUGGUCAAGUAACAUGACUUCCAGAAUAGGAUUACCAUACCAUUCUGGUGCGGAUCUUACUCUGGUAGACCUACGAGGUUCAGUAGAAACUUGAUCUGAAGUUUCAUGAUCAAUAUCAUUAGCUUCCUCACUAAUUGGUGUAGUCGUCACAGGAACCGGUUCUCGUGAUGAACUACUUUCCAAUAAGGGAGUAGAUACAGUUAUCUCAUCAAGUUCUACUUUCCUCCCACUCACUUCUUUCGAGAGAAACUCCUUCUCUAGAAAGGAUCCAUUCUUAGCAACAAAUGUCUUGCCUUCGGAUCUGUGAUAGAAGGUGUACCCAACAGUCUCUUUUGGGUAUCCUAUGAAGACACAUUUCUCCGAUUUGGGUUCGAGCUUAUCUGGUUGAAGUUUCUUCACAUAAGCAUCGCAGCCCCAAUCUUUAAGAAACGACAACUUUGGUUUCUUUCCAAACCACAGUUCAUAAGGCGUCGUCUCAACGGAUUUUGAUGGUGCCCUAUUUAACGUGAAUGCGGCCGUCUCUAAAGCAUAACCCCAAAACGAUAGCGGUAAAUCGGUAAGAGACAUCAUAGAUCGCACCAUAUCAAGUAAAGUACGAUUACGACGUUCGGACACACCAUUUCGUUGUGGUGUUCCGGGUGGCGUGAGUUGCGAAACUAUUCUGCAUUGUUUCAAAUGUAAACCAAACUCGUAACUCAAAUAUUCUCCUCCACGAUCAGAUCGUAGAAACUUUAUUUUCUUGUUACGAUGAUUUUCCACGUCACUCUGAAAUUCUUUGAACUUUUCAAAUGUUUCAGACUUGUGCUUCAUUAAGUAGAUAUACCCGUAUCUGCUCAAAUCAUCUAUGAAGGUGAGAAAAUAACGAUAUCCGCCAUGAGCCUCAAUAUUCAUCGGACCACAUACAUCUGUAUGUAUGAUUUCCAACAAAUCUGUUGCUCUCUCCAUAGUACCGGAGAACGGCGUUUUAGUCAUCUUGCCCAUGAGGCACGGUUCGCAAGUACCAAGUGAUUCAUAAUCAAGUGAUUCCAAAAGUCCAUCAGUAUGGAGUUUCUUCAUGCGCUUUACUCCGAUAUGACCCAAACGGCAGUGCCACAAAUAAGUUGCACUAUCAUUAUCAACUCUGCAUCUUUUGGUUUCAACACUAUGAAUAUGUGUAUCACUACUAUCGAGAUUUAAUAAAAAUAGACCACUCUUCAAGGGUGCAUGACCAUAAAAGAUAUUACUCAUAUAAAUAGAACAACCAUUAUUCUCUGAUUUAAAUGAAUAACCGUCUCGCAUCAAACAAGAUCCAGAUAUAAUGUUCAUGCUCAACGCUGGCACCAAAUAACAAUUAUUCAGGUCUAAAACUAAUCCCGAAGGUAGAUGUAGAGGUAGCGUGCCGACCGCGAUCACAUCGACUUUGGAACCGUUUCUCACGCGCAUCGUCACCUCGUCCUUGGCUAGUGCUCGCUUAUUCCGUAGUCCCUGUUUCGAGUUGCAAAUAUUAGCAACAGAACCAGUAUCAAAUACCCAGGUGCUACUACGAGCUCUAGUUAGGUACACAUCAAUAACAUGUAUAUCACAUAUACCUUUGUUUAUUUUGCCAUCCUUCUUAUCCGCCAAAUACUUGGGGCAGUUCCGCUUCCAGUGACCAGUCUGCUUGCAGUAAAAGCACUCAGUUUUAGGCUUAGGUCUAGACUUGGGUUUCUUCUCUUGAGCAGCAACUUGCUUGCUGUUCUUCUUGAAGUUCCCCUUCUUCUUCCCUUUGCCUUUUUCUUGAAACUAGUGGUCUUGUUGACCAUCAAAACUUGAUGCUCCUUUUUGAUUUCUACCUCCGCAGCUUUUAGCAUUGCAAAGAGCUCGGGAAUAGUCUUGUUCAUCCCUUGCAUAUUAUAGUUCAUCACAAAGCUCUUGUAGCUUGGUGGCAGUGAUUGGAGAAUUCUGUCAAUGACGCUAUCAUCCGGAAGAUUAACUCCCAGUUGAAUCAAGUGAUUAUUAUACCCAGACAUUCUGAGUAUAUGCUCACUGACAGAACUAUUCUCCUCCAUCUUGUAGCUGUAGAACUUAUUGGAGACUUCAUAUCUCUCAAUCCGGGCAUUUGCUUGAAAUAUUUACUUCAACUCCUAGAACAUCUCAUAUGCUCCAUGACGUUCAAAACGUCGUUGAAGACCCGGUUCUAAGCCGUAAAGCAUGGCACACUGAACUAUAGAGUAGUCAUCAGCUUUGCUCUGCCAGACGUUCUUAACAUCGUCAGUUGCAUCAGCAGCAGGCCUGGCACCCAGCGGUGCUUCCAGGUUGUAACUUUUCUGUGCAGCAAUGAGGACAAUCCUCAGGUUACGGACCCAGUCCGUGUAAUUGCUACCAUCAUCUUUAAACUUUGCUUUCUCAAGGAACGCAUUGAAAUUCAACGGAAAAACAGCACGAGCCAUCUAUCUACAAACAAACAUAGACAAGCAAAAUACUAUCAGGUACUAAGUUCAUGAUAAAUUUAAGUUCAAUUAAUCAUAUUACUUAAGAACUCCCACUUAGAUAGACAUCUCUCUAGUCAUCUAAGUGACCACGUGAUCCAAAUCAACUAAACCAUAACCGAUCAUCACGUGAGAUGGAGUAGUUUUCAAUGGUGAACAUCACUAUGUUGAUCAUAUCUACUAUAUGAUUCACGCUCGACCUUUCGGUCUCCGUGUUCCGAGGCCAUAUCUGCAUAUGCUAGGCUCGUCAAGUUUAACCUGAGUAUUCCGCGUGUGCAAAACUGGCUUGCACCCGUUGUAGAUGGACGUAGAGCUUAUCACACCCGAUCAUCACGUGGUGUCUCGGCACGACAAACUUUGGCAAUGGUGCAUACUCAGGGAGAACACUUCUUGAUAAUUUCGGUUACAAAACAUGAUCAUCUCAUACAAUAAAAUAUAGCAUCACGUCUUGACCAUAUCACAUCACAACAUGCCUGCAAAAACAAGUUAGACGUCCUCUACUUUGUUGUUGCAAAUUUUAUGUGGCUGCUACGGGCUUAAAAAGAACCGUUCUUACCUACGCAUCAAAAACCACAACGAUAGUUCGUCAAGUUGGUGCUGUUUUAACCUUCGCAAGGACCGGACGUAGCCACACUCGAUUCAGCUAAAGUGAGAGAGGCAGACACCCGCCAGCCACCUUUAAGCACGAGUGCUCGUAACGGUGAAACCAGUCUCGUGUAAGCGUACGCAUAAUGUCGGUCCGGGCCGCUUCAUCUCACAAUACCGCCGAACCAAAGUAUGACAUGCUGGUAAGCAGUAUGACUUGUAUCGCCCACAACUCACUUGUGUUCUACUCGUGCAUAUAACAUCAACGCAUAAAACCUAGGCUCGGAUGCCACUGUUGGGGAACGUAGUAAUUUCAAAAAAAUUCCUACGCACACGCAAGAUCAUGGUGAUGAUAUAGCAACGAGAGGGGAGAGUGUUCGUCCAUGUACCCUCGUAGACCGUAAGCGGAAGCGUUAGCACAACGCGGUUGAUGUAGUCGUACGUCUUCACGAUCCGACCGAUCCAAGCACCGAACGUACGGAGCCUCCAAGUUCAGCACACGUUCAGCUCGAUGACGAUCUCUGGCCUCCGAUCCAGCCGAGCUCCGGAGAUGAGUUCCGUCAGCACGACGGCGUGGUGAUGAUGAUGAUGUUGUACCGGCGGAGGGCUUCGCCUAAACUCCGCGACGAUAUGACCGAGGUGGAAUAUGGUGGAGGGGGGCACCGCACACGGCUAAGGAACGAUCCGUAGAUCAACUUGUGUGUCUAUGGGGUGCUCCCUCGCCCCCGUAUAUAAAGGAGCCAGGGGGGAGGAGGCGGCCGGCCAAGGAGGGCGCCCCAUGGGGGGAGUCCUACUCCCACCGGGAGUAGGACUCCCUUCUUUCCAAGUAGGAGUAGGAGAAGGGGGAAAGAGGAGGAAGAGGAGAAGGAAAGGGGGGGCGCCGCCCCCCUUCCCUUGUCCUAUUCGGACUAGGAAGGGGAGGGCCGCGCGGCCCCCUCUUGGUUCCUUCCCUCUUCUCCCUCGAGGCCCAUGUAGGCCCAAUAACCCCCCGGGGGGGGGGGGGGUUCCGGUAUCCUCCCGGUACUCCGGUAAAAUGCCGAUUUCACCCGGAACCAUUCCGAUGUCCAAACAUAGGCUUCCAAUAUAUCAAUCUUUAUGUCUCGACCAUUCCGAGACUCCUCGUCAUGUCCGUGAUCACAUCCAGGACUCCGAACAAACUUCGGUACAUCAAAACUUAUAAACUCAUAAUAAAACUGUCAUCGUAACGUUAAGUGUGCGGACCCUACGGGUUCGAGAACUAUGUAGACAUGACCUAGAACCAUUCUCGGUCAAUAACCAAUAGCGUGACCUGGAUGCCCAUAUUGGUUCCUACAUAUUCUACGAAGAUCUUUAUCUGUCAAACCGCAUAACAACAUACGUUGUUCCCUUUGUCAUCGGUAUGUUACUUGCCCGAGAUUUGAUCGUCGGUAUCCAAUACCUAGUUCAAUCUCAUUACCGACAAGUCUCUUUACUCGUUCUGUAAUACAUCAUCUUAUAACUAACUCAUUAGUUACAAUGCUUGCAAGGCUUAGGUGAUGAGUAUUACCGAGAGGGCCCAGAGAUACCUCUCCGACAAUCGGAGUGACAAAACCUAAUCUUGAAUUAUGCCAACCCAACAUGUACCUUCGGAAACACCUGUAGAGCACCUUUAUAAUCACCCAGUUACGUUGUGACGUUUGGUAGCACACAAAGUGUUCUUCCGGUAAACGGGAGUUGCACAAUCUCAUAGUUGCAGGAACUUUGUAUAAGUCAUGAGGAAAGCAAUAGCAAUAUACUAAAUGAUCAAGUGCUAGGCUAACGGAAUGGGUCAUGUCAAUCACAUCAUUCUCCUAAUGAUGUGAUCCCAUUAAUCAAAUGACAACACAUGUCUAUGGUUAGGAAACAUAACCAUCUUUGAUUAAUGAGCUAGUCGAGUAGAGGCAUACUAGUGACUUUAUCUUUGUGUAUGUAUUCACACAUGUAUCAUGUUUCCGGUUAAUACAAUUCUAGCAUGAAUAAUAAACAUUUAUCAUGAUAUGAGGAAAUAAAUAAUAACUUUAUUAUUGCCUCUAGGGCAUAUUUCCUUCACCCAUUGCCGACUCCUUUCUUCACCUGCAGGGCGUGGUUCCACGCACAUUGGCGAUAGAUGGUGCAGGAGCAUGCCGCCUCGUCCACGGCAACAUCUUGGCCCGUACCGACGUGCUCCUCUGAGAGAUGGCUUGGAGAGGCGACUUACUAAACCACACGCCGACUUGGAGCGGCCACUUGCUCCUCCAUGCAAGCCUGCAUCCUCGCCGGUGGUAUUGAUGGCCUGGAGCGGCAAGGGAGGUCAAGUAGCGAGUUGACUAGCUUGUAUACGACGGGCUCGGUGGGUCACCUAGAUGGCUUCUAUGACGGAGAACCACUCUUCCUGCUCGUCGGAUGUCAUGAACAGUGUGGAGAACAUAGUGCGAGAUGGAAAUGGGGAGCGGAGGAGUGGUGCGGUUCCUGCAUGGCGUCUGGUCUCGUUCAAAUAGCCGAUGGACACGAGGACCUAACCGGCAUUGAGUUUAAUGUCGGCCGGCUCAUGAACGGAUGUGUGGCUGGAGUAGGUUCCUCGGCAGACGCGUGGCUUUAAUGAAUGCAUGAGAGGAGGUGUGUUCAACUGGGCGUCCAGCAGGCAGUGUUCUCUCCGCCAGCCCGCCGCUUCAAUGUUGCGCAAGUUAGAGGUCGCAUCCGCUUUGGGCCGGCGUCAAUGUGGAGCGGCCGCUCACAGCAGCAUGAAUGCGGACAGUUGGCACCGGGCGGGAAUGGACGCGGGUGAGGGAGGAGGGUUUUGGGUCCGCAAGGGCAGUUAGAAGUGGGUGUGGCAGCUGUCCGGAUGGCCGCAAACAUCCCGCCCCUGGUCUCCGGUUUUGCGGGAAAAAGUACACCCGAACCGUCGAGCAGACCGAUACCGGCCCGCAUUGGAUGGCAACAUAAGUCUGGACUGCGCGGUCCGGAUGUAUGCAGAUGGUUUGAGGGUACGCUUUGGAGAUGGUCUUACAAAUGUUCUCUACAAAUAAUCCAACCAUGAUUGCUACCAAUGGUGGGAUGUAGCAUAGUAUAAUUGUAUCUUACAUUGACCGGAUUACUUUUAAUUUAUAAUUUUCAUACCUAGUUACUUGACAAAAAAACAAAAAUAUAAUUAACUUUUAUUUAUUUUUACUUAACUAUAGAAUAAAUAUUGGGCCAGGAGCAUCUUUGAUAUGUAUUUUCUAAAAAUAAAAUACAGUAAAUAUAUUUUAAAAUCAAAUUAUUUGUAUGUAUGUUGGGUUUCUACUCAAUAAAGAAGAGAUAUACAUAUGCCUUAUGAGAUAUAUACUCCAUUGUGGAUUAUUAAUUAGGGAAAUUUGUCGUUGAUAUAAUUCAUGCUAUGUUGAUCACUGUCACGCCACACAUAUCCUAUCCGGUUCACCACAUAUACAACGGGUAAGUAUCCUUGCCUGAGAGUUAAAAUAGAUAUGAAAUUAAAUUCCAAAUCAUGAUAUUGGCAAGUCAUUAACACAAAUCAGAAGAAGUUAAUGUAAUAAUUUAUAUGUUUUAGAUGUUUUCGGUCAAUUUGGAAUAUAGAGAUUACAAUGGUGUUCCGACUGCCCACCCGCAAAAAAAUGGUGUUCUGACUGCAAAUAACUGAAAAUAAAUAAUUUGAUUACGAACUAGUUUCGGAUAUGUCCCCAUAAUGCCUACGGUUUGUGUGAUGUUCUUUUUAGUUUUUAUGAAUACUCCUUUUGAAAUGGAGGCACAAGUUGAGCAUAGUGACCUUUUUCUAUUCUAAUAUGGACAUACCAAGUUCAUAAACAUUAAAAGUUAAAGAUUUUUUUACGUAGCUCCGGUUGCCCUCUUGGCAUAGCCCUAUAGUAAUGCUGCUGAUGGCCUUUGUCAAGUAACUAGGACAAACAUAAAUUGACUGAAUAUUUCUAUAAUUUGACAGUGAAGUGGUGUCAAGGCAUUUUUUUUACUGAACUAACGCCACAUCAAACACAAUAAGAAAAUUUUGAACAUGCUACCAGGGAAAUGUGUCAGUAGGUCAAUAAGAGGAAAUAAAAUAAAAUCACAUACAUGAAUGGUUAUUACUUCAACACUUUCAUGGUGCAUUCUUCUAUGUUUCUCAAUUCCAAUUCCUCUUAGAAAAAUAGCUAAUUUGUGAACCGAAGCCAUGGACUGGUAAAUAAUCUCUUUGUGCAUGUUAAGAAUUAUCACGAGUAGGAAAAUACCAUAAACUACUUAGCCAAUACUUACUCUUCUGGUUGAGAUUGGUAGAUGUCUACUUGAAAAAUUACAAUGACUAAACGCAGUCAAACAAUGGGCAAUUGCUUUGGUAGAAACUUGUGUUUGUGGAGCAUUACAGCAAGUCAUGAUUAAACUUAUAGAUAGGACCUAUCUAUAGAAUAAAAAACACAAAUACAUUACUUAAGAUGACAUAGUCACUUUACCAUGUCUGCCUUCCGUGAGAUUAUAUACUAGGAUGGCCUUCACAUGCUUGUUAGUGACAAACCAACUUUUGUUGUCACACGUACGAAUUGGUUUUAGGUAUCGCUAGCUAAAGGCGACCAGGAGGCGUUGGCAUCUUCCCCAUACAAUAUUUUCGUGCGCCGUAGUUGUUUAAUCCAUAUGAAAGCAAGCAUAGUGGCAGCUCGAUAAGUCACUGGAUCAGGCAGGAGGUUGAGAUCGGUGGCAUAGUGGCUUGUCGUGCAUGAACUUUUUUACAUGGAAGAGAAAUAUACGGUUGAUUUUUUUUAGUUUAGGUUUGGGUUCGAUGCGGAUGCAACUUUUUCAAUCGUGCUGAAUCCCACAAUUAGGUUGGUGAGCGUAUGGACUAUUGAUUUGAAGAGCAUAAUUAGUUCUUUGACCAAUCACUAUUGCAGGACGCUGCUAACGCGACACUACGAUCAGAGACCCUUCGAUGGAACUGUGUGCGAUGCAAUAAUCGCAAACGGUGGUGUAAAAAAAUAAUCAAAAAAGGUGCAAAACGUUUGCGAGGACGGAUGCAUUAAAGGCGGUUCAGAUUUUGGUUUCGUGUGCGAUGCAGGGCAUAUGGUUCAGUUCAGUUAACUGCUUGCGAUGAGGAGGAACAAAAGAAACGGGCAGCCAGAUGAAGGUGUGUGCGAUAUACAACAUAUGUUUCACACUGAUGAACUGUUUGUGAUUAGGCAACACAAAAGAAACGGUCAGGCAGAUCAAGGUGUGUGCGAUAUACGACAUGCAGUUCACUCGAAUGAACUGUUUGCAUUGAGACAAGAGAACAGAAACGGUUCAAUAUAACAAGAUGUGUGUGAUACGCGGCAAACAGGUCUGUAAUCAGAAGUGUGUGCGAAGACCGAUAAUAACACAUACGAUUGCUUCUAUUAAGAUGUACGUGAUAUGCUCUGUCUACACAACAUGUAUUGGCCAUUGGGGGAUGGGCGUUCAUCCGGAUACGCCAUAAGGAUGCGAAGAGGCAUCCUAUAUCAGCAAGGACUAGUUGUUCCACGAGUAGCUCAUCUAAGAGAACUCUCAAGUUAACUGUGCUCAGGCUGGAGCAGCCAUCAGAUGGGUGAUGGAUGGGAAAUUGUGUUGAUGUUAAAUUAACUGAUAGGAUGGGUCAUUUUAGUCAAAUGACCAAAAUGACCCAUUCCCUAAGCUAAUUUAACCUCGAUGUCUUUGUUUUUAUUUUUAUUUUAUUUUUCUAACAUAUUUUAAAGAAGGUCUACCGCAUUACUUUUUGACAAUGUGUAUAUGUGGCAUAUAGUUGAUCAAUCCGACCUGUUUGUGAUGGAAUAAGCCGUGUGUGUUGUGGGCAAACGCCUUCGAGUGUAGAACCAUUUGCAAUUGAUAAUUCAUCAUUGACGGCUUCCCUAGUGUGGUCCGUGUUCAUCUCAUCAUCAUCUACUUCUUGUGCCAGCUCGAUGUUCCUUAUAUGCUAAGUUUCCAUUAAUUAAUGGCGUUCUAUGAACACGCCACCGUUUCCCGCCAUAUCUUCACCUGUUUCCCGCCACCCAGCGAUAUUGCACAUAAACCUAGGCGCGGCGCGAUGCAUGGAGGCAACAAAAGCAGCCUGUAGCACAUCCACCAUUUCCAAGCAUGCCAACGAACCAAAGGGUCGCCUCUGCCAUCAACAUCGUCGACGGGGAAAACCAGAAGGCGCCACGGCCCGUUGAGGUCUCGGCGUUCCCCUGCAACGCGAUGGACGACGUUGUGAUGCGCGUCAUCGCCAGGAUUGAGCAGACCCUUGGCGCAUGGCGCUUCAGCGCCGCGGAUCAAGAUAGGCAUGUCAGCGCCGAGAGGCUGGAGCUCGUCGCACAACAUGAUCGAUGGCGCUCCGCAGAGCAAGCUAGGCGCGUCUGCGCCGAUAGGCUGCAUCUCGCCACACGGCGAGACCGUUGGAGCACCGCAGAGCGAGAGGCGUGGCGCGUCGCACAACAAGAGCGGAUCCAUCAGCGCUUUACUGCUGUCGACAGGGCAUUGAAGCUGGGUACACGUCCCAUCAGUACCCCCAUUCCUAACUAGUAGAUGUAGUAACAUAACUACAUCUCGAAGGAUUUUAAUUUUUAAAGUUUUUAUCAUUUUCUUUUGUUCUUUUCCAAAACUGAAANNNNNNNNNNGUUGUGAUGCGCGUCAUCGCCAGGAUUGAGCAGACCCUUGGCGCAUGGCGCUUCAGCGCCGCGGAUCAAGAUAGGCAUGUCAGCGCCGAGAGGCUGGAGCUCGUCGCACAACAUGAUCGAUGGCGCUCCGCAGAGCAAGCUAGGCGCGUCUGCGCCGAUAGGCUGCAUCUCGCCACACGGCGAGACCGUUGGAGCACCGCAGAGCGAGAGGCGUGGCGCGCCGCACAACAAGAGCGGAUCCAUCGGCGCUUUACUGCUGUCGACAGGGCAUUCAAGCUGGGUACAUGUCCCAUCAGUACCCCCAUUCCUAACUAGUAGAUGUAGUAACAUAACUACAUCUCGAAGGAUUUUAAUUUUUGAAGUUUUUAUCAUUUUCUUUUGUUCUUUUCCCAAACUGAAAUGGCGAUAGGGGGGGGGGGGUGGUAGAGUUUGAAAAUUGCAGAACCCCUUUAGUCUAGGAUGGUGUCCAUCCAAUCCGACCGUCGACUACAUCUGCUAGCACUGUCCCAACCAGAGUCACAACUAAGGUUAACCAACCCAGAGUCACGUUCUAUUAAAGUGGCAAAAUGAAUUACUUUUUAAUAUAGCAAAACUAAUUCUAUCAAUUAUUAUUAAAGGCUAAACAACUAUUAAUAUAAAACAGUAGCAGAAUUAAUAUUAAUUGAUUAUAAAAAUUUAUCUACUGUUGGCUAACAGAAGCAUACUACAACAUGUUAAAAUCUACAGAAAGAACUAACUAAAAAUAAUUAAAACAACAAUUAAAGGACUAAAACAACUAUAUAAGCAAAACAAUACUAUUUUAACUAAAAUUCUAAUUUAAAUUAUUCUAAAAAUUACCAAAUAAAUCUUACUGUGACAACAAUCUAACAUGUGACUAGGAGGAAAAAGAAUUAAAUUUAAAACUAUUUUUAAACUCAAAUUUUUCACAAUCUAAGGUUUGAAGCAAAAUUGAACAAAUUCAUAUUUAAAUCAGUCCAAUUUGAAAACUAAUGGCACAAAUAGAAACUAGACAAAAUUUUGAAUCUAAUGCACAAAGAAUCACUCAAAAACAUCAAAUAUCCUAAAAGAUAUAAGCAAUUUAAAAUAAAAAAUAAAAAACAAAUGGUAAAACAAAAAACAAAUUUCAAAACCUGUUUAGUCUCGGUUGGUGGCUUCAACCGGGACUAGAGGUCCUCAACCCCUUUAGUCCCCGUUGGUGGAGGUCUAAUCUUUAGUCCCGAUUGUUGGAGAAAGGGGCAUCACACCCUUUAGUCUCGGUUGGUGUCUCAAACCGGGACUAAAGGUCCCAUUUGAACCGGGACUAAUGCCUGCCCGGCGCCCUAACCGCUCGAACCAGGACUAAUGCUCACAUUAGUCCCGGUUCAUAAUGCAACCGGGACUAAUGUGUAGAUUGAGCUUGGACCAAAGCCCUGUUUUCUACUAUUGAUGUUCGACAGAACAUAUUACUCAUGUUGCUUUAGUUAAGCUAUUUAUAUUAUGUGGGUGGUGUAGCUUCCAAAAUCAAUGCAGUUAAUUAUGUCUGUUCCAGAAAAUGGUUAUCAACUUCUCAUUUUGUUCUAGCAUUCUUUUUUUCCUUACAAAUGGUCUCAACAAAUAAUCCAACCAUGAUUGCUACCCACGGUGGGAUGUGGCAUAGUAUAAUUGUAUUUUACAUUGACGGGAUUACUUUUAUUUUAUAAUUUUCAUAACAUGUAAGUUUCUUUUGUUACAUAACUAUAAAAUAAAUAUUGGUCCAGGAGCAUCUUUGUUAUGUAUUUUCUAAAAAUUAAAUAAAGGAAAUAUAUUUUAAAAUCAAAUUAUUUGUAUGUAUCUUGGGUUUCUACUCAAUAAAGAAGAGACAUACAUAUGCCUUAUGAGAUAUAUACUCCAUUGUAGAUUAUUAGUUAUGGAAAUUUGUCAUUGAUAUAAUUCAUGCUAUGUUGAUCAUUGUCAAGCCACACAUAUCCUAUCUGGUCCACCACAUAUACAAUGGGUAAGUAUCAUUGUCUGAGAGUUAAAAUAGAUACGAAAUUAAAUUCCGAUUCAUGAUAUUGGCAAGUCAUUAACUUAAAUCAGAAGAAAUUAAAGUAAUAAUUUAUAUGUUUUAGAUUGUUUCGGUCAAUUUGGAAUAUAGGGAUUACAAUGGUCUUCCGAUUGCAUAUAACUGAAAAUAAAUAAUUUGAUUACAAAAUACUUUCCGAUAUGUCCCCAUAAUGUCUACUGUUUAUGUGAUGUUCUUUUUAGUAUUUAUGAAUACUCCCUUUGAAAUGGAGGCACAAGUUCAGCAUAGUUAUUUUUUUCUAUUCUAAUAUGGACAUACCAAGUUCAUAAAAACUAAAGGUUAAUGAUUUUUUACGUAGCUCUGGUUGCCCUUUUGGCAUAGCCCUAUAAUAAUGCUGCUGAUGGCCUUUGUCAAGUACCUAGAACAAACAUAAAUUGACUAAAUAUUUCUAUAAUUUGACAAUGAAGUGGUCUCUAGGCAUUUUUUUAAGCUGAACUAAUGCCACAUCGAACACAAUAAGAACAUGUUGAACAUGCUACCAGGGAAAUGUGUCAGUAGGUCAAUAAGAGGAAAUAAAACAAAAUCACAUGGUGCAUUCUUCUAUGUUUUUCAAUUCCAAUUCCUCUUAGAAGAAUAGUAAUUUGUGAACUGAAGCGAUGGACUGGUAAAUAAUCUUUUUGUGCAUGUUAAGAAUUAUCACGAGUAGGAAAAUUCCAUAAACUACUUUGCCAAUACUUACUCUUCUGGUUGAGAUUGGUAGAUGUCUACUUGAAAAAUUAUAAUGACUUAACGCAGUCAAACAGUGGACAAUUGCUCUGGUAGAAACUUGUGUUUCUGGAGCAUUACAGCAAGUCAUGAUUAAACGUACUGAUAGGACCUAUCUAUAGAAUAACAAAACAAACAAAUACAUUACUUAAGAUGAAAUUGUCACUUUUAGACUUUGCAUUACCAUGUCCACCUUAUGUGAGAUUAUAUACUAGGAUGGCCUUAACAUGCUUGUUACUGACAAACCAACUUUUGUUGUCACACUUACGAAUUGGUUUUAGGUCUCGCUACCUAAAGGCAACCAGGAGGCGUUGGCAUAUUCACCUCUCAGCCCGCUAGCACCACUAUGGGUUCCCCGUCCAAUAUUUUCGUGCGUCGUAGUGGUUUAAUCCAUAUGAAAGCAAGCAUGGUGGCAGCCUGAUAAGGCACUGGAUCAGGCAGGAGGUUGAGAUCGGUGGCGUAGUGGCGGGGCAAAGAGGCUUCAGCCGGAGCUUGGCAUCUGUUGCGGUGGGUGUCGUCGCUCGUGGUGAUGCAACCUGCUAAACAGUGUAACACAGGACAAGAUGUUGGACAACGGCCAUGGACUUGUGAUUAUCAUGGAAGAGAAAUAUACGGUAGAAUUUUUUUAGUUUAGGUUUGGGUUCGAGGCAGAUGCAACUUUUUCAAUCGUGCUGAAUCCCACAAUUAACUGUUUGAGUGUAUGGACUGCUGAUCUGAAGAGCAUAAUUAGUUGUUUGACCAAUACUUAACCAUGAAACUUUAUCAAGUUGAUCGGUAGCACAGGUAGUUGUGUCAGAAAUAUUUAAUGCCGAAUUGAGUGGAACUGUUUGGAGCUCGAGGUGUACUAUUUGUCGGGAAAAUAGUGUUGUGUAUAACUAUACGAUGGAUACAUCUACUAAAAUACUCCUUCCGUUCCUAAAUAUUUGUCUUUUUACAGAUUUUAAAUGGACUGCUACAUACGGAUGUAUAUAGACAUAUUUUAGAGUGAGAUUCACUGAUUUUGCUUUGUAUGUAGUCACUUGUUGAAAUCUCAAGAAAGACAAAUAUUUAAGAACGGAGGGAGUAGUAUUAAUAGCACAGUGAUGCAGUCUUGUACUCCCUCCGUCCCAAGAUAGGCUCACAUCGCAGAGAGAGAGAGAGCGAGAUAGAGAGAGAGAGAGCGAGCGAGCGAGAGAGAGAGAGAGAGAGAGAGAGAGAGAGAUGGGGUUCAAACAAGCAGAUUUAUCUGGUUGUUGAUACUACCCCAUAACUCAAUAGUCGGAUAUUGAUAAGAUAUGUAUGGAUGCGGCGGCUACUACGGCCACAUGUUGGGGGUGCGUAGCUGAUGGCCCCUUAUUGCAACCAUCUGGCCUUCAUUAGUGCAGACAAUUAAGAGUCAACGAAAGUAGUCUUUUCAAGUGAAUUUAAUGUUGGGUGUCCGCAAGCACAAACAAACCACACUUUACAAUGGGACGUGGAAGCUUGGAGAUGCUAUCACAGCCACAGCUCGUCGUCUUAAUCUGAACUAACUCCCUGGAGCUCGAUGGGAACAGCUACUCUAACUUCCUGUUUCUGAACACCAGCAGAAGCGACGGCGGCGCCGGAAACAGUCUUGUUCAUAAUCAUAAUACUCACAAAUAUGAAGCAGCUGAGCUGUUGUCGAGUUCAUAAACAUCAGUUCGGAAUUACAGGUUGGUGAAUGACAGUGAGCUUCCUGCCAACCACCCUGGCCAUCUGUCCAAGUGAAAGCAAUGGAUAGAUUAACAACUGCAUAUUCCUGCCUUUAUGAGACUAUUACGCUGGAAUCCCCAAAAGGACGGCAAAUGAAAUGACACAUUAUAAUUAAUCGCCAUGAUACUUGUAUGAUGCUCAGUAAGGACACGGCAACGAGGUGGUGAUUGUGAUCUUCUGGCUUCUCUCAUGGACCGAUACUCUUUAAUUGUUGUGAUGAUCAAGGCGGUGAUAUAUAUUUUUCACGACACCGCCGCAUCCACACAGCGCACCGCCCCCCAAUCGUAUGGUCCAUUAAUAAAUCCUACUUAUGAUCUAACAGAUGUGUUGCCUCUCAAAUUUUGCAUGUUUUUGGAGAACAUGUAGUCUCAGAAUCAAUACAACAAAAAAGAUGCCGCUGUUUACACGUUCCGUAAUAACCUUUACAUUUCUGAAAACUAGCAGCAAAGUGGCCCACGUAAAUGCACAUGUUUUAUAUAAAGUGAGACUCAUAUAAUUGGGAAUAGAUUCAGCUAUUUUGUUUUAUUAGCUUCGUAACUAUUAGUACAAAUCAAUCAUAUCCCAAAAAAAAUAGUGGUCACUGCCCAAAUCUGCUACAUCCUCCGUCCGGAAUUAGCUGAUGCUCACACGGAUAUCAAAGAAGACAUUUAGCUCAGACUGCUACAUUAACAAUCUUGAAAUUUUAUGUACAUUAGUUGUAUCUUAUAUUGACUGGAUUAUUUUUAAUUUACAUUUUGAAUUACAGUUAAGUUUGUAUUGUUUACUUAACUAUAAAAUUACUAUUGGACCUGGACCUUUUUACUAUUCAAUUAAAUUAUACUCCCUCCGUCUCAAAACAAGUGUCUCAACUUUGUACUAACUUUAGUAAAAAACUUGUACUAAACUUGAGACACUUAUUUUGGGACGGAGAGGGUAUAUGUGUGUAUGAUCGAUUUUGAUCCAAUAAACAUGAGAUAUACUCCCCCCGUUCCUAAAUAUAAGUCUUUCUAGAUAUUUCAAGUUGUGACCACAUACGGAGUAAAAUGAGUGAACCUACACUCUAAAAUAUGUCUAUAUACAUCCGUAUGUGGUAGUCCAUUUGAAAUCUCUAAAAAGACUUAUAUUUAGGAACGGAGGGAGUAUGUAUAUAUAUAUAGGAGUAGGAUUUUCUACAAUAGCUUGCCACAGAACUAGUUAAGGUUUUCGACGGUGUAAAAGUUUCCAAAAAUCCUGAAAAAAAUACUGAACUAACACACCUAUAAUAUAACAUGAUCCAACGGAGGGAUUGAAAAAAUAUGACUGCACAUGUCCUGGACAAAAAGAACAAAAUUUUCAAUAUAUAUUGGGUGAGUCUAUUAUGAUAACACCCCCUUAAGACCUUAUUCUGCUAACACUUCUACACUGCUUCGUACACCCGAGGCGGACCGCAUAGCAACCCGAUAAAACUACAGUAGCCCAAGCCCAACCCCGCACCCCACCUUCUUCCUUCCCCACAGGAACCCACCCCACAUGCCCACCUUCCCCACCACCACCAACACGCCGGCACCCCACCCACCUCUGCCGCCCCACCACCCCCACGCCUCCUACCCAGGCCGCCAUCCCCAUCCCCUGCGCCGCCCCGCCCAUCCCCAGGCCGCCACCGCACCGGCCAUCCCUAGGGCCCGCGCCGCCCANNNNNNNNNNNNNNNNNNNNNNNNNNNNNNNNNNNNNNNNNNNNNNNNNNNNNNNNNNNNNNNNNNNNNNNNNNNNNNNNNNNNNNNNNNNNNNNNNNNNNNNNNNNNNNNNNNNNNNNNNNNNNNNNNNNNNNNNNNNNNNNNNNNNNNNNNNNNNNNNNNNNNNNNNNNNNNNNNNNNNNNNNNNNNNNNNNNNNNNNNNNNNNNNNNNNNNNNNNNNNNNNNNNNNNNNNNNNNNNNNNNNNNNNNNNNNNNNNNNNNNNNNNNNNNNNNNNNNNNNNNNNNNNNNNNNNNNNNNNNNNNNNNNNNNNNNNNNNNNNNNNNNNNNNNNNNNNNNNNNNNNNNNNNNNNNNNNNNNNNNNNNNNNNNNNNNNNNNNNNNNNNNNNNNNNNNNNNNNNNNNNNNNNNNNNNNNNNNNNNNNNNNNNNNNNNNNNNNNNNNNNNNNNNNNNNNNNNNNNNNNNNNNNNNNNNNNNNNNNNNNNNNNNNNNNNNNNNNNNNNNNNNNNNNNNNNNNNNNNNNNNNNNNNNNNNNCACCCUCGAGCAGCAGACGGCGGGAUUCUCAUCCACAUCCCACCUCCCUCCCCCGCCUAGCCAUCUACCCGCCCCUGCAACUACUGGAUUCCGGCGGGAUCCUCCUCCCGUGACGGCCCGGCGACGCGACCAUUCCAAAAUAGAGGUGAGGCGUCCCCUCACGCCGGUCUCCAGCCCCCCUCCCCGCGCCGGCGCGCCCCGGUGGCUGCCGGAUCCGGGCGCCUCCAUCUUCCAAAGGUCGUCGGAUUUCCCCCUCACUCGUUUUCGUUGCCAGAUCCGCCUUUUGUCUCGCUCGUGGGCACCGACGGCCGCCGCGUCGACCAGGGGGGAAAAGGACUGCACCCCACUCCCUUCUGCAUCGAACUGCAUCUCCACCCGUAGAGUGCAUAUGCCCUGUCCUCAUCCAGAUCGAGGCCAUGGUGCCUCCCCCAAGAUCCUCGUCCAGAUUGGGGCCAUGACCGCGCGUGUGCCAAGAACAUAUCUCCUCCUUGCGAGGAGGACGGAUCCGGUGGUGGGCUCCUCCUCGUCUAGUUGGUGGCCAUGGACGGGAGACUCCGGCGACCACAUAACCCGCCACCACAUCGGCUCCCUCCUCCCCACCUUCGACAUCGGCCACCUCUGCUCUCCAAGAUAUCCACCCGAUGCAUCGCAUGCAGUCCACUCCCGCGAGAGAGCCCACACCACCGAAGACUGAAGUAGCAGCAGCAGUGGGGAGGUGGUCUCCUCCGUGGCGGCAACGACGACCGAUGGAAAGAGCAGUAGCGGAGCGAGCAGUCCACUUGGUUUUUGCGUUUUUUCUUCAGACUUUUGCUAUGCAGUCCGCACGUUCUUUCAUAGUUUUCAGGUUUUGCAAGCCGUGUCGGAGUCGAUCAAAGUGUGUGCAGUCCUCCACGAUCAAAAAUUGCAGUAUGGAAGUUCAAAAAAAAUUGCAGUAUGGAUUGAUGGGCUUGUGCGGUUCAAAAAAUGAAAAGAAAAAAACUCUUGGGCGCGCUUGGCUGGCCUAGGGCGGCAAGAAAAAAAUGUGUUUAAAAGGUUCAUGCAGUGCACUCUAUUUCUGUAAAUGACUUUAAAUGGUAUUUGCAGCUCACUUUGGUUUCCUGUCCGCAGCUCACUUUGGUUUCACUUGCCUAAGGCGCAGUGCAUUCGUUGCAGCUCACUCCAUUCUUGUUUGUUGAGGAGUUUGAAUAUGGACAUAGUUUGAAAAAUAUAAUGAAGCAGUACACUACCAUUGACUAUCAUCAAACACCUGUUGUGCAUUUGGUUCUCGAUGUCAUUCACUUUGGAAAGUGAUACUGUUCCCUUGCGCACAACAUUGAAGUGUGAAAAUAGAUUAGUAAAACAAAAAAAAGCAAUGCGGUUCACUUCGUUAUAUGUCGCGGUCCACUUGCCCUCGUCUCUGCGGUCCACUUUCGUUCAUAAAAAAUGACAAAAAAAACUCACAAAAGAUCAUCUGAGAAAAUUUACGCCCGACAAAACAAAUCAUGAAGUUCACUUGACUGUCUGAUACAGUGCGGUUUUCUGUCCGAUGCGGUGCGAUUCACUUUCUCGUCCCUUGAAAAAUUUACGUUUGAAUAAAAGAAACCAGGCAGUUCUUUUACCCGUUUGAUGCAGUGCGGGUUUUCAUCCGAUGCAGUGCGGUUUUCAAUCGGCUGAAGUACCCACGUCGAUUUGGGUGUCGCGAAAAACAGAGUGCCCGCAUUUUGGUAAUUUGAAAACUGCUCUUAAACCAUAAUGAAUUAGAGAGAGUGUUCUACAUGAAAAAGUUGCGUCUCGUCGAUAUCUUUCCAACGGCAUAUGAUUUGAAUUACUCCGACCAGCCGUUCGUAAAAAUUUCGCGAAAAAACAGCCGCUGCCUCUCGAAGUCAACCGCACGAUUUUCAAAAUUAACUAAAAAUUGUAAGGAAUCUCAAAACCAUUUCAACAUAUGAAAGUUGCACCUUGUCCGUAGCUUUCCAACGGCGUAUCAUAUGUCUCGUUUCGACAAACGGUUAGAAAACUAGAGCAAAAACAGUAUCGAAAAUUUCAAAAAAAUUGAAAAACAGAGUUCCGCAAUUUAGUAAAUUUGAAACUGCUCUUAAACCGUAAUGAAUUAGAGAAAGAUUUAUAUAUGAAAAAGAUGCGCCUCGACAAUAUCUAUCUAACGGCAUAUCAUUUGCUUCGUUCCAUCAAGCGGUUUAGAAAAGAACGCGAAACAACGCUCGCUGCCACUUGUCAUCCGCCACACUAUUUUCAAAACUGCUCUCAAACCGUGUGGAAUCUCGAAGAGUGUUCAAUAUGUCGAAGUUGCGCCUAAUUCAUAGCUUUUUAAUGGUAUAUUACACGCCUCAUUCCGAUAAACGGUUAAAAAAUUAGAGCGAAAACAGUACCAAAAAAACACCGCGUGCAAUUUUUUCGACACGAAGUUCACUAGUCUCUAUUGCAGUGCUCGUCGUCAAAAUGAUGCCGUGCGCUUCUGUUGAGCGUGCAGUGCCGAAGUGGUGUGCAGAAUAGUUAUUCUGCUAAUAUUAGCAGAAUAGACCGUCUGUGUAUAUAUAUAUAUAUAUAUAUAUAUAUAUAUAUAUAUAUAUAUAUAUAUAUAUAUAUAGUGUUACUAUUCAUCAUCCAGGGUGCAGAAAAAGUUAUUCUUCACCCGAGGUAAUCUUACGAUCAUUUCAUAAAUAAAUUAUGUUUCAAAUAUAAAUAGUUACAGUCAUAUUGAUUCAUUGUGUAAAAUUUGGCAUAAAAAAAGUCAGAAUACCUGAAAAAAUAUAUUUAUGUACAUUUUACACUAUGUUUUUACAUUUGUAAUUUACGUAAUAUAAAAUAUUUUUUAUAGCAAUUAUAUAUUUUCUUACGUUCUCUUUUACGUCUGAAAUAAGAUAAAAUUUACGAAACGUAAAAUUACGGUGCAUUGAUGUUAAAAUAGAGGGGGGUGAAGAAUAACUAUUCCUCACCCAGCGUGGCGAAUAGCGUGACCAUAACCUAUCUAUUCCACAACCUAUACAAUGGGGACUUAUUGUCGUCUGAGAAGUUAAAUGGGUAUAGAAUUCAACUCCAAAUCAUGAGUUGGCGAUAAUUUGUACAUGAUAUUAGUUUGAUAUGUAAAUUUUCACUACUAGGAAAAAGCCUAGUAGUAGCGCGGGUCAAACAGAUAGUAGUAGCGCGGAUGCCCGCACUACUACUACGACGCCACAGCUAAGUGGUAGUUGUAGCGCGGCGCAUCCCGCGCUACUAGUAUGUGCGUUAGUAGUAGCGUGGAUUCCACACGUGCUACUACUAACUAUCUGUAGCGCGUGUCUGUGACCCGCGCUACUACUAUUAAUUUCAAAAACCAAAACAAUAAUCCAACCUUGCGCAUGCUGUCAAUGGUGUCAAUGAUUCGAUCCAGCGACGACAAGGAGUCGCCGUCGUCGGAGGUGCGUACGGGUAGCGGCAGACCAGAUCCAGCAACGGCAGUUGGAGAGGGACCGGUUCUAGUGUAGAGAAAGACGACGGUGUGAGGAUCCUCUUUGUGGCCAAGGCGGAGAGCUCCUGGUUGGCCAUGUCAACGACGUGCGCUGGCAUGGGUAUGGGAGGUGAGUACAACCGAAGGGAGAGGGAAAGGGAAAAAGAGAAACAAGGGAGAAAGGAAGGAGAUGGAGGGCGCAUCGGGGCUGGUCACCGGCGGCGAGGUGCUCUGUUGUGGUGGCAUGGAGACGAGGGGGAAGACAGGCGAGCUCCUGGACGCCAGUGACACCAGUAGGCAGACUCGUUGGCCGCCAUGGAGGAGGAGAUGUGCUUGGGCAGGAGCACCAUGGGAGAGCCUAUGAAGAGAGGGGGGGGAGAGUGAGGGAGAGAGAGGAGGGAUUCGGCCGAGGAUAUGGGGACUUCACCUACCUCGUACUUAGUAGUAGCGAGGGGUAUAAACCCGCUCUACUACUAUCAACUUAGUAGUAGUGCGGGUUUGUACCCCUCGCUACUACUAUGGCAUGUCCCGGAGUGGCACGGUAGAGACCGCAUAGUAGUAGCGCGGGGUAAAAACCCGCGAUACUAGUAAGUAGCAGUACCGAGGGGUAUAAACCCGCGCUACUAGUAAGCGUCUGCCUAUAAGCUUUUCCCUAGUAGUGUUUUACAAGAUAUUCGCAAGUCAUUAACUUUAGCAGAAGAAGUUUAACUAAUACAUUAUAUGUUUUAUGAUGGUUUGGGCAUUUGGAAUCUAGAUAUUACAAUAUGAUUCCCAAUGUAAAAAACUGAAUUAAAUAAUUUUAGUACGCCCUAUUUUCAGAUAGAUUCCCAUAAGGCCUUGUACAAUGCAAGGUGCUUAAGGGAGGUGCUUGAGGAAAUAAACCAAGAUUUUUUUAAGCACCGGUGCUUAUUUGUAUAGGGUAGAAGCUUAAUUAGGUGUCUCUCCUGUAAAAAUAGGCACUGGUGCUUCAGAAAAACCUGGUUUAUUUUUCUAAGCACCUCCCUAAGCACCUAGCAUUCUAUAAGGCCUAAUGUCUUUGGUUUGAGUGAGGUUGUUUUUAGUUUUAAUUAUGCUCCUUUUAAAAUUGAACAUACUGACCUUUUUCUGUUCUAAUAUGGACAUACCAAGUUCCUAAAGAUCAAAAGUUAAAGAAUUUUUACGUAGCUCUGGUUGCCCUUUUGACAUACACCAAUAUUACUAUUGGUAAUCACUACUAGGGAAAAACCUAUACACAGAAUCUUAUCAGCAGCGCGCUUUAAAAUAAGGCGCUGCUGCUAAUUAGCAGUAGCGAGCUCAAGAAUAACUCGCUGCUGAAAUAAAUAUAGCAGUAGCGCAUAUCGUGGUUCUUAGCCUGACAGUAGAAUAGGGGGGGGGUAGGUAUGGAGAGGCAAGAUCCUAGCUAUGGAGUAGUUGUAUAUGCAAGAGAUUUAUGAGUUCAGGCCCUUCUCGGAGGAAGUAACAGCCAUACGUCUCGGAGCCCGGAGGCGGUCGACUGAAUUAUAUGCGUAUGAGUUACAGGGGUGCGAACCCUUUUCACUGAGGAGGGGGGUGGCUUAUAUAGAGUCUGCCAGACCCCUCCUGCCCUCAGUUAUGCAGGGUUUAAAGUACAUUAAGGCAUGGCGUUACUGGUAACGCCUUACAUAAAGUGCUAUCAUGACCAUAAAGACUACUUAAUGACAGACCGUUUGUGUGUAGAGUGACUCUAGAUCUCCUGGUGGUCGAGUGAGUGGCUUCAUGGUCGAGUGUCUUCGAGUCUGUCGAGUGGAAUCCUUCCAGGUCGACUGAAUGGUAGUUUCUUCUAGAGAUGUCCUUGGGGAGGGUACCUUGGACAGGUCCAUGACCCUACCCUAGGUACAUGGCUUCAUCAUUAGCCCCCGAAUGGAUCGAGGUUUGAGUGAGGAAGGAGUUGAGAAUUCUUCCGACCUAUUUUUCGUGCUAUGAGUAUGUCUUGUUCUGGAUAAAUGACUUUAGGUGAUGGCACCAACUUCUUUUUCAGUCUCCUUGAUCCAUUCUUUGUAUCUGUCGAGUGACUUGUCAGACUGAAGAUUUCCUUCGAUCGACCUUACUUGAACAGGAUCUGUUCUAUAGCUCGUACCGCUGCAUCCUUUCCCAAUAAGGAGGCAAACACUUCAGUCUGGUUGAUGUACUCUGACCUCUGGGCCAGAGCGUGAUUAACGGCUAGGAUUGCUCUACUGUUCGCAAAUUUAGCAGGAUCUGAAUUUCGGGAAGCGCGCGAGGCGGAGGAGGCCACGGUACUCGGAUGGGAUAAGGCAGGAACGCCUCGAUCUUCGCGCCACCCUUUUCGCCACGUAUCGCGUGCGCAGCUAUUGCGGGAUUUGACAGGAUCGUCCGGGCCUACCAGUCAGCCACUCGGAAGUAACCCCAUAUAAGGCGCCGGAUGGGGGUUUUUGAACAGUGCGCCCUCAUUUUCUUCUCCCUCUUCGUCAGAUUCAUCUGCUGCGCUCGCCACCAUCCCAGCGCUGCUGCUCUGCGCGUGCUUCGCCGGCGACGAUGGUGAAGGAGAAGACGGCGGCUUUGGAGCGGGCGAAGAAGGUGACGGCGAAGGUGAAGGGAAGGGCGACCAGUCGGGGUGGAUCCUCGUCGCGGGCCGGUCUGCCGCAGGGCUGGAUCCAGGGCGACUGGAUCCGCUCGACCAUCCGCCAGAAGGACCUCGACGACCUGGCCAAUGAAGGACUGAUCCCCCAUGGAUCAGUGAGGCUCCGGGGGAAGGAGUGGCAGCCGCAGCCUCAGGGGGGUGAGUGUGUCCUCUUGGCCACCCAUGUUGACCGCGGAUUUUCUUUGCCGCCCCACCCUUUCUUUCGAGGAUUUCUGAACUUCUUUGGGGCUCAACUCCACCACUUCACACCCAACUCCAUAGUAUAUCUCGCAGCUUUCGUGACCUUGUGUGAGAAUUUCUUGGGUUGUCGACCCCAUUGGGGCCUUUUCAAACACAUUUUCACCUGUCGCUCCCAUACAGUGAAAAAGGCCAAUUCGAUUGACGAGAAAACCCAAGUGAUUCAGAUGUGUGUGGGUCUUGGGGUUCAAAUGAGGAGUAAAAGUGCUUUUCCAGCCAUGGUCCUUCCUGAGUCGGUCCGAGGGUGGCAGUCGACCUGGUUCUACUGCCAAGACCCGCCGUCGCCAGGGCAGUCGACUGGACUCCCUCCUUUCUCCAUGGAUCGAGUGAGCAAGCCGUCCUCUCUGAAGGUGGUCCCGGAGGAGAAGGCUCAGGUCAAGGUGCUGGUCGAGCGAGUAGUCCAGCUCAUUCGUGACGGGGUGACAGGCAUGGAUCUUUUGGAGGUUUUCCUUCGACGACGCAUCCAACCACUUCAAUAUCGAGACCAUCCGAUGUGGAUGUAUUCUGGCACUGAAGAUUCCACUCGAGUCCACCCGGAGGAGGUCGAGGAUGCCACACUGGAGAGGUGGAUGACUGCCAUCACAGGGAACAAGGACAACCCCCGAGGAGCCAGGAGGAUCCCUCCACUCGACCAAUCAUACGAGCCAGACAAGGUCCAAUUAUAAAUCUCCGACUGUGAUACUGCUUCCGUCAUUCUGUUUUGCUAAAAUUCAGUCGACUGACUUCUUGUAUUGUUUGUUGACUUCUAGGCCACUACUGAAAUGUACUCGAUGCCGAACGGGGCGCAAGAACAGAUCGAGGAGGAGGAAGGGAGUGGAGGUGAAAGUCAGGAGGAAUGACAAUCUGAUGGUGAGGAGGAUGAAGAAGACGACGGCUCUGGUGAAGAGGAGGAGGAGGAAGAGGAGGAGGAAAUCGUCCCUCCCCGCACUGAAAGGUGAUCCAAACUCGCCCAUGACCCUGUAGUCGAGCGUGGCAAAGCGAUUGUGCUUGUUGGACAGUCGACGAAACGCCCUCGGACGACCUCUCCGGUGCCGACUGAGAAAGCGCCGAAGCAACUCCGAGCAACGUCAUCAAAGCCGUCGAAGGCCCUACUGAAGAUGAGGAUGGUGAUUCCCACUAUUUCCUUGUAAUAACAGGACUCGUGUUUUCUUGUUUGGCAUGAAUGAACUCUUGAUUGACUCGUUGGCUAACCGACUGAUUUCUGGAAUCUGCAGUGCUGCUACCUCUGAAACCUCAGUCAGGAACGAGCACCAAGAAAUGGAAGAUGUUGUCACUUCCAACCCUGGUAUGAUCUCUAUAGUUUCGCUUUUGGUCGAUUGGAUCUUCAUUUUUAACUUUGAAUCUUCCCUGUAGCCCCACCUCCUGUCAUUGAACUCCCUGAUGACGACGAUGAGUGUUGGGGAACGUAGUAAUUUCAAAAACAUUCCUACGCACACGAAAGAUCAUCGUGAUGCAUAGCAACGAGAGGGGAGAGUGUUGUCUACGUACCCUCGUAGACCGAAGUGGAAGCUUUGACACAACAUAGAGGAAGUAGUCGUACGUCUUCCCGGUUCAACCGAUCCAAGCAUCGUUACUCCGGCACCUCCGAGUUCUUGACACACGUACAGCUCGAUGACGCACCCCGGGCUCCGAUCCAGCAGAGCUUCAGGGAGGAGUUUCGUCAGCACGACGGUGUGGUGACGAUCUUGAUGUUCUACCGUCGCAAGGCUUCGCCUAAGCACCGCUACAAUAUGACCGAGCUGUAAUAUCGUGGAGGGGGCACCGCACACGGCUAAGGAACUAUCAUGAAGAUCAACUUGUGUGUCUAUGGGGUGCCCCCUGCCCCCGUAUAUAAAGGAGUGGAGGAGGGGAGGGCCGGCCCUCUCUAUGGCGCGCCCUAGGGGAGUCCUACUCCCACCGGGAGUAGGAUUCCCCCUUUCCUAGUCCAACUAGGAGUCCUUCCAUGUAUUAGGAGUAGGAGACAAGGAAGGGGAAGAGAGAAGGGAAGGAAGGAGGGGGUGCGGCCCCUCCCCCUAGUCCAAUUCGGACUAAGCCAUGGGGGGGCGCGCAGCCUGCCCUAGGCAGCCCAUCUCUCUUUCCCGUAUGGCCCAAUAAGGCCCAAUACUUCUCCCCGGCGACUUCCCAUAACUCUCCGGUACUCCAAUAAAUACCCGAAUCACUCGGAACCUUUCCGAACUCUGAAUAUAGUCGUCCAAUAUAUCGAUCUUUACAUCUCGACCAUUUCGAGACUCCUCGUCAUGUCCCCGAUCUCAUCCGGGACUCCGAACUCCUUCGGUACAUCAAAACUCAUAAACUCAUAAUAAAACUGUCAUCGAAACCUUAAGCGUGCGGACCCUACGGUUCGAGAACAAUGUAGACAUGACCGAGAGACGUCUCCGGUCAAUAACCAAUAGCGGGACCUGGAUGCCCAUAUUGGUUCCUACAUAUUCUACGAAGAUCUUUAUCGGUCAGACCGCAUAACAACAUACAUUGUUCCCUUUAUCAUCGGUAUGUUACUUGCCCGAGAUUCGAUCGUCGGUAUCCAAUACCUAGUUCAAUCUCGUUACCGGCAAGUCUCUUUACUCAUUCCGUAAUACAUCAUCUCAUAACAAACUCAUUAGUUGCAAUGCUUGCAAGGCUUAAGUGAUGUGCAUUACCGAGAGGGCCCAGAGAUACCUCUCCGACAUUCAGAGUGACAAAUCCUAAUCUCGAAAUACGCCAACCCAACAAGUACCUUUGGAGACAUUUGUAGAGCACCUUUAUAGUCACCCAGUUACGUUGUGACGUUUGGUAGCACACAAAGUGUUCCUCCGGUAAACGGGAUUUGCAUAAUCUCAUAGUCAUAGGAACAUGUAUAAGUCAUGAAGAAAGCAAUAGCAACAUACUAAACGAUCGGGUGCUAAGCUAACUGAAUGGGUCAUGUCAAUCACAUCAUUCUCCUAAUGAUGUGAUCCCGUUAAUCAAAUGACAACUCAUGUCUAUGGCUAGGAAACAUAACCAUCUUUGAUUAACGAGCUAGUCAAGUAGAGGCAUACUAGUGACACUCUGUUUGUCUAUGUAUUCACACAUGUAUCAUGUUGCCGAUUAAUACAAUUCUAGCAUGAAUAAUAAACAAUUAUCAUGAAAUAAGGAAAUAAAUAAUAACUUUAUUAUUGCCUCUAGGGCAUAUUUCCUUCAGUCUCCCACUUGCACUAGAGUCAAUAAUCUUGAUCACAUCACAAUGUGAUUAACAUCGAUAGUUCACAUCAUCAUGUGAUUAAGACCCAUAGUUCACAUCGCCAUGUGACCAACACCCAAAGGGUUUACUAGAUUCAGUAAUCUAGUUCACAUCGCUAUGUGAUUAACACCCGAAGAGUACUAAGGUGUGAUCAUGUUUUGCUUGUGAGAGAAUCUUAGUCAACGGGUCUUUCACAUUCAGAUCCGUUAUGUAUUUUGCAAUUUUCUAUGUCUACAAUGCUCUGCACGGAGCUACUCUAGCUAAUUGCUCCCACUUUCAAUAUGUAUCUAGAUCGAGACUUAGAGUCAUCCAGAUCGGUGUCAAAAAUUGCAUCGACGUAACCCUUUACGACGAACCUUUUGUCACUUCCAUAAUUGAGAAACAUAUCCUUAUUCCACUAAGGAUAAUUUUGACCGCUGUCCAGUGAUCUACUCCUAGAUCACUAUUGUACUCCCUUGCCAAACUCAGUGUAGGGUAUACAAUAGAUCUGGUACACAGCAUGGCAUACUUUAUAGAACCUAUGGCCAAGGCCUAGGGAAUGACUUUCAUUCUCUUUCUAUCUUCUGCCGUGGUCGAGUUUUGAGUCUUACUCAAUUUCACACCUUGUAACACAGGCAAGAACUCUUUCUUUGACUGUUCCAUUUUGAACUACUUCAAAAUCUUGUCAAGGUAUGUACUCAUUGAAAAAACUUAUCAAGCGUCUUGAUCUAUCUCUAUAGAUCUUGAUGCUCAAUAUGCAAGCAGCUUCAAUGAGGUCUUUCUUUGAAAAACUCCUUUCAAACACUCCUUCAUGCUUUGCAGAAUAAUUCUACAUUAUUUCCGAUCUACAAUAUGUCAUUCACAUAUACUUAUCAGAAAUGUUGUAGUGCUCCCACUCACUUUCUAGUAAAUACAGGCUUGACCUCAAGUCUGUAUAAAACUAUAUGCUUUCAUCAACUUAUCAAAGCGUAUAUUCCAACUCCGAGAUGCUUGCACCAGUCCAUAGAUGGAUCGCUGGAGCUUGCGUAUUUUGUCACCACCUUUAGGAUUGACAAUACCUUCUGGUUGCAUCAUAUACAACUCUUCUUUAAAUCCAUUAAGGAAUGUAGUUUUUGUUUAUCCAUUUGCCAGAUUUCAUAAAAACGCGGCAAUUGCUAACAUGAUUUGGACAGAUUUAAGCAUCGCUACGAGUGAGAAAAUUUCAUCGUAGUCAACACCUUGAACUUUGUCAAAAACUUUUUUCGACAAGUCUAGCUUUGUAGAUAGUAACACUACUAUCAACGUCCGUCUUCCUCUUCAAGAUCCAUUUAUACAAUAUGGCUUGCCGAUCAUCGGGCAACUCCACCAAAGUCCACACUUUGUUCUCAUACAUGGAUCUCAUCUCAGAUUUCAUGACCUUAAGCCAUUUUGCAGAAUCUGGGCUCAUCAUCGCUUCCUCAUAGUUUGUAGGUUCAUCAUGGUCUAGUAACAUGACUUCCAGAACAGGGUUACCGUACCACUCUGGUGCGGACCGUACUCUGGAAGACCUAUGAGGUUCUGUAGUAACUUGAUCUGAAGUUUCAUGAUCAUCAUCAUUAGCUUCCUCACUGGAACUGAUUUCAGUGAUGAACAAUUUUCCAAUUCGGGAGAAGGUACAGUUACCUCAUCAAGUUCUACUUUUCUCCCACUCACUUCUUUCGAGAGAAACUCCUUCUCUAGAAAGGAUCCAUUUUUAGCAACGAAUAUCUUGCCUUUGGAUCUGUGAUAGAAGGUGUACCCAACAAUUUCCUUUGGGUAUUCUAUGAAGAUGCAUUUCUUCGAUUUGGGUUUGAGCGUAUCAGGAUGAAACUUUUUCACAUAAGCAUUACAACCCCAAACUUUAAGAAACGACAACUUUGGUUUCUUGCUAAACCACAGUUCAUAUAGUGUCGUCUCAACGGAUUUAGAUGGUGCCAUAUUUAACGUGAAUGCAGCUGUCUCUAAUGCAUGAUCCCAAAAUGAUAUUGGUAAAUCGGUAAGAAACAUCAUAGAUUGUACUACAUCCAGUAAAGUACGGUUAUGAUGUUCGGACACACCAUUAUGAUGUGGUGUUUCAGGUGGCAUGAAUUUGUGAAACUAUUCCACAUUGUUUGAAGACCAAACUCGUAACUCAAAUAUUUAUCUCCGCGAUCAGAUCGUAGAAACCUUAUUUCCUUGUCACGAUGAUGUUUUACUCUGAAAUUCUUUGAACUUUUCAAAUGUUUCAGACUUAUGUUUCAUCAAGUAGAUAUACCCAUAUCUGCUCAAAUCAUCUGUGAAGGUCAGAAAAUAACGAUACCCACCGCGAGCCUUAACACUCAUCGGAUCGCAUACAUCAGUAUGUAUUAUUUCCAAUAAGUCAGUUGCUCUCUCCACUGUUCCGGAGAAUGGAGUCUUAGUCAUCUUGCCCAUGAGGCAUGGUUUGCAAGUAUCAAGUGAUUCAUAAUCAAGUGAUUCCAAAAUCCCAUCAGCAUGGAGUUUCUUCAUGCGCUUUACACCAAUAUGACCUAAACGACAGUGCCACAAAUAAGCUGCACUAUCAUUAUUAACUUUGCAUCUUUUGGUUUCAAUAUUAUGAAUAUGUGUAUCACUACGAUCGAGAUCCAAUGAACCAUUUUCAUUGGGUGUGUAACCAUAUAAGGUUUUAUUCAUGUAAACAGAACAACAGUUUAUUCUAUUACUUCAAUGAAUAACCGUAUUGCAAUAAACAUGAUCAAAUCAUAUUCAUGCUCAAAGCAAACACCAAAUAACAUUUAUUUAGGUUCAACACUAAUCCCGAAAGUAUAGGGAGUGUGCGAUGAUGAUCAUAUCAAUCUUGAAACUACUUUCAACAUACAUCGUCACUUCACCCUUAACUAGUUUCUGUUUAUUCUGCAACUCCCGUUUCAAGUUACUACUCUUAGCAACUGAACCAGUACCAAAUACCGAGGGGUUGCUAUAAACACUAGUAAAGUACACAUCAAUAACAUGUAUAUCAAAUAUACCUUUGUUCACUGUGCCAUCCUUCUUAUCCGCCAAAUACUUGGGGUAGUUGUGCUUCCAGUGACCAGUCCCUUUGCAGUAGAAGCACUUAGUCUCAGGCUUAGGUCCAGACUUGGGCUUCUUCACUUGAGCAGCAACUUGAUUGCCGUUCUUCUUGAAGUUCCCUUCUAUCCCUUUGCCCUUUUCUUGAAACUAGUGGUCUUGUUAACCAUCAACACUUGAUGUUCUUUCUUGAUUUCUACCUUCAUCGAUUUCAUCAUCAUGAAAAACUCCGGAAUCAUUUUCAUCAUCCCUUGCAUACUAUAGUUCAUCACAAAGUUCUACUAACUUGGUGAUGGUGACUAGAGAAUUCUGCCAAUCACUAUCUUAUCUGGAAGAUUAACUCCCACUUGAUUCAAGCGAUUGUAGUACCCAGACAAUCUGAGCACAUGCUCACUAGUUGAGUGAUUCUCCUCCAUCUUUUAGCUAUAGAACUUGUUGGAGACUUCAUAUCUCUCAACUCGGGUAUUUGCUUGAAAUAUUAACUUCAACUCCUGGAACAUCUCAUAUGGUCCAUGACGUUCAAAAUGUCUUUGAAGUCAUGAUUCUAAGCCGUUAAGCAUGGUGCACUUAAACUAUCAAGUAGUGAUCAUAUUGAGCUAGCCAAACAUUCAUAACAUCUGCAUCUGCUCCUACAAUAAGUCUGUCACCUAGCGGUGCAUCCAGGACAUAAUUCUUCUGUGCAGCAAUGAGGAUAAACCUCAGAUCACGGAUCCAAUCCGCAUCAUUGCUACUAACAUCUUUCAACACAAUUUUCUCUAGGAACAUAUCAAAAUAAACAUAUGAAAGCAACAACGCGAGCUAUUGAUCUAUAACAUAAUUUGCAAAAUACUAUCAGGACUAAGUUCAUGAUAAAUUUAAGUUCAAUUAAUCAUAUUACUUAAGAACUCUCACUUAGAUAGACAUCCCUCUAAUCCUCUAAGUGAUCACGUGAUCCAAAUUCAACUAAACCAUAACCGAUCAUGACGUGAAAUGGAUUAGUUUUCAAUGCUGAACAUCUCAUGUUGAUCAUAUCUACUAUAUGAUUCACGCUCGACCUUUCGGUCUCUGUGUUCCGAGGCCAUAUCUGCAUAUGCUAGGCUCGUCAAGUUUAACCUGAGUAUUCCGCGUGUGCAAAACUGGCUUGCACCCGUUGUAGAUGGACAUAGAGCUUAUCACACCCGAUCAUCACGUGGUGUCUGGGCACAACGAACUUUGGCAACGGUGCAUACUCAGGGAGAACACUUCUUGAUAAUUUUAGUGAGAGAUCAUCUUAAAAUGCUACCGUCAAUCAAAGCAAGAUAAGAUGCAUACAGGACAAACAUCACAUGCAAUCAAUAUAAGUGAUAUGAUAUGGCCAUCAUCAUCGUGUGCUUGUGAUCUCCAUCUCCGAAGCACCAUCAUGAUCACCAUCGUCACCGGCUUGACACCUUGAUCUCCAUCGUAGCAUCGUUGUCGUUUACGCCAUCUAUUGCUUCUACGACUAUCGCUACCGCUUAGUGAUAAAGUAAAGCAAUUACAGGGCGUUUGCAUUUCAUACAAUAAAGCGACAACCAUAUGGCUCCUGCCAGUUGCCGAUAACUUCGGUUACAAAACAUGAUCAUCUCAUACAAUAAAAUAUAGCAUCACGUCUUGGCCAUAUCAAAUCACAACAUGCCCUGCAAAAACAAGUUAGACGUCCUCUACUUUGUUGUUGCAAGUUUUACGUGGCUGCUACGGGGUGAGCAAGAACCGUUCUUACCUACGCAUCAAAACCACAAUGAUAGUUUGUCAAGUUGGUGCUGUUUUAACCUUCGCAAGGACCGGGCGUAGCCACACUCGGUUCAACUAAAGUUGGACAAACUGACACCCGCUAGUCACCUGUGUGCAUAGCACGGCGGUAAAACCAGUCUCGCGUAAGCGUACGCGUAAUGUCGGUCCGGGACGCUUCAUCCAACAAUACCGCCGAACCAAAGUACGACAUGCUGGUAAGCAGUAUGACUUGUAUCGCCCAUAACUCACUUGUGUUCUACUCGUGCAUAUAAUAUCAAACCAUAAAACCUGGCUCGGAUGCCACGGUUGGGGAACGUAGUAAUUUCAAAAAAAAUCCUAUGCACACGCAAGAUCAUGGUGAUGCAUAGCAACGAGAGGGGAGAGUGUUGUCUACGUACCCUCGUAGACCGAAGUGGAAGCGUUGACACAACAUAGAGGAAGUAGUCGUACGUCUUCCCGGUUCAACCGAUCCAAGCACCGUUACUCCGGCACCUCCGAGUUCUUGACACACGUACAGCUCGAUGACGCACCCGGGCUCCGAUCCAGCAAAGCUUCAGGGAGGAGUUUCGUCAGCACGACGGCGUGGUGACGAUCUUGAUGUUCUACCGUCGCAGGGCUUCGCCUAAGCACCGCUACAAUAUGACCGAGGUGUAAUAUCGUGAGGGGGGCACCGCACACGGCUAAGGAACGAUCACGAAGAUCAACUUGUGUGUCUAUGGGGUGCCCCCUGCCCCCGUAUAUAAAGGAGUGGAGGAGGGGAGGGCCGGCCCUCUCUAUGGCCCGCCCUAGGGGACUCCUACUCCCACCUAGAGUAGGAUUCCCCCUUUCCUAGUCCAACUAGGAGUCCUUCCAUGUAUUAGGAGUAGGAGACAAGGAAGGGGAAGAGAGAAGGGAAGGAAGGAGGGGGUGCGGCCCCUCCCCCUAGUCCAAUUCGGACUAAGCCAUGGGGGGGAGGGGCGCGGCCUGCCCUAGGCAGCCCAUCUCUCUUUCCCGUAUGGCCCAAUAAGGCCCAAUACUUCUCCACGGCGAAUUCCCGUAACUCUCCGGUACUCCGAUAAAUACCCGAAUCACUCAGAACCUUUCCGAACUCUGAAUAUAGUCGUCCAAUAUAUCGAUCUUUAUGUCUCGACCAUUUCGAGACUCCUCGUCAUGUCCCCGAUCUCAUCCGGGACUCCGAACUCCUUCGGUACAUCAAAACUUAUAAACUCAUAAUAAAACUGUCAUCGAAACCUUAAGCGUGCGGACCCUACGGUUCGAGAACAAUGUAGACAUGACCGAGACACGUCUCCGGUCAAGAACCAAUAGCGGGACCUGGAUGCCCAUAUUGGUUCCUACAUAUUCUACGAAGAUCUUUACGGUCAGACCGCAUAACAACAUAAGUUGUUCCCUUUGUCAUCGGUAUGUUACUUGCCCAAGAUUCGAUCGUCGGUAUCCAAUACCUAGUUCAAUCUCAUUACCGGCAAGUCUCUUUACUCGUUCUGUAAUACAUCAUCUUGCAACUAACUCAUUAGUUGCAAUGCUUGCAAGGCUUAAGUGAUGUGCAUUAUCGAGAGGGCCCAGAGAUACCUCUGCGACAUUCGGAGUGACAAAUCUUAAUCUCGAAAUACGCCAACCCAACAAGUACCUUUGGAGGCACCUGUAGAGCACCUUUAUAAUCACCCAGUUACGUUGUGACGUUUGGUAGCACACAAAGUGUUCCUCCGAUAAACGGGAGUUGCAUAAUCUCAUAGUCAUAGGAACAUGUAUAAGUCAUGAAGAAAGCAAUAGCAACAUACUAAACGAUCAGGUGCUAAGCUAACUGAAUGGGUCAUGUCAAUCACAUCAUUCUCCUAAUGAUGUGAUCCCGUUAAUCAAAUGACAACUCAUGUCUAUGGCUAGGAAACAUAACCAUCUUUGAUUAACGAGCUAGUCAAGUAGAGGCAUACUAGUGACACUCUGUUUGUCUAUGUAUUCACACAUGUAUCAUGUUUCUGAUUAAUACAAUUCUAGCAUGAAUAAUAAACAAUUAUCAUGAAAUAAGGAAAUAAAUGAUAACUUUAUUAUUGCCUCUAGGGCAUAUUUCCUUCAAUGAGGAGCCACUGAGGCAUAGGAGGAACAAAAAGGCAUCUGCUGGCAAGACUGCUCAGGUCGUAUCAGCACCUGAGAUGUUGGCUCCGGAGGGAGGCAACGUCACUCGGACUACCAUAUCCUUUGCUAUGCCGCUGACGAGUGCUCGCCCUUCGUCGUCGAGUGCUGAUCCUCCUUCCCUUUUCGCCACACACCACGUCCCAGAGGACCAACCAGGUGCUGCUAAGGAAGCUAUACGCUAGGCGGGGGUCAUGAUGGAGAAGGUGAAGGCGAUCCGAGACGCCAGCCAAGCAGCUUAUGAUGCAAGCUCAGCUCUUCAGAGCAAUGUCCAGGUUAGUUGAUCACCGCUUGUUCUGUUAGGAUAUGGUACCUGAAAACUCUUCUUUCUGAAGAUCUUAGUAUCUGGACACCCACUGGGUGUGUCGGUUGACUCUUUGGAUUGGUGGGGGCACGCUGAGUGCACCCACUGGGUGUAGUCCCCGAGACUAUGGUGGACUGCUGGCAGUCGAGUGUAGUCUCUAUACUUUGAAUUUGUUCACUCUAAGUUCUCCACUCGAUCUGGUCGAGUGAAAUCUUGGAGCCAGUGGGGGCACGUUGAGUGCACCCACUGGGUGUAGUCCCCGAGACCAUGGUCUACUGCUGGCAGUCGACUAUGGUCUGAAGAACAUCUUCUUCUUUUUUUUUGGCUGACUGCUGUCAGUUAGCUAUGGUUUAGGAUCAUAACUUUCUGUCUCUUUCGGUCGACUGAUCGAACUGAGUCGGUAGAACCAGUGGGGGCACGCUGAGUGCACCCACUGGGUGUAGUCCCCGAGACUACAGUUGAAUAUUUUGAUUCGGCUGUACUCUUAGAAAUGCUACGAUUUUUCUAUUAGUCACUCGAAAGUGACCUAUCUUUGAUGACUGUCGACUGAUCUUUCGCAGAAAUCUUGCGAGCUCAUGGCUCGUUAUACUGAGUUGGAGAACAAACAUAUCCAGCUCGAACUUGACUUGAAGCUUGUCCAGGAGAACUUCAUGAAGGCGAAGGAGGAGGCAAAAGGUAUGUUUGGUGAGAAUCUUGACGACUGCUUUUAUUUUGUGUCCAUUCCCAAAUCUGACUUCAUUGUCACUUUGCAGAUAAACUGAAGGAGGCUCUGAAGAAGAAGGACCUUGACCUUGCCGAGGCGUAGAAAGCGGCUUCAGACAAGACGAAGCUCGCAGAAGAAAAGCUGGCUUCAGUCGGCAAACUUGAAGAGGAGAAUAACAAUCUGAAAGCUGCUCUCGACACGGACAACAAGGAGGUCAGCCGUCUGAAGAAUGACAAGAUAGCCCUGAGUGACAAGGCUAGCGAACUGGUGAGAGUCUUAUCUGGAAGGGCUCGCCAAGAAGUUAUUCCUUAUGCUUGAAGGUAAUCUUUUCCAUCUAACUGACUUGUUAUCAUCGACUCGUCGUAGAACUGUUGGGUUAACUUCAAACUGUGCUUACAGAAUUCUGUCAAAACUUCAAGGAGGAGACCAGUCGACUGGAGCCAAACUUGGACCCCAUUAACUCUCAUGUGAAGGACGAGGCUGCUAUGAACGUGUUCCGACUGGAGUCUCGCGUUGCUGGAGUGGUUGACUACCUCGCUCGACUGAAGGUUGCGGUGUCGCGGAUCGACACGACACUCUGGCCAAGAGAGACGCUUCACAAUGACCUCGAGUCUUUGAUUACUCAACUGAAUGACGUUCCAGGUCGAGUGCAGGAAUGGAAGAAGUCUUCUGCCAGGUGUGGUGCUGAUGUUGCACUAUCUCUGGUACGUGUUCACUGCAAGGAUGCUCGAGAGGACAAGCUAGCGUCCAUCAGGGUGGCCAACACCAAGACGCAUGACUUCCAAUCUUUCAUGGAGACCUUCAUUGCUGCUGCCACUCGGAUUGCUGAUGGAAUCGACCUGGACCAGUUUGUCGCGCCCUCCAGUCCUCCACCUGAGGAGUAAAAAACUUCUAUGCUUCAUCUUAAAUUUGCCUCGGAAUGCCGAGUGGUUUUGUAACCGAUAAACUUUUACAGGCUUGACGCCUGCGCACUUCUGAAUCCGUUAUCUGAACUUUGCUUAUCAUUGAAUAUGCUUGCAUUUCCUUCGAGCGAAUUUUCUUCUUCACUCGGAAUAUAUUUUAAUGCUUGAGAUGUAGCUCUAAGGUGGUAAGCCCAGUCGACCUGCACUUCACCGCUUUUUGGCAGGUAAGGAUGGGGCACAGAUGGAGUGCACAUUGUAUUUGUGGCGUAGCUCAGAGGAAGAAGGUUACAAUCGACCUGCGCCUCGUCAUCCUUGUAGAGCGGAAUAGAUUAAGUACUUAGGCGAGCACUGGGCUGUAGCUAAGCCCCCCGAGUGGGAGGUUUUCUCUCCACUCGGUAGGAUUUUCAGAUACUUAGGCGAGCACUGGGCUGCAGCUAAGCCCCCGAAUGGGAUGUUUGCUCUCCACUCUGUAGGAUUUUCAGAUACUUAGGCGAGCACUGGGCUGCAGCCAAGCCCCCGAGUGGGAGGUUUACACUCCACUCGGUAGGAUUUUCAGAUACUUAGGAGAGCACUGGGCUGCAGCUAAGCCCCCGAGUGGGAGGUUUGCUCUCCACUCGGUAGGAUUUUCAGAUACUUAGGCGAGCACUGGGCUGCAGCUAAGCCCCCGACUGGGAUGUUUGCUCACCACUCGGUAGGAUUUUUCAGAUACUUAGGCAAGUAUUGGACUACAGCUAAGCCCCCGAGUGGGAGGCUUGCUCUCCACUCGGUAGGACUUUUUGUGGCGUAGCUUCGAAGGAAAGGGUAGCAGUCGACCUGCACCCCGUCAUCCUUGCAAAGCGCGCAUUGUAUUUGUGGCGUAGCUCAAGAAGAGAAGGUAGCAGUUGACCUGCACCUCGUCCGCCUUGCGGAGUGCACAUUAUAUUUGUGGCGUAGCUCGGAAGGAGAAGGUAGCAGUCGACCUGCACCUUGUCCUCCUUGCGGAGCGCACAUUGUAUUUUUGGCGUAGCUUGGAAAGAGAAGGUAGCAGUCGACCUGCACCUCGUCCUCCUUGCGGAGCGCACAUUGUCUUAAACACUUAGGCGAGUACUUGGACUGCAGCUAAGCCUCCGAGUGUGAAGCUGGUUCACCACUCGGUAGGAUUUUAAACACUUAGGCGAGUACUUGGACUGCAGCUAAGCCUCCGAGUGGGAGGCUGGCUCACCACUUGGUAGGAUUUUAUAUACUUAGGCGAGUACUUGGACUGCAGCUAAGCCUCUGAGUGGGAGGCUGGCUCACCACUUUGUAGGAUUUUAACACUUAGGCGAGUACUUGGACUAUAGCUAAGCCUCCGAGUGGGAGGCUGGCUCACCACUUGGUAGGAUUUUAAAGUCCCUAGGCGAAAUACAUUCGCAGCUAAGCCCCCGAGUGGGAGGCUGUCUCACCACUCAACAAUGAUUUUUUUUUACAAACUUAGGCGAAACGGAUUCGCAGCUAAGCCCCCCACUGGGGGAUUUCAUAUGUAAACAAAAGUAACAACAAUCAUUGGGAAAAAUUAUAACACUCUUGUCUUUGAUAAAUAAACUACAGAAGUACUUUUAUUACAUCUCAUCCGAGUGAAUACUUAAGUAUAAAAGGGGUGGAGCAGCUCCGCGUUCCAAGCUUGGGGCUCGUCAAUCUGGUGACCGACAUUGUAAAGGCGGUACGCUCCAUUGUGGAGAACUUUGGUGACGAUGAAGGGACCUUCCCAAGUAGGAGCAGGCUUAUGUGGCUUAUGCUGAUCCACUCGGAGAACCAAAUCUCCUUCUUGGAAGGCUCGACUCUUCAAAUUUCUGGCAUGGAAUCGACGUAAGUCCUGCUGAUAGAUGGUCGAUCGGAUCAUGGCCAUAUCUCUUUCUUCUUCUAGAAGGUUGACUGCGUCCUGUUGGGCUUGCUCUGCUUCAUCUUCAGUGUAGAGUUUGACUCGGGGUGCAUUGAGAAGCAGGUCACUUGGCAAGACUGCUUCAGCUCCAUAGACCAAGAAGAGCGGAGUUCUCCCAGUCGACCGAUUAGGAGUGGUCCUUAAUCCCCAAAGUACUGAUGGAAGUUCGUCGACCCAUGCACCUGCCGCGUGCUUGAGAUCGCGCAUCAGUCGGGGUUUCAGUCCUUUGAGGAUUAGACCAUUUGCUCGUUCUGCUUGCCCAUUCGACUGGGGUGAGCGACUGAAGCAUAGUUGACUCGUGUGCCUUGAGAUGCGCAAAAGGCUCUGAAUUCUUCAGAAUCGAAGUUUGACCCAUUAUCAGUCAUGAUGCUAUGCGGAACUCCAUAUCUGAAUACCAACUCUCUGAUGAAGCUGAUAGCAGUGCCAACAUCUAGAUUCUUUAUAGGCUUAGCUUCAAUCCAUUUGGUAAACUUGUCGACUGCUACUAGCAAGUGAGUGAAGCCGCUCCUGCCAGUUCUCAGUGGUCCAACCUUAUCUAACCCCCAAACACCGAAGGGCCAGAAGAGUGGAGUGGUCUUCAAGGCUUAGGCGGGUUUGUGCGAUAGAUUGGAGUAACACUGACAUCCUUCACACUUGUCGACUAUCUCCUUUGCCAUUUCAUUUGCUCUUGGCCAGUAAAAUCCUUCUUGGUAUGCUUUAGCCACAAUGGUACGAGAGGACGCAUGAUGGCCACAGGUCCCCGAGUGGAUAUCGUCAAGGAUUAUCUGACCUUCUUCUGGCGUUAUACAUUUCUGACCGACUCCAGUCGCGCUUUCUCUAUACAACUGCCCCUUUAUCACGGUAAAAGCUUUAGAUUGACAGACGAUCUGUCGAGCCUCUUCUUCAUUCUCUGGGAGCUCUUUCCUUAGGAUAUACGCGAUGUACGGCUCUGUCCAGUCGGGAGUGAUGACCAAAGCUUCCGUGAUCAGGUCGACCACCGCUGGAACUUCAACUUCAGUCGGAUCUGUGAAACUUUUUGUCUAUGGAGCUUCUUCGGUGAAAGGAUCCUCUUGAACUGAUGGAGUAUGGAUGUGUUCCAAAAGCACAUUACUAGGAAUGGCUUCUCUCUUGGAACCUAUCUUCGCCAAAUCAUCAGCCGCUUGAUUUUUUUAGUUGGGGUAUAUGAUGGAGCUCUAACCCUUCAAAUUUCUUCACAAGCUUUCUCAGUCAAUUGCAAUAACCAGUCAUGGCUGGGCUUCUAACGUCCCACUCCUUCAUCACCUGAUUGAUCACCAAAUCUGAGUCGCCAUAAACCAUAAGGCGACGGACACCGAGUGAAAUGGCCAUACGCAACCCAUACAAAAGUGCUUCGUAUUCUACUUCAUUGUUGGAGGAAUCAAAGUGGAUCUGGAGCACAUAUCUGAGCUUAUCUCCUGAGGGGGAAACCAAUAUUACCCCAGCACCGGAACCAUUCAACAUCUUAGAACCGUCAAAGAACAUGGUCCAGUGCUCCGAGUGAACUUGAGUCGGUAAUUGCUGUUCAAUCCACUCGGCGAUGAAAUCUACCACUGCUUGGGACUUAAUGGCUUUCUUUGCCUCAAACUUGAUAUCAAGGGGAAGGAGUUCGAUCGCCCAUUUUGCCACUCGACCAGUUGCAUCUCUGUUGUGCAGAAUCUCUGAUAAUGGGGCGUCGCUGACGACUGUAAUGGAAUGAUUAGAGAAAUAAUGAGCAACCUUCUUCGUGGUCAUAUAUAUAAAUCCCAUAUACAAGCUUCUGAUAUUGAGGGUAUCUUUGCUUUGAUGGGGUCAAAACUUCAGAAAGAUAAUACACUGGCCACUAAACUUUGAAGGCUUUUCCUUCUUCUUCCCGCUCGACCGUAAGUACUGUACUGACGACUUGUCCUGUGGCUGCAAUGUAAAGCAAGAAAGGCUCUUUGCUGAUUGGGGCAGCAAGCACCGGCUGGGUGGAGAGAAGAGCUUUUAGCUCUGCAAACGCUGCAUCAGCUUAUGGAGUCCACUCGAACUUGUCUGACUUCUUCAUUAGUCGGUAAAGAGGCAAUGCCUUUUCACCGACACGAGAGAUGAAUCGACUUAAAGAGGCCAAGCAUCCAGUAAGCUUCUGGACAUCGUGCACACGCACAGGGCGUUUCAUUCGGAGUAUAGUGCCAACUUUUUCUGGGUUGGCGUCGAUUCCUCGCUCGGAAACGAGAAAACCGAGUAACUUUCCGCCAGGAACUCUGAAUGUGCACUUUGAUGGAUUAAGUUUGAUAUCAUACCUCCUGAGAUUGGCAAAUGUUUCAGCAAGGUCAGUCAACAGGUCGGAACCAUUCCGUGAUUUGACCACAAUAUCAUCCAUGUAUGCUUCCACAUUCCGACUGAUUUGAGUGAGUAAACACUUCUGAAUCAUCCUAUGAACGUGGCUCUGGCAUUCUUGAGGCCGAAUGGCAUGGUGACAUAGCAGAAGCACCCGAAUGGAGUGAUGAAAGCUGUUUUGAUCUCAUAGGGUCCAUACAGACGGAUCUGAUGGUAACCGGAAUAGGCGUCUAAAAAAGACAGGCGCUCACAUCCCGCAGUCGAGUCGACUAUUUGGUCGAUGCGGGGGAGAGGAAAAUGAUCGUUCGGGCAUGCCUGAUUGAUAUGUUUGAAAUCAAUGCACAUGCGAAGUGACUUGUCCUUCUUGGGGACCAUGACAACAUUGGCAAGCCACUCGGAGUGGUAAAUCUCUUGGAUAAACUCUGCUGCCAGGAGCUGAGCCACCUCCUCGCCAAUGGCCUUUCUCUUCUGGACGGCGGACCGUCGAAGAUGUUCUUUGACAGGUUUCACUUUUGAGUCGGCUCGUAGACAAUGCUCAGCCAGCCCCCGGGAACACCCGGCAUGUCAGCAGGCUUCCAUGCGAUGAUGUCCCAGUUCUCAUGGAGGAAUUGGAUGAGCGCUUCUUCCUAUUUAGAGUCGAGUGUUGUGGAGAUAUGAGUCGGAGCAGCACUGGGUCGGUCGGGUGAAUGUGAACGGGCUUCAUCUCACCGGACGACUGGAACACUGACUUUGUGGCGGGCUUCUUGGCCCACAAUAAAUCACUCGGAUCUGCAGUUUUCUGGUAUUCCUGCAGCUCGAUCACUGUUAUCUGAGCAUCGGUGAUCUUUGAGCCCUUCUGAAAGCACUCUUCUGCCUUUUUCCGAUUGCCAGUAAUGGUGAUCACACCCUUGGAACCAGGCAUCUUCAAUUUGAGGUACACGUAACAUGGUCGAGCCAUGAAUCGUGCAUAAGCUGGCCUGCCUAGAAUAGCAUGAUAAGCGCUCUAGAAAUCCACAACUUCAAAUGUCAACUUUUCUUUGUGGAAAUGCUUUGAAUUGCCGAAAACCACAUCAAGAGCAAUUUGGCCGAGUGACUCAGCCUUCUUCCCAGGAAUGACUCCAUGGAAACUCAUGUUGCUGGUACUGAGUCUGGACAUCGGAAUGCCCAUCCCUUUUAGCGUCUCCGCAUACAGUAUAUUCAGGCCACUGCCACCAUCCAUCAGAACUUUCAUCAGUCGAGUGCCUUCGACGACUGGGUCGACCACUAAAGCUUGCCUCCCAGGGGUGGCUAUGUGUGUCGGAUGAUCAGACUGGUCAAAUGUGAUGGCGGUCUGAGACCAUUUCAAAUAACUGGGUGUCACCGGAGCAACCAUAUUCACUUCACGGUUGAUAACUUUCAAUGGACUUUUGCUUUCAACAUCAGCAAAAAUCAUCAGGGUGGAAUUGACAUGGGGAUAUCCUUCAUCACUGUCCUCUUUGUCCUCAACUUUGUCCGAAUCCUUUUCCUUAUCUUUGGGCUAUUUCCCCUGAAAUUGCUGGAUCAAGAGCUGACACUGCCGAGUGGUAUGUUUCGGGUAAAUGAAGUUACCCUCCUCAUCUUUCUUCAUGUGGAUGUGGCACGACAAAUCCAUCACGUCAUUUCCUUCCUUGUCCUUCACCUUAUUAGGGUUCCAAGAUCUUUUGGGCUUCCCUUUAAACUUUCCCUGAGUCACGGCCAAGGCUUCUCCAAGAGCAGCUGGCUCGGCUUUCCGCUUCUGCUUCCGACUGGAGUUUCCUCCCCCGGUUUCAUGAGCGGUUGGCUUGUACUUGCCACUCCGGAGUCGAUCCUCUUCUUCACCAUUGGCAUAUUUGGUGGCAAUCUCCAUCAUUCGAUUCAGAGUCAUGUCUCCGGUCCGACCGAAUUUCAAACUUAACUCUCUGUUCUUAACGCCUUCCUUGAAGGCACAAACUGCCUGGUGGUCAGAUAUAUUCUCCACCGUGUGAUGCAAUGUGGUCCACCUUUGGAUGUAAUCCCUCAGAGUUUCAUUCGACUUUUGCACACAAACCUGCAGCUCUGGCAACCCUGUUGGUCGCCUGCAAGUUCCUUCAAAUGAUCUGACAUACACUCGGGCAAGAUCUUCCCAAGUGUAAAUGCUGCUAGGUGCCAACUGAUUCAGCCAUGCUCUGGCCGAGCCCUCCAACAUAAGAGGUAGGUGUUUCAUGGCCACUUCAUCAUUGUCGCCGCCAAUCUGAACAGCCACUCGGUAGUCCUCAAGCCAAGUAUCGGGCUUGGACUCGCCGGUGAACUUGCUGACUCCAGUCGCCAACCUGAAGUUGGGAGGAAUCACCGUGGCCCUGAUGGCUCUGCUAAAACACUCUGGUCCUGAGACGUGAACUCUGCUGCUGGUGGGCACAUCUCUGUCAUGGCCUUCUCGGUGAGCUCUGUUCCGGUCGACCAAACCUUGCACGAAAAUGGAUCUCGCGUCAAAGCCUGGUUCUCUUGGGUCGACUGGAACCCUUCGCCCAACACUAUGCUGACGUCUGUCAUCUUGCUGUCGAGGAGCGUACGACCCACCCCUUGGGGGGGAGUGGGCACUCGACGCCGAUCAUCGCGAUCGAAUCAGUCGUCAUACUGAUCACGCUGACCUCCACGUCCCUCACGCCUCGGGGGCGAUCUCAGGCUAUGGGCCGACUGGACUGUAUUCCCAGCAAUGGAUCUGCUGUGAAUCUUGUUUCGUGACUGCGAUACAGCUGAAUUCUGAUCUCCUGCUGCCCGAAGAAAAUCUCUGAUCUGUAACAAGCCUCUGCCAGCCUCUGACUGGGAGGGCUGAAUCGACUCUUCUAUACGGGCUGCAGCUGCUAGAUUCUGAAUCGGAGUUCGAUAUACCUGAGUCGGUUGCAGAAAGAGUUGACGUCGACUGGAGUCUGGAACUCGUUGCCGCGCGCGCUCGUCGAGUGCUUGCUGGAGGUUCUCCAGUCGAGUGCGCUCAGCCAAGUUGGCCAAACGCGCGUCCUCUAAGGCACGAGCCUCGGGGGUUUCUCCAACGAUAGGAGUAUGCAGCGCAUCCAUGUUCCGGCGGCGAAGAUCUUCCCUUUGCAGGGAAGUGAGUGGCUCGGGCUGAUACUCUUCGUGGAACUGCGCUGGGUUACCUCUGCCAUCGACUCCGUCGGUGCAAGGAAAACCGGGAGGACUGCGCGGCCCAUUGACCAUCAGAACCUCCGCCGCUGGAUCACUGCUGUCGCACUCAGAUGUAGUCUCUACGGAGCCAGUCGACAGGUUGAACAGGCCGUAGAGAGAUUCGUCGGGCUCGAUCGCCGCGACUUGGGGGGUGGCCGACUGGAGGGCCACUGCGUGCCUCACCCACCGUUGAAGCCUCGACCGACCGGAGCGCUUGCGCUAGCGGGAGAUAGGGAGGGAGGAUGACACAGGGGUCGACCGAUACAGGGCCGACGGUUGCCGCAGGAGGAUACCGCGGACACACGCGCGGAAGUGCGUCGCCCCGCGGACUGGGAGCGCGUCGAUGUCGAGUGGAGCCUCCUGAAGCCAAGCGGAGUCGUCGGCGAUGAACAUGAGCGCGCCGAGACGGAUCUCGCGGCCCUCAACCAAAACUCCGCCUGAAACCAUGUUGAAGGAGAUCAGAAAAAUCGCAACUUCUCCAAUAAGUCGCUAAGACACCUGCCCCAUGGUGGGCGCCAACUGUCGUGGUUCUUAGCCUGACAGUAGAAUAGGGGGGUAGGUAUGGAGAGGCAAGAUCCUAGCUAUGGAGUAGUUGUAUACGCAAGAGAUUUACGAGUUCAUGCCCUUCUCGGAGGAAGUAACAGCCCUAUGUCUCGGAGCCCGAAGGCGGUCGACUGGAUUAUAUGCGUAUGAGUUACAGGGGUGCGAACCCUUUACAUUGAGGAGGGGGGUGGCUUAUAUAGAGUCUGCCAGACCCCUCCUGCCCUCAGUUAUGCAGGGUUUAAAGUACAUUAAGGCAUGGCGUACUAGUAACGCCCUACAUAAAGUGCUAUCAUGAACAUAAAGACUACUUAAUGACAGACCGUUUGUGUGCAGAGUGACUCUAGAUCUCCUAGUGGUCGAGUGAGUGGCUUCAUGGUCGAGUGUCUUCGAUUCUGUCGAGUGGAAUCCUUCCAGGUCGACUGAAUGGUAGUUUCUUCUACAAAUGUCCUUGGGGAGGGUACCUUGGACAGGUCCAUGACCCUAACCUAGGUACAUGGCUUCAUCAGCGCGCCCGCUCAAAGACGCGCUACUGCUAUAAUUCCCACGAGGCCGCGCGAGGCCAGUUAUAGCAGCAAUGCGUUAUAACGACGGGCGCUACUUUUAUGUAGCAUAGUAGCGGCGCAUUUCGCCAAUAAGCGCUACUGCUAAGUUUACUACAAAAAUUUAGUCCUACCUCGCUCCGUGAAGAGAGUUUCUACCACCUUAAAUAUGUUACUUCUCAAACUUUGACAAGCACUUAGUCUUCAUUGAACUCUAUGUGUAGAAUUUGUGGCUGCAAUAUGAGUCUUCACCUGUUCCUAAACCGGUGAGUACUCGUAUUGACAAAUCAGAUUGUACACAAAAAGAUCGUUGAUGAUCAAUGUAUUUUUGGUACAUUGAACUAAGUCUAUUUUUAUAUGCUGACACAUAGCAGUAGCGCUUCUUUGUGAAAGGCGCUGCUGCUAGGUAGCUUAGCAGUAGCGUCUAUCUCUAUAGCGCGCUACUGCUAAGCCAUUCCAUCUCCCACCCCCCAUCUCCUCUACCCGAUCAACUCACAGUCACACACUCACUAGAUCCCCUCUCAAUCCUCCGCGCCGGUCCUCCCCCGUCGCCCCUCCUCCCUCUGCGCCGCCAUCACCUCCUCCUCCUUGCUGGACUCGGUACCAGCCUCCUCCUCCGUCCUCCCUCUCCACUUGCCGUUGGUCGGCCCCUCCUCCCUCCGCCUUCCUCCUCCGUCCUCCCUCCACUAGCCGCCGGCCGGCCCCUCCUCACUCCGCCUUCCUCCUCCAUCCUACUCUCUUCUCCCUCCUCGAGUCACCCCUCCUUCUCCCUCCUGCCUGCUACAUUUUGAUUUAGUAGGAUAGUUCAUAUGCAACAUUUUGAUUUAGUUGAUAUGACUUAGUUGAUUUAGUAGGCUAGUUGAUUUAGUCGAUUUAGAACAUUUUGAUUUAGUUGAUUUAGUAGGCUAGUUGAUUUAGUUGAUUUAGAACAUUUUGAUUUAGUUGAUUUAGUAGGCUAGUUUAUUUAGUUGAUUUAGAACAUUUUGAUUUAGUUGAUUUAGUAGGCUAGUUCAUUUAGUUGAUUUAGAACAUUUUGAUUUAGUUGAUUUAGUAGGCUAGUUCAUUUAAUUGAUUUAGUAUGCAUCAUUUUAUUGUUAUUUUUUCUGUACAUGGAUAGGUACUUAGUUGCUUUUGUUUUUUUAAUAAGUUAUUUUUUGGCAAAAUGUAGGUGCUACCUUGUCAUCUAACAUGUUACUAGAUCUUAGGAUUAUAAUUGUCCGUCAAAUUGCUUCUCGCGAAAGAACCAAAAAUAUCACAUGCUACUGUUUUUCUUUCCUGUGAAGUGGAUCGUUAAUCCUUUGCUCAUAUUGCUUUAGGAAAAAUGGCGCCACCACCGCCACCACUAUGUCGACUGUGCAGGUCCAGGUGCACCAGCAGCCUUGCAACUGGAAAGCUGUUCGGCAUCUACUUCCAGCCGAGUUUUCGUCAUGCGGCGGUAAGAAAUUAGAUGAAAUAUAAUAACUAUUUUAUUUUUAGUGUUGGCAUUACUGCAUUGUGUCAUUUUGCUUAUUUUACACAGAUCGUCCCAUGCAAUGUGAGGUUGAAAUUCAACAAGCUGACAGGAGACACAGUGACAUUAUGGAGGGGCCGUACACUAUGGAGGUCGAGAAAGGACGCAAUAUGUCACAGAUUGGAGGAGAUGGAUGGGCCCGUUUCGUCGCUCGCAUGCGUCUUACUGGUGGUGAGUUGAUCAGCUUCUCCUUCAGAGCCGAAAGACCCAAGCUGGUUGUCAUUUAUCUCAAACUGGUGGAAGAUGAAGAAUAUGAUGAAGAUAAUGAGGACCCACUCGAUAAAGAUGAUGAGGACCCACUUCAUGAAGCCAUCGUAGCUCAAAGAACAAGGCUGAGCGAGGAGGAGGUGUCCAAUCUGUGGGACAUAAUUCCGCCACGUGCUGACUUUGUCGGGGUGCCAUUCGUGACCCGCCUGACAAAUACCAUGGUUGAUCGACAUAAUAUGGUAUGUUAUACUUACUAAUGAAAAUUAUCCGAUGAAAUACUUAGUGUAUAGUCCAAUGAUAUGGUAUGUUGUGUGGAAUCUAGUCGAUGAUAUGUUUUAGUGUAGAGUUCGAUCACAUGCUUAUUAGUGUAGAAUCUAAGGAAACUAUUAAUAGUGUAGAUAAUCCAUAUGUACUUAUUUGUGAGGCUAUUUAUUAAUUGAUAUGUUUUUCUUAUUCAGAAAUUGGCAAAGAGCAUACCUGUGAGUUAUGGUAUCGAUCCUGAUGAAGAAGGCUCAGCUGGACUACGCCUUACCACAAGGGGCUCCGUCACAACAUGUGCUUACCGCGUGGACACGGACGGUUGCACACACUUAAACUCGGUUGGGUGGAAGAAAUUCCUCGAUGGCAAGAAUCUUCGUGUUGGACAUGCCAUCCUAAUUACUAUCAGAAACACCAACCGCCCAGGCUUGGGGAUGAUGAUUGUCUUUGAUAUAAUCUAGAUCUACAUAUGUGUGUGUGGCUAUAUCAUCUAGAACUACAUAUGUGUGUGUGGCUAUAUCAUCUAGAACUACAUAUGAUGAUCGUCGUCGAUAUCAUCUAGAACUACAUAUGAUGAUCGCCGUUGAUAUGACCUUGUACUGCUUGAGGAUGCAUGUUGACUAUGCAUGAAAUUGUUAUCUAGUACUCCCUUCGUUCCAAAUUACUCGUCGUGGUUUGAACUAAAACCAAGAUGAGUAAUUUGGAACGAAGGGAGUACUACCCAGUAAUGGUUUAUGAAUUUGAUAUCUACUAGCAGUACCUAGUUUCAAGUAUCUGAAAGGGAAACUGAAAGGGAAAGGGGUACGGGGGGAAAUGAUGAAAGAUAUAGCAGUAGCGAGGCACUGCGAAAUCGCUACAGCUAGGUAAUAGUAGCGCGUUCAUGAAAAGCGUUGCUGAUAUCGUCAAUAGUAGUAGCGCGGGUACGGGCCGCGCUACUACUAUAAGUUAGCUGUAGCGCCUUAUUAGUAACGCGGUCACCCGCGCUGCUGCUAGCCUCAAAACCCGCGCUACUACUAGGGUUUUCCCUAGUAGUGAAUAGUCUUUGUGAAAUAGCUUGGAUAAACAUAAAUUGACAAAUUAUUUCUAAAAUUUUACAAUGAAAUGGUGUUAAAGCAUUUUUUUAACUGAACUAAUCCCACAUCAAACACGGUAAGAAAAUAUUGAACAUGCCCUCAUGGAAAUGUGUCAGUUGGUCAACAAGAGGAAAUAAAACACAAUCACAUAGAUGAAUUCUUAUUUGUUAGAAACUUUUCAUGGUGCAUUAUUUUAAGUUUCUUAAUUGGAGUUCCCCUUAGAGAUAAUUGCUAAUUUGUGAACUCAAGCCAUGGAAUGGUAAAAUAAUCUCUUUCUGCAUGAGAACAAUUAUCAUGAGUAGGAAAAUCACAUACAUUAAUUAGCCCGCACUUGUUCUUCUGCUUGAUAUUGGUAGAUGUCUACUUGAAAAAUUACAAUGACUUAUGUUUCUGGAGCAUUAUACACAUAGACAACAAGUUAUGAAUAAACUUACAGAUAGAACCUAUCUAUAUAAUAACAAGAAAAACCCAUACAUUACAUAAGAUGUUGUAGUCUCUUUUAUAUUUUGGAUCGCCAUGUCUACCUUCCUUGAAACUAUUUAAUAGGAUGAUCUUAACAUGUUUUGUACUAACAAAACAAUGUUUGUUGUCACAUGUCCGAAUCGGUUUUAGGUCUAGGUAGGUAAAGGAAACCGGGAGGUGAUGGACCCUUCACCUCUUGACCUGCUAGUGCCACCGCGGAUUCCACAUCCAAUCUAUUUUUUACAUCAUAGUUAACCCAUACGAAUGCAAUGAUGGUGGCAGCUCGAUGACACAUUGGAUCAGGCAGGAUGUUAACAUCAGUGGCAAAGGGGCGGCUCCAAGAGGCUCUAGUAGGAGAAUGACAUAAGUGGUGGAGGGUUUCAUCACUCAUCGGGAUAAAAAGAAUAUAUCAAUAUAAACUUCAAUUUGAGAUAUAAACUUCAGAUGUUCUAUUUUCAAAAGGUAUAAUUUUUGUGUUAUAUAGUUUAUAUUAGGGUGAUAAAAUUGGCAACCUAGGUAUACGCGUAGGACUUGUAAUCAGGAUGUACUAUUGGUCAAAAUACUAGUGUUUCAAAUUAAUAUACAAUGGAUACUUCUACAGAAAUAGUAUUAGUAGUACAUUCCUCUAGUCCUGUACAAGAUAGGCUCGCGUGGUAGAUAUAUGAAAUAUAGUAGUACAGUAGGAGUAGAUGAUAGGCUAACUUCCUAGAUAAUAAUCAAUGUCAAGACAUCGGACAGAGAGGUGCCCCUGGGUAAAUUUUCAUCUUAUAUUAUCUAUAUUGACUAGGUGAAAGCAUCUUUCAAAUCAUCACGUUAAUCCGACGCUACCAUUGCAGAAAAAACAGAAAUUUAAAUUUCCAAAUUAUUCAAACAUAAUUGUGUAUGCUCUCGAGAUAUGUGCCUACGAUGCAAAAAUAUUAUGCAUCCAAAUUUUAAUAGACAUAGAGAGACAACAAAGACAAUUUCAGAUGUCAAUAAUGUCAUUUAUAUGUUCUCUUUUUGUAACAAUAAAUAGUUUUGUGCAGUGGUAUCACCGUAAUAUUUAAACAGUUAUAUCACCGAAUAUUCUCCCCAAAAGUAUAUAUAAUUUGUUGAUCUUGAAAAUAACUACACGUAGAGGGUUUAGAUUUCUCAUGAGAAUCAUAUGCUGUAGUAAGAGUCCUCUCGCAAAUUACGUGGCAUAUGGUGUUCGUGGCAAUUAAAAAACUGUUUAAUGAAACGGCUGGGAGUUCGAGCUGUAAUACUAAUCCAAAAAUAUUCUACUAAAUAAAAAAAAGAAAAUUAAUUUGGUCAACCAAAUAUGAGUGAUAUGCCAUGAAAAUGGUACCACUGGAAACUUCGGCCACACGUUGGAGGUACGUAGUUGUUGGGCCCUAUUUAUUACUGUACUAACUAGACAUCAUUUGUUUAUGUAGACAAUUAAGGGUCAACGGAAGUACUCUUUUCUUGUGAAUGUUGGGGUGUCCACAGGUACUUUUCAUACCACAGUACCACCACAGUGUCCUCAGGGACGUGGAAACUUAGAGAUGCGACCACAGCCCCAGCUCGCCGUCGUAAUCUGAACUAACUGCCUUGAGCUCGAUGGGAACAGCUGCUCCAAAUUCCUGUUUUUGGACAAUGGCAGAAGCGACGGCGGCACCAGAACCAGUCUUGCUCAACAUAUAUAAUAAUCACAAGUAUGUAGCCGUUAGCAGUUGUCCAGCUCAUAUCCAUCACUUCGGAAUUUGAGAUUGGUGAAUGACACCUAGCUACAUGCCAAACACCCUAGCUAUCUAUACCAUUGAAAGCAACGGAUAUGGUUGAACAACUUCACGUUCGGUCGUUGAUGAGACUGUACUACGGAAUCCCCAAAUGGACCAAAAGUUGAUUUUUUUUCUUUCGAAAAGGGGGAUCCCCGGCCUCGGCAUCAGCAUGAUGCAUACGGCCAUCUUAUUAGAAUAAAGCAUCCACAAAGUCUCGAAGUCUCAAUAGUAGCAAAAUAAAGAAGAAAAGGCUCACACAGAGCCAGAAGGCUAGAUACACAAGCUAGCCAAAAAAGGAUAAACCACAACCGGUUGGCUCAAAAAUAGACAGGUAAACUAAUUGCCUAUCCUAUUACAUGACCGCCAUCCAAACCGGCUGAAGAUAUCCCGAGCUACCGUCUCCCAUCGGGUAGCACCAGUAACCAAAAGCUCCCUGGCCUCCGUCGGAGUGAGUAGCGACCAGGAACGGAUAAGUGCCGUAGCUCUGAAGAUGACCUGCAAAAAAUGAAUGUUUGUUGUUCUGUUAAAGACCAGAUCAUUUCUGCAAUUCCAAAGCGCCCACACUAAGGCGCACACCCCCAUGCGAAUAUGUUUUGCUAACCCGGGCUCUACCCUGUUUAGCCAUGUUCCAAACAACAUGUUAACCGAAUUUGGCGGAGGAAUAUUGAAAGAAAUAUGAACAGUCGUCCAAAGAAUUCUAGCUAGUGGGCAAUCAAAGAACAAAUGUUUAAUGGUUUCACCCUGAUCACAGAAACUACACCUAGUAGGCCCUGUCCAAUUGCGCUUUGUUAAAUUGUCCUUUGUUAAGAUAACUUGUUUGUGUAGAAACCACAUAAACACUUUGAUCUUCAAAGGAACUUUGACAUCCCACACAUGCUUGGAAGUAGGAAUCGAGCUCGAAUUAAUGACAUCAACAUACAUUGAUUUAACUGUAAAUUCACCCGACCUAGUGAGAUUCCAGCGCAGUUUAUCAGGUUGUUGUGAAAGUUGGACCUGCAUCAGUCUCCUAACUAUAUGUAGCCAAUCUUCCCAACGAUUGCCCACUAACGACCUUCUAAAUUGAAUAUUAAGGGGUAUCGAAUGAAAGACCGUUGCAACCAGAGCAUCGCGUCUUUGGACUAUGCGAUACAACGACGGAUACUGGAUUGCAAGGGGUGCACCUCCGAGCCAAGUAUCCUCCCAGAAUCUUGUGCUGGCACCAUUACCAACAAUAUGCUUUGUCCUCUGAAACAAUGAAAGCUUAACUUUCAUAAGCCCUUUCCAAAAGGGUGAAUCAGUUGGUCUAACCGUGACCUGAGACAAAGUUUUGGUUUGAAGAUACUUAUUACAAAGGAUUUGAGCCCAAGUGGCGUCAGUUCCUGAAGAUAACUUCCACAACCACUUACUAAGAAGGCAUCGGUUUUUAACCUCAAGAUUUUCGAUCCCGAGACCCCCUUGGUCUUUCGGCCUACAAAUGAUAUCCCACUUCGCUAACUGGUAUUUUCUUUUUAGCUCAUCUCCCUGCGAAAAGAACCGCGAUCGAUGGAAGUCCAGUCUUUUCCUUACACCAACUGGGACUUCGAAGAAAGACAAAAGAAACAUGGGCAUGCUCGUGAGAACCGAAUUAAUAAGAAUUAAACGGCCUCCAUAUGACAUGAGCUUACCCUUCCAGCAGCUUAGUUUCUUUUCGAAUCGAUCCUCAAUACACUUCCAUUCGUUGUUCGUAAGCCUACGGUGAUGUAUAGGUAUUCCUAAGUAUGUGAAUGGCAACUCCCCCAAACCACACCCAAAUAAUUGUUUGUAUGCUUCUUGUUCCUCCUUGGCUCUACCAAAGCAGAACAACUCGCUUUUGUGGAAGUUAAUUUUGAGCCCACUCAAUUGCUCAAACAAACAAAGCAACAGCUUCAUAUUUCUUGCUUUUACCAGGUCAGGCUCCAUGAAGAUGAUAGUGUCAUCAGCGUACUGCAGAAUGGAAAUUCCUCCAUCCACUAAAUGAGGCACCAAGCCUCCCACUUGGCCAGCCUCCUUGGCUCUCCCUAACAAAACUGCCAACAUGUCCACAACGAUGUUGAACAGAAUAGGGGACAUUGGAUCUCCUUGCCGCAGGCCCUUGUGUGUCUGGAAGUAAUGACCAAUGUCGUCAUUCACUUUAAUGCCAACACUACCCUUUUGCGUGAAAGAUUCAAUCUGGCUCCUCCAGACCUCGUCGAACCCUUUCAUAUGCAAGGCUUGUUGUAGGAAAGGCCACUUAACUUUAUCGUACACUUUCUCGAAAUCCACUUUAAAGAUGACUCCAUCUAGUUUCUUUGAGUGGAUUUCAUGGAGCGUUUCAUGCAAGACCACCACCCCCUCUAGGAUGUUUCUAUCCGGCAUGAAAGCUGUCUGGGAUUGCUGCACCAUAGAAUGCGCAAUCUGUGUGAGCCUAUUAGUCCCUACCUUGGUAAAAAUUUUGAAACUAACAUUCAAAAGGCAGAUAGGCCGGAACUGCUCAAUCCUCAGAGCAUCGGUCUUUUUUGGUAGCAGCGUUAUGGUCCCAAAGUUCAAGUGAAAAAGUUGAAGCCGUCUAGCAAAAAGGUCAUGAAACAUAGGUAAUAGAUCCCCCUUGAUAAUAUGUCAGCAUUUUUUAUAGAACUCCGCCGGAAACCCAUCCGGCCCGGGAGCCUUAUUGUUCUCCAUCUGAGAGAUGGCAUCGAAAACCUCCUUUUCCGUAAACGGCGCAACCAAAAUAACAUUGUCAGAAGCAGUUAGUUGAGGCACAUCCUCAUUCCUGGACUCAUCGAGGGACACAGCGCUAUCCUCCGGCGGUCCAAAUAACUGCUUAUAGUAUUUGGUGAUGUAAAGCUUCAGAUUAUCAUGACCAACAAUUGUGCCUUCGUCUUGCUUGAGAUGGAAUAUAUUUUUCUUUCUGUGUUUGCCAUUCGCAAUGAGGUGAAAGAAUUGAGUGUUCGCAUCCCCCUGGAUUACUUUGCGAACCUUUGCUCUGAGCGCCCACUUCAGCUCUUCUUCGCGGAGAAGUUCCUUCAACCUCUUCUCCGCAUCAAGCUUAAAAGUCAAUUCAGCAGGUUGCAAAAUUGUUGAUUCAGCUUUAAUAUCUAGGGAUUGUAUAAGAUCCAGGAGUCUGUCCUUCUCAAUCUUAUAAGCUCCACUAAGGUGCUUGGCCCAUCCCCGGAGAAAGCUCCUCAAAUGCCUGAUCUUAUUCUGCCAUCUCUCGACAGACGUUCUACCCCCUGUGUCCGUAGCCCACUCCCUGGCUACGAGAUCCAGGAAACCUUCUCGUUCAAACCACGCCGUUUCGAAAGAGAAGGCAUUUUUGUUUCCCACAUGCCUUGGCUCACCUGAGUCUACAAACAAAGGCGUGUGGUCUGAAAUCCCGCGCGUGAGAGCCUGAACCGUGACGAGAGGGAACUUCUGUUCCCACUCGGCACUUGCUAGUACCCGAUCCAACUUCUCAUAUGUCGGAUUGGGUAAAGAGUUAGCCCAGGUGAAUUGUCGACCAAAAAGCUCGAUCUCUCUCAGAUCCAAACUCUCAAUGAUGGUGUUAAACAUAAACGACCAUCUGCCGUCAAAGUUAUCGUUAUUCUUCUCGUCCCUCCUCCUAAUGAUGUUGAAGUCCCCCCCAACCAAAAUUGGGAGUUGCUCAGACCCGCAAAUACGAACAAGGUCAGCUAGAAAUUCCGGUUUAAGCUUAGGUUGUGCCGCCCCAUAGACCGCCACCAGAACCCAGUUAAACCCAUCUACUUUAGACCUGACUCGAAAUUUGACCGCGAAGUCACCCAUUACAACGCUACGAACUUCAAGGGAAUCACAUCUCACACCAAGCAAGAUGCCACCAGACCUCCCUCUUGGAGGAAGACAAUGCCAAUCGAAAUCCACACCUCCCGACAGCGUGUUAAGAAACUGUGGCGCAAAAUUAUCCCGACCAGUUUCAGAGAGUGCAAUGAAAUCUAAUCGGUGCUCUAAAGACGCCUCCGCUAGAAACCUUCGUUUAGCCAAGUCCUUAAGACCUUUGCUAUUCUAGAAUAUUCCUUUCAUAGGUCAUCAUGGAAUUUUUUGGCAGUACGAAUCCUAGCGCUCCUACGUACCGCGGAUGCAGGGUACACCUUCCGCUUCCACUUACGUUUAGGAAUAUUAUUUCCCGCAGGCCGGUCCUCAUAACCGGGCUCCGGUUGUGGAAUUACUACAUCAUCCACACGGAGUUCCUCCUCGUCAGACUCCGCAGACGGAGGAAGAAGAUCCGCACAAAAAUGGUCAAGCACUCUUACUCCCAAUGCAUCAAUCUCAGCAUCAUUCAUAGGUCUUACCGCCGCUAGGUUUCUAAUGGUUUCUAAGGCACGUUCCGCUUCCAAAUCUAGGAGAUCGUUAACUGAGUUUGAAAUUUCAGAAUUAUUAUUCCCAAGCGACACCCCUACUUGGUUUGCAUUAUUAAUAAUCUCAUCCUUAGAAAAAUGCAAAAUGGAAUUGGAUAAAUUUACUGACAUACCGGUUGUGACCUCAACAUCACGAAGCUUGGCCGCCCGCAUAGCGCACUGCUGCUGCAUAUCAUCAACCUCUGGAAGGUCCUGGAGACGAGAGCUCAUCCGUCUCCCCUCGGAGACCGGGUCUGGGAUCCCUCCGAAAGCAAUGACCUCCUCCCGAGUAGCGGCACUCGGAGGGGGAAGGCACGAGGGAGACCUCCGAAGGUUGGGAGAGAGGCCAGAGGAAGUGGGCGCCAAGGCCGCCUGCCCUAGUCCGUCCCCCCCUGCCCUCACCCUCGCAGCCGAGUGCACCGCCGUCUCGACCGCCGUCGAGACUAGGGGGUCUGGGGCCACCUGCCCCUGACGCCUGCCUAGCGCCUCCGGCGAUCCCUCCGCAAGCAUAGCUCCCGCGUGGCACUCCUCCAGGGCCACCUGCCCCAGAGAUGAACCACCACCGCCGGUUACCGGCGCCAAAGCUGUCGACACCGGUAACAAGGUAGUAUGAGAGGGAGUCUUGGCCGCCUGCCCCGAAGCCCCCCCCCCCCCCUUGGUGUAGCUACCAAGUCGAGCUCAAAUCGGCUGCACGAGGACACCAAGUACCCUGGGAGCACCGGAGCCCCCUGAGGCUCCGCAGCGCCUAUCCUCUCCAGGGUCGGCUCGGAUACACCCGGAUCACGGAUGCCGUCCGUAAGACGGAGCGCCGAUCCAAAGUCCAAAACCGGGAGCGAGUGCUCAAAAGCAUCGUCAGAGUCAACCCGAUCACUCCAAAGCCGAGGAGGGGCCGACGUCGGCUGAAAAGAUCCAAACCGCAAAGUGUUGUGAGGCAGAGACGAAGUAGGAGACGGCUCAACUCCGGAUCCGGUCUUGGGCUCCUGAGCUAUAGGUCCCGAUCCGUUGGACUCCUGUUUAGCCUCAUCGGUCGGUCCCCUCCUAGCACCAGCAUCAUCGCCCCCUUCGUGCAUAUCCACAUCAGUACCAGUAGCCACCUCAGCAAACAACUCAGCGUCCUCAAACUCGAUCUCAAGGGGAAACACCUCUCCCCUAUAUGUCCAGUUGACCAUGUCCGGAACGUACUCUAUGUCUAGAAUACUGACUCGCAAUCUGGCCACCCCCUAGGCUCGAGUGAAUGCCAUAUCAACCUUUUCCGUUUUACCAACCAUGAUACCCAAACGAGCCACAACACGAACAUCAGCCAGGGCCUCAGAUGGUGCCCCAGAGAAGCGCAACCACACUUGAGUAAGAGGCUUCCCCUUAGGCUCAAAUUUCUUCCAUUCGUGAAACUCCAAAAUACCAUUGGUGCCUGGCACCUUACACAUCCCAAAGCUCAGCAAGCGCUGCAAGUCCUCAACUGAAGGGAACUCAACUCUGAACACUCUUUCUUCAAUGGAAACAAGGUCCCACUGAAAAUCACCCGGAGCCAACUCCUGAAGCCUCUGCACAAUCUGAGCCUGUGAGACAUCUCCCUAGGUGACGUUCACCAAACCAGUAGUGAGACUCUGAGUAUCAACUGGAAUCUCCCUCCCAGCUGCUGACUCAAAAAACAUCAGCUCAACAUAAUACACGCCGUACACUGUAAGAGCUGGAAUCUGCUCCCUCAAAAAAGGACACUCCCCCGAUGCAUGUGCUGGCUUGCCACAAGACUCACAAAGCUGAGCCACGCAUUCUGCAAUGAAAUGACCUUUCUUCCCGCACCGGUAACAAAGCAUCCUCUCUUUCUUGCGCGCAUACUUGGAUACCCGCUCAGCAUCAGCCCUGUCAGCGACCUCAGUCUCCUUUCCAGUCCCAGGAACAUCAGCAACGGCCAGUGCAUUCACCACCUCCAUCGCCUGGGGUGGUAGCUCAGGGGGAACCUGGUCAGUCUCCAUUGCCGCAACGGCAGGGUCUGCAACCCUGGGUGGAGGCGGUCGGCGAAACCUCCCUCGGCCUCCACCACGACCACGGUAUCCACAAAACCACCUCUCUGUCGAUUAUCCGGUCCUGAGGCCCCCUCAACAAAACCUCCAGAUGGGCCAAGAAAAGGUCUCUCCGUAGACCCGUCACUCUGCCAUGCAUAUCCACGGCCUCCUCCCGUGGAAGAGGAUCCUCGAUGCUGACCAACACCAUAUGCAUCAUAACCGUCAUCCCCCCACUUGCCUCGUGGUGGAUCAUUUGGACCUCCAUUAUUAUUAGUCUGUCUGGCCUGUGACUGCGUCUGCCCAAAGCGGUUCUGCGCCUGCCGUGCGACAAGAUGAGGCGGAGGUGCAUGUUGCUGUCCACCCGAAGGCACAUGCACGGCCUCGGGGGUAACACCUCCACGGCCAGCCGUAGCCACCCCCGGCACAGGGGGUCUGUGACCAACCGAACCCACCGCCGCCGUCACAGCGGCUGGCGCCACCGGAGAAGGAGGCCGCUGCACACCCCGGCCAGCAGCAGACGGAGCCAGUCCCGGCGCCGGGGGCCUUUGCCCGCCACACCCAGCCGCAGACGGCAGCAAAGCCGGAGGCCGGGCUCCCUGGCUCGCGGCGCUCCCCUGGUUGCCCGCCUGCUGCCUCAAGGGAGGAGGAGGAGCUCCGCGGUGCUGUGGGGGAGGCGCCCCUCCCCGCCCCGCAGCACCCGUAGCCGGCGCCGGCGGCCGCUGUCCGUGCGGCACGGGGGCGCCACAGCCCGAACCCUAUGCCGGCGGCGGAGCAACUCCGCCCCUCCCCACCGCGCCAUUCGCAGCGGGUGGGGGGGGGGGGCAGUCCCCCGGCCAGCCAUAAGUCUCAGCGGCGAAAUCCUCCUUGCCCGGCGAUCACCGCAGACCGGUUACCCUCGACGCCCGCACCUACGAACCCUAACUCCACCCAACGACGGCGCAGGGUAGAUCCCACGAUCGGGUUCAUACGUGCAUGGCUCGACAACCAAACCGGGAUGGACUUCAGAGGUAACAUGGGCCUCAUACCCAUGUGUCUCCGGCCCAUCUCCCUCAAGGCCCGCAUCCGUCUGUGCUGGCCCAGCCGCACCCAGCAGUCGUUCCAGCGCGGCCGCCCUCGACGUUUGAAUCAAGGCCGCUGCGGCCGCCAUGACCGGCGCCGGCGAUCCCAAACUCCGGACCGAUCGCCGCACCUUCUUUCUUCGCUUAACCGUAACCCACUCCUCCGGAUGAAUCAAAUCAAAAACAGUAAGUUUUGUCAAACUAACCUUAGGUAAAGGUCCUUUCCACGGCCGGAGUGCCGUUACCGUUGUCUUCCGAUGAACGAUCCGGCGGAUCAUCUCGAUCCUCUCUCCGGCGUGUAGUCCCGCGCGAGCCGGAUCCUCCGGAGGAACGACCCGAUCUACCGUGGUAGCCACCUCCUCUUUGGAAUACCCUGAAUGGAAAAACUCGCAGAUGAGGUCAGAAGGGGAAGGCGACGGCGGGGACUCCACCGGCGGCGCCGCCCCAUCAUCUUCCGCGUCUUCUUCAUCAGAGUCCGCCAAAGCCCAAAACCGGCCUCCCACCCGCCGGCGAUCGCCGGUGCCGGACGGCGGAUCCGCAGUCGGGCGCAAGUCGCCCCCGCGGUCGCCCUCAGAGCGCCCCCUCGAUCGCCCCAUCCAGCUAGGCCUCACUGCGGCGGUGAUAAUAUAUUUGUCACGACACUGCGGCUGCCACGUGGUGCACCACGAUCAGUGUGACCGAUCAAUAAAUCCCACCUACGAUCUAACAAAUUUGUUGCCUCUCAAUUUUCGCAUGUUUUUGAAGUUGUAGUCUCAGAAUCAACACAACACAAAAGAUGGCCAUACUUUACAUGUUAGGCAAUCCCCUAUACGUUUCUGUAAACUAGCAAUGUAGCCCAUGUAAAUGCACAUGCAGAGUCUUUUAAUCAUCUAUCGUAUAUUAUUGAUCAAGUUACAUACAAAGUGUGAUUCAUAAAUUCCGGAAUAUAUUUAGAUUUUUUAUUUAUUAUUUUCACAGCUACUAGAGAAAUGAAUCAUAUCCCAAAGAAUUAAUAUUAAAACAAAUUUAGUUGCCCCAGCCAAAAUAUAAUAAUACAUAACUAAAAUUAACGUAUUAUAUGCUUUAAUAUCGGAAAAGACAUGUAGCUGUGUAAAUAUCUUCUUUUCGCUAUGCAAAUCUCUUGAUUUCACGAAACUUGAAAUACAAGUCAGACGGCUACAUUAACAAAUCUUCAAAUUUGAUUGAUAUUAAUUGUUUUUAUAUUCACUUGAUUAUUUUUAAUUUUUAAUUUUCAUUACGUUUAUGUUACUAAUAUUUACAACAACAACAACAACAACAAGAAUGUCUUUAGUCCCAAACAAGUUGUGGUAGGCUGGAGUUGAAACUUAUAAGAUCUCACAAUCAACUCAUGGUUCUCGCACAUGGAUAGCAAGCUUUGUUGUCUCGGAACCUAAAUGGGUAUGAAAUUGAUGUCCAAAUCAUGAGUUGGCUUACCAUUUCGACUUCAUAUUAGUUUGAUAUGUAAAUUUUGUACGCGAUGUUGGCAAGUCCUUAAGUUAAAGAAAAAGAAGUUUAAAUAAUAAUUUAUUGGUUUUACCAUGGUUUAGGUCCAUUACGAAUUUAGAUAUUACAAUAUCGUUCCCACUUGAAAUUAAAUAGUUUUAUUGCGCACUAUUUUCAUAUAUGUUCCCAUAUUGUCUAAGGCUUGUGUGAUGUUCUCUUUAGUUUUAAUUAAAGAUCCUUUUGAAAGAGCAUAACCUGAGAACGGUGACCUUUUUCUAUUCUAAUAUGGACACACCGAGUUCCUAAACAUUAAAAAAACGAGGAAUUUUUAUGUAUCUCCCAUUGGCCUUUUUGCAUAGACCAAUAAUAAUGUUGGCGAUGGUCUUCAUCAAGUAGCAAGGACAAACAUAAAUUAACCGAAUAUUUCUCUAAAUGAACUGGUGUGAAGGUGUUUUUUUUAAAUUGAAGUAAUGCCACAUCAAGCACAGUAAGACAUGUUGAACAUGCCAUCAUUGAAAUGUCUCAGUACAUUAAUAAGAAGAAAUGAAAUAAAAUCACAUACGUGGUUAUUUCUUCAACACUCCUUGUGCAACAUUCUUCUAUGUUUUUCAACUACAGUUCCCCUGAAAAAAAAAAUGCUAAUUUCUGAACUCAAGUGAUGGACCUUUAAAUAAUCUCUUUGUAAAUGUUCCAAAAUUAUAUAGAGUUUGAAAAUUUUGUACACUACUUAUCUCGUACUUAUUAUUCUGCCUGAGAUCGGUAGAUGCCUACUUGCCAAAUUAUAAUGACAUAAUGCAGACAAAACAUGGACCACUGCUCAGGUAGAAGCUUAUGUUUCUAGAGAAUUAUAAACAUAAGAAGCAAGUUAGGAAGAAAGUUGCAUAUUAGUCCUAUCUAUGGAUGACAAAGAAGAAGUACAUACAUUACUUAUAGGAUGGCAUAGUAUUUUAUAUAUUUGGCAUCACCAUGUCUACCUUUCUUUAAAUUAUAUACAAGGAUGACCUUAGGAUGCUUCUUACUAAGAAAUACCUUUGUUGUUGCAUGUACAUAUCAGUUUUAGGUCUAGCAAGCUAAAAGCAAAUAGGAGGUGAUGACAUCUCCGCCUCCUACACCCUGGCUCCACUUCGGGUUCACCAUCCAAUUUUUUGUGCAUCGUAGUGCUUUAUUAUGUAUGAAAGCCAGCAUGGUGCCAGCUCAAUGAGGUGCUGGAUUAGGAAGAUGGUUGACAUCGGUGGUGGAUGGUGGCUCGAAAAGGCUUCAGCGGGAGCUUAGCAUCAGUGGCGGAGGGUAUCCUCACUUGUGUGGAUGCAUCUUGUUCACAAGAUUAACACAUGACAAGAUGAUGGAAUAUGACAUGGACUUGUGAUUCACAAGGAAUGGAAAUGGAUAGAAGGAAAAUUUUAGUUUAGUAUUGAAUUGCGCGCGGUUACAACUUCCAAUCAUGUCGACUACCAUAAUUACUCAGUGGAUGUAUGGACUACUGGGAUGAAGAGCAUAAUUACUUGUUUCCCAAAGAGUUAACCAUGGAAAUGUUUUUGGUUGAUUGGUUGAUCGGUACCAUAGGUGGUUCUUUUGACUGGUUUAAUGCCCACAUUAAGUGGAACUGCUAUGAGAUAAAGGUGUACUAUUGUUCAAGAAAAAAAUGUUCUAAAUUAAUAAAGGAUGGAUACAUGUUUUGAAAUAGCAAUUGUAGUACAGUUUCCAGUCCUGUACAAGAUAGGCUCACCUCACAAAUAUGAAAAAGUAGUAUAGUAAAAGGUAGGCUCACACCCCACAUACUGAUGAAUGGAUGGACAUAUGACAACAUAGUUCUCCUUGGUAAUUCUGCAUCUAAUCUUAUCUAUAUUAACUAAUUGAAAGCAUCCUACAAGUCGUCAUGGUAAUUCGAGGAUAUCAUCGCACAAAACAGAAAUAAAGUUUCUUAAAUGUUCAAGAGGAAUUGUGUAUGUUCUCAAGAUAUGCGAAAAAAAUUACAAAUCCAAAUUAAAAUACACAUAGAGAGACAAUGAAGACAAAUCUAAAUGUGAAUAGUGUCAUUUUCGUUGUUGUCUUUUUGUGACACUAUUCAUGCUGGAUUAUUGUUUCUUCGUGUGUAUUUCAGAAUUAAAUUUGAUGUUUUUAGUAACUUACACACAUAUCUUGUGAGGAUUUACAAAUAUUCUAAGUUGAAACAUUAAAAUUUGAGUUUAAUAUAUUGGUAUCACGAUAAGCUUUUAACAUAGUAUCAAUAACUAUUCUCAGCAAAAGUACAUCUAAUUUCUUGCUCUUUAAAAUAACUCCACAUAGAGGGUUUUUAUUUCUUAGGAUAAUGAUACACCAUAGCAAGAGAGUCCUCUCGCAAUUUACAUGGCAUAUGGAGUACAUCUUAUAUUAAAACAAUUGUUUAAUGCCCAAAGUUGAUUGGAACGUCGAGCGCAAGCAUAAUACUAGUCCAAAAAUAUUGUUCUAAAUAAAUAGAAAUUUUGACCAUUAAUCGGAUAAAAAUUAUGAGUGAUAUGCCAUCAAAAUUUUACCAUGGAUAACUUCUUGAACUUGAAUCCUAUUAUAAAGUUUUUAUUAACGUAUACCUCAUAAUUUGUUGACCAAAAUAACCGCUCCAAUUUUAAUUAAAUAUAUGUUAGCCUUAAAAACACAAACGGAGCGAGGAUAUGAUAUCUUAGAUCCCAAAGCUUGACAAAUGCCUAGGCAUAGGGUGGUAUUGUGCCCCUUUGGAUUUUUUUUGUCUUGUAUCAUCUAAUUGGAGGCUUCAACGGGAGGUUGGCAUCAGUGGCGGAGGGUAUCGUCACUCGUUGGGAUACAACCUGUUGACCAAAUUAACACAUGACAAGAUGAUAGAUAGGUCGCAUAGACUUGUGAUUGACAAGGAAGGGAAAUAGAUGGACGGAAAAUUUUAGUUUGGUGUUGGAUUUCAUGCGGUUGUAUCUUCUAAUCAUGUCGAAUCCCACAAUUACUCGGUGGAUGUAUGGACUACUUGGCUGAAGAGCAUAAUUAUUUGUCUGAGCAAGAGUUAACUAUGGAAAUACUUUUGGUUGAUCGGUACCAUAGGUAUUCAUUUUGACUGGUUUAAUGCCCACAUUAAGUGGAACUGCUACGAGAUCAAGGUUUACUAUUGGUCAAGAAAAAAAUGUUCUAAAUUAAUAAACAAUGAAUACAUCUACUGAAAUAGCAUCAGUAGUAUAGUUUCCAGUCCUGUACAAGAUAGGCUCACCUCACCGAUAUGAAACAGUAGUACAGUAAAAGAUUGGCUCACAUCCCACAUCCCGAUGAAUGGAUGGAGAUAGGACAACAUGGUUCUCCCUUGUAAUUCUGCAUCUAAUCCUAUCUAUAUUGACUAAGUGAAAGCAUCCUUCAAGUCAUCACGUUAAUACAUGGAUACCAUUGCACAAAACAAAAAUAAACUAUCUAAAAUGUUCAAGAGGAAUUGUGUAUGUUCUCAAGAUAUGCAAGAAAAUUACAAAUCAAUACACAUAGAGAGACAAAGAAGACAAAUCUAAAUGUGAAUAUUGUCAUUUUCAUUGUUGUCUUUUUGUGACACUAUUCAUGCAGGAUUAUUGUUUCUCCAUGUGUAUUUCAGAAUUGAAUUUGAUGUUAUUAGUAACUUACACACAUAUAUUGUGAGGAUUAACAAAUAUUCUAAGUUGAAACAUUAAAUUUUUAGUUUUAUAUGUAGUGGUAUCGCUGUAAGAUUUUAACAAAAGUAACACUAAAUAUUCUAAGCAAAAGUACAGCUAAUUUCUUGAUCUUUAAAAUAGAUCCACUUGGAGGGUUUUUAUUUCUUAAGACAAUGAUAUACCGUUGCAAGAGAGUCCUCUCCCAACUUACAUGGCAUAUGGUGUUCAUCUUAUAUGAAAACAAUUGUAUAAUGCCCAAAGUUGACUGGAACGUCGAGCACAAGUGUAGUACUAGUCCAAAAAUAUUCUUCUAAAUAAAUAGAAAUUUUGACCAUUAAGUUGGAUAAAAAUUAUGAGUGAUAUGCCAUGAAAAUUUUAGAAAGGAUAACUUCACUUGAACUUGAAUCUGAUUAUAUAGUUUUUAUUAACAUAUACCUCACAAUUUGUUGACCGAAAUCACCGCCCCAAUUUUUACUUAAAUAUGUUUGAGCCUAAUGAACACAGACGGAGCGAGGACAUGAUAUCUCAGAGCCCAAAAAUUGAUGAAUGCCUAGUUAUAGGGUGGUGUUGUGCUCCUUCGGAUUUUUUGUCUUAUAUGAUCUAAUUGGAGACAUACUUGGAGCCAACACAUUAUUGCUAGAAAAAAAUAGAUUUAAUAGAUUGAUCUUAAAAAUAAGUCUGCAUAACAGUUCAGUGUUCUAACCGCGUAGUUAGAUAUUACUAGCAAUUCACAACUCUUAUGCGGUACAUGUUCUGAGUAUUUACCACCCGCCUAAAAAUGUGCUAGGCAUAAGGAUGAUCCCAAUAGGUUCAUUGUUCAUUCAGGAGGCUCACGCCGAGAGUAGGCAGUGAUCCUCGAUGAUCUCCUCCCAUGGAUCGUCUCUAUCUCCGUGUUGUCUAGAUGCGGGAAAAGAUUAUUAUGGCAUCACUCUGGUUUAGUAUUUAAUCAUGCGGUGGAAAAUAAAGGAUUGGAUGACUGCAGACUAUAUAGUGUGCCUUUUGACAAUGCAUUGGCAGGUGAGUUCAUACAUAUUAGUUCUAGAGUACAUAAUUAUUGAUUGGUUAAAUAUAGAUUGCUUAUACCUACUUGUGUAGUUUAAUAAUACGACUUAUUCUAAUGGUUUUUAUAAUCCCACCAGGCCAGAAGCUUCGUGGACUUAAGCAUUUACUUUUCUAGUUAGACAUCAACAUCUUGGAGCUAAUGUGGGAGCCGUUCAACAAACCACAUGUUAAGCUAAAUAUCUAUUGUGUUACCCAAGCUAGGAGAUUAUCUUUGACGGGGGAAACUAUGUGUUUUGGGGAUUUUUAUGUCAAGGGAGCCCAAUCAGUUCUCAAUUGAGUGAAUUGAAAAACAGAAAACCAUAGAAAGGACUAGCAGAAAACGGGCCUUUAGUCCCGGUUCUGAAACCGGGACAAAACAAACGGGACUAAUGCCCAAAACCUUUAGUUCCGGUUGGCUUAUGACGCGGGACUAAAGGAGCUCCACGUUGCCGCUGUCUGGAGCUCCACCUUUAGUCCCGGUUGGUAACACCAACAAACACCAAUCGGGACUAAAGAAAUUUUUUUAAAAAAUAGAAUUUUUUUUGAAUUUUUUUGAAUUUUUUCCGAUUUCAAAUAUCUGAAUUAUUUGACAAUUUAAUCUCUAAUCACCCCUCAUCACUGCCCAAGUGUGGAGCACUCAUUUCAAAUCGUCUAAGUUCUCGGCUGAUUACCCAUCCUCUCACUAUUCCAGCCUAAGCAUGCUUAAAACUCCCAAGGUCUAUUCCCCCUAGUUUCCAAGUCUGCACUUGUUUUUCUGCUCACAAUAGUAAACUGUCAAUUCUAUUAACCCUUAGGAAAUGAAAUUGAGCAUGAAGUCACACGUUUCACCAUUUGAGUUCGAAACUAUUAUUCUAAAAAACAAUAUUUAUUUAGUAACAAUAAUAUUUCUUGAACAAGUAGUUUGACCAUAGUUUGACCAGAGUUUGGCCAAAAAUUCAAAAAAGCUUAAAUUUGAGGAUAACUUUUUUCUUUUCAGAAUUUGAGGAUACUAAAAAUUUGCAAAACGGCAUGCGGCGGUCGAAAUUGGAACCGGCUUUCCAUACUGAACAUUUUGAUAUAUUAUACGUUUUUUUCGACAUCGUAUGGAAAAGUUAUAGCCGUUUUCAUAACUCUUUUUUCAAAACAUGUCGAAAUUUAUGUUUUUUAUUUUUCCUAACUAGUAGAUAUAGUAACAUAACUACAUCUCGAAGGAUUUUAAUUUUUGAAGUUUUUAUCAUUUUCUUUUGUUUUUUUCCAAACUGAAAUGGCGAUAGGGGGUAGAGUUUGAAAAUUGCAGAACCCCUUUAGUACAGGAUGGUGUCCAUCCAAUCCGGCCGUCGACUACAUCUUCUAGCACCGUCCCAGCCAGAGUCACAACUACGGUUAACCAAGCGAGAGUAACGUUCUAUUAAUGUGGCAAAAGGAAUUACUUUUUAAUAUAGUAAAACUAAUUAUAUCAACUAUUAUUAAAGACUAAACAACUAUUAAUACAAAACAAUAUUAAAAUUAAUAUUAAAUAAUUAUAAAAACUUAUCUACUGUUGGCUAACAGAAGCAUACUACAACAUGUUAAAAUCUACAAAAAGAACUACUAAAAAUAAUUGAAAACAACAAUUAGAGGACUAAAACAACUAUAUAAGCAAAAUAGUACUAUUUUAAUUAAAACUCUAUUUUAAAUUGUUCUAAAAAUAACAAAAUAAAUCUUACCGUGACAACAAUCUAACAUGUGAUUAGGAGAAAAAGAAUUAAAUUUAAAACUAUUUUUAAACUAAAAUUAUUCACAAUCUACGGUUUGAAGCAAGUUUGAAAAAAAUCAUAUUUAAAUAAUUCAAAUUUGAUAAUGGCACAAACAGAAACUAGGCAAAAUUUUGAAUCUAAUGCAAAAAAGAAUCACUCAAAAACAUUAGAUAUCCUAAAAGAUAUAAGCAAUUUAAAACAGAAACUAAAAAUAAAAAACAAAAAACAAAUUUCAAAACCCCUUUAGUCCCGGUUGGUGGCUCCAACCAGGACUAAAGGUCCUCAACCCCUUUAGUCCCAGUUGGUGGAGGUCUAAUCUUUAGUCCCGGUUGGAGAUAGCAACCGGGACUAACGGGCAUCGCACCUUUUAGUCCCGGUUGGUGUCUCAAAUCAGGACUAAAGGUCCCAUUUGAAUAGGUACUAAUGCGUGCCCGGUGCCCUAACCGCUCGUAUCGGGACUGAUGCUCACAUUAGUCCCGGUUCGUAAUGCAACUAGGACUGAUGUGUAGAUUGAGCUUGGACCAAAGCCAUGUUUUCUACUACUGACGUUCGACACAAUAUAUUACCCAUGUUGCUUUAGUUAACCUAUUUAUAUUAUGUGGGUGGUGUAGCAUCCAAAAUCAAUGCAGUUAAUUCUGUCUGUUCCAGAAAAUGGUUAUCAACUUCCCAUUUUGUUCUAGCAUUCUUUAUUUCUUACAAAUGUUCUUCUACAAAUAAUCCAAUCAUGAUUGCUACCCAUAUGGUGGGAUGCAGCAUAGUAUAAUUGUAUUUUACAUUGACGGGAUUACUUUUAAUUUAUAAUUUUCAUAACAUCUAAGUUUCUUUUGUUUACUUAACUAUAAAAUAAAUAGUGGUCUAGGAGCAUCUUUUCUACAUAUUUCUAAAACUUAAAUAAAGUAAAUAUAUUUUAAAAUCAAAUUAUUUGUAUUUAUCUUUGGUUUCUACUCAAUAAAGAAGAGAUAUACAUAAGCCUUAUGAGAUAUAUACUCCAUUGUAGAUUAUUAAUUAGGGAAAUUUGUCGUCGAUAUAAUUCAUGCUAUGUUGAUCAUUGUCACGCCAUACAUAUCCUAUCUGGUCCACCACAUAUACAAUGGGUAAGUAUCAUUGUCUGAGAUUUAAAAUAGAUAUGAAAUUAAAUUCCAAAUCAUGAUAUUGGCAAGUCAUUAACUUAAAUCAGAAGAAAUUAAAGUAAUAAUUUAUAUGUUUUAUAUUGUUCCGGUCAAUUUGGAAUAUAUAGAUUACAAUGGUCUUCCAAUUGCAAAUAACUGAAAAUAAAUAAUUUGAUUACGAAGUACUUUCGGAUAUGUCCCCAUAAUGUCUACUGUUUAUGUGAUGUUCUUUUUAGUUUUUAUGAAUAUUCCCUUUGAAAUGGAGGCACAAGUUCAGCAUAGUUACUUUUUUCUAUUCUAAUAUGGACAUACCAAGUUCAUAAAAACUAAAGGUUAAUGAUUUUUUACGUAGCUCUGGUUGCCCUUUUGGCAUAGCCCUAUAAUAAUGCUGCUGAUGGCCUUUGUCAAGUACCUAGGACAAACAUAAAUUGACUAAAUAUUUCUAUAAUUUGACAAUGAAGUGGUCUCAAGGCAUUUUUUAAAACUAAACUAAUGCCACAUCGAACACAAUAAGAACAUGUUGAACAUGCAACCAGGGAAAUGUGACAGUAGGUCAAUAAGAGGAAAUGAAACAAAAUCACAUCGUGCAUUCUUCUAUGUUUUUCAAUUCCAAUUCCUCUUAGAAGAAUAGUAAUUUGUGAACUGAAGCGAUGGACUGGUAAAUAAUCUUUUUGUGCAUGUUAAGAAUUAUCACGAAUAUUUCUAUAAUUUUAUGAACAGACUGAAUAUUUCUAUAAUUUUACAGUGAAGUGGUGUCAAGGAAUUUUUUAAACUGAAGUAAUGCCACAUCAAACACAAUAAGAACAUGUUGAACAUGCUACUAGGGAAAUGUGUCAGUAUGUCAAUAAGAGGAAAUAAAACAAAAUCACAUACAUGAAUUUUUAUUGCUUCGACACUUUCAUGGUGCAUUCUUCUAUGUUUCGCAAUUCUAAUUCCUCUUAGAAGAAUAGCUAAUUUGGUUACUGAAGCGAUGGACAGGUAAAUAAUCUUUUUGUGCAUGUUAAGAAUUAUCACGAGUAGGAAAAUUCCAUAAACUACUUUGCCAAUACUUACACUUCUGGUUGAGAUUGGUAGAUGUCUACUUGAAAAAUUACAAUGACUUAACGCAGUCAAACAAUGGACAAUUGCUUUGGUAGAAACUUGUGUUUUUGGAGCAUUACAGCAAGUCAUGAUUAAACGUACAGAUAGGACCUAUCUAUAGAAUAACAAAACAAACAAAUACAUUACUUAUGAUGGCAUAGUCACUUUUAGACUUUGCAUUACCAUGUCUACCUUCUUUGAGAUUAUACACUAAGAUGGCCUUAACAUGCUUGUUACUGACAAACCAACUUUUGUUGUCAGAGUUACGAAUUGGUUUUAGGUCUCACUACCUAAAGGUAACCAGGAGGCGUUGGCAUCUUCACCUCUCAGCCCGCUAGCACCGCUGUGGGUUCGCGAAUUUAGCUGCGAAAUAACUUUACAAGAAAUCCGGACACUACCAAUCCUUAAACAUUUCUGGAAACCACAAUCAAAACAAAAAAUACUGAGUCUCUUAAACAAGAUAUUCUAAAACUUAGGUAAUUUAUAGCAUCCAAUAUUUUCGUGCGGCGUAGUGGUUUAAUCCAUAUGAAAGCAAGCAUGGUGGCAGCCGGAUAAGGCAAUGGGUCAGGCAGGAGGUUGAGAUCGGUGGCGUCGUGGCGGGGCAAAGAGGCUUCAGCCGGAGCUUGGCAUCUGUUGCAGCGGGUGUCGUUGCUCGUGGUGAUGCAACCUGCUGAACAGUGUAACACAUGACAAGAUGGACAACGGCCAUGGACUUGUGAUUAUCAUCGAAGGGAAAUAUACGGUAGAGAUGUUUUAGAUUAGGUUUGGGUUCGAUGUGGACGCAACUUUUUCAAUCAUGCUGAAUCCCACAAUUAACUUGGUGAGUGUAUGGACGGCUGAGCUGAUGAGCAUAAUUAGUUGUUUGACCAAUACUUAAUGAUGAAACUUUCUCAGGUUGAUCGGUAGCACAGGUAGUCGUGUCAGAAAUUUUUGAUGCCCACAUUGAGUGGAACUGUUUGGAGCUCGAGGUGUACUACUUGUCCGGAAAAUAUUGUUCUAUAUAAAUAUACGAUGGAUACAUCUUCUAAAAUACUCUCUCCCUUUCUAAAUAUUUGUUUCUUAGAGAUUUUAAAUGGACUACUACAUAUGCGGAUGUAGAUAGACAUAUUUUAGAGUGAGAUUCACUGAUUUUGCUCUGUAUGUAGUCACUUGUUGAAAUCUCAAGAAAGACAAAUAUUUAAGAACGGAGGGAGUAGUAUUAAUAGCACAGUGAUGCAGUCUUGUACUCCCUCCGUCCCAAGAUAGGCUCACAUCGCAGAGAGAGAGCGAGAGAGAGAGAGAGAGAGAGAGAGAGAGAGAGAGAGAGAGAGAGAGAGAGAGAGAUGGGGUUCAAACAAGCAGAAUUAUCUGGUUGUUGAUACUACCCCAUAACUCAAUAGUCGGAUAUUGAUAAGAUAUGUAUGGAUGCGGCGGCUACUACGGCCACACGUUGGGGGUGCGUAGCUGAUGGCCCGUUAUUGCAACCAUCUGGCCUUCAUUAGUGCAGACAAUUAAGAGUCAACGAAAGUAGUCUUUUCAAGUGAAUUUAAUGUUGGGUGUCCGCAAGCACAAACAAACCACACUUUACAAUGGGACGUGGAAGCUUGGAGAUGCUAUCACAGCCACAGCUCGUCGUCUUAAUCUGAACUAACUCCCUGGAGCUCGAUGGGAACAGCUACUCUAACUUCCUGUUUCUGAACACCAGCAGAAGCGACGGCGGCGCCGGAAACAGUCUUGUUCAUAAUACUCACAAGUAUGAAGCAGCUGAGCUGUUGUCGAGUUCAUAAACAUAAGUUCGGAAUUACAGGUUGGUGAAUGACAGUGAGCUUCCUGCCAACCACCCUGGCCAUCUGUCCAAGUGAAAGCAAUGGAUAGAUUAACAACUGCAUAUUCCUGCCUUUAUGAGACUAUUACGCUGGAAUCCCCAAAAGGACGGCAAAUGAAAUGACACAUUAUAAUUAAUCGCCAUGAUACUUGUAUGAUGCUCAGUAAGGACACGGCAACGAGGUGGUGAUUGUGAUCUUCUGGCUUCUCUCAUGGACCGAUACUCGUUAAUUGUUGUGAUGAUCAAGGCGGUGAUAUAUAUUUAUCACGACACCACCGCAUCCACACAGCGCACCGCCCCCCAAUCGUAUGGUCCAUUAAUAAAUCCUACUUAUGAUCUAACAGAUGUGUUGCCUCUCAAAUUUUGCAUGUUUUUGGAGAACAUGUAGUCUCAGAAUCAAUACAACAAAAAAGAUGCCGCUGUUUACACGUUCCGUAAUAACCUUUACAUUUCUGAAAACUAGCAGCAAAGUGGCCCACGUAAAUGCACAUGUUUUAUAUAAAGUGAGACUCAUAUAAUUGGGAAUAUAUUCAACUAUUUUGUUUUAUUAGCUUCGUAACUAUUAGUUACAUACAAAGUGUGAUUCAUAAAUUCCGGAAUAUAUUCAGAUUUUUUAUUUAUUACUUUCACAACUACUAGAGAAAUGAAUCAUAUCCUAGAGAACUAAUAUUAAAACAAAUUUAGUUGUCGCAGCCAAAAUAUAAUAAUACGUAACUAAAAUUAAUGUAUUAUAUGCUUUAAUAUCGGAAAAGACAUGUAGCUGUGUAAAUAUCUUCAUUUCGCUAUGCAAAUCUCUUGAUUGCACGAAACUUGAAAUACAAGUCAGACGGCUACAUUAACAAAUCUUCAAAUUUGAUUGAUAUUAAAAAAAAAAUUAUAUUCAUUGGAUUAUUUUUAAUUUUUAAUUUUAAUUAUGUUGAUGUUACUAAUAUUUACAACAACAACAACAACAAUGUCGUUAGUCCUAAACAAGUUGUGGUAGGCUGGAGUUGAAACUCAUAAGAUCUCACAAUCAACUCAUGGUUCUCGCACAUGGAUAGCAAGCUUUGUUGUCUGGGAACCUAAAUGGGUAUGAAAUUGAAGUCCAAAUCGUGAGUUGGCCGACCAUUUCUACAUCAUAUUAGUUUGAUAUGCAAAUUUUGUAUGCGAUGUUGGCAAGUCCUUAAGUUAAAGCAAAAGAAGUUUAAAUAAUAAUUUAUUGGUUUUACCAUGGUUUAGGUCAAUUGCGAAUUUAGAUAUUACAAUAUCGUUCCCACUGAAAUUAAAUAAUUUUAUUACGCACUAUUUUCAUAUAUGUUCCCAUAUUGUCUAAGGCUUGUGUGAUGUUCUCUUUAGUUUUAAUUAAAUAUCCUUUUGAAAGAGGCAUAACCAGAGAAUGGUGACCUUUUUCUAUUCUAAUAUGGAGACACCGAGUUCCUAAACAUUAAAAAAUAGAGCAUUAUAAACAUAAGAAGCAAGUUAGGAAGAAAGUUGCAUAUUAGUCCUAUCUAUGGAUGACAAAGAAGAAGUACAUACAUUGCUUAUAGGAUGGCAUAGUAUUUUAUAGAUUUGGCAUCACCAUGUCUACCUUUCUUUAAAUUAUAUACAAGGAUGACCUUAGCAUGCUUCUUACUAAAAAAAUACCUUUGUUGUCGCACGUACAUAUCGGUUUUAGGUCUAGCAAGCUAAAAUCAAAUAGGAGGUGAUGACAUCUCUGCCUCCUACCCCCUGGCUGAGAAUAGUUAGUGACACAGUAUCACUAACUAUUCUCAGCAAAAGUAUGUCUAAUUUCUUGCUCUUUAAAAUAACUCCAUGUAGAGGGUUUUUAUUUCUUACGAUAAUGAUACACAUAGCAAGAGAGUCCUCUCGCAAUCUACAUGGCAUAUGGAGUUCAUCUUAUAUUAAAAAAUUGUUUAAUGCAAAAAGUUGACUGGAAAGGCGAGCACAAGCAUAGUACUAGUCCAAAAAUAUUCUUCAAAAUAAAUAGAAAUCGUGACCAUUAAGUCGGAUAUAAAUAAUGAUGAUAUACCAUGGAUAACUUCUCUUGAACCUGAAUCUGAUUAUAUAGUUUUUAUUAACAUAUACCUCACAAUUUGUUGACCAAAAUCACCGCCCUAGUUUUUUUAAAUAUAUGUGGGCCUUAUAAACACAGACGGAGCAAGGACAUGAUAUCUCAGAUCGCAAAGAUUGACGAAUGCCUAGGCAUAGGGUGGUGUUGUGCUCCUUCAGAUUUUUUUUGUCUUAUAUCAUCUAAUUGCAGGCUUCAGUAGGAGCUUGGCAUCAGUGGUGGAGGGUGUCCUUAGUUGUUGGGGUGAAACCUAUUGACCAGAUUAACACAUGACAACAUGAUAGACUGAUGCCAUGAACUUGUGAAUAACAGGGAAGGGAAAUAGAUGGAAGGAAAAUUAUAUUUUAGUGUUGGAUUGCGCGCGGUUGCAACUUCUAAUCAUGUCAAAUCCCACAAUUACUCGGUGGGUGUAUGGACUACUGGGCUGAAGUGCAUAAUUACUUGUUUGACAAAGAUUUAACCAUGGAAAUGUCUUUGGUUGAUCGAUACCAUAGGUAGUCGCUUUGACUAGUUUAAUGCACACAUUAAGUGUAACUGCUACGAGAUCAAGGGUUACUAUUGGUCAACAAAAAAAUGUUCUUAAUAAAUAAAUGAUGAAUACAUCUACUGAAAUAGCAUUAGUAGUACACUUUCCAGUCUUGUACAAGAUAGGCUCACCUCAACUAUAUGAAACAGUACUACAGUAGAAGAUCGGCUCACAUCCCACAUACUGAUGAAUGAAUGAACAUAGGACAACAUGGUUUUCCUUGGUAAUUCUGCAUCUAAUCUUAUCUAAAUUAACUAAGUGAAAGCAUCCUUCAAGUCAUCACGUUAAUUCGAGGAUACCAUUGCACAAAACAGAAAUAAAAUUUCUUAAAUGUUCAAGAGGAAUUGUGUAUGUUAUAAGACAUGCAAAGAAACUAAAAUACACAUAGAGAGACAAAGAAGACAAAUCUAAAUGUGAAUAGUGUCAUUUUCGUUGUUGUCUUUUUGUGACACUAUUCAUGCUGGAUUAUUGUUCCUCCAUGUGUAUUUCAGAAUUGAAUUUGGUUUUUUUAGUAACUUAGACACAUAUCUUGUGAGGAUUUACAAAUAUUCUAAGUUGAAACAUUAAAAUUUUUAGUUUUAUAUAGUGGUAUCACGGUAAGCUUUUAAAAACAGUAUCACUAAAUAUUCUCAGUAAAAGUACAUCUAAUUUCUUUAUCUUUAAAAUAACUCCACGUAGAGGAUUUUUAAUUCUUAGGAUAAUGAUAUACCGUAGCAUGAGAGUCCUCUCGCAACUUAUAUGGCAUAUGGUGUUCAUAUUAUAUUAAAACAAUUGUUUAAUGCCCAAAGUUGACUAGAACGUCGAGCACAAGCACAGUACUAGUCCAAAAAUAUUCUUCUAAAUAAAUUGAAAUGUUGACCAUUAAGUUGGAUAAAAAUUAUGAGUGAUAUGCCAUCAAUAUUUUACCAUGGAUAACUUCUCUUGAACUUAAAUCCUAUUAUAAAGUUUGUAUUAACAUAUACCUCAUAAUUUGUUGACCAAAAUCACCGCCCCAGUUUUUAUGUAAAUAUGAUAUCUUAGUUCCCAAAGAUUGACGAAUGCCUUGGCAUAGGGUGGUGUUGUGCUCCUUUUGAUUUUUUGUCUUGUAUCAUCUAAUAGGAGGCUUCAACAGGAGCUUGGUAUCAGUGGCGGAGUGUAUCGUCACUCGUUGGGAUGCAACCUGUUGACCAGAUUAACACAUGACAAGAUGAUACACAGGUCCCAUGGACUUGUGAUUAACAAGGAAAGGAAAUAAAUCGAAGGAAAAAUUUAGUUGAGUGUUGGAUUGCGUGCGGUUGCAACUUCCAAUCAUGUCGAAUCCCACAAUUACUCGGUGGGUGUAUGGACUACUGGGCUGAAUUAGUUGUUUGACCAAGAGUUAACCAUGGAAAUGCCUUUGGUUGAUCGGUACCAUAGGUAGUCGUUUUGACUGGUUUAAUGCCUACAUUAAGUGCAACUGCUACGAGAUCAAGGUGUACUAUUGGUCAAGAGAAAAAUGUUCUAAAUUUAUAAACGGUGAAUACAUCUACCGAAACAGCAUUAGUAGUACAGUUUCCAGUCCUGUACAAGAUAGGCUCACCUCACAGAUAUGAAACAGCAGUACAGUAAAAGAUCGGCUCACAUACCACAUACUGAUGAAUGGAUGGACAUAGGACAACAUGGUUCUCCUUGGUAAUUCUCCAUCUAAUCCUAUCUAUAUUAACUAAGUGAAAGCAUCCUUCAAGUCAUCGCGUUAAUUCGAGGAUACCAUUGCACAAAACUGAAAUUAAUUUUCUAAAUGUUCAAGAGGAAUUGUGUAUGUUCUCAAGAUAUGCGAAAAAAUUACAAUUCCAAAUUAAAAUACACAUAGAGAGACAAAGAAGACAAAUCUAAAUGUGAAUAGUGUCAUUUUCGUUGUUGUCUUUUUGUGACACUAUUCAUGCAUGAUUAUAGUUUCUCCAUGUGUAUUUUAGAAUUGAAUUGAAUUUGACUUUUGGGGUUGUGCAAAAUAGGUCUCCAAUAUUUGCUCCCUUUCCAGCCCAGAAUUCCAGCUGCCGGCAUUCUCCCUCUUUGUGUAAACCUUAUAAAAUAAGAGAGAAAAGGCAUAAGUAUUGUGACAUAAUGUGUAGUAACAGCCCACAACGCAAUAAAUAUUGAUAUAAAAGCAUGAUGCAAAAUGGACGUAUCAUGGUUUUGUGCUCGUUCUGAUUUUUUUGUCUUAUAUCAUCUAAUUGGAGGCUUUAGCAAGAACUUGGCAUCAGUGAUGGAGGGUGUCCUCACUUGUCGGGGUGCAAACUGUUGACCAGAUUAACACAUGACAAGAUGAUAGACAGAUGCCAUGAACUUGUGAUUAACAAGGAGGGGAAAUCGAUGGAAGGAAAAUUAUAUUUUAUUGUUGGAUUGCGUGCGGUUGCAACUUCCAAUCGAUCAUGUCGAAUCCCACAAUUACUUGGUGCGUGUAUGGACUACUUGGCUGAAGAGCAUAAUUAGCUGUUUGACCAAGUGUUAACCAUGGAAAUGUCUUUCGUUGAUCGGUACCACAGGUAGUCGUUUUGACUAGUUUAAUGCCCACAUUAAGUGGAACUGCCACGAGAUCAAGGGUUACUAUUGCUCAAGAAAAAAAUGUUAUUAAUCAAUAAACGAUGAAUACAUCUACUGAAAUAGCAUUAGUAGUAAUACAGUUUCCAGUCUUGUACAAGAUAGGCUCACCUCACAGAUAUGAAACAGUAGUACAGUAAAAGAUCGGCUCACAUCCCACAUACUAAUGAAUGAAUGGACAUAGGACAACAAGGUUCUCCUUGGUAAUUCUGCAUCUAAUCUUAUAUAUAUUAACUAAGUGAAAGCAUCCUUCAAGUCAUCACGUUAAUUCGAGGAUACCAUUGCACAAAACUAAAAUUAAUUUUCUUAAAUGUUUAGGAGGAAUUGUGUAUGUUCUCAAGGUAUGUGAAAAAAAUUACAAAUCCAAAUUAAAAUACACAUAGAGAGACAAAGAAGACAAAUCUAAAUGUGAAUAGUGUCAUUUUCGUUGUUGUCUUUUUGUGACACUAUUCAUGCAGGAUUACUGUUUCUCCAUGUGUAUUUCAGAAUUGAAUUUGAUGUUUUUAGUAACUUAAACACAUAUCUUGUGAGGAUUUACGAAUAUUCUAAGUUGAAACAUUAAAAUUUUAGUUUUAUAUAGUGGUAUCGCUGUAAGAUUUUAACAACAGUAACACUAAAUAUUCUAAGCAAAAGUACAUCUAAUUUCUUGAUCAUUAAUUAACUCCAUGUAGAGGGUUUUUAUUUCUUAGGAUAAUCACUAGGACAUAGGCCCGUGCGUUGCAACGGGAGAUCAAAACCCUGGUUCAUAUCCUCUAUUUGAACAUGGCAUCCCACCCGUAUUGUUUCAUAUCCUCAUUCACGUCCUCUUUCCUUAUGUACACUUUCUGUUCAUAAGAGGAAAGAGUGAAAAUAUCACAUAAUCAGUUUUAGUGUUAUCCUAAUUUCUAACAUUACGUCAAAAGGUGUAUAUAAUUCUAUUACCACUAUUUUUUUUACAUUUUUUUCAAAAAAUCGGAUCAUCCUUCUAUGUAUAUAAUUCUAGUGUUCAUAAACCGAAUAUAAUCUCAAUUGAUCACAAAAUCUCUAACAUUUUUUGUUAGCUGCAUAUUAAUUUUUGAUGAAAAUCAAUGCUAUCAAUGAAAUAAAAUUUUGUGAUCAAUUGAGUCCGCAAACUUAGGUGUCUCCAUAAUGAAAAGCUAGGAGUCCGCAAUAUUUUCAUUUGAUCGAGGUUUCGUUUUAUCCAUUUGCUUUGUACGACCAUAAUUUCCUUUAAUUACAAGAGAUGGCAUGGUCCUCCCUUCCAGCCUCCAUUUCACGCGAGUUAACUGACAUUCACACCCCAACUUUUUUACUGCGUCCUUUUCUGUCUUCUUUCUUAUAUUGCAAAAUUCCUUUGCUUUCAAGGUUAAAUAGGACCCACACUUCAGCCUCUGUUCGUUAUUCUUGGUGUCUUUUUUAUUCUGUGACAACUCAUGGGCUAUAUAAACUGAUAAAAAAAUCAUGUAAAAAAGCGAGGUGAGACUAUUUAAAUGCAUAAUGAGCGGUGUAGUUAACAUACACAGGAGCUGGUCCUAGCCUGAAGGAGGCAAAUACCAGGUCGUGGGCUCGAUCCUUAGUGCAAAUGGCAAUUUUUUUGCGAAUCCUUCUUCUCAGCACAAGAGCAGGCCCAUGGCCCAGUACGUUUGUGACAUACACCAACAAAAGGCCCAGAGCAGCGUUGGCGUGCAUAGACCCCAAAAAACAGCGGUAACGAAUAUGAAUUUGUUUUGUAGCAAAAAAUAGUACCACCUCGAAUACAGUAAAAAAUAUAUAAAAUCACCUAAGCGGGACGAAACCAAGAAUAUCACCUUGCUUUAAUAGUAGGUAUAGAUAUACUGUAGAAAUAGAGUCCUCUCGCAACUUACGUGCCAUCUGGUGUUCGUCUUAUAUGAAAACAGUUGUUUAAUGCCCAAAGGUGACUGGAACGUCCAGCACAAGCGUAGUACUAGUCCAAAAAUAUUCUUCUAAAUAAAUAGAAAUUUUGACCAUUAAGUUGGAUAAGAAUUAUGAGUGAUAUGCCAUGAAAAUUUUACAAUGUAUGACUUCACUUGAACUUGAAUCUGAUUAUAUAGUUUUUAUUAACAUAUACCUCAUAAUUUGUUGACCAAAAUCACUGCCCAAGUUUUUAAUUAAAUAUGUCUGAGCCUUAUAAACACAUAUGGAGCGAGGACAUGAUAUCUCAUAUCCCAAAGAUUGAUGAAUGCCUAGUUAUAGGGUGGUGUUGUGCUCCUUCAGAUUUUUUUGUCUUAUAUGAUCUAAUUGGAGGCAUACUUUGAGCCAACACAUUAUUUCUAGCAAAAAAUAGAUUUAAUAGAUUUAUCAUGAAAAUAAGUCUGCAUAACAGUUCAUUGUUCUGACCGCGCAGUUAGAGAUUACUAGCAAUUCACAAGUCUUAUGCGGUCCAUGUUCUAAGUAUUUACCACCCGCCUAAAAAUGUGCUAGGCAUAAGGAUGAUCCCAAUAGGUUCAUUGUUCAUUGAGGAGGCUCACGCCGAGAGUAGGCAGUGAUCCUCAAUGAUCUCCUCCCACGCAUCGUCUCUAUCUCCAUGCUAUCCAGAUGCGGGCAAAUAUUAUUAUGGCAUCGCUCUGGUUAAGUAUCUAAUAAUGCGGUGGAAAAUAAAGGAUAUGAUGACUGCGGACUAUGUAGUGCCUUUUUCGACAAUGCAUCGGUAGGUGAGUUCAUACAUAUUAGUUCUGGGCCAAUAGCUCCUGUGCGACACAUUUGAGGUGAAUUAUCUUGAGUGCGACGUUGUUCGAGCAAAUGGCUGUGGUGCGACACAUUUGAGCAGGUAAAUAGCCCACGCACGACAUGGCUGUUUAAUGUGGCUAAAUUGGUCGUCAACCAAGCCCGUUUAUGUUAGGACAUGUGGGUCCAACUUAAUUGCUCCUCAAAACAGCUGACAGUGCCCUGCCGCCCGACCGUGUCGGGCCCGCCACUCUGCCCCCUCCCCCCCUCUUCUCCGGUGGCAGCGGAUCUUGCGUUCUCCGGCGGCGGCGGAGCCCUCGUUCUCAACGGCGGCGGAGCCUUCGUCCUCAAAAAAUGGUGAGUGAGAACCCUAGUCCCCCUCCCGUUCCUCUCUCGGCCCCGUAGAUCUCAGCUCGUUUCCUCUGUUUUCGCUUGUUGAAUCGAUAGGUUGUGAGGGGAGCCCGUGGGCACACUGAGAUGGAGCCGCCAGAUUCAACUUCGAAUAGGUAAUGCGUCUCUCUCCGACCCAAUUUUGCAUGCAAUUAGGGCCUAGUCUUCUCUUUCUCACGGGCUCACACUGUCCGCCACUAACAGAGGGGAUGCUGCCGUUCGGACCUUCGAAUUGACGGUCAAUUUCUUUCCAUCCAAGGCAAAAUUAGUUGAUGGUAGCAUUCAGAACAUUGAGAGAGACACAAUUGUUAAAUGGGAGGUUGAGUUUACAGAGAUUGAUCCACAAGUUCUACAGAACAUGGGAGAGAAGGCAGUGAAGAAAUGGGUGGAAAAAAUUGGGGAGAAUGUUGUUUGGGGUCCAGAGCAAGAAGUAUCACUGUUGCGGUUUGAUGAUUGGAAAGGAGAGUAUGUCAGAAUGGAAGAUGGUGAACAGAUUGUUGAUGAAAUCGAUCGGCAAAACGGCUGGACAAGCAAAAGGGCUAAUUUUUUUGAUGAGCUGGUUGAUCUGAAUAUUUUUUCGAAGGUUGGAUAUGUGCCAUCACAAUUGGCUGCGCAGAUCGUAGAUGAUGAUUGGGCUACACAGAGGCCUUUGAUUCCCAUGUGUACUGAACUUACAGUAAUAGCCGAAGAGGGAUAGGUUACUGGAACUGAAACUGAAACUGCAGCAACUGUUGAUUGGAAUGUAGUUGAAUUAGAUGAGCCUACUGAUUUGGUCAUUGCACCAAUGCCUGACAUUGAGAUGGCCAAACUUUUUGGCAUUCCAGUCGAUGACAGAGAUAAGCAGGAGAGGGGCGAAUCUAGUUUGCCUGCUAAUGUUGAUGAAGAUGUAGAUGGACAAUUGAUGGAACAAGUUGCAGAUGAAGUAGAUGAUGCACAUGAUGAUGAGCUGGUGCAUGUGUAUGACAAAGAAAACCCUAUCAUUGAAGUAGGCAAGUUGUUCCCAAGCAUGAAGGAGUUUAGGAUGUGUUUCAAGACUUAUGCAGUGAAACAUGAGUUUGAUGCCAAGCCUGUUUGGACUGAUAGAAAGAAGUUUUAUGCGAGGUGCAGAGGAUUUGAUGGUAGUGUCAAGCCUUGCAAGUGGUACAUAUCUGCUAGACUGCAACCUGAUGGAAGUACUGUCAGGGUUAACCAAAUCCCCAAUCAACAUACUUGUAUUACAAGUUCACAGAGAGUAUCAACCAUGACAUCACAACUUUGGGUUGCAGAAAAGAUCACCCCAAUUUUAGCCAAAACACCAAACACUACUGCCAAGAAACUCAAAGUAGACUUGGAAAAGAUGUACCCCAUUAAACUGAAAUAUACCACAGUGUGGAAGGCAAAACAAAGGACAAUGAAAAAUUUAUAUGGUGAUUGGGCAAAUACAUUUAGGAUGCUUUACAACUUCAAAGCAGAGGUGGAAAAGAGGUCACCUGGUAGUGUUGUGGAGAUAGAUACAGAGGUAUCAGCCAAAGGUGAAGUCAAGUUCUCCAAGUUUUUUAUGGCUUUGAAGCCUUGCAUAGAUGGCUUCAAAGCAGGGUGCCGUCCAUAUUUGAGCAUAGACUCAUCAUUUUUGACAGGCAAGUGGAAUGGUCAGUUGGCAGCAUGCAAUGCUCUAGAUGGACACAACUGGAUGUUUCCUAUUACUGUUGGCUUGUUUCAGUCAGAAACAGAGGCUUCGUGGACAUGGUUCAUGAUCCAGUUGAAAAGAUGCCUAGGGCCAGUGUCACCUUUGGCUAUACACACAGAUGCAUGUAAGGGGCUUGAAAAUUCAGUGAAAAAUGUUUUCCCACAUGCUGAGCAGAGGGAGUGCUUCGGUCAUUUGUGGAUGAAUUUGAUCAAAAAAUUUAGAGGAGAAGAAUUUGGGCGCAUGUGGCCAGCAGCAAGAUCUUACACAAGACAGACACACAAAUAUCAUCUUGAUAAGAUAAUGGCAGCAUGUUAUGAGUUUGGUCCAUGGCUGAACACCUACCAUUCUUUGUUAUGGUACAGGUCAGCAUUCAACACUGCCAUCAAGUGUGACCACAUCAACAACAAUUUAGCAGAGAGUUUCAACAACAAGGUGAAGGAGUUAAAAGAUUUGCCUGUGCAUGACAUCGUUGACCAAAUCAGGAUCAUGCUCAUGCGGUUGUGGGAAUUGAGAAGAAGGAUAGGUGAUUGUCUGCAAGGUGAUAAGCUUCCAGCAGUGGUACAACAGGUGGUCAAUAGGAGCAGAAGUCUUUCACAUUUGUUUAUUGAAAAAUCUUGACCUUGGGGUGCUGAAGUUAGAGAUAGCAAAACUGGAAGGAGACAUGUUGUUAACACUGAAUUGCAUGAUUGCACUUGCCUCCAGUGGCAACACACUGGUAAACCAUGUGAGCAUGCCAUUCUUUUGUUAGCAUCCCAACCGAAGAUAAACAUGCACCCAUAUCUGCAUGAAUAUUAUUCGGUAGCACGAUUCAAAGCUGCAUAUGCUACUCCAAUUCCAGCACUUACAGAUCAGUCUCAGUGGCCUGAAGUGGACAUUGAAUUUUCCAUGUGUCCUCCCUUGACGAAAAGAAAGGCUGGCAGGCCUAAACAGAGUAGAUUCAAGGCAUGGUUUGAGAAAGGUGGGAGUAGUAAGAAGGGAAAGAAAGAUGAAAAGCCAAAAAGGGCCCAAAAAGGUAACAAAAACAGAUGCAAAUUGUGCCAGGAACUUGGGCACAGAGUGGGAUCUGUCAAAUGCCGUUACACUCCUGAUAAGCCAAAGUAUGUUCUUGUUUAUUUUUCUGCCUUUGAUUUGGUGCUUUUUUCCAAUUACUAUAUCUAUAACAUUUUCUGCACAGGAGGAAGCGAGCAAGUCAGCCCCUUGUUGUUGAACAGUGUUGGCCAACAAAAAAAGCAAGAGUCAAUGGCGGUAGAAAGAAGAGAAGUGUGCCUGAGCCUGAGCAGACUGAAGAAAAUCUUGCUGCAGUCAACAUUCAGACUGAAGAAACUGAUGUGGAGGUGCACACCGAAGAAACUGAACCUGAGCGUGUCGAGGUUCAGACUGAAGAAACUGAACCUGAGCGUGUCGAGGUUCAGACUGAAGAAACUCAACCUGAGCGUGUCGAGGUUCACACUGAAGAAACCCAUGUUGAGGUACACAUCAAAGAAACCGAAACUGGUGUCAACAUUGAGACUGAAGACACUGAUCACGAGGGUAUUGGCGAGGUGUUGAAAAGACCAGUGAAGGAAACCAAGAUGAUCAGUGAACUUGUGUGUGUUGAAGAACCAAAAACAAGAAGGGCUAAGGCGAAGAAGGGCACACGACAUGGUAGGAAGAAGUAGAACAAAGAACAGUUUGAAAAUUUGGUGCAUGUAAUAAUAUUUGUAACUUGGUGCGUACUGGUAGUCACUAUGUAUCCCCAUAUUUCUAUUCGAACUUGUUUGUCUAAACCAGCCAAAUAAAAUUUAAAUUGAAAUUUAAAUUUAAAUUUAAAUUUGGGCUAUUGAUAUUUUAGUGCUAUCUAAAGUACCUCAACUGAAAUAUGUUUGCUUGCUGAUCAUUCCGAGCCCUUUUGGUAAGUUGAACUCAUAGUCAUGAAAAGUGUGUUUCAAAUGACCUCCAAAGGUAGGGUAAACGGCCUCAUAUUUAAGCAAGUUUUGUUGGCACUUUGUCUAAACCAGCCAAAUAAUUUUUCUACACAUCUAUUCUACCUAUAUAGUGUAAAUCUAAAGUCUCACUAUUUAUUGAAUUAAUUUUCUAUUAUUUUCUUUUCUUUUUGAAAAAACAAGGUUUAAUAGAAAAUUAUAUAUAAAACAAGUUUAAAACAUGAAAAUGAGAAAAGUAAGUUCAGAUCUUUCUUAGUCAAUCCAAAAUGAAAAUGAGAAAACAAGGUUUUCACACUUUUCAUUUUCAAAACCCCACCUACUCUCGGGUGCCCACUACUCUCUCCCUUGAACUACAUACUACAUUGUUUGAGGAAUGACAAUUUUGUGAAGGAUUUUUCGUAAAAAUGUAUGUAAACCAUAUUUAUGUUUUUUUUCUCGUUACUAUACGACAUAAUAAGACUAUGUGCGCAAGUUUUAUAUUUUUUUUGAUUUUUUUGAAUUAGUUAUGCUCAACCCUAAUCAGUCAAAACCUCUCAAAACCCCUCAAAACCCCUCUCAAAACCCCUCAAAAACCCGCACACUACCUGGUCGUCGAUCGUUUUACAUGGACGGUUGAGAUCAGGCGCUAGGGUUAGCUACAGUGUGCAGCGAUCCGCAUGAGAUGCGCUGAUUGGUUGACGCGGUGGGGUUUGGAUCAGCCUCUCUCGUUGGAGCAUCAGGACCGUUCAUUUGAAUCCAACGGCAAGAGUUGACGCGGUGCAUGGACCAAGCCUACGCAGUGCCCUUUCCAUCGUUGCAUGCGUGCCCGUGCCCACCCGCAGCAUGCAUGCCCACCCACAGGACUGCGCCCGUCGUUGGUCGUUGCAUGCAUGCCUUGACGUAGCCCUGCCCCGCCACCCCUAUCAACGCAGUAACCUAUCGCAUGCCUACCAUUAGAACCGAUGCAGCGUCGCAUCAGAGCAUGCACCAAGCCACAAUGCAGCAGCCCAAUGAAGACAACCAAAAAGAAAACGCUGCAGGACGUGCCGUGCAUGGCGUGCUCCUCUUUGAGGACACAAUAUUGGCAUGGGGUAUCGAUGUGGGUAUAGAUGCAGUUCAAACGACGUGCUGCCUGUUACAAGAUGGGUAAAUGAAGGCAUCCAUUAUUGUCACGUCCCACAUCGACCGAACGUUGCCCUCAAAAAAAAUCGACCGAACGUUGCCCUCUAGCCGGCUAGCCCUAGCAAGAUGGGCUAUGACAUGAAUGCAUGGGCGGCACACGCAGAGAACCCGGGGCAGGCGUGUCCCCUUGACCCACGACGGCACAGACGCGUGCGUGAUCCCGCCCCCCUUGACCCGCGAUCGUCACAGCCCGUUUCCCACGCUCGUGUACACACUUCCAUGGGGCGCCACCAAACGCCGCCCGCCCAUUAAUUCUACCCAGUGUAACCACAGCGCUUCCAUCAAAAACCACGUCGCUCUUGGGCUAUUUAAGCCGGGAACUAUUGUCUUCCUCUUCCUCCUCAUCCACACCCCAUCCUCUUCCUCCUCUGCCCUCCUUCUUCCUUCUUCUCCAUCAAACCCGAUCGAGCCCUCGAGCCACCGGGCGCCACCAUGCAGUACAACGCCCCCACGUACCAACUCCCCCCAACCGUGCCGGAAAGGCUCUACCCGAACGGAGUGUACGUGGAGAGUACCCUUAGGGUUUGGGCCAUCUCAAGGUGGAGGGGCGCAAGGGAGUUGACGGAUUUCUUCCUUCCGGCCGGCUUCCGCCACCUCCCCCGCGGCUCUCCAAGGAUGUACCAUGUUGAGGAGGUCACCCACAACGGCGUUGUGGUUGGGCUCCUCGCUACGUUCACUAACCCAUUCGAUGAUUUCUACCUCCUCGGGCGAGUGUAUUGGGUUGGUUGUGAGUUCAUAGCUUUCACCACCCAUAACAUUUUCACCGACUUCAACUCCAUCUUCCCCAACAACGGAGUUAUGCACACGCUCCCGUACCCAAUCAACAACGACGAGUGAAGGGCGCCCGGAGGAGCCCGGAGAGAAGAACCCGAAGAAGAACCCGGAGGAGGAGGAGAGAAGAACCCGAAGAAGAACCCGCGUUUAGUGCCCCCCGAUCUAUCGUAUCGUAUCGUAUUAGUUUUUAAGUUGUAAUUGUUAUGCUACUGUUAUUAAGUUGUAUUAGUGUUUUAAGUUGUAAGGCUAUCGUGGAACUAUGUGUUGCAAUCGGUAUGCUUCUAUAUAAUCGUUAUGCUACUAUAUAUAUAUUGUGUAUUUUGUGCUAUUAUUUGUAGAUUGCUAUGGGUUGUUCCAUUAUUUGUGUAUUGCUAUGGGUUGCUACGGGCCCGGGUUGCUACACCACAAUCACCACACACACCAUCUUCAAAAUAUUGGCCAAAUAAUGGGUCAUGACCCAAACCAUAGACAUGCAACAAGGAGCCCCAUGCAAACCCACUAUGGACAUGCAACUAGGAAAUGCAAACUAAUUUACUUCAUGCAAGCAUGCAACUCAUUUAGUUCAUGAAACCGUAGACAUGCAUAAAAACAAGUAAUAUUUAGUUUUAGUGCGUCAAAAAAUGAUCCAUCACAAAAUUUAGUGCAAGAAAAAGGCCAAAGUAAAAAACAAGUAACAUUUUAUUUGCCGAAGUUAGAGGUGGGUUGGUGCCCCUACGCGGGUGGGCUGGUCUCCUUGAGCCCGAUCUCCUUACGGCCCAACAUCUAUUCGGCAGCCCAGUUUUAUUUUUUACUAGAAACUGAAUUUGGGUGCCCGUGUACUCUGUUAACUGAAGAACCAAAACAGGAGAAACAGAGCAUGAACACUGAAUAAUUUGUGUUCCAAAUUGCUGCUUCAAUUCAGAUACAUUACUUGCACACAGAUCACAUCCUCUACACUGACAGGCCUAAAUGCCCAUUCUAAUGACGGAUGAACAACAAAUAAAACAAAAACAGAGCAAUGAUACAACAAUAGAACCCCCCUGCCAUGAUAUUUGCUUGCUUCUGCAAAUCGAUCAUCUGCAUUAGAUGUUUCUUGAUCUUCUUCAGUUCCUCGGUCAGUUCGGACUCCGCAUGCAGUUCAGCAUUGCGCGCAUACAUCGCCAUCGGCACGACUUUGCCCGCCCCUCCGCCUGAGCUCCCCGUAUUCUCCACAGCAAUCGGCGGCACCCCGCCCAAAUUGAGCUCCCAGGUUGCGGCCACGCUCGAAUCAACGUAGCCCUCAAACUGAAUCCUAUCAACAUAUUCAUCAAUCCACUCAAAAUGGUAACAUUUCUUCAUGAUCUGAAAAGAACAACACGAACCCUAAAUCCCAAACUCGAGGAGAAAAAACAAAAUAUGGAGAAAUCAGAGCGAAAGACAGCGAAAGAACGGGCUAAGAACUGAGAUCUAACCUUCCCAUCCCUUCCUGUCAUUGGUUUGCUCAAGCAUUUCACAAAUUCCUGCCCAAGAUUGCCAUUGUCAUCCCUUUUAGUGACCAACCGUUUAAGAGGGUCUGGGCGUGGGCAUUCAGGGCACCUUGUUAGCAGCACUGGUCCAUACUGUCGCCAUUUUGAUUGCGUGGCGGAGGAGGUAGACAUUUGCGCUAGGUCGCCGGAGAAGAGAAAGAUUGGGGAAAGGGGAUGAAUGGGCGGCGGCGGGCGGACGGGCACGGGCGCUCGUCUCUUCUAGCUGCGAGGAGGUGGGUCCCGCGAGUAGACAAGUGGUGGGUCCCGCGCUUAGGUGGAUAAGUGGUGUGUCCAGCGCUUACGUGGAUAAGUGGUGGGUCCAGCCCUCAACAGCUUACGAGGGCAUCAAUUCAGUUUAACAGCCAUGUCGUGCGUGGGCUAUUUACCUGCUCAAAUGUGUCGCACCACAGCCAUUCGUUCGAACAACGUCGCACUCAAGCCAAUUCACCUCAAAUGUGUCGCACAGGAGCUAUUGGCCCGUUAGUUCUAGAGUACACAAUUAUUGAUUGGUUGAAUGUAGAUUGCUUAUACCUACUUGUGUAGUUUAAUAAUACGACUUAUUCUAAUGAUUUUUAUAAACCCGCCAGGCCAGAACUUUCGUGGACUGAAUCAUUUACUUUUCUAGUUAGACGUCAGCAUCUUGGAGCUAAUGUGGGAGUCAUUCAACAAACCACGUGUUAAGCUAAAUAUCUAUUGUGUUACCCAACCUAGGAGAUUAUCUUUGACGGGGGAAACUAUGUGUUUGGGGGAUCUUUAAGUCAAGGGAGCCCAAUCAGUUCUCACUUGAGUGAAUUGAAAAAUAGAAAAUCAUAGAAAGGAUGAUGUUCGACAGAAUAUAUUACUGAUUUUGCUUUAGUUAAGCUAUUUAUAUUAUGUGGGUGAUGUAGCUUCCAAAAUAAAUGCAGUUAAUUUUUUCUUUUCCACAAAAUAGUUAUCAACUUCUCAUUUUGUUCUAGCAUUCUUAUUUUCUUUAGGUCUUAUUGGCAUGCUGGAAGAACUAGGGCUACUACAACGAGCUUUGAAAAUGCAAUAAAUCGCAACCACUAGCAUGUUCAUUACCUGAAGCCUCCUAACAAAGAUUUUCGUAUUUAUACUUGUUCAUAAAAAAUGUGCAACGGCUUGGUUAUUCCAACUAACUCAGCAAUUCGUUCUAACGUACAAAAGAAAUAUUAGGGAAAGAACAAAGGAAAACAAUGAAAAAAAAGGAACAUAUUAAAUAAGAAAAAGUGUGGGAUUCGAACCCUCGAUAGUUUCUAGAACUAUACGUGUUUACCAGAAUAGAUCUAUCAACCAUUAAACCAUCUCUCGAUAGAUAAUCCCGAUUUUAUUCUUAGAAAUAAAACAUAGUCAUACUAAAAAUAAAAAUAGAUAUAAACGUUUAGAUAUAUUUCAUGUGGGUAUAUUUUCUCCUAUUUUAUACACAUAUAUAGGAUGUGCUAUACAACCUUGUGAAAUAAAUACUAAAUCCCCUCUUCUUGCUUCCAUAAAAAAUAAAAAGAAGCAGUUAGAAAUAAUUUCGAAUAGAAUGAUUAAUGGAUUCAAGAUUAAACUGCUCCUACUUUGCACUUUUUUCCUUUACAUUUAUUGAUAAGUGAGUGAUCAAAUAUCUAGUCAACAAUAUUUGAUGUUAAGUUGGAGGGUUACAAAUAUUGUUAUUGCUUACCAGUUAGCUCUUUGAGCAUUAUUUUAUGACUUACUCGCUCCUAGUAAUAUGUGUACCCCUUGUAUUUGCUUGCUGGUUUCUGUAAUAAUAAAAAUGUUGUACUUCCUUGUACAUCACUUUGGAUUGGACUAGUAUUGUCGUACAUAUUCAAAUUCUCUUAUUUCUUAAAAAAAAAACUCCCUCCAUUUAUGUCAGGUGUAUUAGUUUUUUUUUGCGAACCAAUGUGGGGUUGGAUCGUUAGAUGGACUGUGGUACCCCAGCCCACCAUGGUUCAAGUCCUGGUGCUCACAUUUAUUCCUGGAUUUAUUUCACGAUAACCGUUGAUGCGCAUUCAGUGGGAGGAGACGUUCCCGUCGACGACGAGGUGCCCACGGUGACUUAGUAAAUAUCAAGAUGAUAUGUCGGCUUAGUUUUUCGGAGGUGCUCAUAAGGGUAGGGUGUGCGUGUGUGCGUUCAUAGGGGUGAGUGCAUGCGCGUGUAUAUGAGCGCUUGCGUCUGUACUGUGUUCAAUAAAAGGUGUAUUAGUUUUUUCCAAGCAAAAAUGAUAAUGUAAGGUGUAUUUCUUUUUUCCAUGCAGUUUUCCUUGCGUGCCCUUCAACCAUCCAUUACAUGCCAUAGAUAAAAAGUACUACGUAGUUCCCAGUAGGAAGGUCGUAGAAAAGAAUCUCUCUCCCUAAUUGCAUGCACUCACAUUUCUCUCUAUCCCAUCCCACUGAUUGAUUUUAAUCUGGUGCUGCAAGAUUCAGUUGCCUUUUGUUAUCCCACUCGCUAUUUUGUUGCCCCUAAUUAACCAUCUAACUACCUAAUUAGUUAAAGGUAUUUUUGUCCAAAAUUCUCCUCAAUUAUGUGCCUUGGUCACCGCACCAAACAAAUACACCUUAUAUAAAGGAAUGCAGGGAGUAUUAGUAUUGAUUACCCCGAUAUAAAAGAACUGACAGACCAUUUCUUAAAAGAAAAUCAAAUAACAAAAAAUAUUUAGAAUACAGUUUGCAUGCCAGAUUACUACCUCUUCCCAUUUAGUAUUGUCAAAUUGCACAGCCAUUAGGAUAUUCACUGAUGGCGGGUUCGAAUCUUGAUAGUGCACUUAACAGUUUGUAUAAAAGAACAAUUCUGGACAUUUUUUAGAAUGGUCGAAUUUUCCUCUAAGUAUAGUUUUUCAUGGUGUUUCCAUUUGUUCCAUUCGUUUAAGUUUUUGUCUUGUGUCUUACAAGCCAUUUUAAUCGUUUCAGUGGAACCAAUGGGGAUUCAUUGCCUGCUUAUUAUUUUUGUUGUGGUACCAUGUUGGAAUGUCUCAACAUGCUUAAAUGAAUUUGUAUACUUUUUUUUUUGAAACGAGGCAAAAGACUUGCCAUUUUUAUUGAUUAACAAGAAGGGUGAAGUUCAAUACAAAAUCGCCUAGGCGAUAACAGAUACAAUGGCUACUCUAGUAGCAUUGCAUUACCCAAAUGCCUCGCACCAGCUAGGACCCAGAUAGCCGUUUCAUCCUUGAUGAUAUGCACAACAACCUCCACCAGCGCUGCCUUGGCCUUGAAAACACGAGCAUUCAUUUCCUUCCAAAUCUCUCAAGCAAGGAGGCUAACGCUUUCUGUGCAUUGUUGGUUAGGGUAUCCUCCCACCACUAGGAAAAACAUUGCAAGGCAAAUAGGCGAGAGGAUAAAUGCGGGGGAUUUGUGUUCUAAGGAUAGGACAUCCCAAAUGUUGACCAAAUUGAAAACGGGAAGAUGGAAAGGGGGCGGAUCAGAAUUUAUAAUUUAUCUUCCACUGACACCGAGCAACAUUAAGGUAUACAUGCAUCGGUGCAUGCUUUGCAUCUUAAAUGAAUCUGUAUACUGUCACCACUUGGAAAAACAUUGCAAGGCAAUUAGACAUGAGGUUGAAUCCAGGGUAUUUUCUUUCUAAUGAGAAGGACAUCUCAAAAUGUUGACCAAAUUCAAACCGGGCGGAUGGAAAGGCGGCGGAUCGGAAUUAUCUUCUCGGCGAGGGGCGACACUGAGCAACGUUGAGGUAUAUCUGCAUCGGUGCAUGCUUAUCAGCAUCCCCAACCGUCCACCUGCUCUGCUUCUACUACCUUUAAAUAUUUGGCACCUCCUUCGAUCCCUCCCAUCUCACAACACAGUGCAUAAUUGUUGUCUGCUGCUUAGUUUGUCCCAUACACAGGUGGAAGCUCUUAUCUACCUGUGUAUUAAGACUUAUCAGGUCGACGACCAAGGUAAGUCCCUAAACCUAUGUCUAUGUCUAUUCAUCAGUGGCCUGUACUUUUCUUAUAUCCAAGUCACACUUUUUCUUAAGCUUCUGGAUUAGCAUCCACCCAUCUUAAUAUCCUUGUACUCUUUAUAACCUUCCUGCGAAAAAACAGAUUUAUGUAUAACCUAACCUGUGCAUACAAGAAAAACGAACUAAUAAGUUCAUUUGUUAUGCGCACCUUCAAAAAGUGCAAUCUUACACUUUGUAGUGUGUAAUGGGUGAUUCAAAUUUUCCAAACUUCCAAAAAAACAAGAAAUUAGAAAAAAAAUACAUCUAUUUACUUAUAUUUAUUUUUCGUAUUAUCAAAUAAGACAAAAUAUAAUAAAUGUUAACAAUAAUUCAAGCUAAGCAUUUCCCCAUUGCCAAUAAGAAAAACAAAAGAAGAAAGUUACUUUAUGCCCCUAUAUAUAGUGUGCAGUGACAAAUUAAGUGUCCUAGUAUACUAGAGAUGUGAUUAACAUUGCUACUGAUAGCAUGGAAUAUUCUUUGUUUUAUUCACGUCACAAAAUGGCUUUUUUUUGUUUACCCAUGUUGAGAAAUUGAAAAAAAUGCAUUGUGCUUCUUUCUUGGAGUUUUUGAGCUUUUUCUAUGAUUACUAGAGAUGAUAGAUACAUCUUCAGUGCUUUAUUGGCACAUCUAAGCUUUUAGUGCACACAACGUACAGUGACUGAAAUAUAUAGCAGGUUACUGCACCGAGACCAUGGCAGGCAGCUCACCGAAGGUUAGUGAGAUCCGGUGUGCGCAGCGUGCGGAAGGCUCCGCGGCAAUGCUGGCUAUCGGAACAGCAAAUCCGGCGAACAAGGUGUCCCAAGAAGAGUACCCUGACUAUUAUUUCCGCGUUACCAAGAGCGAGCACCUUACUGACCAUAAAGACACAUUCAAGAUAAUAUGUAAGCACCCAAACAUACUGAAAUAUCUAAGCAGACACGUAUGAUCUGACAUGAUUUAUGUUGUUGGGUUUUUGGAUCUCUAAAACUGAUAUCAGGUGGUCUAACGGGCACGGAGAAUCGUUUCUUCUACCACACGGAUGAACUGCUCAACUCCCACCCUGUCUUGCUGGACAACACGUCACCGUCCCGUGAGGCUCGGCAUGAUAUCGUGGCCAAGGCUGCUCCAGAGCUUGCGGCAGCAGCAGCAAAGAAGGCCAUCGCAAAGUGGGGCCGUCCGGCCAGUGACAUCACCCACCUUAUCGUCAGCACCAACUCUGACGCUGGCGCCCCAAGCGCUGACGUACGCUUGGUUUCACUCCUUGGCCUUCGCGCCGAUGUCUGUCGUACCAUGCUCCAUCUUAACGGCUGCUUCGCCGGCUGCUCCGCCUUGCGCCUAGCCAAGGACCUUGCUGAGAAUAACUGUGGGGCACGCGUCCUCGUAGCUUGCGUGGAGCUCGCCAUUUCUGGCUUCUGCAGCCCCGGCGAAGGGGACUGCUUAGACACCCUCAUCACUCAUGCGUUGUUUGGUGAUGGGGCAGGCGCGGUAAUCGUCGGCGCCAACCCCAUGCACCCCAUCGAGAAUCCUCUGUUUGAGAUGGUGUCCGUCUCUCAGACCCUCGUGCCGAGCACUGAGAAUGUGCUCACCCUGAACUUGGGGAGCAAUGGCACUCAUGGGAAAGUUUACACCAAACUGCCCACACUGGUAGCAGACACCAUGGAACCUUGUCUUCUGGAAGUGUUUGGUCCACUUGAGAUGGACUUCCAAUGGAAUGACCUCUUCUGGGCAGUGCACCCUGGCAGCCGUGGGAUCUUGGACCAACUUGACAAGACACUCCAGUUGGAGCCCACGAAGCUAGCGGCGAGCAGAACUGUCG